rnacentral:lncRNA from 1 species
AUAAGAGCAUGCAAAGCACUGGCGCCGCCACCAGGACCCUCCAGACACUGUGCUGUGCAAGUUGUACAAAUCUCCUUUAUUAUAGCCAUGUACCCUUUUUCCGCAGCUAUGUAGAUUGGAUUUUUGCCUUCAUAAUUUUGGAUAUGUCUAUCACUUGGAUCUGCUUCUACUAAGAGCUUGACAAUCGCCACGUUACCGUUAAGGACUGCUACAUGUAAGGCAGUGUUCCGCAUUGGACUAGUAGCUAGCCUAGUAAAAGCUUUAAAAGCACUAAAUGGAUUAUGGGUAUCAUCACGUGCUUAUGAAGAAGGCAAAUGUCGUCUGGCGGCAUCAAUGAGGACCUCAACCACUUGAGUGUGUCCAUGAUGUGUUGCAAGGUGAAGUGCAGUUUGUUUUAAUUUAUCCUGCUUGACCAAUAGGUCUUUGUUUGAAAAUUCUGUCACAAUGAAUCGCACGCGUUCUGUGUAUCCUCUCUUGGAUUCAACAUGAAGGAUAGUUUCUCCAUCUUCGUUCAGUCUUUCGGCUUCCAUAUCCAGUGCAGCUCUGGCAUUAGCAUCUCCAGCAAUUGCAUCUGUAAACCAAUGGGCAACAGCACGACUAUUUUUAUACCUUUCUAGAUCUGCUUUCAUCCGUGCAUCCCUUUCAUUUAUUAAUAAUGUUGUAGCUCUAUUAAACAUCACAUCCUUUCUCUGUCUUUUACUUGGGAGCACUAAACUUUCCGAUAGAUCCAUUUUCCAGUCAGUCUGGACAUCGUCAAGUACAAUUUUUAUUUGUACCUGUGAAGAAAGGACAUUCCACCAUCAUGAAAAUUUAUCCAUAAGACUGAUAUGAUUUUGUAUUACCUAAUUUUGUUUCUUUAAUAUCCUUUUAAUUUACUUUUUUGAUAUAGUAUAAUCGUUACUUUCAAAAGAAAAAUAUAGUGUAAUCGAAAGUAAAGAUAAAGAACAAACACAUCAAAAGGAAAAGUUAAAUGUAAUAAAACGCAGUUUUCAUGAUUUAGUAGAAAAUAGAAAUGUAAGGAAUAAACGUACCUGAUCAGCAAUAAUUUCAUCUUCAAGAUAUAACAUAUCACGAGGAGUCCAAUAUUGGUUAUUUUUUACCAUUGUGUUAAUCCCGUUAUGUUUCAUAAGUUCCGGGAUGAAGCAACCACGGGAAACAAGUAUGUGGAGAGGUGUAUCACCAUUAUCAUCUUGCUCGUUCAAUAUCUUGUCCUUAUAUUGUUGAGGACAAUAUUUCAAAAUACCUUGUAUCAUCUCUUUUUUGUUUUUGCUGGCCGCCAAAUGUAGUACGUUUUGACCCCUCUUAUUAACAGCGGUGUAUUCAGAAGAUGAAAUUGGCCAUGAUAGUAUAUAAUCCAACCCGGCAGUAUUCUCAAGGUCCAUGGCCAAGUCUGGUCCAGACUCAGCACAACCCCGGGAGGAAUUCGGCCCAGCGGAGAAUAAUCCACCCACUCCAGAACAUGAAUCCGUAUUGGUGAGAAUAGUUCAACCAUGUCCUGACAAGUAUCCUAAUCCGGAUUGGGUUACCUCAAUCCCGCCAAGAACCGGGAGCAAGACCAACUCCAACCCCGGUUCGAGGGACCAACAAUGCAAGGACGCAAUCCCGGAGGUGCACCCAACCCGGAGAGAAUUCCAUGACCCUGGAGAGGCAAUCAACCCGGGUUGGUGGACACCAGUCCUGCCAGAACUUAGUCUGGAUAUGAACCGGGAUCCAAGCUCAAUGGUCAACUACUGACACUAUGAAGACAAACCUCAGAACACUCCAAAAUACUAUUCCUUAGCUGACACCUGGACAGGUGUUAAGCAUCCAAGCCCUACAGAUGGACGGCAGGAUCCAAGGUACACAUCCUUAAACCCUAAUCCUUGGCCUAUAAAUAGAUCAAGGAUGAGAGGCUUAAGGAUCUUUGUAACAUCCCAUAUUUUCAGAAUUUGUUUAUUAAUAUAGAAAUAAAUUUUUGAAUAUUAUUACUGGCUUUAUUUGGUUUUUGUGUAUAGUUGUUUCUAAUAAGAUGAAUGGACUGUGUAGUAUGAGUAUAAUUGUGAUGUGAAUUAUGAGGUUUAAACAGAUUAUGCAUUCUUCAUCUGUGAUUUCGUAUAUUUUCACGACCCGGAUUUUUCAAAAAUUGUUUAUUGUUAUAAAAGCAAUUUUCUUAGAAAGGAAGGAAUAAAGUGCAAUAUUUUAUUCCAGUUUAAGGUAUUUUUAAAAUGGUAUAUUUGAAUUCCGGGUUAUUGUGUUACCAAUACAGGGACUGUCUUUUCAAAACUAUAUUUCAUAUAAUUGAUUUUAAAGAUUUAAAAGAUUGGUAUGUGAGUAUAAUUGUUACAUGGCUAAGUGUUGCAUGUGGAAUUGUGAGUUUAAUUAGUUAUAAUAAUUAAAUGUGAAUAUUGCAUGAAUUUUGGUGUAAAUUGAUUUUCAGAAAUUGGUAUUUAUACGUGCUAGAACUGUGGGUUUAAUUAUUGAUAUUAUCAAAAUGAGUCAUAUUUUAUUUAGAUAUUUUCAAAUGAUUUAUAUGGAUAUAUGAAUAUCCUUUCAAAACUCAUUUCGAAUAUUAUUUCUGAAAGUACGGAGAUUUGUUAUGCAAAAGUUAGAUGGUUGAUAUGUGAAUCUAUGUAUUACAUGAUUAAGUGUUACGUAUGUAAUGGUCGCGUAAUUACUUAUGGUUAUUUCUGAAUAUUAUAUGAAAAUUUGGUAAAUUAUAUAAUGACUAGUUUUCUAUUUUGAUUGCUUAUACAUGUUGCAAUAGCGAGUUUUCAAAUUUCAUAUUCUCAUAAUAAAAUAUGGAACAUUUGGGUAUUUCUCUAAUAAUUUCUGAAUAGUAUGUGAUAUUUAUAUGAAUAUUUGUGAGGUUUGUGUUAUCUGGUUUAUUGAAUUGACUGCUCAUAUGUGUUCGGAUUUGAGAUAUUUCAAUUUUUAUAUGAUCAGAAUGAAAUCUAGUUUAUUUAGAUAUGUUCAUAUCGAUUUUUGGAUUGCUACGUGAUUUUAUAAUAGAUUUAUGGAUUUAAUUUCGUUUAAUUAUUAAUUAUAUUAAAAUAGUUAUUUAGCAUUUUAAACCCCGUGGGCGUUCGGGAAAAUUUCGCCAUUAAGCUAUUUGGGACAUUCUGAGCAUUAUUCGUGUUUUAACUUUUUCAAUCCGGAGUACGGUUUGCCCCGUAAAUGAUCCGGUAUGGUUUUAUUAAUAUUUUUAAAGUUAAUAAUUAUCUGGUUGUCUCGUAAUGCGUGAAGCAUAUUCCAGGAAUAUUCCAAAGCACACUACACCAUAGAUGCACUUACGCAACGCAAAAAAAAGGUUGCAAAAAGCCAAAAAAAUGUUGCUGUAACCCUGAAAACAGAAACCGCAACACUUUCCCGGAGUUGCCUUCAGCACCGCUGCCGUAGUGAGAUGUAGCAAUACUUUUGCAACACUAGGAUUGCAGUUGCAAUAUUCACAAAGGGCAUCAGUUUGUUACACCUAUGGCAACAUUCAAUAGUGUUGCUAUAGUGUUUGGAAAUCUGUGAAAUAUGGGCCCACCAGUGGGGCCACAUGUGGGGCCCACUGGUGGGCCAUGGGCUGUGGGCCUACUGGUGGGCCAUGGGCCCACUGGUGGGCCCAUAUGUAUGGCAACAUUUUAGUUGCAACACUUUAUGAACUCUUACAACAUUUUUUAAGCAAAUGGUUGCAACAUUAUAUAUCACUACUGCAAUACUUUUGUAAUUAAAUUUUGACAUAACCUUGCUGUAAAAUGGACUUCCCAAAUAAAAUAACCUGAUAUUAUAAUUCCAUCAAUACCAAAUCAUCCCAUCAAUAAAAACAAACCAAACAUCCAACCACAAACAUAAACUACUUUAAAGUCUAAUAACAUCCAGUCUAAUAACAUCCAUCCAGUAGUAAACCUUACUACUUCAAACAGUUAACCAAUUUACUUCGACUUCCAAAAGUAGCGAAAUACUAUAAUUAAAUAGUUAACUUCGACAAGCAAAAGUAGAGAAUCAGCAGUUAAAAACCAUCUCUAAGAACUGCCACCUCUAGUAAGCGGAGUGUCAUUUUCAUUAAGAGGAGUGCCUUCAUUGUCUGUUGACAUUGUUGCACAAAGCUCUGCCAAAUUGACGUUGAUGCCAGGAUUCGCUUCCCCUAAUUUCUUAAGCACCCAACUAAGGUUCUCCUGCACCUUCUUAUUCACCUUGGCAUCGACUUCAUCUUGGACCUUCUUCUUCAGCUUUUCAUCCAUUUCAGCAACAACAUCCUGUCUUAUCUUUGCUGUUAAUUCACUUAUCUGCGAUUCCUUCAUGCCAGAACUUGAAGAAUUAGCAGACUUAGGACAUCUCCCUAAAAGCCAUGAUGGACCAUGUGCUUUUCCAUCCAAUAAAAGUUCAUCAACACCUUCAGCUUGUCCUGAUAAAUCUUUCCCCAAAACCUUUUCAAUUUUGUCCUACAAUAUAAAGUCACAACCAAGUAAAUGACAAAUAUAAAAAUCAACGAAUGUUUGACAUGUGGGAACUAAAUAAGGUAAGAGUACUUACAACUACGAACGUAGUCACUUUCCCAUCAGUCUUGUAGUCGCGAUCAUUAUUUCGCUUACGCGUCUUGGCAAAAAGUGCUACAUCUGAUUCGUUGGCCUGAAAAAAUAAAUUGAUUAAAAAAAAAACCAAACUAUAUGGUCAUGGUUUCUCAUUCUUUUAUUUUUCAAGACUUAUGAAUGUAUUCUUUAGUUUGUGUCUGAACAGUAUUCUAUAUAAAUGUAGUAUUAGUGUAUAAUCUACUACUAUAACUAACACUAUUUCAUCUAAUUAUACAAAAAUCGAGUAAUUUAUAAGUUAAAAUCUUUUCUACAAAUAUAACCCGAUAAAUUUCAUCCUAACCAAUGACAACAAAAUGAGUAAAGUAAUAGAAAAAUAAAUUUCCAACCAUCUCGAUAUAACUUUCAUAAAUUAAAUUGAAACCAGGACAAGAAAAAGUGACAUAAAAAAUAAUAAAGAGAAAACCAGGAAGAGAAAUUGAAACCAGGAAGAGAUGUACCAAUUUAUGUCGAAUUUGGGAGAAUAAUUUUGGACCAGCAGUGUGUGUGUCCACAUACUUUUGCCGACUUACAGCAUUUUUUCUUGCCUUGUACUAAAAAAAUUAUAAAGAGAAAUUAAUUAGUCACAAGUGAACACAGAGCAUGAAAUAAAAAUCAAACUACUAUGAAAUGAAAAUUUAUUCAUUUUUAUAGCUAAACCUGAAUCUUCUCAUCUCCCCAAUACUGCAAGAGCAGUUUGAAAUCCUCGAGGGGAAUGUGGUCAGGUCUAUUUUCCAGCCUCUCCUCAUUGGUAACAUAAGUCCAAUAGUGUGCUGUUUUAAGACGACACUUAUACCCCCUCCAAGCCGCAUUAAUCGACUUCAGCACCCAUUCUUCAAGUUCUUCAGGAAUAAUAUAUCGUUGCUUACAUACAAAUCAAAAUAAGAUAAAUGAAUCAAUAUUUUUCCUCAUCAUAUAAAAUAAUUAACCAAUAUAUUGUGUGUGUGUGUGUAAUUUAUUUAUACAAGCGUGAAAAUACAGCUAAUAUUGUAUACAAGUACCUUAACAUAGUUCAACAAUGUUGUCUUCAAACUGUCAGGAACAUCUCUCCAAGAUUUAUAAGUUAGUGGAACACUCUUCUUCAGUGUUCCAAGAAAGUAACCAAAUUCAGAUAUGACUUUGUCAUUGUCUGAAAUAGGUUGAAACCGAUCAUUCAUUUUCACUUCAACUCUUUUCUCAAAUGGCCUUGUAUGGACUUUAUCCAUAGUGGUUUUUCCACGCGUUCUUUUAGGAACUACAACAUAAAUUACCAAAUUUCAUUUUCAGAAGGUCACGAAGCUAGAAUGAAAUUUUUUAAUAAUCAGAGGUAAAUAUAUCAAUGGUAUCAUAAUUUCCAAUCAUAGUUUCAUACUUUUUAUGUUAUUUACAAUUUAGACAAUUAUGAACAUUGAUUAAAAUGUGGAGCACAUGAUUUAAUUUUUAAAAAAUAAAUGCUGACCUUCUUCAACCGUGUCUUCAUUAUCAGGCAUUUCAUUGUCACCAUUUGCGACAUCAGCUUCCUCAUUUCCAUUUCCGCUUCCAUUUCCACUAGCAUGUACAACUUUCUUCUUGGCACCUUCUUCCUUUUGACGUGCCCGCAUAGCCAAAUGUGCCGCCAUUGAUCCUACAGCUUCAUUCUGAGGCAGCUGGAUUGGUGCAGCAGGUUUAACAAGAUUUGGAAGGCUUGCUUCCUUGUCUGUUCCAUCCUUUUGAGGAUCAUUUACAACUGUGGACCGUGAACGAGUAGUUGGUCCACCAGGAAGCUUCAUCUUCAAUGGUUUUUUGUUUCUCUACAAUGUACAUAUGAGACAUGAUUUAAUUAAAUCUAUUAUAAUAUAUCUGUUAUAUGUAAAUAGUAGAAAUAAAUAGAGGCUCGAUCAUACUUACUUUCAUAUAUAUAUAUAUAUAUAUAUGCAACUAAUAGCGAUUCAUGAUACUAUAAACAGUACGUACCUUUUUUGGUAUUUCAGCAAUAUCAUCCACAACAUCAUCUUCGUCUCCCGGAUUAUAUUCUGAGCCUUCCUCUGGAGCUUUCUCUUUUUGUUUACUUUUUUUGUUCAUUUCAUUUUGGAUGUUGGCUGCUAGUGUAGGCAAGCCUAACAUCUUGUACACCUGAUCAUUCAAAAUCACAUUGACAAGUCUUUCUCUCUCAUAGUCUGUUAUCGGAGGUGGGGGAGGGAGCACCUACAACAAAACAAGAUGCCAUAGUAAGGAAACAUCUACUUAAAAACUAAAAUAAUUCAUGAAAUGAAAAAUAAUCAAGAAACUAAAGUCUUACUUCAUUUUGUGCAACAUAUACAGACUCUCCCAUUUCUUCAUCUUGAUUUGGUGGGUUGUAUAAAUCCAAUUUCCUCUUAACACUUGCUUUGUGGAGAUUCACAGUAUCAUUUUCUACGUCUUGAACAUUGUCUUUCCUUGCUGGUCUCUGACGACUCUGGACUUCUUGAUUAUUCCGCCGUGUCGGCUUCAAAGGACUGUUGCCCUGUAGAUGAUUGAGCCGUGCUGAUCUCCGAGGACUGUUGUUGUUGACUUCAGUUGCUUUCUUUGCUUUCUGUUGCUGGAGUUGGUGGUCACAAAUGUUCGUCUCUUAUGAUUUUUGGCUGCAAGAAAAUAGUAAGCAUGGCAGUAAGGAAGUGGACAAGCAAUCAUAAAUAUAUAAGAAAAUGGUACAAAUGCUGAAAAUAUGACUAUAAAGUAGAAAAUUACGCCUUACAAAAAGAGGAGCAAGAAUACCUCCAAAUAAAUUUGGCCUUGGUCGCAUGACCACAUGUGGUUGCAUCUGUUUCAUAGGCUCGAUGGUAUUAUCGACGACAUUGUCGAUAUAAAAAUCCAUGUGAUCACCAACUUUCACUCCUUUAACUAACUCAGACAGAUCUGCAUCAUUUCCACAUAAUUUCCAGCCACCUUUGCUUGUAUAAAUCCCUCCAAUUUCAGAGUACUUAAGGUCAUCUUUAACAAACUCCAUCAGAACUGUAUAAGAAAACCUAUCAAGUUCUACAUGCAUAAACACAGUCUCCUCUCCACCAACAUAGCGAUUGUUGUGAAAUUUCCCCUUGUGAUAGAACCUGAGAUGCACAGUGUCUUCCAUCCUGCACAAAAUAGGGAGAAAUUUUUAUCAGAAUCAUGAUUAAAACUAUGCAAAUAAACGGAAUUGUGGAAAAUAAACAGAAUCUUGUGUAAACUAACAGUAAAUUUGAAGUACAAAUAGUACAUAAUUAUGCCCAAAUUUUGUGCAGAACCACAGAAAUUAAGAAAUAAUGUAGAACCACAAAAAUUAUCCAAAUUCAUUAAUAUUUGAUUCAUUGAUACAACAAAAAAAUAUCAGCACACUUUUUCCUAUUUAAUUAUAUAUAGUUCAUGUAAUACUAGGAAACAUUUUCUUGGCCUUGACUAGGAGGAAUACGAAUUUGUGUUAUCGGAACGUCAUCUCUACUCCACUGAACUUCAUUAACUUCAUUCUCCAAGUUCAAAACAGGAUCAUGUCGACUUUCUUCAUUUGCUUCUGCACUCUCAACCUCACACCAGUCUCUUGGCAGUUUUUUGAUAACAUUGUGGCAUGUCUUAUCAACUGGAUCUUCUAAAUAAAAGAUUUGCUGCACUUGUGAAGCUAAGACAUACGGAUCUGAUUUUUGGCACAAUCUUUUAAAAUUAACCCGAGUCAUGCCAUAUAUAUCUCUCUCUUCUUGGUACCAACAACACUUGAAUAAAACCACAGUAAAAUCUCCCCAAUAAUCAAGUUCCAGUAUUUCUUCUAUUGCGCCAUAGUAGCUGACUUCACUGACUAUUGGAUUUUGAUCUCUUGAAUUUGCAAAGCUUGUUGUCACAGCACUUAAAAAUACACCACUAUUCUGUGUUGUACAUUUGGCAUCUCUAAACUUAGUAUGGAAUCUAUAUCCAUUAAUGACAUAUCCCGUAUAUUUUUUAGCUGUUGGAUUAGGACCCAUUGCAAGAACUUGUAGUUCUUGUGAAACAUUUUCUUUUUUCCCGACUACUUCUUUUAACCAAUUCCAAAAUUCAUCAGCAUGCAUUCUCUCCCGUUUAUAUCUUUUUGACAGAACAUUGCCCUCAACUAAAGCUCGAUGUUCCCUACAACAAAUAGCAAGUCAAUAAAAAACAAAAUAUAUAUCCUAAAUAUUCUGUUCUAACUAAAUUAAAACUGAAACUUAAAGACUUACAGAAUCAAAGUUUCUAUCUCCUUGUUACCACAAUUAAAAAGAAAGUACCGAUGACAUUCCAAUAAUUGAGAUUCUUUUAGAUGGAUAGUUUUUCCAUCUUUAUUUCUUCUUGUGCCAAUUGGAUAUUCCAGAUUUUGUUUGGCAAGACAUUUGCUACUUUUUAUAGCUCCAUCAUUACCUAAGAAUCUGGAGCAGAAUGUUAAACAUUCUUCGGAUAGAUAACCCUCAGCUAUGGAAGCCUCUGGUUUACUCCUAUUUUUGAGGUAUGAUUUCAACUUACAAAGGUAACGCUCGAUUGACCACAUGCACCGGACAUGUGCUGGUCCCCCAUACUCAACUUCUUUGCAUAAGUGAACAGGCAAGUGCACCAUUAUAUCAAAGAAAGAUUGUACAAAUUAAAUAUCAUCUCAAAAUUACAAAGAAUUUCGAUGAUUUCUUGUUGCAGCCUCUUGACAUCGUUCAAAUCAAUCACUUUUCCCCAAAGUCCUCUCAAGAAUGCACCUAAUCUAAUUAAGGGCGCUGCUACUUCAGGUUUUAAUGUUCUCUUCACAGCAAACUCUAACAAGUAGGGUAAAAUGAAAUGUGCGUCGUGACUCUUAUACCCUGUAAUUUUCCUCUCUUUCGUAUGCACAUAUCGCCUGAUAUUGGAUGCACAGCCGUACGGCAAUUUUGCAUUUUCCAAAACUGAACAAAAUAUUUCUUUUUCUUUAUUUGUCAUAUCAAAUAUGGCUGCCCUGAUCUCGAGGGUUUCGCCAUCACUUGACAGAAUCGGAUGCAGCUCCUUCCUGAUGCCUAAUUCUUGAAGAUCCAACCGAGCAUUGAGAUGGUCUUUCGACUUCCCGCCCAUAUUUAACAAAGUACCAAGUAUGUUAUCACAUAGAUUUUUUUCUAUGUGCAUAACAUCAAGGUUAUGCCGACACAUAUUUUGACUCCAGUACGGUAAAUCAAAAAAAAUCGACUUUUUCUUAAAAGGAGAAUUUUUUAUUUUGUUGCUGCCCCUCUUCCUCUUAUCACCAAAUUCAUUCUGAAAUCCAAUCAAUAAUUCUUCAACAUCUGUCCCGGCUAAGAUUGGAGGUGCGGUUCCCAUUUCAAUUUCACCAUUGAACCGUUUUUUAUCAAACCUCCAUUUGUGGUCAGGCUCUAGAAAUUUCCUAUGGUUCAUGUAGCACAUUUUCCUACUGUGUUUCAAGUACAUUGAAGACGUCUCGUAAUGACAUACAGGACACGCUAAUUUACCCUUGGUGCUCCAACCGGAUAACAUCGCGUAUCCCGGAAAGUCACUAAUGGUCCACAAAACACAAGCACGUAAAAUAAAGUUUUCAUUAGCAAAAGCAUCGUAAGUCUCAAUCCCAAUAUCCCACAAAUCUUUUAACUAGGCGAUAAGAGGCUUCAUAUAAACAUCAAUACUGUUCUUAGGAGAUUCCGGGCCAGAGAUCAAUGUGGAAAGUAUUAAGUUUUCAGGUUUCAUGCAUAACCAAGGGGGGAGAUUGUAGUUUACUAAUACAAUGGGCCAAGUGCUAUGAGAUAUACUCAUUGUACGAUAUGGACUAAAACCAUCAGCUGCUAGUCCUAACCUAAUAUUUCUCUUUUCUGAUGAAAAAUGAGGAUAAUUGGCAUCUAAUACUUUCCAGGCCUCGGCAUCAGCAGGAUGCCUCAGUUUUCCAUCAUUUUUCCUUUGUGAUGAAUGCCAUAUCAUAAGUUCUGAGUAGUCCUUCGACAUAAAUAGCCUUUGUAGCCUCGGUUUUAGUGGAAAGUAACGCAUAAUUUUUGCGGGAACUUUGUGAAUCAGCUUCUCUGGAUCACUGUCACAAGUACCAUUCUUUUCCACUACAACUCAUCUGGAGGCACCACAAGUUUUGCAGAUAUCUUCCUUUUCAUCCCCACCCCAAAAAAGCAUACAAUUGUUUGGACACGCAUGGAUUUUUUUGUAAUCCAGACCUAAAUCUCUAAUAACGUUCUUAGCAGCAUUGAAGGAUAGAGGGAUGUGGGCCUGUGGAAAGGCCUCUUUGAUUAACUCUAGUAAAGAACCAAAGGCAGACUCGGUCAUUCCAUGUACACAUUUUAAGGAAUAAAGCCUAAUAAGGAAACUUAAACGUGUAAAAUUUUUACAGCCUUGAUAUAAUGGUUGUUUUCCAUCUUCAACAAGGCGAUAAAAUCUUUGAGCUUCCUCAUUUGGUAAUUUUGAUUUAUCUUCAUAGUUGUGUGUACGGUGUAACAUAUCAGCAAUGUUAUCUCCUAAAUCUAUACCACCAUCAGACUCCAUAUUUUCAUCACUACCUAAACAUUGAUUCGACACUUCACAAAUCCAUUUCACAUAUAGUGGAGACGGACCAUUAUAAAUCAGAUGGUCAUAAAUCACGUCUUCACGACGCCACCUCUGGUUAUUACAGUUUCUGCAGGGACAUGUAAUUUCAUCACCUACCGCAAAUCUAGAAAAUGCAUUGCCUAAAAAUGCUCUGAUCCCCCUAAUAUAUUCUUCGCUGAACUUUGGAAGUUUUAUCCAGCCUUCCAUCACUACCUUUAUGACCAAAAUAUAUUAGUAUCAUAAUAUAUAUUUGUUUAUUUAAUUAUGGAUACCAAAAGAUACUUGUAAAUUUGUAACUAACAGAGCAUGACUUGGCUAUUUAAUGGAACUAAGGACCACUGUCGCGUCUAUAUAAAACUAUAACUUACAAACAAAAUACAAAGUUUAACAGAGAGCAUGUAGACAUCCAUUAUACACUAUACAAAAAUAGUCAGACAUUAUACAUACCAUUAAUUAAAGAUUUAAAACAGAGAGAGAUAGAAGAAGGGGGAGAGAAAGGUAGGGAGGGACUGAGUGAGACAUGAGGGGGAGAGAGAGGUAGAGAGAGGGAAAGGAGAUGGGGAGGGGGAGAAAGAGAGAGAGAUGGGAGGUACAGAGAGAGAUAGAGGGAGGGAGGGAGAGAGAGAGAGAUGGAGAGCGAGAGAGAGAGGGAGAGAGAGAGGGGAGAGAGAGAGGGAGGGAGAGAGAGAGAGGGCCAGAGAGAGAGGGGGCCNAGAGAGGGAGGGAGAGAGAGAGAGGGGGCCAGAGAGAGCGAGGGAGAGAGAGAGAGCAAACACAUACAUUAUCUCAAUCUCUACAGAUACAAAAUCAAAAUCCAUAGAUGCAAAUGAAGAGGUUAAAUAAAGAAUAAUACCUGAUAAUAGCCCUAAUAUUUCAGCUCGAUUUGAGAAUCCCGAGUUGAUUUCACCCCAAUCAGAACUCUAAUUGAAGAAAAGAUCUUGAGCUUGAACCCUAAUCUCGAGCUUCACCUUCAACACUAAUCUCGAUCGAGCUUCACCUUAAAUCGUACCCUAGUCUCGAGCAGUGUGCAUCGCGAGCUUUGGUUUUGUGUUUCUGUGGUUUUGUGUUUGUGUAAGAGAAAAGGUAUGUGUAUUGUGUAGUUCAAUUAUUUCACCAAGACAGAGGCGGCAAAUUGUCCCGCUUCUAACACCCCAAAAGCAAUCUGCCUCCCUUCUCCCAAACACCUCUUUUUUUGUUUUUUUUUUCAUUUUUAAUUUUUAUAUAUAUUUUCACUAAUUUAUUUAUUCAAAACAAAUUUUCCACAAAAACGAUAUACUUUGAUAUAAUAAUAAAUUUAUAUUUUUUAAAAAAAGUAUUUUUGUUUAAUUUUGUGUGAAAUAGUAUUUUUAAAUUUUAUUCCAAUAAUUAUCAUUUUAAUUUUAUUAGCAUGACGUAUUUUAAAAUUAUUUAAAUAACAAAAUUUUAUAAAAAUAAUUUUACUCGCCUUAAUACCGACUUUGCGUUAAAAUAUUUAUUUUAUUUUUUUUUGGACUUUGUUUAAUUUUAUGAUCACUAAUUGUUCUCUUUAUAAUUUUUAAUUAAAUUACAUUUAGUUAGAAUAUUGAGGCAACAAAUUUUAAGUGUUGCAAUCUACAACAUUUCUUAGAGCUACGAGAACGUCGUGUAUACAAGUCAGCAACAUCAAAAGACCAAUGUUGCCGUAGAUAAAAAUUUUGGAGCUAUUACAACAUUUUUCAGUGCAACACACAAUUUUGGGGUUGCGUAAGUGCAUCUAUGGUGUAGUGGCAUAUUCAAGGAAUAUUCUCUUAUCUUCCUCUAUAAAUAUCCUUUACCAGUUUAUUUCGCACGUACAAUCGUUUUGUCAGUUUCUCUGCACGAAUACCGAGAGAAGACGAACGGGUGUUCUUCGUGUUCUUCAUAUUCAAACGAGGAUUUGAAGGCGUUAUUGGAAUCCGAUGGAGGCGUAUGAAUAGUCAAAACGAAGCUCUCGACGCGUAGAAUCUAUUGUAGUCAUCAAUAUCAGUGCUGAAUCGACAGGUUUUUGCUAAAUAAGCUUUUUAAAUUCGAAUUAUAUUAUUUCAAAGGAUGAAUUUUCGUAAACGAUCUUGUUUCUAUGAUUUGAUGAUUCCAUGUUGUAGAGCAUCUCCUGCCAUUCGUUUUCAUAUAUUAUAUGUCGAUUUUUGACUUCCAUAUCAUAUAGAAAAGUUGGUUUGAUUCUUGAAUUGGUGUUCUUGAGUGUUCUUCGUAGUUUAUGAAUGUUUUCAAUUGCGAAUUGGGCGUUUUUAAUCUAGGAAACUAGAGGAUGUGUGGUUGGUACCAUUAGAAAGAGCGUGAGGAGAGGAGUAUGUUCAUGCCACCCAAUUGACCGGACGACCCCCGUAGAGGUCGCCGGAAUCUGGAAAUCGUGGCGGCGGCGACGAACUUUGGCUGCGAAUUCCGGCCAAAACUCACGUUGUUUGAUGAUUAUAAUUGUUGAAACGUGUUCCUGGUGAGUAGUAUUGUAUAUCUGCAGUUUUUGGAGCGUGAUGGAGUUCAGAAUCGCCGUCUCCGGCGAGUCAGAGGCCGCCGGCGGUGAAAAUUACAGUUUAAUACCCGUAGUUUUGAAGAUGGUGAAAACUUGGUACUCUAGUUUAUGUUUUGACAUUUGAUCCCCUGUAACUUCUUAAAGUUACAGUUUAUACCCCGGAUGAAAACUUUCAAAAGUUUACAAAAUAAACCUUUUGAUUUAAUUUUCUAAAAUUGUUUUAUUUAAUUAUUUUAAAUUCCAAAAAUAGUUUUUAAUUAUUUCUUUAUUCAAAAAUAAAUCUAAAUUAGUUUCUUAAUUAAUUUUAAUUAGUAAUUAAUUAUUUUAAUUGGUCAAUUAAUUUAAAUAUUAAUUGAUUAAUUAAUUUAGUUAAUUAUUAAUUGAUUUUAAUUGAUUAAUUAAUUGGAUUUAAUUGUUCCUUUUGAUUUAAAAAUUCUGGAAAAUAGUUUCGAGCUUUGAAUUAUUUUUCUAAAAUAUGUUUGAGGCUCGUUAAUUGAUUUCAAAUGAUUUUGGACCCGAUCUUGAGCAAUCGGACUUGAUUAUUUAUUCAAAAAUGGAUUCUUUUACCUGUUUUAAUUCCGAAAAAUGUCUAGAAAUUCCAGAAAAUUCCUGAAAAAUCAUUUUUAACCUGAGACUUGAUUUGACAUCAAUUGGGAUGGGAAACCUUAUAUGAAAAAUGUUGUCUGCUAUCUGUUUGAUAUGUUAUGAACCGAUGGGAGAGUUAGAAAACGGUUUUGCUCAUAACUUUUGACUCGUAAUUCAGAAUGGAGUGAAACGAAAAAGAGAUUAAAGCUUAUAAAGUCUAUUUUAAUGUGACAUAAUAAUAUGGUGGAGUAUAGAAUGUGAAUAAUUGUUGUUAAAUGUAUAGAAUAUGAUUAUAUGUGAUCUAAUUGCUAUUAAUUGAUGAUUGCAUGGACUAUCUGGUUGUUCUAGUAUUACAUACAGGUGAUAAAUGAUUAAAUGACAUAGUGUCGUGUCUUGAUAGGUGUCGGAUAAAAGCAUAUGGAUUAUAGUGAUUGGAUUUGGUUGGUUGAUUGUUGAUUGAGAUAGGAUAACAGGUGGAUAGUCUAAUAAAUAGACGAGACGAUGUCGGAUUUUCGAUAAGAUUUAUAUGAUAUUUAAUUGAUAAUAUGUUAUGUGAAAUAUGAUUAGACUAUAUGGUAGAGUCAAAGCAUGAUUAUGUGUUAAGUGAUAUUUGACGAGUUUAAAGAGUUGUAUAAGUGGGUAUCGAUAUACGUGAUAUGUGUAUGCGAUAGGUUAUGCUACCGAAUUGAUAAGUAGAGAUAAGAAUCAAUAGAUUAUUUAGUGAUAAUGGUAGUAUCUUAUUCUCGUAAAGGGUUUGGACGAGACGGAUACGAUCGAAGACGUUCAGAAGAUCAAACGAUGUUACAAAGCGAAUAAGGAACGAAUCGAGUAAACGAAGCAGUGUGGCGAAUAGAGUAUAGCCAAAGAUGGUCUAGAGACUAUGAUAUGCAUAGAGUGUGAAAGUGGAAAGAUGAGAUUGAGAUAUGAGACUGGAGUCGGAUUUAAGGCAAGUUUUCCUAAAUCCUUCCUCAUAUAUAUAUAUUGCAUGUUCUGAUUAUUCUGUCAAGAUUAUGAUACUGUUUAUACUAAAACCCUUCUUAAAUAAACUCUUACUUCUGAGAAUGGAACCCACGAUUGUUUUCUUCUUCCAAGUUUUAAAAAGCCAAACACCUAAUUACUCUUAAUUUCUAUUCUGAUCCAUUCUUUCUAAUCCUCAAGAUUUUAAAUAUACCAGCUUUACAAGUUAAUUCGAAGUUCCGACCGUCACUGAAGCAUGUGUUGCUUAGUGAUAGUUAGAGCCUAGAAUGAAAUGGGAUCUUCUUGAUUAUUCAACCCGCCAUUGUCAUGCUGGUUUAGCAGGCUAAAUUCAGUUGCUUAGCCGAUAAUGGAGGAUACUGAAUAGUUAGGAAUUUCCUGAACUAUGAUUUAUCAAAGGACGAACUGUGGUUUAUGAAAUGUUGAUUCUCAAAAGUUCAUUUGGAAUUAUUCUGUUAUUGAAGAUGAUUAUGAUUCUGUUCUGUUGAUUGAAUUGUCUGUUGAUUUUAAAUUGUUAGAAUUGGAUUAGUUUUUUUAUAAAAUAUGUGGACCAGAUUCGUGGUCAGACCAGAUUCGUGGUCAAUUAUAGGCCAAUGUGUGCCUUGGAUCCAGUAUAGAGAACAGGGCUGUGUGCCAUGUUCGGGGUUAGUGCGUGACUGAUCAGCAGCCUAACCUUUGGUUUUUAAGUAAAAAUGUGAUGAAUCCAAUUCGACAAUUCUUCUGUAAGUUUGAAAUUCUAAUUUCAAUUGCUGAUAAGAAUUGUGAAGUUUUCAAUUACAUAUCCUGAACUUGUGAACCCUGAUAAAAUAUUUCAGGACUAUUGUUGCUUAUAUACACUUGCUGAGCAUUGUUGCUCACCCUUGCUAUUCUUCUUUUUAACCAUUUCAGAAAAGCUUAAAGAUGAGUUGCUUAAUUGAGAUUGCGAGUAUGGCUAAGGCUAAGCGAGGAAUCAGAGUUAUAGAAUAUCCAGAGGACAAGUGGAAUGUCCAUAGAGAUUGUCAAGGUGGGUUCAAAAUAGAAUUCUAUUGAUGAGAUUCAAUUGUAAGUCAUAAUUGAAAUAGAUUGACAGUGAUUCUUCUUAUCGAAGAUGAUCUGAGUUUGGAAGACAUUGUUUAUUGCUAGAGGUUGAUUCUAAUUUCAAUACUGUAACCUGGAUGCGAUCCUGUUUUUAAGGGGUAAAGUGUUUUCUUUUAAAUCUUUUAUUAAAUUUUUCAAGUUUUAAAUCCUUUGAUUUUAUUACCUUUUUAAGAAAAUGCAGGUUUUCAAAAGUGUUUAAAAUGGUUUUGUAUGGUGACGUCAGAAUCCAGACCCCCGGAUUUGGCCUAUAAAUAGACCAAGGAUGAGAGGCUUAAGGAUCUUCUUCUCCACACUCUCAUAUUUCUCACACACUCUAAGCCACCAUACACAGCAGCCAUACACCUUCACCCACCACACAUAGAUAGCUCAUUUCCCGUCUAUAUAUUUUCCGACGCCUGUACUCAUUCUCACGCCGGAGGCGCCGCGGGGCUCAAACCCCCCUUCGGUGUUGUUUUGCAGACACCCGUCCAGCAGCUACACCGCAAGACACCAGUACACGGCGGAGGAAGCACCAGAACGGGAUUUGGCGUUAUCAUUUGGCGCUAGAAGGAGGGGGAGGUUGUAUUCUCCGUCCUGUGGUCACGGUGCCACCGGACUCAUCUUCAUCAGCAAACUCCCGAAAAGGGAGUCCCGAUUUAACCCUGUAAGCUUCAAAAUGCACUCAAAUCUCUCAAAACCCUAUCAGCCAUGAUUCUCUUUGUUGUGUGCAUGUUAGCAAACCCUGUCUAGAAGCACCCUAACUUUGUCUGUAGUACAUCAAGACACCUUGUCCUGUAGUCCCUUACACCUUUGUCAUUUAACUAUUUCUAGCAUUUCUUGAAGUAGUAAGUUGACUAUCUGCCUACACUAUUUCUAUCAUUCCACUAUUGUCUAUAAUGCACACAUACACUUUCACCAAAAAGCAAGCAUACUCCCUGGGUAGUUCUUGUUUAAAUCGUUCACUAUAAUCAUGACAAGAGGUGGAAAAACCCAAACCCAAUCAACCCGAUCCUAGCAGUUCAACCCGGUGGACCAGGGCAAUCCACAUCAGGAUCUCAUCUCUAAAUCACUCUUGACCGGGAUCAAUCCAGAAGAGACCCGGAUCAACCUAGACGAUGCCCGGGUCACAAUUGAAAUGAACCAGUUAAGUGCAUCAAUGUCCCGAUGACCGCAGACCAUGUUACAUAUCUAACCAACAUAGAGUUGGCCGAAGCAAUCCGGUUAUACCAGGAACAACGAGCCGAGAACCUCAAAGGACCCGGGUUGAUUGCUGAUUUUGAAGACUUUGAAAAUUCCCGCCAAUCCCGGGGUUCCGUUUUUGACCGGAUUGGUGACAAAGUAAGGAAAAAGAAGUAGAGAAAAAGUGAUGCCACAAGGCGAAAGAUCCUGGCCAAAAAAAAAAAGAAAAAAAAGAACACAUCCGGAGGGAAGAAGGAGAAAAGCUAGAGCAGAAAAUUCAAAGAAGGAUCCAGCUAGAAGAAUAAAGGCUUAUGAGCAAGUCCCGUUUCAAUCAUGAUCUAUCUCUUACUUGGAAUUUUUUUUUCCAAGGCAAACAAACAAAAAGCUACCCCGGUUCAAUCAUGACUAUCUCUUACUUGGAAAAUUUUUUCUAAGGCAAAAAACCAAAAGCUACCCGGGAUCAAUUUUGAGUUAUCUCUUGUAAAAAUUUUCCAAGGCAAAAACCAAAAGCUACCCCGGUUCAAUUUUGAGCUAUCUCUUACUUGGAAAAUAUUUUUUAAGGCAAACAAGCAAAACCAACCCCGGUCCAGUUAUGACCUAUCUCUUACUUAAAAAAAAUUCAUGAAAAAUUUUCUAAGGCAUAAAGCAAAUGCUACCCCGGUCCAGUUAUGAUUUAUCUCUACUUAGAAAAAUUUUCCAAGGCAAAAACCAAAAUCUACCCCGGUUCAAUUUUGAGCUAUCUCUUACUUGGAAAAAUUUUUCGAAGGCAAAAAAGCAAAAGCUACCCGGGUUCAAUCAUGAGCUAUCUCUUACUUGGAAAAAGUUUUCUAAGGCAAACAAGCAAAAGCUACCCCGGUCCAGUUAUGAUUUAUCUCUACUUAGAAAAAUUUUCCAAGGCAAAAACCAAAAGCUACCCCGGUUCGAUUUUGAGCUAUCUCUUACUGGGAAAAAAUUUUCUAAGGCAAACAAGCAAAAGCUACCCCGGUCUAGUUAUGACCUAUCUCUUACUUUAAAAAGUUUUCAGUUUUUCAAAAAAAUUUCUUAGGCAAAAAAGCAAAAGCUACCCCGAUUCAAUUUUGAGCUAUCUCUUACUUGGAAAAAAUUUUCUAAGGCAAACAAGCAAAAGCUACCCUGGUCCAGUUAUGACCUAUCUCUUACUUAAAAAAAAAUUCAUGAAAAUUUUUCUAAGGCAUCAAGCAAAUGCUACCCCGGUCCAGUUAUGAUUUAUCUCUACUUAGAAAAAUUUUCCAAGGCAAAAACCAAAAGCUAACCCGGUUCGAUUUUGAGCUAUCUCUUUCUGGGAAAAAAUUUUCUAAGGCAAACAAGCAAAAGCUACCCGGGUUCAAUCAUCUUACUUAGAAAAAUUUUCUAAGGCAUAAUGCAAAUGCUACCCCGGUCCAGUUAUGACCUAUCUCUACUUAGAAAAAUUUUCCAAGGCAAAAACCAAAAGCUACCCCGGUUCAAUUUUGAGCUAUCUCUUACUUAGAAAUUUUUUUUUUAAGGCAAACAAGCAAAAGCCACCCGGGUUCAAUCAUGAGUUAUCUCUUACUUAGAAAAAUUUUUCCAAGGCAAACAAGCAAAAGCUACCCGGGUUCAAUCAUGAGCUAUCUCUUACUUGGAAAACAUUUUCUAAGGCAAACAAGCAAAAGCUACCCCGGUCUAGUUAUGACCUAUCUCUUACUUAGAAAAAAAUUCUUGAAAAAAUUUUCUAAGGCAAAAAAGCAAAAGCUACCCCGGUCUAGUUAUGACCUAUCUCUUACUCAGAAAAAAAUUCUUAAAAAAAAUUUUCGAAGGCAAAAAACCAAAAGCCACCCGGGAUCAAUUUUGAGUUUUCUCUUGCAAAAAUUUUCCAAGGCAAAAACCAAAAGCUACCCCGGUUCAAUUUUGAGCAAUCUCUUACUUGGAAAAAUUUUUCGAAGGCAAAAAAGCAAAAGCUACCCGGGUUCAAUCAUCUUACUUAGAAAAAUUUUCCAAGGCAAAAUCCAAAAGCUACCCCGGUCCAGUUAUGAUUUAUCUCUACUUAGAAAAAUUUUCCAAGGCAAAAACCAAAAGCUACCCCGCUUCAAUUUUGAGCUAUCUCUUACUUGGAAAAAAUUUUCUAAGGCAAACAAGCAAAAUCUACCCGGGUUCAAUCAUCUUACUUAGAAAAAUUUUCUAAGGCAUAAUGCAAAUGCUACCCCGGUCCAGUUAUGACCUAUCUCUACUUAGAAAAAUUUUCCAAGGCAAAAACCAAAAGCUACCCCGGUUCAAUUUUGAGCUAUCUCUUACUUGGAAAAUUUUUUCCAAGGCAAACAAGCAAAAGCUACCCGGGUUCAAUCAUGAGCUAACUCUUACUUGGAAAAUUUUUUCCAAGGCAAACAAGCAAAAGCUACCCCGGUCCAGUUAUGACCUAUCUCUUACUUAGAAAAAUUUUCUAAGGCAUAAAGCAAAAGCUACCCCGGUCCAGUUAUGACCUAUCUCUUACUUAGAAAAAUUUUUCGAAAAAUUUUCCAAGGCAAAAUAGCAAAAGUUACCCCGGUCCAGUUAUGACCUAUCUCUUACUUAGAAAAAUUUUUUAAGGCAUAAAGCAAAAGCUACCCCGGUCCAGUUAUGAUCUAUCUCUUACUUGAAAAAAAAAAUCUAAGGCAAACAAGCAAAAGCUACCCGGGUAGCAAUUCCGUCCGGACUCAUGUCAAGCAAUCACUUCCGGACUAAUGUCAAGCAAUCCCGUGAGGACUAAUGUUAAGCAAUCCCGUCCGGACUCAUGUCAAGCAAUCCCGUCCGGACUCAUGUCAAGCAAUCCCGUCAGGACUCAUGUCAAGCAAUCUCGUCCGAACUCAUUCAUACUCUAUUACUUAGAAACCAUCUAUAGCGACCCGGAUCAGAUGACGACAGCAAAAACCUCCCCUUGUCCGGACCAACCCGGACCAAAGGCAAAAAGCAAAAUCUCACCUCUUGUCCGGAUCAACCCGGACUGGGGGGCAAAAAGCAAAGCUUCACCUCUUGUCCGGAUUAACCUGGAUUGGGGGGCAAAAGAAUACUUAUACCCCUAGUCCAUAUCAACCCAGAUCAGGGUGCAACAGAAACUUACUACUCCUAGUCCAGAUCAGUCCGAAUUAAGGAGCCGUGGCAAAUUUUUACUCCUACUCCAUUCUCGUCCAGAUCGAAGACAAGAUUCGCAUUAUUCCCUACUCCCUCACACAGAAAAUCUGUAUAAGGGAGUGGGGGGCAAAUGAUAGUAUAUAAUCCAACCCGGCCGUAUUCUCAAGGUCCUUGGCCAAGUCUGGUCCAGACUCAGCACAACACCGGGAGGAAUUCGGCCCAGCGGAGAAUAAUCCACCCACUCCAGAACAUGAAUCCGGAUUGGUGAGAAUAGUUCAACCAUGUCCUGACAAGUAUCCCAAUCCGGAUUGNNNNNNNNNNNNNNNNNNNNNNNNNNNNNNNNNNNNNNNNNNNNNNNNNNNNNNNNNNNNNNNNNNNNNNNNNNNNNNNNNNNNNNNNNNNNNNNNNNNNNNNNNNNNNNNNNNNNNNNNNNNNNNNNNNNNNNNNNNNNNNNNNNNNNNNNNNNNNNNNNNNNNNNNNNNNNNNNNNNNNNNNNNNNNNNNNNNNNNNNNNNNNNNNNNNNNNNNNNNNNNNNNNNNNNNNNNNNNNNNNNNNNNNNNNNNNNNNNNNNNNNNNNNNNNNNNNNNNNNNNNNNNNNNNNNNNNNNNNNNNNNNNNNNNNNNNNNNNNNNNNNNNNNNNNNNNNNNNNNNNNNNNNNNNNNNNNNNNNNNNNNNNNNNNNNNNNNNNNNNNNNNNNNNNNNNNNNNNNNNNNNNNNNNNNNNNNNNNNNNNNNNNNNNNNNNNNNNNNNNNNNNNNNNNNNNNNNNNNNNNNNNNNNNNNNNNNNNNNNNNNNNNNNNNNNNNNNNNNNNNNNNNNNNNNNNNNNNNNNNNNNNNNNNNNNNNNNNNNNNNNNNNNNNNNNNNNNNNNNNNNNNNNNNNNNNNNNNNNNNNNNNNNNNNNNNNNNNNNNNNNNNNNNNNNNNNNNNNNNNNNNNNNNNNNNNNNNNNNNNNNNNNNNNNNNNNNNNNNNNNNNNNNNNNNNNNNNNNNNNNNNNNNNNNNNNNNNNNNNNNNNNNNNNNNNNNNNNNNNNNNNNNNNNNNNNNNNNNNNNNNNNNNNNNNNNNNNNNNNNNNNNNNNNNNNNNNNNNNNNNNNNNNNNNNNNNNNNNNNNNNNNNNNNNNNNNNNNNNNNNNNNNNNNNNNNNNNNNNNNNNNNNNNNNNNNNNNNNNNNNNNNNNNNNNNNNNNNNNNNNNNNNNNNNNNNNNNNNNNNNNNNNNNNNNNNNNNNNNNNNNNNNNNNNNNNNNNNNNNNNNNNNNUAUUACAACUACUUGCCUAGAGUAGCAGCAUAGUUUACUUGAAAUAAACAUGCCAGAUUGGAGGUUUCUAUUCAUCAUAGAGGAGGAAUGAUUCCAAAUGUAUUAGAGAUUAAUUUAUCAGAAACAAUCAAGAGUCAAAAGCCUUCAUAUUUGAGAAUAAAACAGGAGUGCCUUUAGCAGAGGCGCAAAAGCAACAUCAGACAGCAAAGAUUUUCCCAUACCUUGACGAAUUCACUCUUUGCUCUAUGUCCACAUGAUGUGUUUUAAAUUUAUCAUUAAAUUUUAAUGAGUAAACUUCAGAGUUGUGUCCAAAGUUUACAUCGAUUUUCAAAACGUUGGCUAGAGUUUCAAAUUCUCAAAAAGAUGGCCAAACUUUGGCUUCGCUUUUUAAAAGUGUGGCUCCCGUUAAAUGUCACUAACGGGAGCCACUAUUUUUGAAAAGCGGACCAAAGUUUGACCUACUUUUCUCAGAAUUUGGAACUCANNNNNNNNNNNNNNNNNNNNNNNNNNNNNNNNNNNNNNNNNNNNNNNNNNNNNNNNNNNNNNNNNNNNNNNNNNNNNNNNNNNNNNNNNNNNNNNNNNNNNNNNNNNNNNNNNNNNNNNNNNNNNNNNNNNNNNNNNNNNNNNNNNNNNNNNNNNNNNNNNNNNNNNNNNNNNNNNNNNNNNNNNNNNNNNNNNNNNNNNNNNNNNNNNNNNNNNNNNNNNNNNNNNNNNNNNNNNNNNNNNNNNNNNNNNNNNNNNNNNNNNNNNNNNNNNNNNNNNNNNNNNNNNNNNNNNNNNNNNNNNNNNNNNNNNNNNNNNNNNNNNNNNNNNNNNNNNNNNNNNNNNNNNNNNNNNNNNNNNNNNNNNNNNNNNNNNNNNNNNNNNNNNNNNNNNNNNNNNNNNNNNNNNNNNNNNNNNNNNNNNNNNNNNNNNNNNNNNNNNNNNNNNNNNNNNNNNNNNNNNNNNNNNNNNNNNNNNNNNNNNNNNNNNNNNNNNNNNNNNNNNNNNNNNNNNNNNNNNNNNNNNNNNNNNNNNNNNNNNNNNNNNNNNNNNNNNNNNNNNNNNNNNNNNNNNNNNNNNNNNNNNNNNNNNNNNNNNNNNNNNNNNNNNNNNNNNNNNNNNNNNNNNNNNNNNNNNNNNNNNNNNNNNNNNNNNNNNNNNNNNNNNNNNNNNNNNNNNNNNNNNNNNNNNNNNNNNNNNNNNNNNNNNNNNNNNNNNNNNUAUAAAUAUAUUAUUAUUUAUAUAUAUAUAUAAUCGGGGUCGGGGAUCGGGGCGGGGAGACACCAAUCCCCGACCCCGCCCCAAUCCCCGAAUUUUUUAUAGAACUUUCCCCGAUCCCCGCCCCGCCCCCGAAAAAUUCCCCGAAUCCCCGACCCGAACGGGGCGGGGAUCGGAUCGGGGUCGAGCGGGGCGGGGUGAAUGCCCAUCCCUACUUUGUGACCACCAGCUUCGUAAGGUUUAGAAAGUAUUUCGACAAUUUCGUUAUACUCCUCAUCCAUGGCUCUAUUGAUUAAACGGAUAAGACUUUUUGAUUUACUUCCUCUACCAUGUUGAUAGGCUGGAUCUUCUUUUAAUAACAGUUCAACCACGUUCACGUGAUUACCCGUUACUGCCAGUUCCAAGACCGUGCAUCCCGAUUCAUCAGUUUUAUUAAAUAAACACUACUAGAAAAAGUGGAUUUAACAUCACUCAUUUAACAUCGGUUGCAAAAGCCACCGAUGUUAAAUACUUUUAUUACAUCAUAAAUAUUAAAAACGAUGUUAAACAGAGUUAACGACAUCGGUUACCAAAAUGACCGUUGUCUAAACUAAAUUUUAAAAACAAAAAAAAACACGCGCUGCUAAUAUCUCUACUUCUUUUAACAAAACAUCUCCCCCGCCUUUAACAUAUUUUCAUUCCCCCCCAAUUUUAACACUGUCUCCUCCCUCUCGACACUCCCUCUCCUCUCUCUCGACACUCCCUCUCUCUCACUCUCGACACUCCCUCUCUCUCACCAUCUACAAUCUCUUUGCUACCAUAUCCCCAAAUAUACCUCUAAUCUUAGAACCCUAACUUAUCUCACCCAAUUCUCAACCACCCAAACCCGAUUCCAAAUUACCCGAACCCUAGGUCAAAUUUUUUUGCUCGAUUCGUACUUUGUAUGCGUGUUGUUGCUGCAGUGGAAGCAUAAAUCAGUCGGUUCUCUCCCAGAUUAGUAAGAUUUAACCUAGUGUUAGUUGAUUCGUACUUUAUAUGCUUGUUUCGUCUUUCAAAUUUUAAUAGCUCUGUGCUAUUUUAACAGAUUGAAUCAAGGAGCUUUGUGUUCUUGCGGAUUUAUUGUAAGUGAGUAGUUUUAUAUAAAUGCAUGUUAGUGUUUGUGUUCCUAUAGCUCUGUGUUCUUGCCAAUGUUAGGUAUUGUCUGCUUUAACAUGUAGUUUACAUUUUAAUUUUUGAAAAAUGUUGGUGUUUGACGGAUUCUUGUAAGUGGGUCAGUAUAAAUAUGAUAUGUAUGAUGUUAGUUUUGCAGUUUGGGUGUUAGAAAAAUGAACUAGUUGUAUGAUAAUGGCUAAUGCUUGAUUUAUCUUUGUUUUAGAAAGUGUUUUUGCUCUGUGUUUGAUGGGUUGUUGUAAGUGGGUCUAAAUAAAUAUGAUAAGUAAUGCUUCAGUUUAUCACGAAGGUGAGCCUGCUUGUUGCAAGGAAUAACAAUGAGCCUGCUUGCUCUUCAAAGUGUGCACACCAAUAUAAAUAUAAGUGUCUAAUGUCUAAUGUUUCACCUCUGUGGUAUGCAGCUUUUGUUUUUUGGUCUAAUGUCUAAAUUUAAUUUAGUUUCAUGUAUGCAUUGAUUUUCUGAUUGCAGUUUAUUGCCUCAUUUUAUGAACACGUGGUUAUGCUUGAAUGUAUACUACUUGUAUUCUCUGAUUUAAAAUGUAGUUUGCAUUUUUAUUUUUUGUUGAUUGUUAAUAUUUGAUAAAUAUUCUUUUGACAGGGCCCGUGAAUCAGGUAUACUAAGCUGCAAAUAUCAAGGUAUGAUUAAACUCCUUUCACUUGUAAUUCAACUGAUAUUUUAAUUUCAAAGAAAUUAAAUGCAUUUGAAAUGUUGUUUUAACAGAUUCAAGCUCCAUUGAAGUUCAUACUUGAAGGCCUCUGCGUUUUCUGCUUGGUACAAGUAGUAAUUCACUAAUUACCUAACUUUUUAUAGAUUUGGUUUAGUAUUUGUCGCUUAAAUGUGUAAUAUUUUCUGCUGUGUAUAGUAUGUGUUGUUGUGUAUGUUUUUUUCUUUUAAAUAGUAAUAGCUCUGUGUUCCUUUAACAUAUUGAUUGUGCACAUGAUUGUGUUAAUUAGCUCUGUUAGUUGCCUUUUUAUGACUAGUCUGUGCACUUGAUUGUGUUAUUCAACCUUGGUGAUAUAUAUAUCUUGUACUUGUGAUUUAUGUAAAAGUAUAUAGGUGUUAUAAUUGUUUAAUCGUUUUGUAAUAUUAUUAGGCUAUUAAUUAGGAAAUUUGUAAUAAAUCUGUUUCUAAUAUGUUAUAUGACAAUCAGGUAGGUUGAUUUACGAAAUAUGGACAAGUCUUGGAUUUCAAAAGAUAGGGAUUCUUUAGAAUAUGAAGUGGGGGUUGAAUCUUUCUUGAUAUUUGCUGAAGAAAAUGCUAAGAAUCGUAAUAAAAUCCCUUGCCCCUGUGCACGUUGUGGGAAUUUUAAGAAGCAUUCUGUUAAAAUAAUUAGAGGUCAUUUAUAUGAAAAAGGAUUUAGUUUGGGGUAUGUUGAUUGGAUAUGGCACGGAGAAAAGUGUCCAACUAGCGAGUCAGCACCAAAGUCUUCUUUUGGUAGUAAUUCAGUCGAAAUUCCUACAUCCGAAAAUGUUGACAUAUGUGAAGCAGCGUAUGAGAGGAGUGAAUAUAUUGAUGAUUCGGGUGAGUUUAGUAGGUUUGUCGCUGAUGCAGAACAACCGUUAUACGAGGGUAGCGACAACAGCAAAUUAGAGUCGAUGUUGAAAUUACAUAAUUGGAAAUCUAGGUUUGGCAUAAGCGAUAGUGCCUUCACCGAUCUUCUUUCUUCUGUAGGGUCUUUACUGCCUAAAGACCAUGUGUUACCCGAGAAUGCGUAUGAAGCAAAAAAAACCCUAACUGAUUUAGGACUUGAGUAUAUUAAGUUUCACGCGUGUCCAAAUGAUUGUAUACUGUACGCGUGUUCAUUACUUUUGUUUCAUGAGUUUGGUGAUCAUGCCAAAAUAGUUGGUUUGAAAUUAUGUCACGGCAAUUGUGGACUCUCGGGAGAAUCGAUGACUGCAUCUUUGAUGCACUGCUAGUACUAGUCCAUCUGAGAAUUCUUAAUUGGAUAGUUGUAAAUAGCCCCAGGGCUAUGGAACAAAGGAUUAUCCCGGACCUACGCCGAGGUAUUGUAUUGACGGUGAUUUUCAAAUCUCGCAGAACAGGAUGUGAUACGAUGAGAUAGAAUGCAAUAGAAACAUAUGGAUUACCAAAUUCGUAAUCCAUAUGUUUUGAAAGCGAGCCCUUUUCUUUUAUUCUUAAUUCUUUAAUUCAGAAUGAAUCAAAUCUCCCCAGGUAGGAUUCGAACCUACGACCAGUCAGUUAACAGCCGACCGCUCUACCACUGAGCUACUGAGGAAUAACGAGAGAUUCGAUCUCAUAGAGUUCAUUCUCGUUCUCAACCCAUGACCAAUAUGAGCUCGAAGCUUCUUUCGUAACUUUAUAAAAAGAUGUUGUUAAUUCCCCUAUAAAACAUCAUUUUUCAUACAAAAACGUUGUAAAUAAAUAUCUUUUAAAUCAGUAGAGGAAACAAAACCGAUGUAACUUUCAUACGAACUUAACAGGGCGAUGUAAAUUACACUCAAUCAAAUCGGAACUAUUUUAGAAACCGAUGUUAUAAACUACUUUUACAUCACCCCUUUCACAGAUACGAUGUAACACAUCUCAUUUACAUCACCUCCUUUUACAGACACGAUGUAAUAAACCACAAUUAAAUCAGGUCAGGGAAGAAACCGAUGUACUAUAGCUCAUUUACAUCACUUCUUACACGAACACGAUGUAAGUAAUAUAUUUCACAUCAUUUAUUUAUCAAUAUUCGAUGUCUUUAUCUUCAUAAGUCCUACAUGGAAUGUGUUUAACAUGUUCUACUACUCAAACUAUAUAGAAUUCCUAAAAGAAAUGAUGCAAUAACUGUAAAAAAGCAAUUUAAAUACAUCGUUUUUCUAAAAAAAAUUAAUGUCUGAGAGAAUAUAAGACAUCGGUUUAAAACCGAUGUCUAAACUGCGGACCUUUUACAUCGGCGGCAUAUACAUCGCUCUGUUUUUUCUCAGACAUCGGUUUUUAGCCGAUGUCUAUUAGCUUUUUUCUAGUAGUGAAAGCUUCAAAACUUAGAUGUGGUUCAUCCUGCCGAGUACUCCAACGUUUGGCUACAUUGAUGAUCAUGCUGAUCAUAUCUUCAUGUUUUUCCUUGGCUGCAAAUCAAGUGCAAAUAUUAAUUGUACACUAUUACUUAUUUUUUUCUCUUUACUAGAUUUACAUUAAAAAAAUUUAUACUUUAAUCUUUUGGAGCUUAUUGCUCAUGAGUCCAUUUUAUAAUUUCUAUACGAAAUUCUCUGAAUUUAAGAUGUUUAAUAAAUUGAACUUUUUUGUGUGAAGAUGGACUCGGUCUAUUAUAUUUUGACAACAGCGCAGUAGCUCCUCUGAGGAAUUAAGACAUUUGUCAGGAGAAAUGUUGAAUUAGCAUAAAGAUUGGAUGAAGAAAGGCCCUGAUUAACAUACACCUAGGUUAAUUUUUGGUAUAUCUUCUAUGAGAACUAAAAUUAGAUGAAGCAAGGCCGGUUGAAACUGAUAUACAGAUGUAUACCCCUCCAGCCCUCCUCGAAUUUUGCCCAACAAAAGUGAAGAAGAUUAAAGAAAGAUUCUAGACAUCCUAAUAUCAGCUAAGAAAUGUUAAACAGUAUUGUAACUGCUAAUAACUGUUAAUAAUUGUGUGUGCUGAGUCAUGAACUAUGAAUACCUUUGUGGACAUUCUUAAGAGCAGCAUGUAAAGCAGCAUGUAAAGCAGUACUACCCCGAGGACCGUCCAAAGAUGGGGCCGUGCAGGUUGUACAUUGGCGUUUUACCCACUAGGUUUUGAAAAUGUGCAUCACUUGGAUCGGCCUCUACUAAUAGCUUAACGACAGAAGCAUGACCCAUCUCAGCCGCUAAAUGUAAGGCAGUGUUCAGCCAUUCAUCAGCAUGCCUAAGGAAUGCUUGAAAAGAAGUAAAUGGAUUACCAUUAGCAGAUGAAGAAUGCUGCAGAUGUCUAGCUGCAUCAAUGAGGACCUCAGCCACUUGGGUGCGUCCAUAAUACGCAGCCCAUGUAAGAGCAGUCUUUUGUUGAUUUUCCAGCUCCACCAAAAGGUUUUUGUGUGCAAACUGCUUCAAAAUGAAUCGCACACGAUCCGCAUUUCCAUUUAUGGAUUCAAUGUGAAGGAUUGUUCUUUGAUCUUUGUUCAGUUUAUCAGCUUUUAACUCUAAUCUAGCAAUCGCAUCAGCAUCUCCGGCAAUGGCAGCAUCAUACAAAGUAUUCAGAUCCAUAACUGUAUUCAGAUCCUAGUCAUUCAUCACAAAAUAGAGCUGACUUAAAAUUUUAUGACCUAUGUAAAUACCUAUACAAAUAAAUAUUAAUAAAAUUCAUAUGUUUUGGUGAGAUAGAUUCAAGAAAAUCCGUUUCACACAGCACUCUUUACUGAAGAAUCACAUGCCACACAUGUCCAGGGAGUGGAUGUCAGAAUAAAGACAUGCAUUUGUAUGAAACAAAACAAAAACACUUAAACUAAUGCCACCACCAUCUCUAACAGCCCUAUAGUUUAUACUUUAACCACACCAGCCUCGUUGAAUUUACUUAUAUCUUUAAUGAUAUGAAUAAUCCUUAUUACACUGCUCCACACCACUAAACAAGUCGGAAAUUCAUCUUUGACAAUUGUAUCUUGUCGCUCACUUCAUGCCCCAGCUAUAGUAUAAAUUUUCUCAACAUGAUUUCUUCUCGGCUAUUAUACAAAUUAAUGGGGCGGUUUGGUUUAAUUUAAAGAAUGCAUGUGAGGUUAUUUACAAGUGAAAGUUAUAUUUAAUUUAUAUGUUUGGAUAAUUUUUGUUUGUAUUUACAACUUAUUGGUUUUAGAAAUCAUUAUUAAUAAUAAAUUAUUAUAAAUUAUCUUUAAAAUGGUCUUUUCCAUUUUUGUGAAAUCAAAUUUCAAAAACAAAAAUAAGUCACUAAAAAAUUAGCAUAUUCUGCUUUUUAGGUUCAUGCUUAUAAAUCGAAAAUUGAUUUAUAAAUUAUUUAUACAAGCAGCACGAAUCUGAUUUAUAAGUACAGAAGUUGCCCUUUUAAGUCAAGCAACAAUAUUUGCUCAUAAAAAAUAUGUGAUCAACUAAUGUAUUUUUGGUGCGUUUUUAGUGAAAUAUUAAAUUGUGCUUGGAUAAAACCAACUGAACCACCAAUUGAGUUUACAGUGAUAAAUUCGCAUUUGCAACAUGAAAGAAUCGAAUUGAAAUCAACAAUCCAAGACUGUGAACACAGAACACAAAUCCAAAAAAAAAGCUCUGUAUUGUGUGAUUCCUAAUGUAAUCUCUGUUUUGUGUUCAAGUUACAAAAAAAAAAAGACUAUCUAGCAACUAAAGAAAUCUAGCCUGGCCUUCCCUUAUAGUUUCAUUCUCCGGAAUUUUGAAACAUCCAAAUUCAUCCAUCAACUGGCCAAGUUUAACUUUCCAUAGUAGCUUUGAUUCUUCAUGAUAUCUUUUUAGAACUUUCCACAUUUUCUGGGCAUAUGUGCAUGAAGAUACUUUAUCACUUUCUCAAGUAGAGAGGCCUGUCAUGAUGGUGUUCAUAGUCUGAUUGUUGUAACUUAGAUUGAGCAAUUCAUCAACAGUGAGAUCAUCAACAUCUUUUGGCUUGCCAUCAUCAGUGAGGAAAGUACAAGGACCUUUAGAUACCAGGUUUAACUUUUCAUAGUGGCUUCGAUUCUUCAUGAUAUCUUUUAAGAAUUUUUCACAAUUUCUAGGCAUAUGUGCAUGAAGAUACUUUAUCACUUUCUGAAGUAGAGAGGCAUGUCAUGAUGAUGUUCAUAGUCCGAUUGUUGUAACUUAGCUUGAGCAAUUCAUUAAUAGUGAUAUCAUCAACAUCUUUUGGCUUGCCAACAUUAGUGAGGAAAGUAUAAGAACUUUUAAUUACCACUCUUCAUUCAUUUGGCUCUUUGGACAGUUGCAUCUUCAUUCUACCCUUCCACUAAAAUUUUCAGCCAUUAUGAUUGAUACUUUUCUUGUUACAGUAUUGAUAUAUACCAAAGCUCUAUACCAAAUAAAAUCACACCUAAAGGGGAUGAAUAGGUGUAUAAUGACUUAAUAUAACAAUUUUUAACUUUCACCAAACAUGAUAGCUUACUGUUUUCAGUUUAGCGGUAAAUAUGUCAAACUAUUAUGCAUACAAUAACUAAAACAGUAAGGUGCGAAAAUAUAAAUCAGGAGCAACCAAUUUUAGCCAACUUCGACCCCUAUUUCUAAUGAUCUACGUCCUGGUCCCUCACCAACUUGGUAAGAGAAUAUAUUAAUACUGAAAAUUCAAACAAUUUCAGAAUAAUAAUAUAUCUCCCUUUCUCCUAUUCACUGAAAGCAGCUUGCUGUUUUUCUGAGCAGAAUGUAAAUAGCUCGACACUAACUUCCUCUAUGCAACCCGUUCCUGAACCUUUGAAUUCCUUAAUCUCCACCACUUGAAUUCUUAUGUUCCUUGCACACUAUGCACCUCAGAACUGGUGUGACUAUCUUAUCUAGCUCCCUUGUUCUUAUCUAAGAACCUCGCUAACUUUAGUGACUAUGAAUUUCAAAUUUUUAUUGCAUGAAAUAGAAAUUGUUUACAACUCAAACUAAAUUCUCUGUACAAAUAUGAAGAUAGUAUGCAAUCAAGCUCAGUAGAGAAAGUACAAAUUUUCAAGAUUGUGAGUUGUAUUUUUCUUGAAAAAUAUCAGUCGUUUAUGUAUGAAAGAAUACAACGGCUCUAUUGAUAAUAAACUCCAUGAACGUUGUUCAUAACGUUUAACUCAACGUUUAGAAACUAUACAAAUAGGAGGCUAUGUAUAAAAAUUCGUUUGAUAUGUUUGCUUCUAUAUUUAUGAGGUAAGACAUGCUGUUGCUUAAAAGACUUUUAAAUCAAAUAGAGUUAGUCUUUUCUUUAUGUUUAGGAAAAUGAUUUACUGAUUAAACUUGAGCUUGACUAUAUAUUACUAUAAUCAUAUAUGAAUCAGAGAAUGUACAACUAAAAAUCCUAACCCAUUUAGAAGUCGAAUAUAUAUCAACUGUGUAGAAUUAUGCUUCUGGUAGAAAUUUUUCUUAGCUUGUUAUUGAAUAUCAUCUUGUUAUUAUUCUAGCACUUUAACUACGUGCAAAACUGGAUUUUAUCUUAGAAGACAACAGGCUAUUAUUGACAGUUAUACAAUUAUAUUAAGCUAAAAUAUAAAAAAUAGCUAGCAAAAGUGUGAUCAUCAAAACUUGGGAAUUACAGUUUAUAUGAUAAUUGAUCAGUAACAACAUCUUCAAAAUACAACAUGUCCCAGGUAUAAAAUCAUUAUUAUUUUUGCCAUUAUAUCAAGUCCUUCAUGUUUUAGUAGUUCGGGAAUAAAACAAUCAUACGAGAUGAGGAGAUGGAGAGGAGUAUUGCCCCUAAUAUCUUGCUUUUCCAAAAUUUUGCCCUUGUAAAUUUUCAGACAAUUUUUCAAAAUAUUUUGUACCAUCUCUUUUCUGCUAGUAAUAGCAGCCGCCAAAUGUAGUAUAUUUUGACCAUCAUCAUUAACAACUGUGUAUGGGGAAUGCGCAGCAUUGGAUACAGGAGAGGAAGUUGGCCAUAAUUCCUUGAGUCGUACCAACAUAGAAGUAUAUUUAUGUUUUACUGCUACAUAAAAUGACAUUGAUACCAUAAUUCUGUGCACAAAUGAGUGUCCAACAUCUUUUUACGCUUCUAUAAUGACACCGAGUAUUGAAUCAAAUUUGUGAUAUAGUGCAUAGUGAAGUGGUGUCCACCUAUUAUCUUCCUUACAAGUUAGAAGGUAUUUGGCAUCUUUCAAGAGACGUAAUAGAGAACGUGAAGAAAGUAAAGAAGUCAACUCAAAUACACUUAAUCACACAAGUGUGUCAAUUAUACUUGUAGUAAUUGAAAUCCCGACUAUAAAGAUAAAUACUUGAAGUAGCAUAAUAUUUAGCACACGGUGUUUUGAAAAUAAUUUUCUUCACAUAUCUACUACAUACCUUCAUCAAGCUUUUGAAUAGCAAAAAUCAAUGCAAGCACAUCUUGAUGAUUAGGUUCAAUUCCAGCUUGCUACAAGCUUUAAAGAGUAACUUGAUAAUGUCAUUACUAUACUCGUUAUCGAUGGCUUUGUUGAUUAAGCACAUGAGACCAUUUCUUUUAAUUCCAGGACCAGGUUGAAAGGCUGGAUCUUCAUGUAGUAUCAGUUUAACAGCCUCCACAAAAUUUUUUCUCCACUGUUAGUCUGCAAGUUGUAAGACAGUGCUUCUAUUCUCGUCUAUUACACUAAAUAAUGCUUUAAAUUUUAUAAAUGAUGGGUCUUCUGCACUCCUCCAACAUUUGGCUGAUUCAAACAUCAUCCUAAUCAUGUCGCUAGCUCCUUCUGUCACCAUAAAAAUGUUAUCUAUAUAAUACACGUAUUAUUUGUAUGUACCUUAUCAGUUACUAAAUCUAUUAGUAUGUUAUUUGUGCAUGUAAAUGAUGUCAUUAAAAUCUGAUAAGUAAAAGCCAUACAAAAGAAGAUAAAUUAUUCGUACUAAAACCUGUGAUUGUAAUUUAUAAUAUAAAUAAGAUAAAAUUUUAACUUGUCAACUUUAAAUCUACACAAACCUACUCAUGCUCUCUGUAUAAAACUCAUAUGUUUACAAGAAAGGUUUAGUAAUGAUAACAUAUCUUUAACACAUCAAAUGCAUCCCUGAAAUCACAUUUUGGUCUAUAACCUCCGAUACUUUAAGGAUGAAAAAAAAUAAUUCAUACAUCUAUACUACAAAUGUUGGGCCGUAAUAUGAAUUAGAGCAUGGAAAGUAGUCGUCCUGUAACCACCAUCCAAAGAUAGAGCUUUGCAAUUCAUACAGAUCUUCUUUACUAUAUCAUUGUACCCAUUUUCAGCAGCCAUGUAGAUUGGAGUUUUGUCUUCAUUGUUUUGAACAUGGCUAUCAUUUGGAUCGGCCUUUACUAAGAGCUUAACUAUUGCCACGUAUCAUUAAGAACUGCUAGUGCUAAGUGCAAGGCAGUGUUCUUCGUUUGAUCAGUAGCUUUUUGUUUCUACCAAUUUGUUCAGUGUAUCUCCUGUCAUCUUCAAUGCAGCUUUAGAAACAGCAUGUCGGGCAAUGGCAUUUGCAAAACAAUUGGCAAUGGCAUCAGUAUCUUCUUUCAUUCGUGCAUACUUUUCAUGCAUCUUCAGGUUUGCUUGUUUAUUAAAAAUCACAUAUUUUCUCAUUCAUUUGCUGGCGAGGACUGAAUUUGAAAAACUAUCAUUUGACCGAUCAAUUUGGAUACCAUCAAGAGCAAUUUCGAUUUGUACUUGAACUUUAAGCAAAGAAAAUAAUUUAAUAAUAAACUUAAUUGUCAUACACAUCUGAUAUCUAAAUUUAAAAUAUAUAUAAAAAUAUAUAUAUAAAAAUAUAAAAAUAUAUAUAUAAAAAUGAGUCGAUCACUAUUUAAGGAAAUAUCGCAUAAUACAAAUUCCUUAUGUUACAACCAAAAUCAUUAAAACAUUAAAUGCAGACAAUUAAAAACCGAAAAUUAAAUACAAUUAUACAAAACUGAAAUCAUAAAUUAUGCCAUAAUUUUAGUCAAAAAUUUUACAGCCGCAAACCACCAUCGCAAACCACCGUGAGACCACCAUCAUCUCGAAAAUACAACAUGUUAACACUAAAUCAAAACCUAUUACUGGUUGUGGUUGCAUAGAAUUUAAUCUUAUGCAAGCAAUAUCAAAAUGCAUAAGAUCUAUAAUAUGAAUAACAAUAUUAAGAUUAGAUGCACAUAUCUAAAUUAUCAACAGAUCACAUAAACAAGUAAGAUUGUGAAUUGGAAAGAGUACACCUUGACUUUGUGGAGUAUGUUCACAUAAAAUGAGUCAUUUUCAAAUAUGAUCCGUCCUUUGAAGAUAUCCUUCAAAGAUUAUCUUAUGGAGAUAGCGGGGGAUGGAGGAGGGAGGCAUCCUUCACUAUUUCUAACCGCGAUUUAGCUUUCUGCAUUUCUAGUUGACCCUUUUCUUCAAAUAUCCUCAAGGUUGAUCAACACCAUUUUAGUGUAUAAUCUGCCAUUUCUAAUAAUUUUUGUUUUAGUCUAGUUUAGUAACUUGAGGGCAUGUGAAAUUUGGUCUAGUUUAAUAUUAAUAAUUUUGGAUAAUAUGGUGAUAUGGGGCAUGUAAAUAAGUAUUAAUAUUUAAAUUUGAGAAGAUAAUUAUAAUUUACUGUCAUUUUUAAAAUAUUGGAUUCGUGUCUGGGUGGGAAACUGUGAAAAAAAAAUAAUUGGUUCUUAAAUAUUAUAUUACAGUUGAAAAAAGUAACUUAAUUGGUUAUUAGCAGUAAUUAAUUAUUAUCUCUUAAUUUUUAUGCAUACUUACUCUUGAUCUUUUAGUUAAACAAAAGUAGGAAAAGUUGCAUAAUUGAUUCGAAUCGAAAAGAUAAUUGAUUCAAAAGUGACGAGAAUUGAAGUGAUCAGCUAUGGCCAGUUCCGAUCCCGAAAAGCUCAUCUCUAAAGCUGAUAAACUGCUAUUCGAGAUAGCUCUAUCUCUGUUCUUGCUUGUGUUUUGAUCGUUGCUCUUGGUCCUAUUCAAUUCGGCUUCAGCUUUUUGUUGACAUAAAUUGGCUUGCUUCUGAGAGUUUGGUGGUGAAGAGAAAAUGGGAAUAUGCAUGGGGAAAUCUGCAAAAUGUGCUCAUGCUUCUUCUAAUCAGUUCAUGGGUAUGUCUCUUCUUGAUUUUUGAUAUUUCUUACAUGAACAAUAUGAUAUGGUAUGCCCUUCUAUUACAAUUAUUUACAAUAUUCUUUCUUUUUCUCAUGAUUUUGAGUGGAAUUGCGAAAGGUGUUAAUUUUAAUCUUGUUUGUUUGUGUGUAUUUGUUUGUUUGUUUAAUCCAUGUGUUUUGUUUGGUUUUUGGCAAUUUUUCGUGUUACAUGUGAUACGCUUCGUUGUUCGCUUCGCAUACGACGAGGCAACUUGAUCGAUAGCAUAGCGGUGGUGGCUGAUGGUGGCGGUGACGGCGGCUUUAGGACGGGAUCCGGUUUCAGAAAGGAAAGUGCGCUAUAUGUGCCUUAAUUGAGGGCGGUAAUUGUGCCUAGUUAAUUAUGCCUCUUUAUUGAGGGCGUAAAUUGUGCCUCAAUUAUUGAUGGCGUAAAUUGUGUCUAUUUAUUGAGGGCGUUAAUUGGGCCUUAUUUGAGGGCGUUAAUUGUGUCUUAAUUAAGGAUAUUAAUAUUUUAUUAUUAUGCCUUAAUUAAGAGCUUAAUUGUCUCAAUCAUGAGUUAUCAUGAUUGUGGGAAUAUUUUGAUAUAAUCUGUUAAAUAUAUCGACUUAUAUUCUUUUUGUUUCUCUUGUUUUAUUUUCAGGAUUCUUGGAAGAAGGCCGGUUUUCUUUUCGGACAUUAAAGUUUUAUUGUCUAAAUUUCCCCGGUCAUCUUGCAUGUCCGACGGUUAGAUAAUAAGCUUUCUUGAAUGAAAGAAUUAUCACGGUGAAUUGCCGAUUCUCGUUGAGAUUUAUUCUCAUUUUCAAAAAAAAAAAAAAAUUGUCAUACACAUCGGAGAAUUGGACUCAUAUAUCUGACAAGAAUUGAAGAUGAUGAGAAAUUAAAUUCAUGCCUAACCGAUCACAUCUAUAUUUACACGGAGAAUAUGCAUGAACAUCUAUAUAUACAAACUGGACUUGCUCACUGAAAGACAUUUCGAUCCAUUUUCAGAAAAUAAGAUUUGUUUCAUUUCCUACAUUAGAGCUAAAAGCCUAAAACAACAUAUUGUUACUCUCUAUCGUGUAAUGUUAGUGGAUGUCGUUAACAAUUAGAUGAAAACAUAAGAUAAUAGACUGAUUGAACCAAAGGUUUUUCACUAGCAAAACCUAAACAAAAUAAAUCGAUGACAGUCGAUGAUAAGUUAACAUAUGGCAACAGCUGUAUUGGGUAAAGGUAGUCUCUAUAUCUACAAAUGCAAUUCCAGUUGAAUUUCUUGUUUUACAGACAAAUAUAUCACUAAUCAAGCUACAGCUGGUGAUUUCGUACAAUAUGAAAACAAAGCAAUAAACUAUAAUGCAUAACGAUAGAUGAAUACAGUAAAAAAAUCAAACAAACAUUAAUAGAAAGCACAAUAAUGGAAACUAUUUUCUUGAAAUAUACAAAAUUUGAGCAUAAUUUGCAAAUAAUUAUAUACUCAUGUAUAAAUUUAUAGGGAAGAGUACUAGUACAAUAACUACUAGCUAGAAUAUGAAAGAGAAGAGUUUGAGCUGUAUAACAUUUUACGAGUUGCCCUUACGUAGCUACUAGCUAGAAGGAGGGUACUAGACUGAGUCGAUUAUAUUUAAUUGUACACCUUUUUUAAUCUCGUAUUCUCUUAAAUAAUUGAAUGCAGUUAUUAGUUAAUAUAAGAAUCUAGAAAAAAAAGGUUUCACUGUGAGGUAAAGCUGCACUGGACUUAUCUGAUUGACAAACUCAUUAAUUUGGCUAACCUGAACUUAAUGCUACUCUCUUGAUGGUUAACAAAAGUACAAAACUAGAGACUUUACUGUCUUAGGGUCUGUUUGGGAGUGUUGUUAAAAAGUGCUGAUAAAAAAAGUGCUGUUGUGGAAAUCAGAUAACCGUUUGGUAAUUUUUUAUGAUAAUUAUUUAUUUUGAGUUAUAAUAUAAAAAAAAAUAAUGUUUUUGGUGAGGUUUGAUAGUGAAAUUAUAAAAGCUUCUUGCAAAAGCUGAAAAGCAGCUUUUCCAAAAGUAUGGGAGAACCUGCUUUUUCCAAAAGCAACUUUUGAGCUAAAAGCUACUGUUCGGAAAAACUGCUUUUAACUUUACCAAACAGUUUUUUACCUGUUUUUCAGCAAAAAGCUGCUGUUGCUGUCUACAACAGCAACCCCAAACAGUACCUUAGUCGGUUUACUCUUUGAAAUUGCUCAAUUCAGGAUGAGGAACUCGACUGCAGGCUCACAUUAUUUCUUGGAUUGGAUUUUUUACAACUCUGCAUGUCUAUACUUGCUAUGCAUAUCUUUUACAGCGAUGGUUAGAAAUAAUUAUACAAUUUAAAACCACUUUAGCUACAGACAUUGCAGUUCCGAGAACUAGUUUCAAGUACGGAGCAGUAAGAAAAAUUGGGAAAACUAAGACCAGUGAAUGCAAUGACUAAGUCACGUAGGGGCAGUUGGUGGGUUACACAUUUGGAAUGAGAUUCAAAUAAGCAGCACAAAUGACAAAAUAGUUGACUAGUGUUCGUAUUAAAUUUAAUGGUAUCUUCCAUUUUUUGAACAUGAAAUUGAAUCAGCUAUACAGAACUUCUCUAAAAUUUUAUUUAACUAGUGUUCGCAUUAAAUUGAAUGAUAUCUCGCAUUUGUCUUAUCCGCAUAUAAAUAGAAUGCUCUUAUGCGAAAAUAGUUGAUGUUAUCCGGUCUUCCUAAACUGUCAUUUGUCAGCGACUUUUAGUUUUUUAACAGAAACAGCUAUUUUCCGUGCAUAUUUUAAGUUCAUGAAUCAAGAUUAUUUCAUCAUUACAAGUCUGUCCUACAAGUUCACCUGUCUUUGUACAUCCAUCAACGACUAGUGAUGGUGAAUUUCUUAAUCCAGCAACUGUCAUCAUCUAGUCAUUAUCCAAAUGCUGAUGUCUUUUUUUGACGAAAAAUGCUGAUGUCUUGAUACUCUUGAUUUGCAGUAAAGGCGACGAAUUCUAAUAUGUCACCGCUGUUGGAAGAAAGUUUAUGGUCAUUAAAUAUCACCACCAGGCAAUGAACCUGUGCCAAAAUUUUCACUCUAUACAUCAAAGGAACACAAAGUGAAAGUACAUAUCGUCUCUUACUACACCCAAUAAUAAAACAAUGCUCCCUAGCAAUAAUAAUGACAAAAUAUAAACAGGGUGUUCACAGCUGCUAGUCUACUACAUCAUCCUGCUAGAUAGCAUCGGUCCUUUUACAAUACAUCAUAACUUGAACUACAUAAAUAUAUAAAAUAACAGAUAGCGACAGACAUACUCAAUCUCUAUUCUUCUUUGCUCGACGAGAACGUACAAACUUCAUCAGGUGAACAAUGACAAAAAUAAAGAAGAGUGAACCAAUGACGCAAACUGUAAUGGCGAGGGCCGGUGAUUGGGAUAAUACCACAUAUGUUCCUGUGAUAAAUAUUAACAUCAUCAACAUGACAGAAACUAUGUUGAGUCCAGUUGUUGUUGCAUGGAGGCUGAACACUUGGUCGGGAUCGUCAUAGAUAGAUUCAAGGAAGUAGAUGAACAUAGAACAUGAAGACAGUAGCAAAGCUAUAACAUCUAAUACCAUAAACGUGUUAAAAGCUGCCUUUUUUGAAAGAACAGCCGAUCCUUCAUCAACUUCUCCACUUUGAUGGAGACCUCCCGGCAUAGUAAAUCCUACUGUAAAAGUUAUAGUAGUUAUGAGUGCGCUAACUACUAUCUGGCUGUUGUUCCCCUCCCUAUAUCUUUGUAGUUCUUUUUUCUUCUGUUUCUCCUUUGCAUCAUUCAGCGAGAUUUUACAUUCAUUAAACAGAACAUCUUUUCUCUGUCGUCUGCUUGGAAGCACUAAACUUUCACUUUUAUUUGGGAGCCUUAAACUAGUACUUCUGAUUGGGAGUACUGAACGUUCAGAAACAUUCUGCUUUUUCUUGAAAAGCAUUCCAAAAAUAUUCUUCUUCAUGCUUUUAAGCAUUGAGUUUGGUUUUUUCUUGAAAAGACUUCCAAAAACAUUCUUCUCCAUGCUUUUAAGAAAAGAAUUUCCAUACCACUGAUCUGUCUCCAUAUUUUCAAGGGCAACUUUUAUUUGUACCUAUCAAAAAUGGACGUUAACAAGUAGUUAAUAUAUUUAUGUAAAUUUGUAAAUUAAAUACUAUGAUUAAUUUUUCAUAUUUUGUUGAGGUUCGAGCAUUACCUAAAAUUAGGUAUUAUAAACUUAAAUCCAAAUUUCAAAUAGAAUUGAAACUUUUAUAAUAAUAUUCAUGUCUUCCACUAGGUAGGAAAUAGCUUUUGACGACCAGAAAAAGUGUUACAUUAAAUCCAAACGGCAUAGUUAACCGCAAUGGAAGGUAGAUGCAUACCUCUUAUUGUUUUAAAAAGUAUGAAUUUUAUAGGAUUAAUAAUAAAAUUUAGUUAGCUAAAGAAGACUAGGAAUAGGAAAUACUCAACAAGAGAAUCUAUAUACUUUACACCCCAAAUAUACACCUUAUUAACAAUAAACAAUAUUCUUAAAAUGAAACUCGUGACACCAGUACUAAAAAUACCAAAUGCUGCCCAUCAUAAUAUUUAUUUAUUUAUUUAUCAUAUUAAUACAAUUAUAAUAUCUUCUACGACGUUAAGAAUUUCAUACAUUUUUUUAAUUAUUUGAUUAGACCGUGCCUUACACUGAUGACUUAUAAUAUUUGUUAUUUUAUCAUAUACUAGCCUUAAACCCGUGCGGAACACGGGCAACUAUAUAAUUUUAAAUUUAUUAUUUAUAAUCUAAAUUUCAACAUUAUUUCAUUAGUGUUUUAGUAUUGAUGAAUUGGAAUUUCAUAAAAUUAUAUUAACCGACUGAUUAUGUUUUGCCUUGAAACUUUAGCAUUUACAGUAUUUUUUUAUAUUAUAAAUCAUUAGUAUUAACAAUAAAUAUUUCUUUUAUCUAUCUGUGAAUGUUUUUCUAAUAAUAAUAUGUGUAUUUUGAUUAAUUUUAAAUCAUAUUUUUUUAUAUUUUAUAUAUCUUCAUUUCUAAGGAAAAAGUUUGUCUUAGAGUAAACGUUAUAAUCAAAAAAGAGUUGCAUGAUAGUUCGGGUUUGUAUUGACAUAGAACACGUUAUAGUUAUAGUUAAGAAGAGUUAUAUGAUGGUUCAUGUUUGUUUUCAAGUAAAACACUUUAUAAUUAAGAAGAGACAUGAUUGUUUAUAUAUUUUUUUACAAGAUAUUCCAAAUUUUAUAUUUAUAAUUUUAUUUUUAACUUCGUUAGAUUCUUUUUUAUAUGUGAAGUUAUAUGAUAAUGUAUGAAAAUUGGAUUAAAUAUUAUUGACAAAUUGAUUAUGUUUUCUUUUAGAGAUUAAGUUUUUAAAAUAUUUAUUUAUAUUUAUAUUUAUAUAUUAUUAAUGGUUAUUAGAAAUAAUAUAUAUUUUUAUCUAAAAUAAGUAUUUUUUAAUAUUAAUAUAUGUUAUUGAUAGUAGUUUUACUUUUUGUUAGGUUUCAACUAAUUAUAAAUUAUAUUUUUUAUAUUUUAUUUUUUUUCAUUUAUAAACAAAGCAUAUUAUUUAUCUCGUAUCAGAUACAUUGAUAACUUCGUAUUUGUUUUCGGAGUAGAAGACAUUGGAGUUAGGAAGAUUCACGCUUAAUUAUAUAAUUUUUUAAUUUAAUUUCUAGUUUGUCUUUAUAGGUUAUACAUCUAUAUAUAAGUAUUUUUAACAUUAAUAUAUGUUAUUCAUAGUAUUUUUACUUCUUCUUUUAAUUUUUAAACCAACUAUAAAUUAUAUUUAAAAAAAUAAUGAUGGAGUUUUUUUCUUAUAGUACGUUAAAGUAUUUUUAAUCUUUAAAAUUGUUUGAAACUUUCUAACGAUGUAAAAGUAAGAAACUUCAUGUGUUGUAGACUUAUGGUUAUAAAGAGAAGUUUUUUAAUGUUGAUCUUUUUAAGUAAGCGUAAUUUAGGUAUGACCAAACUAAAAAAACAUAACUAAAAUUUUGUAUUAUAAAUUAUAUCCAUGUUGACAUAUUAUUGUAUAGUAUAGAUAGUAUAGAUAGAUAUGUGCGCGCGUGUGUAUAUGUAUUCAAUACAUAAUUUUAUUGUGAGAUAAAAUUAUAUUAGAAUGAUAUGUGUUUUGUAACUAAUAGCUUUUUAAAUAAUUAAGAAACGUGUUUUGGUUAAUAGAGUUUUAUUGGGUGUUUUAAACAAAUUUCUUAUUUAACAUCUUGAAUAAGUUCUUAAUAGUAUAACCCGUCAAAAAGCUAAUUAAAAAGUGGCCCGAAGAGAUGUUUCGAUAAGAAUGUUUAAAUGUAUUUUAAUUAUUAAAAAAAUUAUCAAAAUUUGUGAUAAGUUAAUGAGGCCUGUAUGCCCAAAUACCGACCGACCUACCUACCAAACUUUUAACAUUCUUGCUUAAAAAUAGAUAUCAUAAGUUAUUUAUUUAUAAUAUUAUUAGAUCUAUAAAAUCUUUUGUUACAAAGUCCUCUAAGAGCGCCUAAAAGCGCUACAUGUCAUACAACUACCUCUCAUACCAAAAUCACUCCAAAUAUUAUACAUUAUUAAUUAAUUGUCACUAUCAAAAUUUAGAUAUCUAUAUUUAUUUAUAUUUAUAAUAUUAGCGCAAAUAUUACAUUAUCUAUUACAAGUCCUUUAAAGAACUAUAAACUGGUUGUUAUAAAUUAUUAUUAAUUUUAUUUAUUUAUUUAUAAUAUUAAUAUAAGUAUUAUAUCUUCUACUAAAAGUCCUUUAACAACUCCCGUACAUCUUCGGUUAUAAUUCCUCCAUAAUCCCGAAAGGGAUGAGUAUGACAAUAGCAAUAGCAAAACCAAUAAUUAAUGUACUAUGUACUAAUAAGAAAAACAAGUCUAAAGUCAACUUUAAAAAGUUACCUAAAGUCGUAUGUAUUUUGUAUAUAAAAGUUAAAUGACAUUUUUAUAAUAAUGGAACCUAGUCUGCUGUAUUUAUAUAAAUUUUCUUAAUUUUAUAUUGAAAUAUAUCUUAAUUUUAGAUAAUUAUAUAAAGAUGACUAUAAGGCCAUCAAACCUGAUAUAAUAACUGAUAUGAUAUUAUAUUUAUUAAACUAUAUCUAAUAUUGGCCAACUCACAAUAAUAGUACUUAACAUUAAUUAAAUAAUAUUUCAUAUUUAGUUAUAACAGUACAAUGAUAUAAUGUAAUAGGGCUUUUUCCAUAACCACCUAACCUCAUAAAUAUGUUUACAAAAAUAUUGUUGUCAACUUUCAAUAUUUUUUAAAAUAUCAUUUUUUAAAAAUUAUUCACAAAAAUACGAUUUACAACCUCUGGAACCUCAUUUGCAACAACAUUUUGCGAGAGUUGCAAAUAGUUACAAAUUUACAACUUCUUUAACAAAUACGACUUGCAACUUCUGCAACCUCGUUCGCAACACCAUCUACAACAGUUGCAAAUGGAAUUUUCAUUUGCAACUUAUGCAACUUCAACUGCAACAGUUGCAAAUGAGGUUGUAGAAGUUCCAAGUCGUAUUUUUGUAAAUAAUUUGGAAAAAAAUGUAUUUAAAAAAAAAACUUGACAGUAUUUUUGUAAAUAAUUUGUAAGAAGUUGGUAUAUUUAUAAAUAUUCCUAGUUUUUUAUAACAUUAAAUAAUCUCUAAAAUUUGAUAACUAAUUGUGUGAAUUAUCGAGUAUAUAAUUAAAUUUGUGUGAUUUUGUAUUUGAGACUUAUAUGCAAUUGAAGUAACUUUUUAAACUUUACGUUUAAAUCAGAAUAUAUAUCUAAGAUAUUUGCUACAUUUGAUCCACUAUGCUACCACUAAUGACUACAAAUUAUAUAAUAAUAACACGAGAUAAGUGGAUAUUGGUACGAUAAAGAACUUUAUCUUUAUUUAUAAUUAUAGAUAUAUAAUUGUUUGAAUAUAAAAUUAUAUAUAGAUGCGUUAUCAUAUACUCCCUCCGCCUGAGUUGUAUAAGCAGGGGGAGCGGCACAUACUUUAAUGCUUCUUUAAAGUAUAUUCUAUAACUUAUUUUUUGAAAUUUUUUUCCUAAAUAAAAGUUUAGCUAUUAAAUUUUUAUUCAGAAAAAGAAAAUUUAAAAAAUAAGUUCGGAACCAUAUUUUAGAGUAGCAUUAAAGUGCGUGCCAAAUACUAUACGUAUAAAAUACAGAGGGAGGGAGUUUAAUAUUAAAACUGAAAAAUGUUAAUGUUAAGUAAUAAAUUUUUUUUUUAAAAUAAUUUAUUUAGGUUCAUGUUUUGCAUGCAUUGAACAACAAUAAUAUAGUAUCAAUACUUUAUCUUUGGAGUUCUAAUACUAAAUUAUAAAAUAUCAAACUUUGGUUAUCACCCUUGUUUCAUUUUUUAUUUUUAUCUUUAUUGUGAAAAAUUAAAAAUCUUUUAAAAGAAUAAAUAACAAUUAUAUUUUACGGUCUUUAGAUAAGUUAAAUAUUUCAUUAAUGAAAGUUCGAAAUUUUGGUUGAUACUUAUUUCUAUAAUAAUUUAAGAUCGUGAAAUAACAAUUAUUUAAUUCAUUUAAAUUGAACUUAUAUGCUUACUCCUAAAAAUUUAGGUUCAUUAAAUUUCAAUAUACAAACCCAUUUAGUUUAUGGUAACUAAGAAAUUAUAUAUUAUAUAUAUAAUAAAGUUCGAUGGAGACCCAUUUUCGUUGGAGCAUCAAACUCCAGUACCGUUGGAUAAAAUCUAAAUCGAUGAUUAUUUCACGAGUACCAACGGAAAAAGUCAAUUUCACGAGUGUAACAUAGAGAAUAUCCAUUAAAAAUUUAAUUAAUGCAUCCUUCUAAAAUAGUUAUAUAUACUAGCUUACACUCGGUGCAAAUGCAGGGAUUAAUUUUAAAUAAAUUACUUUUCAGUAAUUUGUAGUUAAUAUAUUCAUAUCUUUUACUAAUUUGAAAUUAGAAUUUAGUAUAAUUGUAAGGCUUUUACAUUUAUUUAUCCCUCUAAAAUUAAUAUUGUAAAAGCUGAAAUAUAAUAUAUUGUUGGUAAUAUUGAGCCUGUUUGGGUGAGUUUAUGACUGAACGUGACUUAUGAAUUAACGUGACUUAUAUAGUGGGGAGUUUAAAAUGUCUAUCUUGGGUAAUUUUGAGUUAUUAAUGACUUAUGGGUUAUCAAAUAUAUAAUAAUAAAAAUAAAAGUGAUUUAUGGGUAACUUAUGACUUUUUAUCAAAAAAAAAGGUUUUUAAAAGUAACUUCACUGAAAAAAUUACCUCAAACUAACUUUUAACUUUGAGUCAAUUUCUGACUUAUUUCUGAUUUUAGGUCAGUUUCUGACUUAUUACACAAACAGACAUUUUCAGCUUAAAGCCAAAAAUGACUUCAAGCCUGGGCUUUAGGCUUAAAUCCCACAAAAACAGGCUCAUUAUAUCUAACAAUUUACAUAAAUAUGAGUUCAAAAUUUCAAUGUUUAUGAUUAGAAGAGUUAACCGAGUUUAUUUAUCAAUUAGUGUGUAUAUAUUUUAUUAUUUAUUAGAGCAUAAACUUAUUUAAAAAUUUUAAAUACUUAAUCAAUUGAUCGACUCUAAUAUAAUAAUAAAUUAUAUUAAUAUCGAUUAUGGUUACAUAAUUAACUAUUGCUAAAGUUUUAUGUUUUUGUUGAAGUCUGAAUCUUGAUUAAUUAGUGAUUAAUUACAUAACAAGACGGAAGUAGAAAACUUUGGUUGUACUCACAAACUUAUAUUUUGACAUAAUUGUUUACUUAUUAAAAUUAACUCUUAGAAAAAAGAUCUAACUAGAUUAUCUUCAAUAUAUUCUGUUAAAAAAUUAUAUGUCUGGUAUUUUUAUAUUCGUCAUUAAUUUUUUUUAUUCAUCCAAUUCAUAUAAUGAGGAAAAGUUAAGGUUAAUAUAUAUAUUGAUACAUUUUAUAUCAAUUAAAUUUUAUGAGCUUAAUUUUGUGAAAACCAUUAGAUUACAAAAUGGAUCUUAAAUAUCAAGUGAUAUGUUUAAUUAGUGGAAUCAAUUAUAAUUGGCUAUCACACAUCAAUAGGCAGAUUUUGGUACUAGACUCUUAUCAGGACAUUACUAUUAUUUUGUUAUCUAUAAAAAGUACUUUCUACAAAUUAAAUAAACUAAAAAUUUAGGUUCCACGUACCUGAUCGCCAACAAUAAGGUUCUGAAAAUACAACAUAUCUGGAGCAGUCCAACCAUUCUUGUUUUUUACCUUUGUAUCUGGGACUUCAUAUUUUAUGAGUUCAGGUAUAAAACAGCCGCAGGAGAUAAGAAGAUGGAGAGGUGUAUCGCCAUUAUCAUCUUGCUGUUUUAGAAUCUGGUCCUUGUACUCUUUUGGACAAUAUUUCAAAAUAUCUAGUACCAUUUCUUUGUUAUUAGCAGCUGCUGCCAAAUGUAGUGUAUUCCUGCCAUUUACAUCAACAACUGUGUAUGGAGAGUUAUCAGCACUGACUUCACUAGAAGGAUCUGGCCAUGAUUGCAGUAGUCUUGUAACUGUAGAAGUAUAUCCAUGUAUGACUGCAACAUGAAAGGGUGUUGGUACCAAAUUUUCAUACACAAAUUGUUGUCCAAUAUCUUCUUGGGCUUCUAUUAUGGCACCAAGUAUUGAAUCAAAUUCAUGAUAUACAGCAUAAUGAAGCGGUGUCCAUCCAUUAUCUUCUUUAAAAGUCACGCGUGAUUUAGCAUCCCUUAAGUGACCUAAUACAGAGUCUAGGAAAAAAACAAAUAUAUCAGGUACGUAAAUUCUGUCAAGCAAAACCCAAAGAGAAAUAAUAAAUGUGACAAACUUAAAUUUAAUGCACUUUACAUAGCUGUGACUAAAAAUUUAUCUAGACCAAGAAAGAUGAAGAAGAUGAUAAUGGCCCUCUUUGGGAAUUAGCGGUAAGCUGUUAGCGGAUUAAAGUAGAUGUUUUGACUAGCUCAUUGAAGUAGAUGUUUUGACUAGUUUGCAGUUUCUCGUAAAAUCGUUCGGUAAAUAGCUGAUUGAUUAGCUUUUUCUGACAUAAACCAAAACCUCUAACCCAAAAAGCUCCUCAAAGUAGCUUUUUCAAAAUUAGCUUUUUGGAUCCAAACCUCUAUUUCAAUCCACUAACUACCAAACACUAAUAUUAGCGCAUUCUAGUGGUCAAACCUCUAACUUCAAACAGGGCCAAUGAAUACUUUAUUAUUUGUACAAAUCAAUAAAAAUAUUUAUAUGAGAUUAGUAAUAUUGUGUACAUUACAUACCUUCAUCACGUCUCUUAAUAUCAAGAAUCAAAGCAAGCACACCUUUAUGAUCAGAGUCAAUUCCAGCUUCAUAAGCUUCAGAGAGAAAUUCAAGAAUGUCUUUGCUAUACUUUUCAUCCACGGCUUUGUAGAUUAAACGCAUGAUACCAUGUCUUUUAAUUUCAGGAACAGGUUGAUAGGCUGGAUCUUCUUGUAGUAUCAGUUUAACGACAUCCACAUAGUUUCUCUCCAUGGCCAGUUGCAAGACAGUGCUUCUAGACUCGUCUGUUCUACUAAAGAUUUCUUUAAACUUUAAAAGUGAUGGGUCCUCUGCACUGCUCCAACCUUUGGCUGCUUCAAUCAUCAUCUUAAUCAUGUUGUUUGCUCCUUUUGUCACUAUAAGUCAAGUAAUAAUGUUACUUAUACACGACUAACUAAUAAAAAUGUUCCUUAUUCAGUGAUAAAGUGCUCAGAUAGUAAUAUUUGCUUUAUCCAUUCAUGACCUGAAGUUAGGUGAAAAGUUAAAUCUAGUAUUGGAUAAUUCAAUUAUUCAGUUCCCAAAAUAUAAAGAUAAAAAUCAAGUUCUAAAGUUAGGUGAAAAGUUAAUUUUAGUAUUGGAUUGUUUUGUUAUUAUAUGUAAAUCAUCCGUUCUUAAAAAUAAAAAUCAAGUUUAACAGAUCCUAUUCUACUUUAGAUCGAGACAAACCUACUCAUGGUCUUUGUACAAGAUUCAUAUGUUUACUAGAAAAAAUCGAUAAAUAUAACAUAUCUUCAGAACCUCACAUGCAUUAUGCAUAAAUGUACUCACAUGUAUGAGUUUAAUUAGAAGUUGAUCAUCAGGUGAUUAACACUUAACUUUGGUCCUCUAUAACCUAUGAUGAAAUGAAGAUAUAAAUACCAUAUACCAAUUGUAAAUGUGUACUAUAAGGCUUCAUAGAAUUAAUUCAUACAUAUGUACUCCAUACCUUGGCCGAUAUUCUUUAUAAGAGCAUGCAAAGCCGUUGUCCUACCAUGAGGACCAUCUAAAGACAGAGCUGUGCAAUUUGUACACAUCUCCUUUAUUAUAUCUUUGUACCCAUUUUCCACAGCUAUGAAAAUUGGAGUUUUGCCUUCAUUAUUUUGAACAUGACUGUCAUUUGGAUCGGCCUCCACUAAGAGCUUCACUAUUGCCACGUAACCACUUAGAACAGCUAGAUGUAAUGUGGUGUUUCUUUCUUGAACAUUAGCUUGCCUAAUAAAAUUGUGAAAAUUACUGACUUGAUUAUGGGCAUCAUCAUUAGCUGAAGAAGAAGACAAAUUACGUCUGGCUGCAGCAAUGAGGACCUCAACCACUCGAGUGUGUCCAUGAAGUGCUGCAAGGUGAAGUGCAGUUUGUUCUGAUUUGUCCAGCUUGAUUAAAAGGCCUUUGUACGCAAACGCACUCACAAGGAAUCGCACAUGUUCUAUAUCUCCCUUCUUUGAUUCAACGUGAAGGAUAGUUUCUCCCAAUUCGUUUGGUAUAGCUGCAUCCAUCUCCAGUGCAGCUCUGGAUAUAGGAUCUCCAGCAAUGGCCUCGGCAAAACAAUUUUCCAUGGCAUGAGCAUCUUUUUUUAUCAGUGCAUUCUUUUCAUUCUUCAUCUGUUUUGCUUUUUCAUUAAAAAUCACAUCUUUUCUCACCCGUUUACUUGGUGGGAGGACCGAACUUGAAAAAAGAUCCCUUUUUGAAUCAAUUUGGAUACCAUCAAGUGCAAUUUUGAUUUGUACCUGGAAAUAAAGCAAAGAAAAUAAUUUAACAAUUAGCUUAAUUUGGAGGCAUACAAGAUUUAAACAUGACCUGAAAAGGGGUAACAUGGUCCAAACUACAUAUCCAUCAGCUUUUUAUAUAUUUGAGUUGCACAUGUUUUAUCUUUGAGUUAUGAAUGUGAUUUCAACCAGAAAUCCGGAAUGUAUAUAGGUGAAGGUGAAUAAUCACCAUACCACAGACUCAUGUGAUAAGCAAAAUUAUAGUUUCUGAAUAUGAGUCAAAUUACAUUAAUAUACAUAUACACAAAAAAAAAAAACUAAAACAUAAUGGUUUUAAGUGUAUUUUGGUGAAGCUCAGACUAAGAUAACAAGUUUUCAGACAUUAGUAUAAAAAGGUAUGUUCUUUGAGUACCUGCUCAUCAGUAACUUGCUCAUCAGAAUACAACAUAUCAGGAGGAGUCCAUCUUUUGUUGUUUUCUACCCUUAUGUCAAGCCCUUCAUAUCUCAGGAGUUCGGGAAUGAAGCAACCACGAUCGAUAAGAAUGUGAAGAGGUGUAUCACCGUUGUUAUCCUGCUUAUUCACAAACUCUUUCUUGUACUCUUCUGAACAAUAAUUUAAAAUGCCUUGUAUCAUCUCUUUUUUACUUUGCAAUGCCGCCAUAUGUAGAAUAUUUUUUCCAUCUUUAUCAACAAUAGUAUAUGCUGAUGACCAAGAUGGCCAUGACUGCAUAAGACAUAUCACUGUAGAUGUAUAUCCUUUUUCCGCUGCUACAUGAAAAGGUGUUGAUAACAUAUUUUCGUACGCAAAUGGAUAUUUGAAUUCUCUUUGUGCUUCUACCAUUGGCUGAAUUAUAGAAUCAAAUUCGUGAUAUGCUGCAUGAUGAAGAGCAGUCCAUCCUAGAUUGUCAGCAAAGGUUACAAGGUUUUUGGAAUAGUACUCCUUUAACUUGCUGAUGACGGAUUCUGAAAAGAAAAUGUAAUAUAUCAAUUGGGCAUCAAAUUAUAUUUGCUAUAUAUUUUCAAACUUAUAAUUUGUGUUAUAUUUUUAUUUCAGGUAUCAUUCCUAAAAUCUUAAUGAGGAUGAAUGUAUGUAGAUACAUAUUUCAUUUUAUAUAUAUCUUCUGAUCAUUGCAUGGUACAAUGGCUAGGAUUUAUUUUAGUACAUAUGUUGACAUCAUUAUUAUAUUACAUGUGAUCCCUUCUUAUUUUUUGUUUAUUAAUUAAGGGAUUAAAAUACUAUGGAAGUACAUCUAAUUUGUUUUAUACUUUUAAUUGUUUGAAUAAUUUAGUUACACAUCAAUAAUUAUUAUAUCUAAACUUUGAUAAACGAACCGCUGACUAAUAUAUUCUCACAAAUUAUUGAAUUGAUGUUAAUUAUAUAUACAAAUAAAAAUACAAUACUAUCAUACAUCACAAAAUAUAUGUAUCCGAUUUUAUAAUUAUCACUAUAUAUAUAUAUAUAUAUAUAUAUAUAUAUAUAGGCUUGCACUCCACACAGAACACUUUAAAAAAAGAACAAGAGAGAACACUAUCAUAACACUUUAUUUUUCAUAAAAAAUGAUUUGUUAAGAUUAUAGUUACAUAGUUAAACACAGCCUAAACUUAAUAUAUGAAAUUUAACAUCCAAACUCAUCCAAAUUAUUAAUAUGAAAUAUUAUAGAAUCCAGAAUAGAAUCCAAAACAGAAUUAUGAAUAGAAUCAUAUAUAUAUUCUUUGCAUGAUUAAUAUCACAUAGAAUCAUGUUACUUUUAAUUCAUAAUUGUUGUUAAACAUGUUAGAUACUAUUAUUAUUCAUAAUAAAACGUUAAUUAGCUUAAAAUUAGAAUUUGAUUCAAGUUUUAGAUGAGAUUAUAUGUUCGAUUCUAAAGUGUUCUUCUUUGUUCUUCUUUUAAGGGUGUUCUUUUUUGAGCAAACACUUUGGAAUCGAACAUAGAAUCUCAUCUAAAACUUGAAUUAAAUUCUAACUUUAAGCUAAUUAACCAUUUUUUAUGAAUAAUAAUAGUAUCUAGCAUGUUUAACCACAAUUAUGGAUUAAAAAUAACAUUAUUCUAUGUGAUAUUAGUCAUGUAAAGAAUAUGUACAUGAUUCUAUUCUGGAUUCUGUUUUGGAUUCUGUUCUGAAUUCUAUAAUAUUUCAUAUUAAUAAUUUGGAUAGAUUUGGAUGUUAGAUUUCAUAUAUUAAGUUUAGUUAGUGCUUAACUAUGUAAUUAUAAUCAUAACAAAUCAUUUUUUAUGAAAGAAAAAGUGUUAUGGUAGUGUUCUGUGUUGUUCUUUUUUUAAAGUGUUCUGUGUGGAGUGCAACCCUAUAUAUAUAUAUAUUUAAGUCCCAAAAUUAUAUAAAAAAUAUGAUUUUUGUACUUUUAAAACACUGUCUAAAGUCUAAGCACUGUAUACAUAUUAUAUUUUUAUGGAAUUAUAUUUGAUUUAGGUUAUCAUUAUCAAUAUAGAACAUCAUACUAUUAUUACAUUUUAAUAAUAAUGAAAUACUGGUACAUACCUUUUUGGCGGCCUCUAAUAGCAGAAAUUAAUUCAGGCAUUUGAAAUAUGUAUAGAGCAUGUUCAAUCCCUCUCUCAUAGGGCAUUUGAAAUAUGUACCGAGCACGUUCAAUCCCUUUUUCAUAUGCUUGGGUGAGUAACUUGAGCAUACCACCAACUUCUUUAUCCAUAAUUUUGUAAAUUAAAGGAAUGAUACCCAAUAAAGCAGGAUACAUUUGCUCGAAAUGUGCAUGAUACUCAACAGCAUGCAUUUCAAGGUAAUAGGCAUCGUCCUCGUACGGGUGAAAGGCUGGAUUUUCUGCUAAUAUCAAUUCAACCAAGUUCAAAUGAUUUCCCUCCACCGCCAAUUCUAAAAUGAUGCAUCUCUUUUCGUCGGUUUUAUUGAAGAACUGAACCAAGCUUUUAUCCUUUUCGAGUACGUUGAGAUUAUUAUGUACCCGCUUAAUUGAUUCUAUAAUUUGUCUAAUCACAUCUUCCAAUUCUUUUCUUCCUGCGAGGAUGGUGAAAGUGAAAGUAUUAGAAUAAGAUAACCCUUUUUGAGAUUUGAAAUACGUGAUAUUUAAAAUAUUACAACUGUAAAAAUUAUUUUUAGAUACUAAAACUUAUUUGAGUUCAAUAAUAUUAAGAACAAUAAUUUGUAUGCUUUUUGGGUUAAAAUAAUAAAUUUAUGGAAGUUAAUCUUAUUAUGAAUUUUUAAAUCUAGCAAAUACCAAAUUCUGUUUACACAAAGUCAUUGUUUAUGAUAACUGUAGCACAAAGGAGUUGGGUAUAUUUUAUAAUUUUCAUAAUGCGGAUCAAAUAAAUUUUAUGAAUAUUUCAAACAACUAUUUGGUGUACCAGCAGCAGACAUGAUACAUUUAAUAUUACAUUGAAAUUGCAAUUUAAUAUAAUUAAGCAAAUAGUUUUUGGACUAAUUAUAAGUACUGCUCUGUGUUAGUGUCGUUUGCAUUUUUUAUUAUUUGAUACAAUGUAUUAUGUAUGGUGUAAAAUUUUAAUGACUAAACAACACAUAUGCUGGACGAAGUCAGGUGCUAGAAACUAAAACAUACCUUGGUCGAGAUUCUUGAUAAGAAUAUGUAAUAGAGUGGUACUAGAACCAGGAGCAUUCAAAUUAAGUGGAGCGGUGCGAGUUGUACAGAUCAUCUUCACUACCUCGUAGUACUCUUUUUUCACAGCUAUGUAUAUUGGUGUUUCGCCGUCAUCAUUUUGAAUAUGUGGAUCACUUGGAUCGGCCUCUACUAAUAGCUUAACAAUGGCCACAUGACCCAAACUGACUGCUAUAUGUAAGGCAGUGUCAGAAUCUGUAUCAGCUUGCCUAAGGAAAGCUUGGAAAGAGGUAACUGGAUUAUCAUCAGUAUUAUCAUUAGCUGAAUCAGGAGUCGGCAAAUGUCUAGCUGCAUCAAUUAGGAUCUCAGCCACUUCGGUCUUUCCUUCAGACAAAGCCAAGUGAAGUGCAGUCUGUUUGUAUCUGUUAAGCUUGACCAAAAGAUUUUUGUCUGCAAACUCCCUCAAAAUAAAUCGCACGUGUUCUGUAUUUCCGUUUUCUGAUUCAGUGUGGAGGAUAGUUUCUUUAUAGUAUCCACUCAGUUUAUCUGCUUGCAUCUCCAAUACAGCUAUGGCAUCAGCAUCUCCGGAAAUAGCAGCCACGUAUAGAGCAUCUUUAUCCAUAAUCUUAUAGAGGGUUCCACCAGGGCUCUUAGCUAUAUAAAUAAAAACAUGUCAAACCAAAUAGCAAAGAAGAUUUGAAAAAAACGAAACUGGAUUUAGCUUAAAUAACAAAAACAAGUACAUAUCCUUAUAUAUACUCCCUCCGUCCCCCUGGAUAGUAUACAUUUAGGUACGGGGACGCGACACGUACUUUAAUGCUCCUGUAAAGUAUAGUUGUGUAAUUUAUUUUUAAGAUUUUCUUUUUCUGAAUUAAAGUUUGGAUGUUAUAUUUUAUUUAGGAAAAAAAAUCUUAAAAAUAAGUUACGAAUAUAUAUUUAUAAGAGCAUUGAAAUGCGUGUCGAGCAGUUGAAAAGAAACGUAUAGAAUUAAAUGGGACAGAGGGAGUAGGCAUACCUUGGUCGAGAUUCUUGAUACGCACAACAGUACUACCAUUAGGUCCGUCCAAAGAUGGAGCUGUGCAAGUUGUAGAUAUUAUCUCUACUAUAUCAUUGUACCCUUGUUCUACAGCUAUGUACAUUGGUGUUUUGCCUUCAUCAUUUUGAACAUGUGUAUCACUUGGAUCGGCCUCUACUAAUAACUUAACAAUAGGAACGUGACCUUUCUUAACUGCUGCAUGUAAGGCAGAGUCCUCAUAUUGAUCAGAUUGCCUAAGAAAAUCUUGAAAUGAAGUACGUGGACUUUCUUGAGGGUUAUCAUUAUCUGUAGAAGGAUACAAAUGUCUAGCUACAUCGAUGAGGAUCUCAGCCACUUCAGUGUGUCCAUUAUUUGCUGCCAAGUGAAGUGCCGUGUGUUUAUCUGAAUCAAGCGCGGACAAAAGAUACUUCUUUGCGAAAUCCAUCAAAAUAAAUCGCACACGUUGUGUAUAUCCAUUUUGAGAUUCAACGUGAAGGAUAGCUUCUUCACCUUCGUUCAGUAUAUCAGCUUCCGUCUCCAAUUUAGCUAUGGCAUCAGCAUCUCCGGCAAUUGCAGCCACGAAGAAAGCAUAUCUAUCCAUAAUUUUAAAUAGAGUUCCACCAGGGCUCUUACCUGUAAUGUGUGUAUAUUUCAAAAAACUUCUAGCAAAAUGAUAAAGGAUUCAGAAUAAAAACAAAAAGAAUAACCAGAAGAGUCUAUAAAGAGCAUACCUUGCUCGAGAUUGUUAAUACGCACUACAGUACUACCAUCAGGUCCGUCCAAAGAUGGAGCUGUGCAAGUUGUAGAGAUUAUUUCUGCUAUAUCAUUGAACCCUUUGUCCACAGCUAUGUACAUUGGAGUUUUACCUUCAUUGUUUUGUGUAUGUGUAUCACUUGGAUCGGCCUCUACUAACAGCUUAACAAUUUCUUCUUUAUUAUGUAUGACUGCUAUAUGCAAGGCAGUGUCCAUAUCUUUGUCACCAAGCCUAAGAAAAGCUUGAAAAGAAGUAAUUGGAUUGUAAUCUUCUGAAGAAGGUAAAUGUUUAGCUGCAUCAAUGAGGACCUUGGCCACUUCAGUGUGUCCAAAAUAUGCAGCCCAGGUUAGUGCAGUCUCCAUUUGAUCAUCCUGCUUCACUAAAAGGUUUUUGUGUGCAAACUCCCUCAAAAUGAAGCGCACAUGUUCUAUAUUUCCUUCUUUGGAUUCAAUGUGAAGGAUAGUUCUGUCAUUCAUGUCCAGCUUAUCAGCAUGCAUCUCCAAUGCAGCUAUGGCAUCAGCAUCUCUGGCAAUGGCAGCUGCAUACAGAGCAUCUUUCUGCAUAAUUUUAUAGAGGGUUCCACCUGGGCUUUUAGCUAUAUACAUAAACAUGUGUCAAAUCGUGUUUAUUUUAGGAAUCAUCAUAACAAUGAAUAUAUGUUCAAAACAAAAUUUAACACAAAAGGAACUAAAUGUAGUUUAGUUAACAAAAGAGUCUUAACAUUAAAAAAAAUGGAAAGAGACAGAGUCUUUAUGAGGCAUACCUUGGUCAAAAUUCUUGUUACGCACAACAGUACUACAAUCAGAUCCGAGCAAAGAUGGAGAAAUGCAAGUUGUAGAGAUUACCUCUGCUAUAUCAUUCAACCCUUCUUCCACAGCAAUGUACAUUGGUGUUUUGCCUUCAUCAUUUUGAAUAUGUUUACCACUUGUAUCAGCCUCUACCAAAAGCUUAACAAGGGCCAUAUUACCCUUCUUAACUGCUUCAUGUAAGGCAGUGUCCAUAUAUUUAUCAGCUUGCCUAAGGAAAUCUUGAAAUGAAGUAACUGGAUUAUCAUCAUCAAUAUUAUCAUCAUGUGGAGAAGGAGGCAGCAAAUGUCUAGCAGCAUUAAUGAGGACCUCCGCCACUUCUGUGUGUCCUUGAGACGAAGCCAAGUGAAGUGCAGUCUGUUUAUAUUUGUUAAGCUUGACCAGAAGGUUUUUGUCUGCAAACUCCCUUAAUAUAAAUCGCACGUGUUCUGUAUUUCCGUUUUCGGACUCUGUGUGAAGAAUAGUUUCUUCGUAUCCGUUCAAUUUAUCAGCAUGCAUUUCCAUUGCAGCUAUGGCAUCAGCAUCUCUAGCAAUGGCAGCCGCAUACAGAGCAUCUUUAUCCAUAAUCUUGUAGAGGCUUCCACCAGGGCUCUUAGCUAUAAAAUAAAAAAGUGUCAAAUUAAAUAGCGAAGAAGAUUUUAACAAAUACACUAUUGGAUUUAGCUUCAAUAACAAAAAGAAGUAUAUAUGCCUAUAGAUAGUAUAUUAUGUUUAAACAAAGAGUGUUUAAAGAGCAUACCUUGGUCCAGAUUUUUAAUACGCACAACAGUACUACAAUCAGGUCCGAGCAAAGAUGGAGCAGUGCAAGUUGUAGAGAUAAUCUCUGCUAUAUCGUGGAGACCUUUUUCCACAGCUAUGUACAUUGGUGUUUUACCGUUGUCGUUUUGAAUAUGUGUAUCAGUCCGAUCGGCCUCUACUAGUAGCUUAACGAUAGUAAAAUUUCCUCUCAAGACUGCUGCAUGUAAGGCAGUGUCCAAAUCUUUAUCACCUUGCCUGAGAAAAGCUUGAAAAGAAGUGACUUCGGGAUUACCAUCAUCAUCUGAAUGAGGCAAAUGGCGAGCUGCAUCAAUGAGGACCUCGGCCACUUCAGUUCGUCCUUCGUAUAUAGCCAAGUGAAGUGCUGAAUGCUUAUAUCUACUAAACUUUGCUAAAAGAUUUUUGUGUGCAAAUUCCCUCAAAAUGAAUCUCACACGUUCAAUAUUCCCCUCCUCUGAUUGCAGGUGAAGGAUAGUUUCUUGAUAUCGGUGCAGUCUAUCAGCUUCCAUCUCCAAUUUGGCAAUAGCUUCAGCAUCUCCGGCCAUGGCAGCAUCGAACAGAGUAUCCAGAUCCAUAACUAUAUUUUACUCUACCACUGCUCUGCCUGGUGGAAUUUCACGGAUUAUAUACAAGAAACUUGCUAGCAUCCAGGAGCUAGUUAUAUAAAUAGAAGCUUGGUGUAUGGCUGUAUAUUAACAAGAUGUUGACCAACCAAAAUGCUACGUCAUGCUCAUGUAAAUUGGUUGUUGGGCUUGGUAAUGAUGAUGCGUUAUAAUUUUGAGAACUAAAAAGUAAAUAAUGGUUAAAUUGGUUGCCGCUUUAAACCAUGAAAAUAAUAUAGAUUUAUCUUAGACGAUCUCGAUCUUUAGAUUCUUAAUCAAAAUAUGUUUUCAUUAAGUAGAGUAUGACUAGAUUAUAAGGGUAAACUUUUCUAUUUUUAGAUGUAGGAAACUUUUCUAUUUCUAGAUGGAGUUUUAUUUCAAAAAAUAAAAAAGAAUUUUAAGAAAGAUAAAAAAGAAAUAAAUAUCAAGAACCAAUUGUGUUAUUUUAUUUAUAUAGAUAGAUGGUAUAAUAUGAUUACCUCUUGCUUCGUUAAUACCCUGAAUUAUGAUUGUUUUAGGAUAUCAUAAUCCAAGUAAUUUAAUUCACUAAAAUGGCAGCAACAUCUCCUUUCAGUGUUUCAGCUCCAUAUCCAAUGCAGUUAUGGCAGCAGCAUCUCUGGCAAUGGCAGCUGCAUACAAAGCAUCUUUAUCCAUAAUUAUAUAUAUCUUAUCUUCUAACAGAGUUCUUGGCUAUAUAUGUGUAUGUAUAAAAAUGUCGGGUUAAAUCUCUCGGUUAAUUCAGUAAAAUGUGGUGCUAGUUAUCCAAAAUUACUUGUCUUUCUAAAAUGAUACAAAGUAAUAAAGUCUAAACACUGAAUUAUACAAUCAACUAGACCCAUUAACAAUACUCAUCUAAUCAAGAAUCCACAUGCUACAAGUGGCCAGGUUUGUAAGAGAAGGACGUCAGAAUAAACAACAACAAUUUGCAAGAAUCACAGGUGCUAAAAAACACUUAAAAAGUCACUAUAAUUUCUAACAACUUAUUAGUUGACCUGAGUGACCUCAAAAAUUUUACUUAUUACUUUUUUUCUAUAUCACACAUCAGAAUGCUUAUUGUACACCAGUAUAAACUCAAGCUCAUAUCAAUUAUUAUAUCAAACGCGUAAUUAUCAAUACUUCUCUGAUAAAGAAGUUUAAACUUCAGCUUAUAGUCUACUAGAGUCUUAGGUUUGUACUUGCUUCAAAAAGAAUAUAAACUCCAAGCAGUAUUGGAACUGGGUGCAUUUUAUAAAAUUAUUUCAUAUAUAUACUAACUUCAAAAUAAUUCUCCAAUAUUCUUUCAGAUUGGUGGAAAGUCAAACAAGCGGAGCACUAGAAUCCAAAUGCUGCAUGUGGCUAGUUCUGCAUGAGGACAUUGAAGUAAACAAAGCCAGUUUGUAUCAGUUACAGGCAAAAAUACAUAGAAAAAUGCCACUAUGAUUUCUAACAACCAAAUGGUUGACCUUUAUAAGUUAAACCAACAGUGUAAAAUUUUAGAAAUCCUGAUAAAUAAGUCCGAACUUCAACUUAUAGUCCAGUAAAAUGGAGCUAGCUAGGAAGACUUGUAGAUCAGUAAAAACUAGAAAGUCUUUGUAUAAUCAUAUAUGUCAUAAUUGUGAUGUAUGAUUUGAGCCUUAAAGAUGUCAACUGUGUAAUAAUUUAAUAACAACACAAUUCUUUAAUUUACACUCUACAUUUAUGUCUACUUAAUUAAGUAAUCUACAACUGUGAUCUCUUAACAGCUCCAUAGUUUCAACAAAUUAUACUCAAGAUGAUAAGUUUCAACCUACCCUUAAACCUCACACUUUCUUUAAUUUAAAAUGUUUAUGCCUAGUUGUAUGCUAUAACUAUAUUCAUAGACCCUCCUCCUCUCUUACUCUUCUCCAAAGUUUUGGUAUCUGUAUUAUAAGUCCUGAAUUAUGUCAAUUUGUAAGCUGAAUGUGAACUUUAUUUCUUAAUUAAAAUCAAGUACUGGAACACGGAUUCGGGACAAAUUAACCACUGAUAUGUAAAGCUGAGUCGGGAGACCAUUACCAGAUCAUUUUGUGGGUAAAUUCCCAUCAGAUUGGCCUAAAAAGGAGCGAGUUCAUCCUAAAUACAUACUGAUGUAAUAUAGUCAACAGUUAAAUUAAUGUGAGGCAUGGUAGAUAGGCUUCUAAGUUUCAGUGAAUCUAAAAUUAAGAACUCAGAUGUUAGCUAAAUAUGAAAGAUAAGAUAAUAAUUACCCUGUUCUAUCGUGAAGUACAGCGAAGCCCAAACAAACUCGAGGGUUUUUACACUUCACCUAAUUGUCAAGAUCUUUAGCACUAGACUCUAAUGGGAUGUAGUUAGGUACGAAGGUCUAGUACAUUAUAUUUAAUCACUCCAAAUAAACAACAACAACAACAUGGCCUAAUAAAUACCACCCCUCCCGAAUCCAAAGGACCAACAUAAGCUUCCUUUACUUGAUCAGAAUUAUAUAUUAUAAUAUAAACUCUCACACAUCAGCACGGUCAUAUACGACAACAUAAUCAAAGGUCAUUUGCACAAGAAUUCACCUGUAUCUAGACAUCUGAUUGCACGUUUGCUGAAGAAGAGGAGCGGAGCAUUAUCGAAAAUCCAGAAUUUGAAGUGAUGUUCUUUCGUCACUUGAUUAAUUCCCAACUCCAUUUACAGAUGAUUGUAAUCUAUACUCUGUUUUGGUUUGAUUUGAUAUACCCAAACAAAGCGAAUAGAAAUAGCAUUGUCUUGUGUUAACCUCAACUCCGCAUGAUAAAUCACUUGAUUCACCACGCCUUACUUGAUUACAUAACAAUUCUUGAGACACACGAAUUCUAUCAAACACUUACAUGCACUCUCAGGUAAACCCCAAGUACUUAAAACGAUGUUGUUGCAUCGUUUUUGAAGGAGCUUGUUGCGAAGAAUGGAUUAAAAGUUUGAAUAUUUGGGUCAGGAGAUGAAUAGCGGUGAGUGUGUAGACUAGUUGCUGUCAGUGGGAGUGAUGAGGUGGAAGACGAGAUGGGUGCAGGGGUGUGAAGGGGUUGUCCAAACAGUUUAACCCGACCCAAAAUGACCCUAUUUUCAGUCGAACCAAAUCGAAGAUUUUAAAACGUUAUUCAAUUGGGUUGAAUCGGCUCCAACCCGGUUUUAAUGGGUUGGGUAUGGUUUUAGAUUUUAUUUGACCAACCCAAUCCAACCCGAAUGUAUUUUAAUAAAAAUAUAUUGUAUUGUAUAUAUAUAUAAUAUGGGAUGAUCAAAUACAAACCAACUUUAUCAUACAAACCUAAAAACUAGUUUCAAAAUUAACAACUAUCCCCUCAAACUUUUAAAAACUAACAAAAUCCCCCCCCCCUAGUUUUGUCAUCAACUUCCCAAAACUUACACUUUCCACUCUGUCACGUCACCCUGCCACAUCACCCUCCACGUCAGCAGUGGGGUCACCCACUGCUGACGUGACAGAUGACGUCAGCAGUGGGCCCCCAGAAAAUUUUAAGAAAAAAUAAAAAAUAAAAAGAUUGGAGUGCUCAUAGCAAAAAUAGGAGUGAAAAUAAUGGUUUUUAGGUUUGUAUGGUAGUGUGGUUUGUAGUGGAAUAGCCCCCUAUAUAAUAUAGUUACCGAAUGAAAUUAUAGUGUGAUAUAAUUGAAUUAUAAAAUUGGUAUCUUUACUAGAGUUUCCUUCAAAAUAUCUUUCCUCUAGAUGGGUGGGUCAAGAAACGGACUACAAUGUAAUGGUAGUAAUCUUCAGAAAUGCAUAAAAAUAUACCUUCACUUUUUAAUUUUUAAAUUCAUUUUUAACUUUUUCUUCAUUCAACUUCUUUCAAAAAUUAAACUAAAAUAGUUUAUUUAACUUAAACUAGUCAUAAGAAAUAAAAACAAUUGCUAGAUGAUAACAGUCAAGUUGUUCAACAAUAAAAUAAUUACACAAAAUAAAAUUAAAUAUAAUAUUUGUUAUUUUAUAAGGCAAACAAUAAGUUAGGGCUCAUUUGUUUGCUGCUGAUUAGUGCUUAAUGAGUAAUGAGCUGACCGCGUCAGCAAUUCAGCUUGUUUGUCACUAAAUUUAGGGAAGCAUAAUGAAUCAGUUCCUGUUGAGCGGCUCCGUUUUGAGUUUAUAACCCAAUGAUUCAGCACAGCGUUUACAUAUAACCCACAUGUAUAAAAAAUUAGUCUAAUCUAUAACCAAUUAUUUUUGGAUAUUCAUAUUAAUUUAUGCUUGCAAUAAAAUAUUGUUAUACUUUAAAUAAGCUCAGAUAUCAAAAAAUUUAAGACGUAGAAUUCGGUAUAAAAUUUCUAAUUCUGAUAUGAUUUAUAAUAUUGUAAUAUCAAACAUUAAUUUAUUGGAGUUAAUUUUUUUGGCUUGAAACUAAUUAAAAUACAAUGUUCUAUUUAAAUAUAAUAUUAUUAAAUUAUAGAAAUGUUUUAUGUUAAAUAAUUUUUUUUUGAUAAGAUUAUUGUAAAUUGAAUUCAUUAUUUCAAAACCUAUUUGUCGAAUGAUAUUAUUCAUUCUGGGAUUCAGAUAACUUACCAGCUCAGCUCAUUCAGAUAGGAUAACGAAUCAGAUAUUUUUAAUUCAGAUUUUCCAAAUGACCCCUUAGAUCAUAGAAGAAGGGUUGAAUAUAAUCUACAAAAAUUCCAAACUAUUUUUGCUAAACCAAUAAUAUUCAAAACACAAGAGAUCAAAAUCUAAACAGAAAUUUAAAAGAAAAGGGAUCUUAAAAAUUUCAGGUGGAUUGUUUUCUCCACCUGAGAUAUUUUUAUAUUAAGAACCUCCCGAGUAAAAAAUUUACUUGGCUGCUUACAAAAGAAUGAAGAGCUAAAGCUUACAAUUUCUGUCUUGCUAUCUCUACUGCUUUGUUUUUCAGUUCUUGAUGUGUUGGAUACAUUGAAAUAAAAAUUACAAUGCAAAUAUAUACUACGGAAUGGCUAUCAUGUGCCCUUCGGACACAUGAUAAGUAGUAAUUAAUAUAGUCAACUACUUUUAUAUGUACAUAGUUAUCAGUGUAUUUGUACAGAAAAUCAUUCAAAAAUUCAUUAACUAUGAACUACUUUUAUAUUUACUCCCUCUGUUUUUUUUAUAUGACGCUUUGACUUUUGACACACACUUUUAAGUGCUUUGACCGGAUAGUUGAAAAUAUUAUUUUUUGAAUUUUUUUUUCUGAAUAAAAAUUUUGAGUAUAUAUUAUUAUUCAGAAAAGGAAAAUUUAAAAAAAUAAUAUUUUCAACUACCCAGUCAAAGCACUUAAAAGUGUGUGCCAAAAGUCAAAGCGUCAUAUAAAAAAAACAGAGGGAGUACAUAGUUAUCAGUAUAUAUUUAUUUUUAAUUUGUCUUCUAAAUUUUAUAUUUAUAAUAAAAUAUUAUUUUAUUUCAAAAAAUGUGAGAACGUACAAUAAUUCUUUUGUCAUAUUUUAUAUGACAAUUUUUAAUUCACUACAAGAAAUUCAGCUUUUACCUACCAAUAUUAUGUGUAAGUAAAACUACUCUAUUGGUAAAUACAUAUCAUUUUUCUACUAAUAAAGUAUUGGUAGCGAGUGGUAGAUAAAGGUUAGUAGCCAAACACUAUUUACUUACACAUAUAUAAAUUGGUAAGUAAAAUAUUAUGUAGGCUCCACAUGGUAUUGAGUCAUCAGCUUAUGUGUCCAUGACACAUGUCAUGAUUAGGACUAUCCAUGUGGCGCCAUAUCAGUGGGCCAUGUGGCACCUGGUCAACAGGACAUGUGGCACCCGGUCAUCAUGCCACGUGUAUUGGGUCAUAUGUGACAACUUGGAGUGGUGCCUUGUCAUCAUACACGUGGCGCCUUUUUCGUAAUGCCACUUGGCGCCUUAUAUAUGGCCCAAAUUACAACAACUGAAUUACCACGUGUUAUUUUGCUAAUUUUUAAUUAAUAAUAUAUAAUAAUUUUUCAAUUAGUUAUUUUUUGCUUUAUUUACUCACAAAUAUGAUACUUUUAGGUGAAAAAAAUUAGAUAAAUUCUAAAAUAUCUAAUAAAAAGUGAAAUGUAACAACAUAAAAGCCUAGAUAUUUCAACAAGAAAAAAAUUAUUACAUGUUCAAAUAAUAACAGAAAAACUAGAAAGGAAUACUAAAUCAUCCUGAAUUUUCUAAAUUAGCAUGAGAGACUUCAUCUUUGGGAGAUGAUGUUUGCUGUGGCAUAAGAUUAUUCUUCUGUAGUAUGUCAACAACUUCAUUGAGACGUUCUUUCGCUUCAUUAAGUUGUUCAACUAUUUCCUGAUAGGUUGGUUGGUUUGCCUGACUGCUAGUACCAUGACCUGUUUUGGGAAUUUUAGCACUAGCAGAACGCCCCCAUCCUCGCAAGUAUACUGAACAACGACCAAGUACCGUUUCCAAGAUUUCUUUGUCUGACAAUUCUUCUGGAGAAUAUAUUUCUCUAAGAUUCAUCAUAUCCCCCUAAUAACAUAAUAUUUGAAAUUAAAAAAUAAAACAUAAAGAAGAAUUAGAAUCAUUCAGAUUGCAGAAAUAUAAGGAUAAUAGUUAUAUAAGAAACAUAUUAUGUUAGUUUAGUACAUUUGAAGUCUAUAACAAAAUACUUACAUAUAAAUCUUCAAGUCCUGGUCCAGUCCAUCCAUCUUUAUCAUGAUGAUUUUGACGCCAUGUCUCAAUGUGUCCAGUUAAAGAGGUUAAUGUCAUUCCACGUCUAAUAUGAUGUCGUGGUGUAGAAACUGACCCGUUUUCAGAAUUCCACCUUCUUUUAGAUCGAUUUAUGAUAUUCUUUGAUGCCCUUUCCUACAUAAAUAUGAUAGUAUCAUUAUAUAAUAACAUGAUAAAGCAAUAAAAUAACUAUUUAUUUUUAAAAAAGAAACCUGAAAUUUAGGAGAACACCAACGAUCACAAAGCAUCUCCCAAUCCUCUUGUUGGUAAUCUUUAAAGUCUGGAUGCCACUUCCGCUUAGCUAGUAACACAUCAUUUUGACCUCCAAUGCUUUUGAAGUAUUUAUGUAACUUGUACUUAUAGCCCUUCCAUGCUUUCCUCAUUUGUUCAUCGAUGCAUAACUUAGUUGUCUCAUCACGUAAGUCGAUAUCAAAAUUUUCCUAUAAAGCAUAAGAUAUUAUAUGAAUUCAAAAAAAUUGAUGUGUGCUGGUAAAAUAUAAAAUGAAGCAUUAUACAAUUUGAUGCAGAAAGUCCUAGAAAAAGCUCUAACACAAUAUAUUUCAUAAACAGCAUGGAAAAAAAUAAACAACUUGGGUGAUAGAAGUGGAAUCCGAAAAUAAAAAGAUGUUUGUCUAGUUAUGAACAUCAUUUGAAUUUAACAUAUGAGUUAAUUGCUGAUCUAGUAAAUAAUUUUAUAAAGCUAUAUAUUAUGUGUACUUAUUUCAUAGUCUAUUAACUGAAAUUUGGCUACUGAAAUUUGGCUGAUUAAAUUCUAAAGUCUACGACUAGCUUGUUUCAACCUCCUUUACAUUUAAACAAGCCUGGGAAAUUACACAAGAACCAGUAUAAUGGAACUGACCAGCACAUAUAUUAUAGUAAUACUAAUCAAGCAAGUUACACACGUGAUCCAGAUAAAUAAGAGCUUUGUAUUGAAACAAAAUAAUUAACAAAAAGCUUGCACUUGUGAAAAUACGUAAAGACUUUGACAUUAAGGAAGCUAGAUGAUAUCAAACUAGACAGGGGACCCCAACUUGAUAUACACCGGAGACACGUGUAAUGAUUUAGGCAAGUUAAAUUUCAACACUUAAACAAAGAAAUAACUAAGGUAAAAGAUGGAAGAUCCUGUCCAGUAGUAUAUAUUCUAAACAACAAUUAUAUACUUGUAAAUAUAUUAAAAAGAAGGAACAAGCUCGAUAUGCUGGUGUACACGCACAUAAAAACUAGCAAGUGUAUAAGAAUUUACCAGAAGAUAAUUUCGCAAUGGUGCUCUGACCUCCUCUGGAACUAGUCUCCACUCCUUGUAAUAAAAUAUACCAUGAUUUCGAACAAUAAAUCCGAUCUCAUUAUUAAACCUCUCAGCAUUGCUACAGAUUGGUUGCCGGCAGUUGUCAUCAUAUUUUUGUGAGGUUCUUUCGAUUAAAAUUACUUGUUGCAAAAAUGAAAAAUUAAAUCAUGUACUUGUAUAUUGAAUUCAAAAUAAAAUUUAAAAAAUUAAUACAUAAAUUUAGUAUAAGCUGAACGCAAAUUGGGUUUUCUAUUUAAAGAAUAUUCUUGAAAAUAAUAUUGGGAAAUGUUUCUGGAAUCCGUGAUAGUAAAAACAAUGAAAUACUGAAAAAAUAAAAUAAAUAAUGUUCAAGCUCUAAAUUGAUCACAAAAAAAAACUGAUGAGCAUCCCUCGUCAGGACCAUCCAGCUUUGUUUCAUGCUCCUGCCAUCCAGCUAAAUAUUGGUGUCGUCCGUUAAGUUUUUGUUUCGUCAGGCUAAAUAUUAAUUUGACAAAUGAUAGAUAUCGUUCGUUUGUUACCAUUCCUCUGUUAACAAACGAGGUCUAUUUACAUUUUAAGCUCAUGGAAUAGUGGGUUAUACCAUUCCUGAUUCUUUUUAAAAGGAAGUUGUUCUCUAUUUAUAAAAAUAUAAAUAUUAAAAAGCAUUUAAUUAGUUUUUAAUUUAUAUAAGUUAUUUUAAUAAUGUAUCAAUUCCCAUCUUAGUCGUUAAUUUUAAUUUAAUUGAUCCGAAUUAUCAUAAUUUUAAUUAUUCAUUCUUUUUGUGAAUUGAAUAAACAUAUUCAUAAAUACGAACUAGGUAUAUAUAUUUAAUUUAAUUUUUAUUCAUGAAAUUAAAAUCUUUCAAUAUUCCGAUUAAUUUACUUGUUUGUGAGUUAUUACAAUGCAUCACUUGUACAUAUUAUCUUUUUCAUAAUUUUCCUUCUGUAUAAAAUAAAAAGUUCAACCUUUUUUUUGCAUAAAAGAAAUCGCAAAAAAUAUAUCAUAUAAAAAUAUCUCUUUUAGAUUACUAAAAAACCUACAAAAUAUGAUAGCGUUACAUGGAAUGAGAUGGACUGUGUAUAUAAUUAUACACCUUUUAAUAUAAUUAUCUCCAUCUUAAUUAAUUUUGAUAUAUAAUUUUAAUUAAUGUAUUAUCUAUUAAAGAACAGUUAAUUAGUUUUUUAAUUUAAAUAAAUUAUUUCAAUAAAUUAUUUUAAUGUAUAUAAAAAUUGUUCGACAACUUUUAAAAUAAGACAAUAUGUGCCUAAAUUAUUAGAUCAUUCAUAGAGUAAAAUUUGACUAAAACUCAAUUAAAUAAACUCAAAAUUAACAUGUAAAAGUGAUUACAUAAGAGAAUUUGCAAGUUACAAGGAAUCAAAAGUGAUUGCAGCACCGGAGACUUGGUUGGAUUUGAGGAUCCGUGGAUCACAACUCAGCCAGUACUUCAGAAGGAAGAGUAAGCACACUCCAAAGGGUCUAUUUUCGUAUCCAGCUGAUGUAGAUGGCACCAAAUACUCUAUGCAUUGGGUUUAUGAAGUACAUAGGAAUUCCUGGCAUGUUCUGCUUGAUGCCACUGCACUAAACAUGGGGGAGGAACGAAUGACCCUGACUCUCCACAGUCCAGAUUUUGUUCUGUGCAAGCCUGACAAUACUAAUGCUCACCCUUCAGAUAUCACAUGUCUGCUAAUCAGAAGAUCUUUCGAUACAGGAGCUUCAGUUUAAGCAUACGAGCAAGCAGAUCACAUCUCACAAGGAACAUUAGUAUGAAUUAGUCAUGUGUCUGCCAGACAGCAUCAUGCAUGAAACACUUCAGCCAUAAACUAUACAUUGUGAAAUAUAAUCCAGAGCAUUGUCAUGGACAAAAAGAAUAUAGGCAGGAAGAGCCUAUGACAAAAAAAAAUCAUGAAGAGCCAAAACAUGUAAAAUAAUGUUAGUUCCCGAUUAAAAACAGAGCAUGUUAAAUAAUAUAAACCUAUGUGAAUAAUACAUGUUUCGCUACCUGUAUUUCUAGAGGUUAAAAUCAUUGCAGUCGUGCCUAUCAAUAGCUCUGUAACCAUUUUAUUUUGAUGGUCCAGAUCUGCAGCAAAGUUCAAUGUCUUUGAUAAACAGAACAAGUGUUAUAAAUACAGAACUCAAAGUUUUGCUGAAAUACAUUAUAAACUACCUGAUUCCUUUUAGUAUCAGGCAUCUGAUUCAUUUUCAGAAGAGGCUUCACUGUCAUGGUCACUUGAAACAAUUUCUUCACUGUCUAUAAAUAUCUCUCCAUCAUCAAACAGUUCAUUUUGUUCAGCUUCAUCUAGAUCAUCUUCAUCGCAUGUAGUUUGCUUUUUAUCGUUGGAAAACAAAUCAGCAACAAGUCCCCUUGAAAGACUUAAAGAUGUAACGUCUCUUCGAACUAAAGAUGAACUUUCAAUUAAAUCCUCACUCGGUUGAAAAGAUGGCAGGUGAACUGAUUCUUCUUCUUGAAAUACAUCAUUGUUUGAUAAAUCAUUAACCACCUCACAUGUUUCAGGAAUGUCAUAUAUAGAACGGUGAUUUACUCUUUGAACAAACCUCCAAUUUGAACCACGUUUCACGUCAAGCAGAUAAAAAACUUGUUGAGCUUGUGUUGCUAAAAAUAAAUGGUUCAUUAGGAUACCAAUCAACUGAUGUAUUAAUGGAUGUAAGAUUAUUAUCCAUGCAGAUCGAUCUGCCCCUAGGACUAGAGUUAUACCACUUACACCGGAAUAAGAAAACUUUUCGAUCAAAAAGAAAUGAUAAUUCCAAAAUCUCAGUCAAAACUCCAUAGUAAAUAAGGUUCUCAUUAUCAUGAUCACCUUAGUGCAAACUCCAGAACAUUGUGUUUUAAGAGUAUCAUCAUGCUCUUUGCAACGAAAUCGAACACCAUUUACCACACAACUUGUAUAACUAUGAUAUCGCUCUAGUGGACCUUGAGAUAAAGAGUACAAAUCCUCAUUGAUACUAGUUGAGUUUUGGACUUGCAUUUGGGAUAUCUACAAAAGCAUAUAACAUAUAUGAAGGGCAGGACACCAAAGUUAAGAAAAAAUUAAAUACAAAUUCUCACCUUUUUCUUAAACCAUGAUGGGAAUUCUUCUCUUUGUCUCACUUCAGUGGCUGAAUAUGGCAGGCCUCCCUCGAGCAAUAUUGUUCUGUGCUCACUGCAUGAAAAAUAUUUAUUUGACAAAGUGAUGUAAAUAUACAAGUCAUAUAAAUAUAUAAGGGAUAUAAGUAUGAUGCACCAAUAAUAAUAAAAAGUAAAGUACUUGCUCAAGAUAUGUUUGAAUAUCAUCUGCAGAAUUGUUUAAUAUAUACCAUUGAAUUGCAUUCUUCCAAUUUUGGAGCAAUCGAAUACAAGAUGCCCCUAAUGGACGUGUAUUAGACUUAAACACAUCCAUAUGAUGAUUUGGAAGAGGUAAAUCCCAAUUGCGUUCAGGUCUGGUAAAUCUUGUUUCUAUAUUCGGAACAUAUCUGGCUAAAAAACUCACAGCUUCAUCUACAAUAUAAGCUUCUGCAAUUGAACCAUCUGGUCUAGCCAUAUUUUUCACAUAUUUCUUAUAUAAACCCAUUUGACGUUCUGUCUCAAACAUCCAUCUCGGAGCAACCGGGCCACCUAACAACACUUGAUCAGGCAAGUGUACACAAAGAUGUAGCAUUAUGGUAAAAAAAGACAGAGGAAAUAUCUUCUCCAGCUUGCACAAAAUUAUUACAAUUCCCUGCCUUAAUUCUUCAAUGUCAGAAAUACGUAUAGUUUUGGCACAAAUUUUUUGAAAAAACUGGCAUAACUCUAUCAAAGUACCACGAAUGUUUUUCGUCAAAUAAGGGAGUAAUGCAACUGGCAAUAUCUUUUGAAGUAAAACAUGACAGUCAUGUGUUUUCAUUCCUUUCAGCUUGUUAUUAUCUGUAACACAUCGACUAAUAUUUGAAGCAUACCCAUCUGGUACUCUUACACUACGAAUAAAUUGGCAAAAACUCUUGCAUUCUUCUUUUGUAAGAGUAUAACUGGCAUGGGGUUUUUCAUAUUUAUUAUUAGUUUUCUGUCUUAACCAAAGCUCUUCACGGAUAUUUAAAUCUUGCAAAUCUUUACGAGCUUUCAAAUUGUCUUUUGAUUUACCUUCAAUAUCUAAAAGUGUGCCAAUAAUAUUAUCACAGACAUUCUUCUCUAUAUGCAUCACAUCAAGAUUAUGUCGCAAUAAGAGUUUUGACCAAUAUGGCAAGUCGAACAAAAUACUUCUUUUACUCCAGUUUAACUCUUUGGCUCCACGCUUACGUUUUCUAGAAGAAUUAUUUGGGGCUUUACCAGUUGUACGUGUAGGAACCUCCUCUAACUGUUUUAAAAUGUCUUCACCUGUAAAAGUUCUAGGGGGACCACGUAACUCGUUAGAUCCAUCAUAUUCUUUACUUCUUCUCCAAGGAUGUUUGGCAUCUAAAUAACACCUAUGUCCUAUAAAACAUUGUUUGUCGGUUAUUCUUCUAGAUCUAGUGUCCUCCAAACAAACUGGACAAGCCAAUUUUCCAGCAGUGCUCCAGCCAGAUAGGUAUGCAUAAGCGGGGAAAUCACUAAUUGUCCAUAAUACUACAGCUCUUAGUUUAAACAUGCAAUUAGUGUAUGAAUCAUAUGCAUCUAUUCCAUCCCACAACUCCUUAAGUUCUUCAAUUAAUGGCUGCAAGAACACAUCAAAGUCCUUCCCAGGAGAUUUUGGACCUGGUAUUAAUAAAGCCAUGAGAUUAUUGGUACCAUUCGGAGAAGCCCAAGGUGGCAUGUUAUAAGGAAUUAAUAUCACCGGCCACAAACUAUAGGUUGAUGAAAGGUUUGAGAAAGGGUUAAACCCAUCAGAUGCCAACCCCAUUCGAAUACUCCUGGAAUCUUUAGCAAAGUCAGGAUAUGUAUUAUCAAAAUGCUUCCAGGCCAUCCCAUCAGCCGGAUGUCGUAAUAUACCAUUUUCAGUUUUACGCACUUCUUUAUGCCAUCUCAUGUCUUUUGAAGUAUGUUUGGAGUUAAAAAAUCUCUUAAGUCGAGCCUUUACUGGAAACCAUCUAAGCCGCUUAUGGGGGAUUUUAUUCCUUACAUAACGACUAGAUUGACAGAUGACGUCAGCAGUGGGCCCCCCAGAAAAUUUAAAAAAAAAUAAAAAAUAAAAAGAUUGGAGUGCUCAUAGCAAAAAUAGGAGUGGAAAUAGUGGUUUUUAGGUUUGUAUGGUAGUGUGAUUUGUAGUGGAAUAGCCCCCUAUAGGGCUGAGCAGAACCGAACCGAAACCGAAAAACCGGACCGGACCGAAUAAUUUCGGUCCGGUUCGGUCCUAAUUUUCUGAAAAUUCGGUCCGUUCGGGUAUUUCGGUCCGGACCGAAAUAAAAUACGGUCCGGUCCGGUCCCCAUCGAAAAAUUUCGGUCCUGGACCGAAUGGACCGAACUUUUAUAUAUAAUAUAAAUAAUAUUUUUAUUUUAUAUUUUAAAUACCAUAUUAUAAUUAUACUAUCUAAUAUCUAUAGACUAUAUUCACCGUCGAGACUCUCUAUACCUAAUCUAAUCGAGCAUACGUAUACCUAAUCGAGCAUGACAGCAUGAGUUAGUUCCAUGAACAUGAGCAGCAGAGCAUCAGCGGACAAACAAAAUGAUGAAGAGUUGAAGACUAGUAGUAGCAGACUAUUUAUUUUAUUUUUGAACUAGCAGACUUGAGACUACUGUGGUGGUUUUUAAAAUUUAUAAACUUAUGACUAUUUUGGACUAUCUUUUUUCUCUUUUAUCAUGCUUGCUGAUUUUUUUUGUAAAUACAGAUUAAUUUUUUUUUAAUUCGGUUCUGGCGGACCGGACCGGACCGACCGAAUUAUUUCGGUUCGGUCCCGGUUCGGUCCAUAUGCAAACUUCGGUCCGGUCCGGUCCAGAAAAUUUUCAAAGUUCGGUCCUCGGUCCGUUCGGUCCGGUCCGGUUCUGGACCGAACCGACCGAAUGCUCAGCCCUAGCCCCCUAUAUAAUAUAGUUACCGAAUGAAAUUAUAAAGUUAGUGUGAUAUAAUUGAAUUAUAAUAUUGGUAUCUUUACUAGAGUUUCCUUCAAAAUAUCUUUCCUGCACAUUUGUCACUCUUUUGCUUGUCUUUUGAGAGCUGGAUAGUGAAGCUACUAUUCUUCAAAAAUUCCAGCUUAUUUUAAUGCUCUAUAAAUUGUAAGCAAUUUUAAAACUUCUAAAUAUGCAAUUUAGCGGCUGGUAACCCGUCCAAAUCGGCCCAAACCAACCCAACCUGAAGCAUGACAAAUUGGGUUGGGUUAUAAAAUAAUUUUAAUGGGUUGGGUUCGAAAAUUAGGAAACCAAUAUUAAUGGGUUAGGUCGAUAAAAAAUUUAAACCGGGCCAACCCGGCCCGCGUACACCUCUAGAUGGGUGGGUCAAGAAACGGACUACAAUGUAAUGGUAGUAAUCUUCAGAAAUGCAUAAAAAUAUACCUUCACUUUUUAAUUUUUAAAUUCAUUUUUAACUUUUUCUUCAUUCAACUUCUUUCAAAAAUUAAACUAAAAUAGUUUAUUUAACUUAAACUAGUCAUAAGAAAUAAAAACAAUUGCUAGAUGAUAACAGUCAAGUUGUUCAACAAUAAAAUAAUUACACAAAAUAAAAUUAAAUAUAAUAUUUGUUAUUUUAUAAGGCAAACAAUAAGUUAGGGUUCAUUUGUUUGCUGCUGAUUAGUGCUUAAUGAGUAAUGAGCUGACCGCGUCAGCAAUUCAGCUUGUUUGUCACUAAAUUUUAGGGAAGCAUAAUGAAUCUGUUCCUGUUGAGCGGCUCCGUUUUGAGUUUAUAACCCAAUGAUUCAGCACAGCGUUUACAUAUAACCCACAUGUAUAAAAAAAUUAGUCUAAUCUAUAACCAAUUAUUUUUGGAUAUUCAUAUUAAUUUAUGCUUGCAAUAAUAUUGUUAUACUUUAAAUAAGCUCAGAUAUCAAAAAAUUUAAGACGUAGAAUUCUGUAUAAAAUUUCUAAUUCUGAUAUGAUUUAUAAUAUUGUAAUAUCAAAUAUUAAUUUAUUGGAGUUAAUUUUUUUGGCUUAAAACUAAUUAAAAUACAAUGUUCUAUUUAAAUAUAAUAUUAUUAAAUUAUAGAAAUGUUUUAUGUUAAAUAAAAUUUUUUUUGAUAAGAUUAUUGUAAAUUGAAUUCAUUAUUUCAAAACCUAUUUGUCGAAUGAUAUUAUUCAUUUUGGGAUUCAGAUAACUUACCAGCUCAGCUCAUUCAGAUAGGAUAACGAAUCAGAUAUUUUUAAUUCAGAUUUUCCAAAUGACCCCUUAGAUCAUAGAAGAAGGGUUGAAUAUAAUCUACAAAAAUUCCAAACUAUUUUUGCUAAACCAAUAAUAUUCAAAACACAAGAGAUCAAAAUCUAAACAGAAAUUUAAAAGAAAAAGGAUAUUAAAAAUUUCAGGUGGAUUGUUUUCUCCACCUGAGAUAUUUUUAUAUUUAGAACCUCCCAAGUAAAAAAUUUACUUGGCUGCUUACAAAAGAAUGAAGAGCUAAAGCCUACAAUUUCUUUCUUGCUAUCUCUACUGCUUUGUUUUUCAGUUCUUGAUGUGUUGGAUACAUUGAAAUAAAAAUUACAAUGCAAAUAUAUACUACGGAAUGGCUAUCAUGUGCCCUUCGGACACAUGAUAAGUAGUAAUUAAUAUAGUCAACUACUUUUAUAUGUACAUAGUUAUCAGUGUAUUUGUACAGAAAAUCAUUCAAAAAUUCAUUAACUAUGAACUACUUUUAUAUUUACUCCCUCUGUUUUUUUUAUAUGACGCUUUGACUUUUGACACACACUUUUAAGUGCUUUGACCGGGUAGUUGAAAAUAUUAUUUUUUGAAUUUUUUUUUCUGAAUAAAAAUUUUGAGUAUAUAUUAUUAUUCAGAAAAAGAAAAUUUAAAAAAAUAAUAUUUUUAACUACCCAGUCAAAGCACUUAAAAGUGUGUGCCAAAAGUCAAAGCGUCAUAUAAAAAAAACAGAGGGAGUACAUAGUUAUCAGUAUAUAUUUAUUUUUAAUUUGUCUUCUAAAUUUUAUAUUUAUAAUAAAAUAUUAUUUUAUUUCAAAAAAUGUGAGAACGUAUAAUAAUUCUUUUGUCAUAUUUUAUAUGACAAUUUUUAAUUGUUUUCAUCCACAAAUAAUAACGAGGCUCCCCUACUCUUUUUCUAAUAGUUACAAAUAUAGAAUUUCUUUGACUUGAUAAUACUUUUGGCAGCUUGAAAUUCUUUUUUUCUUUGCUAGAAAUAGAAGGCUUCGAGGUUCUCAAUAUUUGACUAAACUCAUUUUGGUUUAGCUUCCAAAAGUGGUGCACCACCUUUCACAUCAACCCGUGUGACUUUUGUCCUUUACUUGAUUUGUAACUGUCAAUUGAUAGUCAUCAACUGCUAGAAAGUAUGUAGCCGAUGAUAGCUUCUUGAAUCAUCAAUUGAUAACUCUACUUGUUAGGCGUUGAUGGAUUGAUGCAGCUUUUGAUGAUGUACUUUAUUCAGCCGUUGAUGUCUUGACUAGCCAUUGAUCUUCACUUCACUUGUAAAGAUUACAUGAUUUCAAAUAUUUACAAUUAUGUCACCCUAUAUAUAGGGCUGAGCAAAACUGAAUCGGAACCGAAGAACCGAACUUAACUGUGAAAAUUCAGUCCGGUUCGGUUUUUUUUUCAGAAUUUCGAUCUUUUCGGUUUUUCGGUCCGGAUUGAAUUAAAUUUCGGUCCGGUCCUUUUGAAAAAAUUUUGGUUCCGGACCGAAUAGACCGAACUAUUUAUAUUAAUUAUUUAAUAUAUCAAAUAUAAUAUAUGUUAUAUGUUUUAGUUGUAACUUGCAAGCCACAGACACAGACUUCUCACUCCCAGUUCAGCCAGGAACGGUGCAUCAUUACAGAUUCAAAGUUAUUCACUAAAGAAAACAAACGUAGGAUAAACCAGCAGGCAACAGCUAUCCACCAACCCUCACGACCUUGGGCCACUGUACAGAUUCAGACACACAAUUAGCAGUACACUAGUCUCUAGGUCUGCAAGUAUAUUCUAAUGCACACUUGUACCAGGAAGUGAUUAACAGAAAUAGACUAACAAACUAAGCUUGUGAUUUUCAUAUUUUUGAUAAAAAAAUUCGGUUAUUAUGGAAAGAACCUAACCGAACCGGAAUAUUUCGGUUCGGUUUUGGUUCAGUCCAUAUGCUAAUUUUGGUCCGGUUUGGUCCGGGAAAAAUUUCAAACUCGGUUUUCGGUUCCUUCGGUUCGGUCACGAACCGACCGAAUGCUCAACCCUACCUAUAUAUACAUUCACUGAUAGAACAAUUGCUAUAUCAGUUGAUCACUAUAACAUGUAUCAACUGCUAGGAUACCUACAGUUUUGUUACAGUACCACAUCAGCCGUUGAUCAAUGGCUGCUACAAUAAGUAUGCUAGCCAUUGAUCAGCUACAUUAAAAAAUUACUAAGUACAAAAACUAAGUGUUUUGUAUCAUUAAGUAUAACAUAUUCCUAACAAUCUCCCCCUAUAUAUAUUUGGUGGAAAUUCAGAUAUAAAUUAUGGGUACUUGAUAAUAACAAAACACUAUACAAAGAAAAUUACAAAGAAGAAUCAUUGAGUUGAAGAAUAUGUAAGAUUGUCAGUAUGUAAAAUACAAGAGUUAAAGAGAAUACAGUACAGAUGAAGUGCUCCUCUAGACGGAGCAAAUUAGAGUCAUUUCUUUUCUCUUGCUUUGUCUUCACUCCUUUUGUUGAACCUCUCUUCCCUUGCUUUUCCAACUUAAUAUGAUCUCUCUUUGCCGAGCUGCAAUAAAGUCAGCUUCUUCAGAAAUCUUUUGAUUGAGUAGUUUCUUCAUGUGCCUAUGAGUAUCAAUAUCGCCUUCUUAGCAUAGUCCUCCAGCCUAAAAAAUCUUUUGAUUCUUUGUUUAUCCCUAAAAGUUAUCAGCUUAGAAGGUUGAUCAUGAACAACUUUGCCAAUAUUAGGGAUGGACAAUCUCAAUGGUAGGCCUGUAGGAUUACUCCAUCUUCUUUGAAUAAUGCUUCACACCACUUGCAAAUCCGCUUCUUGUAUCCAUCUUCAUAUAGAUAGUCUUGAGAGCAUAGUAAUCUUGAUCAAGUAUUCUUUAUAAUGGCUAAGUGAUCUUGGGUACAGCUUUGUAGAUGAAUUCCAACCUUUCAGGAUAUUUGUGAGUUGCUGCCAAAGCCCUUACUUUCUCAAAUUCAUUUAGAUAUAGCUUAAUGUGAGGCUGUUCACUAAGAUAAAUGACAUAAGAAAAAUUUGUCUUGGGAACUUUGACAAUCUCAGACACAGGUGGAAUUACAACUUCUCUAGAUGGAGAUUUUACUUUAACUGGCCCAACUGGAUCAAAUCUCUUAAGAUUACCUUGUUUCUUCUCAAUUUGCACAGGCUUAGAGAUUUUUCUUCUUAAAAAAGAUUUACCUUUCUUAGAUCCAAGAGAAUCAGCCUUCUCAUCUUCUUUGGAGAUAAAGAUUUUCUCAUCUUCUUUGGAGAAAAAUUAAGAGAAGGACGUGAAAAUUAUACCUUAAUAGAAGUUGUUUAUGUUCAAGAUCUUGGCUAGUUUUAUGUUUGGAAGAUUUUUAUGUCGUCGUAGCGGAUGUUGAAGAUUCUGCCAUGUAUAAUUUUUUUGGUUGAUUUGUAUUUGUAUGACGGGGUUUUUGUAACAAUCGUUAAAUUUCACAAGUACGUAAAAUAUAGUUAUUUAAUUAUUUACCGUGUAAAAAAAUAUAUAUUUUAUUAGUCUCGGAUUUAAUAAAAAUUUAUAGUGCGAGAAGUCUAUAUCAAAAUAGUGUAGCCACGAAAAGGCUAGAAGACACGUAAUAUUAUUUGGUAUGGAUCAGUCUUUUAAUCUAAAUAUAUACGUUAACCAGAAAGCUGCGUUUAUACAAAAAAUAGAAUAGACACGAAUAUUUAUUUAUUGACCGACUCAUAAAUAAAUAUUGCGUCUUGGUCGAGAUGAUUAUUUUAUUCUUAUUAUUUUAUAAUUUUGGGGUUGGCCAGAAAAUAUUAAAAUAAUUAGUAAUAUAUUUAUUUAAGUAUUUUGUAUGAUUUUGAAUUGUUUAAUAUUCACGUUUAAUUAAAAACUGAAACGAAAAUAAUCCGAGCGGGAUCGAGUAAAUUAAUAAUUAAAAGUUUCUUGGGGCGUAAGAAAAAAAACUUCUAGCCCAAGUCUUUUUCCUUGGCGCCCAAGUAAGCUAAUAAUUAGGAAUAAAUUAAGAGUGGAUUAGUGAGAUAAUUACAAUUAAAAAUUUAGUAUAAAAGCGACAAGCCAAGACACCUACAUUUUCAGUGGUGCAAAAAUUAUAGAGUUUUUUUUUUUUUGAAACGCAAGAACUUUUAUUGAUAACCAAUCUCCAACAAGAGAAAGGUGGGAACAGUACACUAAGGUUGAAACUGAGACUUCCUAGGUCUGCACAUUGGCUAAACAUCCGAAACUGAAAUUAGAACUGAAACUACCGGAACUGAAACUAGAACUGAAGUACUAUCCUAACUUUAUUAGGCUACAACAUAUAACUACAGUUGUAGCUUGCUCUAAUAUUACUAGUGCCCACAAGCAAGCAUUUUCUUAGUCAAUAUCCUCCAUGGGAGGGACACCUUGAGAUGUUGUAAUUCACCAGAGAUCUCAUGAUGGAAGAUCUUCAUCUACAUGCAUUGGCCCAAGGAGUUGACCUGAUUCUUUAAUGCUCACACCAGCCUGCAAUCAUUUUCCUCCUGCGAGCUCCAUCUUUGGAGAAUUGAUCUGCCAGGACAUUUAAAUGCCUAGGAAUAUAAAGAAGGGUGACUUUGUGGACAAAAAUAUUAUUAUGCAGUUCCUGUAAAUGUGUAUCCCAGUAAACUCCCCGUUUGAACUUCAGGAAAUUAUUUACCAAAGUAGUUGAAUCAGUAAGGAUAAUACAGGAGCGAAUACCCAGACAAUUAUGCUGUAAAUGGUCCAUCAUGAUCACUAAAGCUUUAACUUCUGCGUCAUAAUUAGACUGAACUUCCACAGGGCCUGAAAAAACUAACUUGCAUAAUCUUUUAUUAUUUAUUAUCACUCCUCCCACACCAGCCAGUAUAUUUCCGUCAAGCCUUUAAUUGAAACGAUCCAUCAAUAAAGCCCGCAUAUUGAUAGAUGGACAACCAGUUUGUGAGCCAGGAAUUCAGAUUUUUCCGAGAAUAUAUGUGGACUGAAUGGGCUGGAGAUAUCGCCCAGCUGCUCAUCAAACUCUGAGAGAUUAACUUCGCUGCACGGGCCCAUAAGAAUGCUCUGUAUUUAAUUGCUAGUUCCAGACUUUUAGGUGAAAUUCUGAAACCCCUAAAAAUUAAUUCGUUGCGAGCAAUCCAUAUUGACCAGAACAUAGAGGCUAAACAUAUGCUUCCACUUACAUGUUUGUAGAGAACGCGUAUCCGUUGGAAACUCCCUGAGAAACUUGUGACUCCAUCCUGCCAACUGCUUACUUCGAGCCAUUUGUUUAAACAUUCCCACCCCAUCUUAGCCAACGAACACUGAAAAAAUAAGUGUGCUUGUGUUUCUUCCUCAGCAUUGCACCACUUACAUAAAUUCUCAAAUCUGACUGAUCUACGCUUUAGAAGGUCGUAAGUGGGAAGUCUAUUGUGUUCUGCUUGCCAUAAGAAAACCUUAAUACGUGGAGGUCAUACACCAGAUUUGAGACCAUGAUCUAUUGUUAUGUGAAAAUUCCGUUAACCUUUGAUAAACUGCAGCUGAAGUUAGAGAAUUAUUGUUUGCAACCCAUAUUAUUCUGUCUUCCUUGUCUUGCAGGACCACCUCGUUGACAAUUUGCUUGAGAUAUUCUAGCUGACUGAUUUCUUCACGGGAAGACAAAGAACUAACAUCUAUUAUUUCUUCCCAGGAAGAACAAUUGACUAUUUGGGAGACAGACAGUGAUGGAUCUCUAAGUCGCGUAAAUAGCAAAUUCAACCGCCCUUUAAGAACACCCUGUCGAUGCCAGUUAUCAAGCCAAAAUUCUAUUGUUACACCAUUACCUAAUUCCCACUUGAUAUUUUGCCAGGAACAGCAGCUGCUAAAACAUGCGUCAGAAAUCAUGAUCACACUCUUAAUAACUGGAGAGGCAUUAAUUUUUAAUUUAUUUUUCCAAGCCUCGCGCAAAGUGUUGAGACAGUCAGCCCCAUAUUUUCCUACCAGAAUUUUCCUCCAUAAACCAUUUUUCUCUUUGUAGAAUCUCCACCACCAUUUUGCCAAUAAUGCCUCAUUUUUAGUAUCUAAAAAUCCUAUUCCUAAACCCCCUUCCUUCUUAGGUUGACAGAUAGUGGACCAUCCAAUCAAAUGCAUCUUCCUGCAGUGAUUAUCUCGCUCAUCUAAUUCUUUCCAGAAAAAACCUCUCCUUAUUUUGUCUAUUGCAUCAUUGAUUUCUUUGGAGGUUUUGAAGACACUAAACCAAUAUAUUGGCAAAUUGUUCAGUGUUGAUUUAAUCAACGUAGCUCGGCCUGCCUUAUUAAGAAUAUGACUCUUCCAAGAGCUUAACCUGGUCUUGACCUUAGUUAGGAUAGGUUUCCAAAAGGUCCGUCUUUUCGGAGAAACUCCCACUUGGAAGCCAACAUAUGGGAAUGGCCAUGAACCACUUUGACAACCUAAAAUCUGCGCACAUUGUUUUACCAAGUCUGAGCCUGGUUCAUGUGCAUAGAGUACGCUUUUUCUAAAAUUAAUUUUUAGACCUGAUAAUAUUUGAAACAGGAGUAAUAUUAACUUCACACCCUGGCAAUCCAAAAUUGAGUUCUCGGAAAAAAGAAUUGUAUCAUCUGCAUACUGGACAUGCGAGAUAGGAGGACUACUUCCCAAAAUCAGCCCCUUAAAAAAACCAAGCUCCAUUGCUUUGUCUAAUAGUAAAUGAAGAAGGUCUGCUACCAAAUUAAAGAGCAUAGGUGACAUAGGGUCACCCUGUCGUAACCCUCUAGACAUUCCAAAUUCGCGUGUUGGGCUACCAUUAACUAAAAUUGACAUCCGAGUACUUUCCAAAAUUACUUUGAUCCAUUGAAUCCACUUAUUUCCAAAUCCGAAUGCAUUAAGGGCUUUGAAGAGAAAAUUCCAGUUAACCGAAUCAAACGCUUUCUCGAAAUCUAAUUUCAAAAUGAAGCCUUUGACUCGUUUCGAUUGCACACUAUGCACCACUUCCUGAGUAACUAGGAAACUGUCUGUGAUAUUACGGCUUUUGAUAAAUCCAGACUGGACCUCUGAUACUAAAGAUGGGAUGUGUUGUCCUAGACGUAACGAGAGUGCCUUUAAUAGUAUCUUUAACACACAGUUUAUCAAGCUUAUUGGACGGAAGUCGCACACUGAAGUUGGAGUCUCUUUUUUGGGAAUUAAGCAAAUAAAUGAGGAAUUGAGGCCAUUAGGAAGCUUACCUUGAUAACAAAACUCCUGGACCAUUUUCAGGACAUCCGGAUGAAUGCUUGUCCACAUCUUUUUAAGGUACUCAACAGAGAUACCAUCAGGUCCUGGAGAUUUGUUAGAGUCCAUGCUCAUCAAGGCUCCAAAUAAUUCUUCAAGAGUAAAUUCUCGCUCCAACUGGAGCGUCUCAUCUGCACUUAAUUGUUUAGUUAUAAGCCCUUGUAUGUCAAAAUUGAUUUCAGGCUGCUCUCUGUUGAAAAAACCUUCAAAAUGAUCCAGAAAUAGAUUCUUAAUUUGAUCCGGUCUGUGAUACCAUAUUCCAUCGUGCAAAAUUCCACGAAUGUGAUUUUGCUUUCUUCUAUACUGAACCAAUCUGUGAAAGUACUUCGAGUUGCUAUCUCCAUGUAACUCCCAGUUAAGUUUGGCUUGCUGACGUAGAAUCUGUUCUUGCUCGCGAUAUAACUCCCAAAGUUGCUCUUCUGUUGCCUGCAAUUCUGGCUCACUAUCUGAUUUUCCCAACAAUGUAUUUCUUCGAUUUUCAAGACGUGAAAUGACAUCUGAGGGUUUUUCAUUAACCCUGUACCAUUCUUUAAUAGUCCAACGAAGAGAUUUUAGUUUUCCGUGCAAGUUUAAGUUGGACUCUGACAUCCGACCCCAAUGAUCUGUAACCAUCUUAAGAAAAUCAUCUUUUGCCAACCAAGCAUUGUAUACCUUGAAAGGUUUAUAUCCCCAAUCCAUACGGCCUUGACUGAGUAAAAUUGCAGCGUGAUCUGAGCUCAUCUUUCCUUGAGACUCUAACAACCAUUCUCCUUUCUCUUCCCAUACAUGAUUAAUAAUGGCCCGGUCCAGUCUGCUGCAUUUACUACCUGGUCCAAACCAAGUAUACUCUCCCUUGUGGAUUGGAACGUCCCAUAGGCCGGCCCUUGCUAGAAAUUCCUUCAGCUCCUCUGUAUCAGACUUUCUAUACUGACAAUUGUAUCUAUCUUGUUUAGAUAGAAUACAAUUAAAGUCUCCAAUUAUGCAUAUAGGUAAUGAAGAAAAACGAUCAAGCAGCAAAUUUAAAUUUUGCCACACUUGUCUUCUACGCUUUCUUUUAUGGGGCAUAUAAAGAUUUACACAACAAAAUUCUUCAUGAGGUUGUGACUUGAGCGAUCCGUGAAACCAAAUCCAGUUUUGAUCACUGUAUUGACUAAUUUUCGUCAUCAUGGUUGCAUCCCACGAUAUAGCUAAUCCCCCCGAUAAGCCUUGCGAAUUCACUGUGAUCCAUUCAUGCAACUUGCUGUCCCAAAUGGCUUCUUUUUGAAAUACUGUCCAAUUAUCACAUUUCGUCUCUUGUAAACAUAAUAUAUUUGCUUGCGUUGACCUGCUUAUUUGUCUGACUUUCCGCCUAGUAAGCGAAUUAUUUAUACCUCUACAAUUCCAACUAAUAAUUCGGAUGUGAUUCAUUGAUAACCUUAAGAUAUCUGAAAAGAAUGGAACUAAGAUUCUAGUACCAUUUUCUGAAUUUUUUCAUAUGCUUGUUGCCUGUCCUCUUGGAGAACCAGUCCCAUCAUUUCAGCUGUCUCUAGGAUUUGAGAUGUCAUGUCCUUCCCACUUUCCAACAGCUGGACUCCUCCUGGUUUAUGUGAAGGCUCCUGGGCCAUCUUUCUUUUCCCACGUUUGUCGGGACUUUUAAAUGCCUUAACCAAUUUAUCUGACUGAACUUUGGUGUUCUUCCUUUUUCGCUUCUUGAAACUCUUAAUAUCGAACACAUUUCUGAACUCUACCUUUUUCCUUGGUCGUCCUACUUUCUUGCCUAAAUUGACUUGAGACAUGCUUGUUACAAAUUGAGUAUCAAGUUGUUCCUGCGGGCCAAAAAAAUAUAUUUCAUCUCCACGUACCUCUUCUACUUCUGCAAGAUCAUAUGCUUUAUUCAUACAUGCAGAAAACAGGCCAUCCUGCCUCUUAGAGGAGUCCGAAGAGGAGUUGUCAGCUGGUUCUCGCAAGUUCCAUUUACCAUACUCCCAUUGGUCUAAGUGUAAGAUAUGAUCUCGGGCUGACAAAUCAUUGCUCUGGCUCUUUGGACGUCGAUUAUCUUGCAUGUCAAGGAUGUAACUUGAUUGUUCCUCAGGGUGAAAACUAUUCUCUAUACUUUGAUUACUACUUCUGGAGACCUCUUUCUCCGACUCUGGAAGUUGUGAUGAGGUCUGAGAAGCAGACUCUGGCUCUUUAUGUCGCUGUCCUAAAUCAUGCCCCCACACCACAAUAUUUGUUUCUUUUAUCUUCACCCAGUAGCCUAAACCCCUCACCAUUACUUUGAGGGUUUCCUCAAUUGGUAUAACCUUCCAUGUUGUAAUACAAACCAUUCUGUUAUGCUUGUUGAACAUCUCCAUAUUUUCCGGAAAUGUAGAGACUAGCGAACCCCAAUCUCCCAAUAUGAGCUCCCAUGUUUCCUUGUUCCAUGCAGAUAAUGGUAAUCCAUCGCACAGAAUCCAUGUAGUUCUAGGAAGAACUAAAUCAGAGUCCUCCACCUUUUUGAAACUCGUGAACAUGUCCUUAAUGCCAUCUAUUUCUAGGUCUUUGUCCUCGUCUAGAAUAUACGAGAUUAAAAAGGUCUUGUCUGACAGGUGUCUGACUUGAAUAAAAGUGAACCCUCUGUUUAGGAUUUUCUCUUGUAGCACAUCCUCUUGUACAGUUUCUGCUGUUGUUCCAAUGAAGCUUCUAUUAAGAAGCUUGCUGCAAUUAGGUGUGAUCGUGCCCUGGACCGUGCGGAAACUUGGUUGCUUGACCAAAUCAACCUUUUCUUUAUCAAUGUUGGGUACCCUAUUUGAUUUGACCUCCUUGACGUAGUGCUUGUUUUGGGAUAGUUUCCCAUCGACGCUUUCGAGUUCCUGCCUGCCUGACCAUUUCCAAGUUGGAGAUGCUUGGACUCGUCGAUGGGAGUCUCGAGCCAAGUACACAACCAACUUGUUGCUCCCCAUCCAUCUUCCAUUAAAAUCUGUAAUUAACUCCUGGGCUUCACUCAGCUUCGCCACUAUUAAAAAACCAAAUCUUUUGUUAAACUUGUCCUUCUUCCGAGGAAGGACAUUUUUUUUGAUGUAUCGCUUGCCAUUGAAGCGAAGCCACAUCUCUCUAAUGUUUGUGUGCUCUGGCAGAUUAUUUAUCAUCACCGACAAACAUCCAUUCCUAGUGAUCUUCUGUUUGAUGGGAUCUUCUGAGCAGGGUUCCUUUCUCCUUGCCGGUACAGAACCUGUUAGUACCUGUGCGUAUGUUUGCUCGCGUCCAUAGUCUCCAUAAGCUGUAUGUUGUUGGCCUGAUGUAGCACCGUUGUCAGGUACAAUGACUCGUUUUCCGGUAGUCGGAUGACGGGAGAUCCGGAACCACUGACCUUCCCUGGAGUUUCGAUCAUCUCCUGGUUGUUCAUUUGAAAUUUUGAAAUUUGAAUUUCUAAACUCACUUUUCUCUCUCCUCAUAUUCUCUUUUUAAGACGUGUUUUUGGUGGACAAAAAGUUAACAAACGUUAACGUCAAUACUAGUAAUUACCUAGUCAAUACUCUGUUCUAAAAGUCGGUAAAAAAUUAUAGAGUUGGAAAAGCAGAGAAGUAAAGUAAGUAUCAGUAAAAUUGGAAAGGAAGGUGAUUUUUCGUCGCAAAAUCCGGAUUAACAAGGUAAAUAUACUAAUUUUUUCCAUUAAUAUGAAAUCAAGUCUCUUUAUAGCUUUUGAUGGUGAAAUGACUGAAAUCCUAUUCAUGUGGACCCAUCCUCCUAUUUUAUUCUCUUUUACACUACUGAGUUUAUAAACAAAUUAGUAACCUUAUAAACAAUAACUAGCAUUAAAGCCCCGUGCUUGCACGGGGCUGUGGUUUAUAUUGUAUUUUAUUUUUGACAAAAUAAAGAAUAUGAAAAUGUAAAUUUGCAACCUAUAACAUUAUUAUUAAUAAUAAUAAUAACGAUAAUAAUAAUAAUAAUGAUAAUAAUAAUAAUAAUAAUAAUAAUAAUAAUAAUAAUAAUAAUAAUAAUAAAUACUACAUUUUUGAGAAAUUUAUGCAUCAAAAACUAUAUUUAAAUUGACCUUUUUAUAUUCAAAUUCGUUAGGAUAUAAAGGUUAUUAUCAUAUUACUUAAAUGUUCAAAAUUAUAUUCGAAAUGAAUACUGAAACUUUUAGAUUUUAAAUAUAUUAAUAUGAUUUUGAUAAAAAUUUGUUCUUGAUAUGUGAAUUACGAUAUCUUAAAUCGUGAUCAGAUAAAGAUGUGUGGCAUGUGUUGUUUUAUAUUUCUUCCUUUCAUUUUUGAGCAUAGAUUUGACGUCAUUCCUAAGUGAUGUAUGAUGAGGCAGAUCAUCAACACAAUCUUUCUUAGCAUUUGUUAUGCACACUUUGGAUAAAUAGAAAUCGUAACAUAUAUGUUGUAUGUAAAAGACCCAUACAUUAUUUCAUCAUAAAAGUAUCAAUUGAACUACUAACCUUAUAAUUGUACCCAAAAAAAUUAUGACACCCAUGAUGUGGUUUGCCCUUUUAAUUUUCUUAUCAACUAUAUAGUACUUCCAUGGCUUAGAUUUCAUUGCUAAUUUAAAAUAUUAGAAGAUUAUUACAUUGAUAUAGUAUGUUAUAACAUCGACUCGUUAUAAAAUUUUAAUUUUUUAUCAUUAGUUUUCUAAGCCAGAUGAGUAAGACUUUUAAUUAAUUUUCAUUUUAUUGUUAUAAACCAGAUCUCAAACAAAUAAUUUUCUGGUAUUUCAAAUGAAAAAAAAAGAGUAGAUAUGACUUAUGCCUCCUGAAGUUCGUAAAGACAUGAAAUAUUGAGCCCCAUUAGUUGUGUAGUUAUUUUUUUAGCUUUGUGCGAAGUCACAUUCUUAAAUAUUUUGAUACUCGUAUUUAUUAGUGGUAAGCAAAACAGUAUAUCAUGUUUAGUUGUUAAUGAUCAGACUUAAUAAUCUAUAUUGUGGAUUCUAGAAAAGUAUUCUGGUUCCAGUUCCGACUAAACAGAUAUUUUUUUUAACCUAAUCACGUCAGAUUAUCUAGUUCCAAAUUAGUUAAUAUUUUUUAGUUUAAUUUGUAAGUCGUUAAUCAAUUUAAUUGUAUUUUCUCAUUAUAUUUAAUUUUAUAAAUUAUGUAUUGAUUACUGGUACACUAAGAUAAAAUAACUUAUUCCUCAAUUUUUUAUUUUAUUUUAGCCAGAUAAAAUUACAAUUCAAUUGUUUUUACUAAGUCUCAUAACGCAUUUUGCUAUUAUCUAGUUUUUUUUUUUUUUACAAUAUAAAAUUUUCCCGAAUUUACAUGUAUUCACAAGUUAUGAUAUUUUAAAUCCAUGUAUCAUCAACAUUAUAUCAUUUAGAUAUACUUUUUAAUAAAAUAAAAAUGGAUCGAAUUCGGAUUAGCGAGUGCAUAAGCAGUUGUGAUCAGGAUCGGAUUCAGAUUUAUUGAUAAAAUCCCGAAUGAAGGUCCAGUUUGACAAUUUUUAUGUUAACCCCUAGUUUUUGGGCAUGUUCCUCGCAUUCAUUAUAUAAAAAUUUUCUGGGUGACCUUUAUCUAGAUUGUAAUAUUGUUAAAAAUAUUUUUCUGAAUCUGCAGUCUAUUUGUUAGAAAUUGCAUAUGAGAAAUAAUAUAUUGUAUAAGCAAGUAUGUGAUAUGAUAGUAUAGUGAAAAAAAUUAUUCGUUAAAAUAUUAUGAGCUCAUAAUAGAGAUUUUUUUAAAAAAACAUUUGUCACAAUAUCGUGAUGUGUAUUUUCUUCUAAAUUUUUAAAUUAAUAAAUAUGUAAAUUAGAUUCGUCUCUUACAGUAAUUGACAUUGGAUCCUGCCUUAGAGCUCUUUUCAGUGAAUGUGAUGCACACCCUUAAAAUUAUUUUUAUUUUAUUUAAUUUUAGGAUAUACAUAAAUAUAGAAAUACUUCAAAUAUGUUUGAUCAAAUAUUAAUGUUGUAAGAUCAAUCUUGAUACUCGUUUAAACUAUUAAGUUAGAUUUGAAUUCGUUCAUUUUUAUUCGAAUAUAAAUUAUAUCUACUUUUAGCAAUCUAAAUCAUGGUUCGAGCAACAUUAUUCAUAUUCAUUUUUAAUUUUAAAUUCACUUACAUAAAUAAUUAAUUAACAUAUAUUAAUCUAUCUUGUAAACAAUAUAUGAAACUUGGGUGAAAUAACAACUUAUCUCAGAUAAAUAAGAUAUUGAAUAGAAUAUAAAUACAACAAUUUUAAUGUAUGUGCUUAAUGCAUUUCAAUAAAAACACAAAAUGCUAGUGUAGUUCAAGUGGUUUGGAUUGUUUAUAUAUAUUUGAGAGGUCUUGGGUUCGAGUCUUAAAAACAACAUUUUUUUUAAUAUGUGAGGAGGAGUUAGGUUCGGAGUUAGGCUCAGGUUCGGAGCUAGGUAAUUUAUUUGCUCAGGAGGGAGGUUUGACAAGUACCUAUUCUGCUAUAAUAUAUAUACUAGCGUAGAAGCCCGUGCGAGGCACGGGCCCAUUAUUUUUAAAUUAUAUUUCAUAUCGUUUAUUUUUAUUAAUAGCUUAGUUUGAACUUUUAUAAUAUAUUAAUUUUAUUAAAUUUUUAAAUAUAGUUCUCUUUAAAAAAAUAAAAAACUAAUAAUAUCCAUGAAAACUGAUUCCGCACACCAAACAAAUUUUCAUAUAACUCGAAUUAGCCCAAUAUAUUUCGCACGUGAAAGAUGUUUAUACAACUAUUUUUCAGUGUGUUAUUCAAUCAAAACACGGUUGAACGUGUCUAUAGAUGAUAGAAAUUAUAGGAAUGAUUCGCAUGAAUCAUACAAUUGACCAAUGAAAUGGUAGGAUAAUUAAAAUUGAUUUAAUAUGUUCAUGUGCUAUGAUCAUCAAAAGAGAUAAGAUCGAAUAUCGAGGGACAUGCACAUAUAAAAACAUAUUUAUAUGACUCAGUUCAUAUACUAAAGAUACACAUAAUACUUAUUAUCUCUCCCUCCCUCUCUCUUUUUCUCUUUCUUUCUCUCCUACUCCUAUCUUACUUUGAUAAAUUUUUAUGUAUUUAUAUAUCUUACCCAUCAGUGUAUUUUACAAAUUAUACACCAAUUAUCAGUUAAUGAUACAUUGAUUAUUACUCGAUCAAUAGAUUAUCAAUCACUCUAUUGUUACCUUAUUACAGGAGUUUAUCGAUAUUUAACAAAUUGAUCUAUUUUUUUCGUAUUUUAUAUGUGAUAAUUUAUUUAAUAGUCAUCAGUUAAGUAUAUUGUCUAAAAUUUGACCGAGUUGAUCCGUGACUCAGUCGAGCACCUGCGCUCCAAGUUAGAUAUAUUAGUUGGAUGAUAACUCACUUUUGAGCUUAACUCCAAUAAAUCUCGACAUAACUCUAGUCAAAAUUGGAACAACUUGGAAUAUACAUUAAACAACCGAAAAAUGAAAAAUAGGUUAAGAAAAGGAAAAGAUCCAACAUAAUAACCUAAUUAUUUAACACUUUUAAAUAGGGGUGUUCACCGACCCGCACAAACCGCACAAACCGCCCACCCCGCACCGCUCCGCACGGUUUAAAUUUCACGUGGUGCGGUCGUGGUUUGAAUUUUAUCAAACCGCGCGGUGUGGUGCGGUUUGUGGUUUGACAUUUUAUUCUCGCGGUUCAAACCGCACCGCACCGCAUAUUAUUAAAUAUUAUAUAUAUGAGUAUAUAUAUAUUUAUAUAUAUAAUUAUUUAUUUAUUUAUAAUUGUAAUAUAUAUAAUAAUAUUAGUAAGUUUUGGACCAGCCCAUUCCUAUUAUGAAUUGGGCAGUUGCUCAUUAACCUAAUCUUAAGUGUAGUCAAUGGUCAGUACUGUACAUAUAUAUAGAUCUAUUUAUUGAUAUAUAAAAUACGUAAACCGCCCGCCCCGCACCACACCGCACCGCUUUUUUGCGGUGUGGUUUGUGUGGUUUGAAUGCUUCGCGGUGUGGGUGUGGUUUGUAAAAAUGGUCAAACCGCAUAUGCGGGUUGGUUUGUAGUUUUAUGAAAAAUCCGCACCGCCCGCACCGCGAACACCCCUACUUUUAAAAUUUUAUAUAGUAUUAUAACAUUAACUACAAUUUAUAAUAUAAUACACAUGUAUUCUUUAAUUUCUAAAAUCAAUUUACAAAUACAUCCAGAAUUUUUAACUAAGUACUUCUCUGCUUACCAAGUCAAAUCGAAAUUCGAUUUUCAAAAUAUUAGUUAGUAUUCAAUUGACUUGCCAUUUUAACGUUAGGACUUCAUUAAACACCAUCACCGAAAAUAAUUUUUGGAUCACAAAACAUACGUCUAUAUUUUCUGUACUCCUACUGUUUGAACGUAAGAUGUAUCAAAUGUUCGAUUUUUUAUAAAAUUUAAUGAUAACAAAUUAAUGUAAAAUUUCACUUUAACAAAUAUGGUGGUAAACUAUUAUACAUACAUGUAACUAAAAACAUGAUUAUUAAAAAAAAAUCACUCCGCAAAUAAGUAUGAAAAGUGAUUAUUAUUACAUCUAAACUAACACCAAGUUAAACCGAAAAUAAUUUGAGGUAUCCGCACAUGUAACAAAAAUUAUAAUUUUUUAUAUAAAAUAGGAUUGAAGAGAUCUUAAUUUAGUACCAUGAUUGUAGAGUUUACAUGAGGUUUAAUUAAAUGUCCCAAGUUAAUCUUAAAUUAAAUCGUAAAUAAUUUGAGAUAUCCGCAUAUGUAAAAAAGUUUGAUAACUUUUUCUUAAUAAAGUGGGGAUUAAAAAAAUUUCAGUUUAGUAUUAUAAUUGGAAAAUUUUCAUGAGAUUUAACUAAAUGUCCCAAGUUCAAUUCACUUAAAUUUAUUUUGCAUAAAUUAACCAACUACAUUAGAAUUUAAUAUUUUAAUUAUUUUAUAAUGAGUGGUCAUAAAUAAGUGAUAAGUGUGAUUAAAAUAGCAAUUACUAUGUAAGUACAUUAAUUACUAAUACUUAAUAUUUUAAAUGUAAUAAAUGAGCUAUUUAAUGGUAAUUUUGUAAUUACUUGUAAUAUAAGGGUAUAAUGGANAUAUAUAUAUAUAUAUAUAUAUAUAUAUAUAUAUAUAUAUAUAUAUAUAUAUAUAUAUAUAUAUAUAUAUAUAUAUAUAUAUAAAGGAGGAUGCAGACGUCUCUGGAAUUACUCGAUUCAGUCUUCUAAUUUUUCUUAAAUUUCGGAGAGAAAAUCAAUAUACUUAUAUAAAGGAGAAGCGAGGGGCGUGUAGGUGGCGCCUCUCACAUCACUCCAUUCUAUUUUUCUAAUUUUCUAGAAUUUUUGAAUAAAAAAUAUCAAAAAUUAGAACUAUCUUUUUAAGUUUCGGGUAUAUUAGAAGCAAGUUUCAGAAUCUGAUUUUGUUACAGAUUAUUUAUGGAAUAUAGUAGUUUGAAAGUUUUAAUCUGAUUUUGUUUCAGAUUAUUUAAUUAUGGGAAAUAGCACACAAGUCUCUCUGCACCUAUAAAUACCCCUAUAGAUUGUAGGUUUUAGAUCAUCUAAACACAACCUCCUCUCUUUCAAUACCACAACCCUACCUCUAGGGAUGGGUAUUCACCCCGCCCCGCUCGAUCCCGAUCCGAUUCCCGCCCCGUUCGGGUCGGGGAUUUGGGGAAUUUUUCGGGGUCGGGGCGGGGAUCGGAGAAAGUUUUAUAAAAAAUUCGGGGAUCGGGGCGGGGGCGGGGAUUUGUGUAUNGGAAUAUACAUUAAACAACCGAAAAAUGAAAAAUAGGUUAAGAAAAGAAAAAGAUCCAACAUAAUAACCUAAUUAUUUAACACUUUUAAAUAGGGGUGUUCACCGACCCGCACAAACCGCACAAACCGCCCGCCCCGCACCGCUCCGCACGGUUUAAAUUUCACGUGGUGCGGUCGUGGUUUGAAUUUUAUCAAACCGCGCGGUGUGGUGCGGUUUGUGGUUUGACAUUUUAUUCUCGCGGUUCAAACCGCACCGCACCGCAUAUUAUUAAAUAUUAUAUAUAUGAGUAUAUAUAUAUUUAUAUAUAUAAUUAUUUAUUUAUUUAUAAUUGUAAUAUAUAUAAUAAUAUUAGUAAGUUUUGGACCAGCCCAUUCCUAUUAUGAAUUGGGCAGUUGCUCAUUAACCUAAUCUUAAGUGUAGUCAAUGGUCAGUACUGUACAUAUAUAUAGAUCUAUUUAUUGAUAUAUAAAAUACGUAAACCGCCCGCCCCGCACCACACCGCACCGCUUUUUUGCGGUGUGGUUUGUGUGGUUUGAAUGCUUCGCGGUGUGGGUGUGGUUUGUAAAAAUGGUCAAACCGCAUAUGCGGGUUGGUUUGUAGUUUUAUGAAAAAUCCGCACCGCCCGCACCGCGAACACCCCUACUUUUAAAAUUUUAUAUAGUAUUAUAACAUUAACUACAAUUUAUAAUAUAAUACACAUGUAUUCUUUAAUUUCUAAAAUCAAUUUACAAAUACAUCCAGAAUUUUUAACUAAGUACUUCUCUGCUUACCAAGUCAAAUCGAAAUUCGAUUUUCAAAAUAUUAGUUAGUAUUCAAUUGACUUGCCAUUUUAACGUUAGGACUUCAUUAAACACCAUCACCGAAAAUAAUUUUUGGAUCACAAAACAUACGUCUAUAUUUUCUGUACUCCUACUGUUUGAACGUAAGAUGUAUCAAAUGUUCGAUUUUUUAUAAAAUUUAAUGAUAACAAAUUAAUGUAAAAUUUCACUUUAACAAAUAUGGUGGUAAACUAUUAUACAUACAUGUAACUAAAAACAUGAUUAUUAAAAAAAAAUCACUCCGCAAAUAAGUAUGAAAAGUGAUUAUUAUUACAUCUAAACUAACACCAAGUUAAACCGAAAAUAAUUUGAGGUAUCCGCACAUGUAACAAAAAUUAUAAUUUUUUAUAUAAAAUAGGAUUGAAGAGAUCUUAAUUUAGUACCAUGAUUGUAGAGUUUACAUGAGGUUUAAUUAAAUGUCCCAAGUUAAUCUUAAAUUAAAUCGUAAAUAAUUUGAGAUAUCCGCAUAUGUAAAAAAGUUUGAUAACUUUUUCUUAAUAAAGUGGGGAUUAAAAAAAUNCCGACCCCGAUUAUAUAUAUAUAAAUAAUAAUAUAUUUAUAUAUAUUAUACUAAAUAUAUUAUUAAAAAUAGAUAACCUUUAUAAUAUAAUUAAAAAAUAAUCUUUAUUUUUAUUGAUUGAUUAUCAAUAUAUUGUAAUAUAAUAUAUUUUAUAAUUUUAAAUUGUCGUUAUUUAUAUUAUAAAUCAAUUUUAAUAUGAUUUAAUGUUGAAAAUAUAAGAUAAUAUUAUUUUAUUAGUAUAUUAGGAGUUAGUAGUUUGUUUUUUUAAUUAAAAAGUAUAAUACAUAUAUUAUAAAGUUAUUAUGUUUUUAUUAAAAAAUAAAAUUCCCCGAAUCCCCGCGGGAUCCCCGUUCCCCGUUCGGAGCGGGGAUCGGGGAGAAAAAUAAUCCCCGUUCGGGGUUCGGGGCGGGGAGGAGUAAUAAAUUCGGAGAUCGGGGUCGGGAAUAGCACUUCCCGCCCCCGAAGUACCCCCGCGCCCAUCCCUACCUACCUCACUUAUAUAAAGGAGAAGCGAGGGGCGUGUAGGUGGCGCCUCUCGCAUCGCUCCGUUCUAUUUUUUUAAUUUUCUGGAAUUUUUGAAUAAAAAAUAUCAAAAAUUAGAACUAACUUUUUUAGUUUCGGGAAUAUUAGAAGAAAGUUUCAGAAUCUGAUUUUGUUUCAGAUUAUUUAUGGAAUAUAGUAACUUGAAAGUUUUAAUCUGAUUUUGUUUCAGAUUAUUUAAUUAUGGGAACGAGUAGCACACAAGUCUCUCUGCACCUAUAAAUACCCCUAUAGAUUGUAGACUUUUGGAUCAUCUAAACACAACCUCCUCUCUUUCAAUACCACAACCCUACCUCUCUCUGGCGAUAGUUCUCUUACUCGAUUUCUAACUCAGUGGUGCCGUUCUUCUGCAACGAUAAGUGAAGGCAUUUUAUACAGUAUUAAAAAAAUAAAGGUUGUUACAAGCAAAGGUAGUUAUAGACCGCUACGUGUGAGUCGACAGAUCCAAACACGGGAAAAGAAUAUAAUCUUGACAUGAUAUUGAUGGAUGAUGUCAAUAAAUUAACUAUUAGUGAUGUAUGUUUGUUGGCUAUUCUUUUAUAAUAUUUGUUUUGUUCAUCGGACAUGUUUGUUGUUAAUUUUUAUAUGAUUUAUUUUGUAUAUAUGAAAAAAUUAUUCAUGCAUAAUUUGUUUGCUUCGUUCAAGCAACUUUUAAGUGAAGGCUGUUUAUACAGUAUUAAAAAAUAAAGAUUGUUACAAGUAAGGGCAGUUAUAGACCACUAUCUCGUGGCUCUAAGUUAGAUGUUUUUGUGCACAAUCAAUCCAAAAAAAUUGGAGGAAGGUGACAAUGUAAGAACAUGAUUACUUUUAAAAAAACACAAAUAAAAUUAAGAUUCGUCGUGCUUUAAAUUGUUAAUUACGUGUAUAUAUUUAUUUUUAUUUUUUCACCAUGAAUUAUAGUCCAAUUUUGCAAUUUUAUAUAUUAGUAUUGGCAUUACAUCAAGAUUUUUAUAAUAUAAAAUUUAUUUUAUCCUACAAGUAUUAAUUUUGAAACAUUAAUAUACAUUUUAUAGACAGUCACAAAAUAUUUUUAUUAUACAAAUAUUAAUAUUGAAUCAUCAAUAUAAUUUUUAUAGGCCGCCGCAACGCGCGGCUUCUCAACUAGUAUAAUUAUAAUUCAAAAAAAUAGGUUCAAGAAUUCUAAAGAUCAUACAAUUCUUUUCUUAUUGAUAUUGAACUCUAAAUGUAACUCCAGAAUCUAGAAGAAGGGUUCUUAAUUUUUUUAUUUAGGAAUCAUAAAGGUAAUAUAAUUCUUAUUUUUUUAAUUCUUAUUUUUUUAUACAUUGAUAUACAAAUUAUUAAAGAAGUACAAUUCUUAUUUUUAAAAAUUGUAAAUUUUAUAAUUUUAUUUUAUUAAAGGUAAUACAAUUCUUUUCUUAUUUUUAAUUUUUUUUAUUUAGGAAUCAUAAAGGUAAUAUAAUUCUUAUUUUUUAUACAUUAAUAUAAAAAUUAUUAAAGAAGUACAAUUCUUAUUUUCAAAAAUUAUAAAUUUAUAGUUUUAUUUUAUUAAAGGUUACAAUUCUUAUUUUUUUAUACAUUAAUAUACAAAUUAUUAAAGAAAUACAAUUCUUAUUUUCAAAAAUUAUAAAAUUUACAAUUUUAUUUUAUUAAAUUUAAAAACAAAAUUUACAGUUUUAUUUUAUUAAUUUUUCCAAAUUGAUCACAUAAAUUUGUAUUAAACGUAUAUAAAAAAUCUACUUUUUACGGGGCUGGUCGCAUGAACUGAUAAGGAGACAUGAGUUUCUUUCACCACCUAUUCCUGCUAUGCUUCUAAUCUCGGAGAUCAUGAUCGUCUGCUGCAUAUUGCUCAACAUUAUACAACACGUGUAAAUUUUCUACUCAUUAUCUUCUUUAUGUUGAUUGCAGUGGAACUAUUUAUAACGCCUCCACAAACACUUCGUUUAAUUUUUCUAAUUUUUUGAGAAAAAAUAGUUAAAAUAACUAAGAAAUACUCCCUCCGUCCCCUUCAAUUGUUUACAUUGGAGGGGGACACGGAGACCAAGACAAUGUAUGAAAAAUAAGUAAAGUUAGAUGAAAAGUGGUGGGACGUACCAAUAUUUAAUAACAUAUUUGAGAUAGUGGAGGAAAGUAGUGGGUGUAAUAGUAGUUUUUAUUGUUAAAUAUGAGAUAGUAGGGGAAGAUAGUGGGUGUAAUGAUGAGAAAAACUUACUAUUUAUAGUAACGUAAAGAAAUGAGAGGGACAUCCCAAAAUAGUAACUGUAAAGAAAUGAGAGGGACAGAGGGAGUAGUAAUCAUAAAAGAGAUAUAAUUCUAAGUAGUUAAGAAAUAGGAAUCUUAAAAGAAAAGAGAGAUAAUUCUAAACAGUUAAGAAAUAGGAGUCUUUAAAAAAUAUAAUAGUUAAAAUAUAUAAAAUUCUAAGCAGUUAAGAAAAAUAUGAUAGCUAUAAUCUAUGAAAUUGAAUAUAUUUUUUCAAUUAUAAUUAUAAUUUUAUCAUAAUGUAAAUGAUUCUUGAUUAGUAUUGUGCUUGAGGGGAGGGCGGCCCAUAUUAAUUUUUAUCUAAAUAAUAAUAAAUUUUCUAUUAGCAUUAUGUUUGACGGGGAUACGGCUAAAACAAUUAUUUAUCUAAGUUAUAAUAUAUUUUUUUAUUAAAAUGGGACAUCGGCUUAAAAUAAUUUUCAUCCAAUUAUAAUCUUUCAUUUUAUCAUAAUUAUAAUAAUUUUUUUAUUAGUGCUGUGUGUUGGGGCGACUCAAACUAAUAUCUAUAUUAUAAUGUUUUGUUAUUUAUAUUGUAUUUGACAAAAGAGUGACUCAAACUAAUUUUUAUCUAUAUUAUUAUAUUUAAUUUUAUCAUAAUUAUUGAUUAAUAUUAUCUUUGAUGGAAGGACGGUUCAAACAGUUUUUUUUUAUUAGUAUUAAUGUGUUGACAGGGGCCACUUAAACAAAUUUUUAUAUUAAUUGUAAUAUUUUUUUAUUAGUGAUAUGUAUUAAUGGAAAGAUGACUAAAAAUAAUUUUUAUACAAUUGUAAUAGUGAUUCGUAUUAAAAUUUAUAAAAAAUCCAUAACGCCGCCGCGAAGCGCAGUAGAAAUCAGAACGACUACUCUGCUAGUGCUGGGUUAAAAAGUUUUGUUUUUCUCAAAACCAUACUCCUUCGGUCCCUAAAUACUUUUCCCAUUUGUCCUUUUCACGUUUGCCAAUACACAUUUUUGAUUAUAAAUAUCUUUAAUUUUAUAUUAGUUUUAAAUAUAAAACUUUCACCGUAUUAAAGUACUUAUAAAUACGAAUCCAAUAAGAUCACUCAUGACUAUAUUUUAUCUUAUAGAUUAUACGUAAAUUAGUAAUUUGUCUCGUGUUAUGAACAGUUCGACAUUUCAAACGGGAAAAGUAAUUAGAAUCAGAGGGAGUAUUAAUUAAGGUUUAUAUAAUUUGGGAGUAUUGAUUUUUGGUGGCUUAUUGAGUUGGCUAUUUGAAUUGAUUUUGUGUAAUUGUGCUGGAGGAUUGUUGAAUUGAGGGGAUGAGGAUGGAGGUUCGGCAGGGGGAAGCCGGAGCCGCGCCGGCAACGCCGACGGGCUCUCGGCGGCGACUGGUGUUGGAAAACAAGACUAUUAUUGCAACAUAGUGGCAGUUAUAUAUCAUAUUAUACAAGCCAAGGCCAAGCAAAUCGAAACAAAACGUGAAGGUAAAAAGCAUGCCUAUCAGUGAAUGCAAGAGGAAAGAAAGAAUAGAAUUUGUACCCGUAACCAUAGCUUGUGCAGACUGAUAACGAAGCAGAAGCCAACAACAGGUACAAAAAAGAACACAAAAGAUCAGCUGAGUCGUCAGGCCUUAUACGAAGACCUGACUGCUCUUGAAGAGAUAGUUGCCCCCACCUGCUGCGUUGGGAUGCUUGCAACACCUCCUCCAGGAUAAAACAGCUCCGAGCUUUGGCUAAGCAGCACCUCCAAAGCUCAACAACGACUGACUCCUCACUCGCCGGAAAACAACUACUGACUGACUUGUGUUUGGGAGAGAGAGCAGAGAGGAAGAAGAGAAGAGAAUGUAGGGUGUGGUGUGUAAAACUCAGCAGCUUAGUCCUCUAUUUAUACUAGAGGCUAAGUGUAACUGACCACCCCGAAUUUAAUAUAUGAAUUAAACUGCACAUUUAAAAUAAAUCAAAACUGACGAUUUAUUAUAAUGUAACAGCUGAUAUAUUAAUCCACACAUUAAACCAGCCGUUUUAUAUAUAUAUAUUUUAAUUUCUGAAUAUAUAUCAUCAGUUACAAGUCCAGGUUCAUUGUAUCUGACUUAGCCCAAUUAUGCAAUCCGACCCAGUCCAAUUGAGCCCAACAGACACAACCCAGCCCAACUGAUAAAUAAAUUCUAAUUAAAAUAUUAUAUUAAACCAAUACGAAAUAAAAUUCCCCGCCCAGGUCGCCUCGCGUACGCGAGACGCCGAGACAUUCGCCCAAAUCGCCCUUCGACCCGACCCGACCCGUCCCGUGACGUGACGUGCCGAGCCGAGGCGGCGCGCGCGUGGGCUCGUGAGAACACCACACACCAUAACACACCUUAGUAGUUAUGCACUACCCAUGUGUGUUAUACUAUAUAAAGCCAACACCCCUUUUAUUUCUUUCUAUGUGGGACAAACAACUUCUCAAAACAAGCUUUUCCAAGCUACUAACUUCAACUUCAUUUCUCUUAUGGAUUUCAUUAAGAAAAUUCUUAAACCCAUACAUGAAAGUUUAAGUCCCGAUAUCUAGAACCAACUUCCAAUCAUUAGAUUAUGGAAUUAACAACAAGAACAUAAUAAAAUUAUGAACUUAAUAACUCCAUUUUCUAACAAUCCCCCACAAAUCCAUACAGAAAUGCGUUUCAGGUUUCUCAUCAUGACUUGUUUUUCAGAGUCGGUACCCUUCCGGGUUUGAACCCUCCUAAGUUCUCUACUUCAAUGGCUACCGGAUUCAGAUGGAAUAUUGCACCUUGAAUCUUAAUCCGUUGGGUGUAACCACUUUCCAUAGACAACGACAAAUCAACGGCUAUGGAGCCAAUCUACGGCUUUGAGACAUUAAUGGUCAUGUCUCGAUCCUGUUCGUCGAAUGCUUCAAGGAAUAACCCUUUCCUCUAAUUGCGACCACACAAUUACAUUCGCUUAGCUGGGCAUCUCCAGAGAUAUACUGCUAAUAUCUCGUCUAACGACUUGAUCCCAUUCAGAGUUGUUACACUCUUACUAUCUUAGCAGUCACAGUACCUUCUAGGUUUACAAGGGAUAGACUCAGAUACAUGAGUAUCAUCUAUGUAGCAAAGGUACUACCAAUUCACCCUUACAGCUUGUUAUUACCACAUUGAAUACACUUCGAGGGAUCUCCUCUCAUGUGUAUUGGGUUCCCACUGUUGAUGAAUUAUGAUGGGUUGACAGUCCCAUCCCCAACCUUGACUUAAGGACUACUGCAGGUUCCAGUCCUUUAGUCAAAGGAUCAGCUAUAUUAUUCUGAGUUCCUAUGAACUCUAUAGCUAUAAUCCUGUCAGACACUAACCCCCUUAUAGACUUAAGUCUAACUUGGAUGUGUCUCUUUGUUUUAGCAUUAUGCUUUUUACUGCUAAUCUUGUCAAUAGUUGUUCGACUAUCACAAUGAAUAGCAAUCGCAGGAAGCGGUCUGCUUACUACAGGUAACGUGGACAUAAGCCCAUGUAGCCAUUCAGCCUCCGUCCCAGUGGCAUCAAGUGCACACAACUCAGCCUCAAAUGUCGACCGAGUCACAAUAGUCUGUCUAGUCGACUUCCAGGAUACUGCUCCACCCGCAAGGGUAAACACAUAUCCAGUCACUCCAUUGGAACCAGACUUCUUAGCUAUCCAACUUGCAUCACUGUACCCUUCAAGUACACCAGGAAACCUCCUGUAGUGUAAACUAAGGUACAUUGUGCCUUUCAGAUAUCUAAGUACUCUAUCAAGAGCAUCCCAAUGAGUUCUGUUUGGACAGCUUGUAUAUCUAGCCAACUUAGACACAGAAUAUGAGAUAUCUGGUCUAGUACAGUUAGCAAGAUACUGCAAGCUCCCAAUAAUCUGAGAAUACCUUAACUGAGACACAGGAACUCCAGAAGUAUUCUUUACAAGGGCAACUUUAGGAUCAUAGGGUGUACUAGCGAUUCUACACUGUGAAUAACCAUAUUUCUCAAGUAUAGAUUUCUCUAUAUAAUGAGAUUGAGUCAAGGUUAUUCCUUCAGUUGACUGAAUCAGUUUGAUUCCAAGAAUCACACUAGCCUCCCCCAUAUCCUUCAUUUCAAAGUGCCUUUUUAAGAAUGCUUUUGUCUCGUUAAUAAUCUCAAUAUUGGUUCCAAACAAUAAGAUGUCAUCCACAUAUAGGCAUAAGAUGACAUACUCACUGCCUUUAACUUUGAUGUAGACACACUUAUCGCUUUCAUUAACUUUAAAACUGAAUGGCAAUACAGUAUCAUCAAACUUUUUAUGCCAAUCCCUGGGAGCUUGUUUCAAGCCAUAGAUGGACUUGAUUAACUUACAUACUUUCCUUUCAUUGCCAGAUGCAACAAAUCCCUCAGGCUGAUCCAUACAAAUCUCUUCUUCAAGAUCACCAUGAAGAAAAGCCGUCUUUACAUCCAUCUGAUGGAUGAUAAGACCAUGGACCGAAGCCAAUGCUAUAAGCAUACGGAUUGUUACCAUCCUAGCAACCGGAGAGUAUGUGUCAAAGUAAUCAAUUCCUUCUUUCUGCUUAAAACCCUUUGCCACCAGUCUAGCUUUGUACUUAUCUAUUGAGCCAUCAGGGUUUAACUUCCUCUUGAAGACCCACUUGCACCCAAUAGUAGAGCACCCAGGAGGGAGAUCAACCAACUCCCAUGUUCCAUUAGAAACAAUAGAGUCAAUUUCACUCUUUACAGCGCCCUUCCAAUGCCUAGACUCCGAAGAGUCCAUAGCCUGUCGGAAAGUUAAAGGUUCGUCCUCGACAUUGUAAGUGAUAAAAUCACUUCCAAAAUCCUUGACUACCUUUGCACGCUUACUUCUCCUUGGUUCCUCUACUUCAUUAGGAGUAGAACUACUACCAGGUUCCGCCCCCACAUUUGUCAUCUUUUCCACAUGAUCGGGAAUAGAACUUGAUGUGUGAGUGGGAUCCUUAUCAUAGGUCUCUUGAGGUAUACCAGUCUUCAUAGGGUAGACAUCCUCAAAGAAUGUAGCAUCACGAAAUUCAACUAUCGUGUUAGCCACUAUACCAUCUAUGUCAGAUUUUAUUACUAAAAAUCUCAUAGCUGUAGUGGUCUCAGGAUAGCCCAGAAAGAUACAAUCAACAGUCUUUGGACCUAGUUUCUUUCUCUUGUGUUCAGGGACAAGUACCUUAGCAAGGCACCCCCCACACACGAAGAUACUUAAGACUAGUCAUCCUGCCUUUCCAUAACUCUAAAGGUGUCUUAUCCAUGUGUUUCAGAGGAACUCUAUUCAAAAUAUGGCAAGCCGUAUUUAGAGCCUCUUCCCACAUGUAUUUAGGCNNNNNNNNNNNNNNNNNNNNNNNNNNNNNNNNNNNNNNNNNNNNNNNNNNNNNNNNNNNNNNNNNNNNNNNNNNNNNNNNNNNNNNNNNNNNNNNNNNNNNNNNNNNNNNNNNNNNNNNNNNNNNNNNNNNNNNNNNNNNNNNNNNNNNNNNNNNNNNNNNNNNNNNNNNNNNNNNNNNNNNNNNNNNNNNNNNNNNNNNNNNNNNNNNNNNNNNNNNNNNNNNNNNNNNNNNNNNNNNNNNNNNNNNNNNNNNNNNNNNNNNNNNNNNNNNNNNNNNNNNNNNNNNNNNNNNNNNNNNNNNNNNNNNNNNNNNNNNNNNNNNNNNNNNNNNNNNNNNNNNNNNNNNNNNNNNNNNNNNNNNNNNNNNNNNNNNNNNNNNNNNNNNNNNNNNNNNNNNNNNNNNNNNNNNNNNNNNNNNNNNNNNNNNNNNNNNNNNNNNNNNNNNNNNNNNNNNNNNNNNNNNNNNNNNNNNNNNNNNNNNNNNNNNNNNNNNNNNNNNNNNNNNNNNNNNNNNNNNNNNNNNNNNNNNNNNNNNNNNNNNNNNNNNNNNNNNNNNNNNNNNNNNNNNNNNNNNNNNNNNNNNNNNNNNNNNNNNNNNNNNNNNNNNNNNNNNNNNNNNNNNNNNNNNNNNNNNNNNNNNNNNNNNNNNNNNNNNNNNNNNNNNNNNNNNNNNNNNNNNNNNNNNNNNNNNNNNNNNNNNNNNNNNNNNNNNNNNNNNNNNNNNNNNNNNNNNNNNNNNNNNNNNNNNNNNNNNNNNNNNNNNNNNNNNNNNNNNNNNNNNNNNNNNNNNNNNNNNNNNNNNNNNNNNNNNNNNNNNNNNNNNNNNNNNNNNNNNNNNNNNNNNNNNNNNNNNNNNNNNNNNNNNNNNNNNNNNNNNNNNNNNNNNNNNNNNNNNNNNNNNNNNNNNNNNNNNNNNNNNNNNNNNNNNNNNNNNNNNNNNNNNNNNNNNNNNNNNNNNNNNNNNNNNNNNNNNNNNNNNNNNNNNNNNNNNNNNNNNNNNNNNNNNNNNNNNNNNNNNNNNNNNNNNNNNNNNNNNNNNNNNNNNNNNNNNNNNNNNNNNNNNNNNNNNNNNNNNNNNNNNNNNNNNNNNNNNNNNNNNNNNNNNNNNNNNNNNNNNNNNNNNNNNNNNNNNNNNNNNNNNNNNNNNNNNNNNNNNNNNNNNNNNNNNNNNNNNNNNNNNNNNNNNNNNNNNNNNNNNNNNNNNNNNNNNNNNNNNNNNNNNNNNNNNNNNNNNNNNNNNNNNNNNNNNNNNNNNNNNNNNNNNNNNNNNNNNNNNNNNNNNNNNNNNNNNNNNNNNNNNNNNNNNNNNNNNNNNNNNNNNNNNNNNNNNNNNNNNNNNNNNNNNNNNNNNNNNNNNNNNNNNNNNNNNNNNNNNNNNNNNNNNNNNNNNNNNNNNNNNNNNNNNNNNNNNNNNNNNNNNNNNNNNNNNNNNNNNNNNNNNNNNNNNNNNNNNNNNNNNNNNNNNNNNNNNNNNNNNNNNNNNNNNNNNNNNNNNNNNNNNNNNNNNNNNNNNNNNNNNNNNNNNNNNNNNNNNNNNNNNNNNNNNNNNNNNNNNNNNNNNNNNNNNNNNNNNNNNNNNNNNNNNNNNNNNNNNNNNNNNNNNNNNNNNNNNNNNNNNNNNNNNNNNNNNNNNNNNNNNNNNNNNNNNNNNNNNNNNNNNNNNNNNNNNNNNNNNNNNNNNNNNNNNNNNNNNNNNNNNNNNNNNNNNNNNNNNNNNNNNNNNNNNNNNNNNNNNNNNNNNNNNNNNNNNNNNNNNNNNNNNNNNNNNNNNNNNNNNNNNNNNNNNNNNNNNNNNNNNNNNNNNNNNNNNNNNNNNNNNNNNNNNNNNNNNNNNNNNNNNNNNNNNNNNNNNNNNNNNNNNNNNNNNNNNNNNNNNNNNNNNNNNNNNNNNNNNNNNNNNNNNNNNNNNNNNNNNNNNNNNNNNNNNNNNNNNNNNNNNNNNNNNNNNNNNNNNNNNNNNNNNNNNNNNNNNNNNNNNNNNNNNNNNNNNNNNNNNNNNNNNNNNNNNNNNNAAUCGAAACAAAACGUGAAGGUAAAAAGCAUGCAUAUCAGUGACUGCAAGAGGAAAGAAAGAAUAGAAUAUAUACCCGUAACCAUAGCUUAUGCAGACUGAUAACGAAACAGAAGCCAACAACAGGUACAACAAAGAACACAAAAGAUCAGCUGAGUCGUCAGGCCUUAUACGAAGACCUGACUGCUCUUGAAGAGAUAGUUGCCCCCACCUGCUGUGUUGGGAUUCUUGCAACACCUCCUCCAGGAUAAAACAGCUCCGAGCUUUGGCUAAGCAGCACCUCCAAAGCUCAACAACGACUGACUCCUCACUCGCCGGAAAACAACUACUGACUGACUGUGUUUGGGAGAGAGAGCAGAGAGGAAGAAGAGAAGAGAAUGUAGGGUGUGGUGUGUAAAACUCAGCAGCUUAGUCCUCUAUUUAUACUAGAGGCUAAGUGUAACUGACCACCCCGAAUUUAAUAUAUGAAUUAAACUGCACAUUUAAAAUAAAUCAAAACUGACGAUUUAUUAUAAUGUAACAGCUGAUAUAUUAAUCCACACAUUAAACCACCCGUUUAUAUAUAUAUAUUUUUAAUUUCUGAAUAUAUAUCAUCAGUUACAAGUCCAUGUUCAUUGUGUCUGACUUAGCCCAAUUAUGCAAUCCGACCCAGUCCAAUUGAGCCCAACAGACACAACCCAGCCCAACUGAUAAAUAAAUUCUAAUUAAAAUAUUAUAUUAAACCACGCCCAGGUCGCCUCACGUACGCCGAGACAUUCGCCCAAAUCGCCCUUCGACCCGAGCCGAGGCGGCGCGCGCGUGGGCUCGUGAGAACACCAUGCACCAUAACACACCUUAGNNNNNNNNNNNNNNNNNNNNNNNNNNNNNNNNNNNNNNNNNNNNNNNNNNNNNNNNNNNNNNNNNNNNNNNNNNNNNNNNNNNNNNNNNNNNNNNNNNNNNNNNNNNNNNNNNNNNNNNNNNNNNNNNNNNNNNNNNNNNNNNNNNNNNNNNNNNNNNNNNNNNNNNNNNNNNNNNNNNNNNNNNNNNNNNNNNNNNNNNNNNNNNNNNNNNNNNNNNNNNNNNNNNCGAGGCGAGGCGAGGCGAGGCGGGGCGGGGCGGCGGCGGCGGCGCGCGCGUGGGCUCGUGAGAACACCACGCACCAUAACACACCUUAGUAGUUAUGCACUACCCAUGUGUGUUAUACUAUAUAAAGCCAACACCCCCCUUUAUUUCUUUCAAUGUGGGACAAACAACAUUCUCUUUCAAGCUCUUUCAAGCCACUAACUUCAACUUCAUUUCUCUUAUGGAUUUCAUUAAGAAAAUUCUUAAACCCAUACAUGAAAGUUUAAGUUCUAAUAUCUAGAAACAACUUCCAAUCAUUAGAUUAUGGAAUUAACAACAAGAACAUAAUAAAAUUAUGAACUUAAAACUCCAUUUUCUAACAACUGGAACGGGGAGAAGAGGGAGAUAGCAGGGGAGAGAGAGAUGAAGGAGGGAGGAAGAAGGAGAGUGGGAGCUGGUGUGCGAGGCCGUAAUCGGCGCGGCCGAUGGCCAUGGCGGCAGUGGUUUGUGCGAGAGAGAGAGAGAGAGAGAGAGAGAGACGGCGGCGGAGCCGCCGGAGACUUCCUGAGCAGUGGUGAUGGUAAGAUGAAAGAGAGGAAGAGAGAUGUUGGGGAGGGGCAAAGUGGUAAAUCCCAAGCCGAUUUAUUUUAAAUAAAUCUAAAAUAUAAUAAUUGGGUAGAUAAAAUGAUAACAUUAAUAAAAACAUGGGAGUUAAAUUUAUAAAGUUGGAUUUGGGUGGAAAAGAAAAUAAUAAUAUUGGGAUAUAAAUGUUUGACUUUUGAUGAUGGAGUUAAUAAAAAGAAGUUAAAUUAAAUGAUUGGGGUAAAUUAAUAAUAAUUAGUAAAAGAUUGAAAUUUAGAUUUAUAAAGGAUAUAAUAUGGUAAAGAGUUGCAUUAUAUAAAGAAUAAGGAAUUUUAUAUUAAAUAUCAAUUUGAUUAAUUUUGGAGGGAUUUAGAAGAUAAAUUCAAGGAUUUAGUGCUGUUAUUAAUUUUGGAAAAGAAUUUUGCCGGACUUGAUAAAAAUUGAGAGAGGUAGGAUCUUGUUUUUAUAAUUAUAAUAUAUACAUAUAUUCAUUGUCGAUUGGGUGGUUGGGCAAAAGUUUGGGGAUCUCGUAGUAACUGAUUAAAUAUUAUUUAAUUAAAGAGUGGGAUCAAUUAGCAUAUGAGAUAUCAUAUUAUAAAUGUUUGAGAUAACGAGGGAUCAUGGAAUAUGUGAGCUAAUAGCUACUAAUCUAUUUAUAUAAUAAAUCCUGAAUGAUGCCCAGUCACAAAAUCCACGUAAUUCGUUAAAACUCACGUAAAUGCCACAUAAAAUCCAGCUCAAUAGUUACUUUAAAUAUGUAAUCUCAUAUUUUCAGCCUUGAUUUCUGCNNNNNNNNNNNNNNNNNNNNNNNNNNNNNNNNNNNNNNNNNNNNNNNNNNNNNNNNNNNNNNNNNNNNNNNNNNNNNNNNNNNNNNNNNNNNNNNNNNNNNNNNNNNNNNNNNNNNNNNNNNNNNNNNNNNNNNNNNNNNNNNNNNNNNNNNNNNNNNNNNNNNNNNNNNNNNNNNNNNNNNNNNNNNNNNNNNNNNNNNNNNNNNNNNNNNNNNNNNNNNNNNNNNNNNNNNNNNNNNNNNNNNNNNNNNNNNNNNNNNNNNNNNNNNNNNNNNNNNNNNNNNNNNNNNNNNNNNNNNNNNNNNNNNNNNNNNNNNNNNNNNNNNNNNNNNNNNNNNNNNNNNNNNNNNNNNNNNNNNNNNNNNNNNNNNNNNNNNNNNNNNNNNNNNNNNNNNNNNNNNNNNNNNNNNNNNNNNNNNNNNNNNNNNNNNNNNNNNNNNNNNNNNNNNNNNNNNNNNNNNNNNNNNNNNNNNNNNNNNNNNNNNNNNNNNNNNNNNNNNNNNNNNNNNNNNNNNNNNNNNNNNNNNNNNNNNNNNNNNNNNNNNNNNNNNNNNNNNNNNNNNNNNNNNNNNNNNNNNNNNNNNNNNNNNNNNNNNNNNNNNNNNNNNNNNNNNNNNNNNNNNNNNNNNNNNNNNNNNNNNNNNNNNNNNNNNNNNNNNNNNNNNNNNNNNNNNNNNNNNNNNNNNNNNNNNNNNNNNNNNNNNNNNNNNNNNNNNNNNNNNNNNNNNNNNNNNNNNNNNNNNNNNNNNNNNNNNNNNNNNNNNNNNNNNNNNNNNNNNNNNNNNNNNNNNNNNNNNNNNNNNNNNNNNNNNNNNNNNNNNNNNNNNNNNNNNNNNNNNNNNNNNNNNNNNNNNNNNNNNNNNNNNNNNNNNNNNNNNNNNNNNNNNNNNNNNNNNNNNNNNNNNNNNNNNNNNNNNNNNNNNNNNNNNNNNNNNNNNNNNNNNNNNNNNNNNNNNNNNNNNNNNNNNNNNNNNNNNNNNNNNNNNNNNNNNNNNNNNNNGAGAGAGAGAGAGAGAGAGAGAGAGAGACGGCGGCGGAGCCGCCGGAGACUUCCUGAGCAGUGGUGAUGGUAAGAUGAAAGAGAGGAAGAGAGAUGUUGGGGAGGGGCAAAGUGGUAAAUCCCAAGCCGAUUUAUUUUAAAUAAAUCUAAAAUAUAAUAAUUGGGUAGAUAAAAUGAUAACAUUAAUAAAAACAUGGGAGUUAAAUUUAUAAAGUUGGAUUUGGGUGGAAAAGAAAAUAAUAAUAUUGGGAUAUAAAUGUUUGACUUUUGAUGAUGGAGUUAAUAAAAAGAAGUUAAAUUAAAUGAUUGGGGUAAAUUAAUAAUAAUUAGUAAAAGAUUGAAAUUUAGAUUUAUAAAGGAUAUAAUAUGGUAAAGAGUUGCAUUAUAUAAAGAAUAAGGAAUUUUAUAUUAAAUAUCAAUUUGAUUAAUUUUGGAGGGAUUUAGAAGAUAAAUUCAAGGAUUUAGUGCUGUUAUUAAUUUUGGAAAAGAAUUUUGCCGGACUUGAUAAAAAUUGAGAGAGGUAGGAUCUUGUUUUUAUAAUUAUAAUAUAUACAUAUAUUCAUUGUCGAUUGGGUGGUUGGGCAAAAGUUUGGGGAUCUCGUAGUAACUGAUUAAAUAUUAUUUAAUUAAAGAGUGGGAUCAAUUAGCAUAUGAGAUAUCAUAUUAUAAAUGUUUGAGAUAACGAGGGAUCAUGGAAUAUGUGAGCUAAUAGCUACUAAUCUAUUUAUAUAAUAAAUCCUGAAUGAUGCCCAGUCACAAAAUCCACGUAAUUCGUUAAAACUCACGUAAAUGCCACAUAAAAUCCAGCUCAAUAGUUACUUUAAAUAUGUAAUCUCAUAUUUUCAGCCUUGAUUUCUGCUUCCUAUUCUUUGGAUGUUAUGAUACAAUUAAUUUCUGUUGAAUGGCUGUCAUUUUUGAUAUGUAUCCUAUUUUUUCUUUUCUUCUUUACAAUCAUUCUAGCUUUUAUUUUUAAUUGUCUUAACCAAUAUGUAAAACAUUGAUUGUUUUUCAAAAUCAAAUCAAUUCUUAUCAUCUAUUUUAAAAACUCAAAUCAUCGGUAUCUCUCUCAUCUUUUCUAUUUUUCUCCUCCGAUUUCAAGUAUGUUAAUUGAAUAAUUAGUAUAGCUUGCGCGGGAAGUUUACUGAUUGUAACAAACUUUAUUAUACUUAUUUUGAUUCUUUUAAUUGAUUUCAUAUGUGUGUGUAUAUUUAUAUAUUUGCGUAUCUAUAAUUGUAAUUAAUUACUUCCAAUUUCUCUUUGAUUAAAUAUUAGAAGACUUCCUAAGCACUCUGAAUACUUUAUUGUACAAUAUUGCAUGAAAAAUUAAAAAUUCAAAAAUUGAAUUAUCUCUUAAAUUGUUGAUCAUCUUAUCUUAAAAUAUUUAAAAUUAAAAUAUAGUUAAGAAAAUUUCAAACAAUAAUUUUCUUAUCUUUAUACAUUUAAUUUAUUUCACAUCGACAUAUAUAUUUUUGUAUAUUUAUCUAUUUUUAAUUGUAAUUUUUUUCUUAUCUCUUUCGAAUUAAAUUCGUAAAGACUUCCUAAGCACUUAAAAGAUUUUUGUAUGAUAUCGCAUUAAAAAUUCAAUAUCUUGAAAAAGUGAUUAUAUUAAAAAGAAUAAGGUAUUAAUGCAUGAAUAAAUAUGUUAUACUUUAAAAAAAUUAUGAUUUGACUAUUAUAUUGUUAAAUUUAUUUAUGUGUUAUUGUUUUAUUUAUUAUUUUAUUUUUUAGUUUUAAUAAAGUAAUUCUUAUUCUUAUAUAUAAAAAAUGUGAGAUGUGUCAUUAUAUAUGUUUUCCUUUCUUAAUUAUUAUUUUAAAAUAAAUAUGAAAUUAGUUCAAAAUUAUAUACUAAAGCACUAAAAGAGCGUCGUAAUGGUAGGGUGUGUGAAGCAGUAUUUAGUUGAUAUUUAAGCAUGCUCAAUCAGCUGCAUAAUCAAUGCUUUUUAUAUAUUUAAUUGGUUUGAUUUUUUUUUUAAUUUUAUUUGAAAAAUAAUAUCUUUUGAGGAUCAGAAAUUGUAAGCAAUUUAGAAGGCACAUGUGGUCAAUAUUUAGCUCUACUUGAUUAUAUGCAUGAUUGGUACUUCAGAAUAGGAAUGGAGUGAAUUUCAUUCGAUUCUUUCCAUUACCAUCUAAAAAUUUGGAAAAUUGGAAUCAUAUGGUUGUCUCUCUUCAAUUUUAGAUUCAAAUUUCCUUGAUUAUAACUUUCGUUAAACAAUAGUAUGACAAGAAUUAAAACAACGAUUUUAUUUAUUCUAAGUUGUUUGAUUGAUUUCAUAUCUAUGUAUUUUUUUUUUUUUUGAAAAGCAUCAUAUCUAUGUAUAUAUGUAUAUGUCUAUAUACCUAUAUAUUUGGUAGAGAGUGGAUAUACCAUUCUUUCUUCCAAGCCUCUUUGAUUUCAUAUCUAUGUAUUUUUUUUUUUUUUGAAAAGCAUCAUAUCUAUGUAUAUAUGUAUAUGUCUAUAUACCUAUAUAUUUGGUAGAGAGUGGAUAUAUAUAUAUAACCGUCAUCAAGACCUCAUAUCCUUGAUUGUUUGUAUUCAUCUUUAUUUUUAUUUUUCUUUUUUAAGGCUGAUAUGGUAAUUUCACAUGCUAUUGGAUCAACCCAUCAGGCUUCCGGUUCGACCCGCAUCUUCUUAUUCAAAUUAACACUGCGAUGAAACAUUUCGGAUCUUUAAGAAACCCGACCCGAGUAUCGUUAGAUCUGAGAGCACAUUCAAAUCAUAUCACGAUCAUCAUAUCAAGAUUAGAAUUUCAAAAUAGCAUUAAUCACGCAUUCUUGAAUCGUGCCACUGAUUAUGACGUCAGUUCAGAUUUAAGUUUUACUACUUAUUUGCAUAUGAUAUUCUUAUAAGAUCAAAGCAGAUAAUUUUAAUUUCACAUUCAAAACCAUUCUUUCUUCCAAGCCUCUAAUCAUGACGAGUAGGCUUUCUUGCUUAGCUUUCGAACUGAUUUGUGUCCUCGGUUGGAUUAUACUGCAGUACUACUGAUCUUGGGUUUCUUUUCACAUUAAUUUCUAUAUCUACGAACUUUGUUUUGCGCUUAUUUACUUUAUUUAAUAAUAGAAUUCUACUUAUCUUGCACAAAUCGCGUUGAUCCGUCUAUGCAUCAGGUAGUAUCCGUCAAAGUCCUUUUGUGAUGAUGCUUCGACAAGGGAUGACGUCUCGAAGUCAAAAAGAGAAUAACACCAUUGGUCGUGAAAUAGGUUUGCACUAUUUCCAGCUUAAUUUACAAUAUUUGCUCCAUUAUGUAUAUUUGUUUAUUCUAUUAUUGUUGAACGGGUUCUGAAGUUUGUUGUUUGAACACUGCAGGUAUCAUAAUCAGUAUAUGAUUUUGUAUUUAACGUGUUUGAUAAUUUGCUACAGAGAAAAGCUGAGAAAUCCGUCCUUACUAUUUUUAUUGAUUUCAUGUUCCAGGAAUUUGAAAUUAUUUUUGAUUUCUAAUGAUUAUUUUUGCAUAAUUUCCUUUCGUAUUGAUAGUGAUUAGGAUGCACAUAUGUACUCUAAUGCAUUUAUUGAGCCACAUUUUGUUAUUGAGUUUUCCUUGCAACUGCUGAAUAGAGAUGAUUCGUCCAUGCAACUAUCGGAUGCUCAUCGUGUGAAGAUUUAUAUUCACUUUUCCUCAACAUCUGCUUAUUGAUCUAGACUUUUUGUUUACAUCUUAUCGUGUGUCAUUGUUGUUUGACAAGAACCACCGAGAAUGAAUAUGACACAAUUUCUGUCCAGAUACAUGAAUCUAACCUGCUAUAACUUAUAUGUAUGUAACAUCUGGGAUUAUCCGUGUAAUUAUUUUGAUGAUUAAUGAAUAUUAUAUGAAUAUUAUGUGAAUAUUAUAUGAAUUUCUGUGAAUUAAUUGUUUCUUGUCCUAUUAAUAUGGCUGCUUGUUUACGAUCAAAUUUGAGGAAUAUCAAUUUUUAUAUGCUCAGUACAAAAUAUAGUUUAUUUAGAUAUUUUUAUAUUGAUUUAUGUAUUGUCGUAUGAUUUGAUAUUUGGUUUAUGGAUUUAAUUACGUAUAUUAUAUUUAAUUAUUAAUUAUUUUGAUUUUUCAAAAACCGUCAACCCGUAACGGUACCGAGAUUUUACUUCCCGAAAAUUUCGACAAAACUCAACUCUAGCUUAAUUUGAAUAUUCCGGACACUUUUCAUGUUUUGACUUUUUCGAUCCGGAGUACGGUUUUCCCCGGAGUCGGUCCGGCGGAGCUUUUCGGGCAUUUUAAUUACCGAUAAUUAUCUGGUUGUCUCAAUAUACGUGAAAACCAGAUAUUUUGAUUAUUAUAUUAUUUCUUUUAUCGUAAUACGUGCAAACGGGACCCGCAUACUAAUGAUUGAUUAAAAAGCCCCGUUUUAAUAAUUAUCUCGAAAACCAGUACCGAUUGGACCCGCUUUAUUAGUAUUAAGCUAUUAAAUAUCGUAUUUUCGUGUCACAUAUGAUCCAAAGGGGUAUUAAUUUCUCGUAACUAUAAAUAGUCUUAACCAUUUGGAAGCGUUAUCGGACUCGGAUUUUGGCGUUCAAGUACUCAAAUCGAAGGUUUUGAUGAGUAGAAUCCAUAUCUAGCAUCAGAAUCAGUGCAGCAACAACAGGUGGGCACAAAUUUUUGAGUUUUAAUUCGAAUUAAAUAAGCUUAAAUUAGGGCUUUUUGAUUUUGAAGUCGUUUGUGUGAUUUGAUGAUUUCAUGUUGUAGAUUAGUUUCUCCUGAUCAUUUUGGUUUAUUAUAUGUGUGAUUUCAAGUUCAAUAACAUAGUUAAAAGUGGGUUUGAUUCUGCUGUGUUCAAGAACUAGGGUUCUUCGUAGCUUUGGAUAUUUCUAAUUGAAAUUUGGGCUUUUCUUAUUUGUUAAUUGCAUGCUUAAUUGGUUUAUAUGGUUGGAUUGGUCGUGAGGAGAGGAAUUCAAACAUGUGAUUGGAAUUGACGGACGACCUCGGAAUCGGUCGCCGUGUUCUGAAAAACAACUCGCCAGCGGCGAGUUUGUUUCGAUCUUUUCCGGCCAAACGGCCUAUCUCCUGCAAAAUCUGAGGCCACCAAUCGAUUCCUGGUGGCUGAUAUAGCUAAUCUGGAAGUUUUGGUAGAUGUUUAAGGCCGGGAGACCAACCUCCGGUGACACAGACGGUGGCCGGCGGCAUUUAUGCUGUUUGGUCACUGUAGUUUUGAAGAUGGUGACGUUUAGUCACCGUCGUUUCUACACUUUCACAGAUCGCAUCAUAUUUUUAAAACCUGACAGUUUGCACCCCUGUGUAAACUUUUGAUUAUUUACAAAAUAAACCUUUUCAAUUUAUUUUCAAAAAUCAUUUUUAAAUUACUUAUUUUAAUUUCAAAAAUAGUUUUUAAUUAUUUAUUAGUUCAAAAAUAAAUCUGAUUUAAUUUAUUAAUUAAUUUCAAUUUGUAAUUAAUUAUUAUAAUUGGUCAAUUAAUUUAAAUAUUAAUUGAUUAAUUGUUUUAGUUAAUUAUUAAUUGAUUUUAAUUGAUUUAUUAAUUAGAUUUAAUUAUUUGAAAUAAUUUUAAAAUUCCGAAAAAUAGUUUCGAGCUUUGAAAUAUUUUUCUAAAAUAUGUUUGAAGUCUGUUAAUUGAUUUCAAAUGAUUUCGGACUUGAUUUCAAGUAUUCAAAAUUGAUGAUUUAUUUAUAAAAUGAUUCUCUUAUUCGUUUUAAUUCCGAAAAAUGUUCAAAAAUUCAUAAUAAAUGCCGAAAAUCCUUUUGACUUCAAACCUUCUUUGAAAAAUAAAUUUUAGUGAAUACCUUAUGUGAUACGUGUUAUGUGCUAUCUGAUCGAUGUGCUAUAUGCCUAUGUGAACGUUAUAUGGCUGUUUCUGGCAUAUUUUUCAAUCCGUAAAUCGGAUUUGGGUAAAACGAAGGGUAGAUUGAAGCUCGUUUCGAAUGUGCGAUAAUAAGAAUAGUAUGAGAUCAUAUAUUGAUAGAUAAUUGUUGUGAUUAGCAGAAGAAGNNNNNNNNNNNNNNNNNNNNNNNNNNNNNNNNNNNNNNNNNNNNNNNNNNNNNNNNNNNNNNNNNNNNNNNNNNNNNNNNNNNNNNNNNNNNNNNNNNNNNNNNNNNNNNNNNNNNNNNNNNNNNNNNNNNNNNNNNNNNNNNNNNNNNNNNNNNNNNNNNNNNNNNNNNNNNNNNNNNNNNNNNNNNNNNNNNNNNNNNNNNNNNNNNNNNNNNNNNNNNNNNNNNNNNNNNNNNNNNNNNNNNNNNNNNNNNNNNNNNNNNNNNNNNNNNNNNNNNNNNNNNNNNNNNNNNNNNNNNNNNNNNNNNNNNNNNNNNNNNNNNNNNNNNNNNNNNNNNNNNNNNNNNNNNNNNNNNNNNNNNNNNNNNNNNNNNNNNNNNNNNNNNNNNNNNNNNNNNNNNNNNNNNNNNNNNNNNNNNNNNNNNNNNNNNNNNNNNNNNNNNNNNNNNNNNNNNNNNNNNNNNNNNNNNNNNNNNNNNNNNNNNNNNNNNNNNNNNNNNNNNNNNNNNNNNNNNNNNNNNNNNNNNNNNNNNNNNNNNNNNNNNNNNNNNNNNNNNNNNNNNNNNNNNNNNNNNNNNNNNNNNNNNNNNNNNNNNNNNNNNNNNNNNNNNNNNNNNNNNNNNNNNNNNNNNNNNNNNNNNNNNNNNNNNNNNNNNNNNNNNNNNNNNNNNNNNNNNNNNNNNNNNNNNNNNNNNNNNNNNNNNNNNNNNNNNNNNNNNNNNNNNNNNNNNNNNNNNNNNNNNNNNNNNNNNNNNNNNNNNNNNNNNNNNNNNNNNNNNNNNNNNNNNNNNNNNNNNNNNNNNNNNNNNNNNNNNNNNNNNNNNNNNNNNNNNNNNNNNNNNNNNNNNNNNNNNNNNNNNNNNNNNNNNNNNNNNNNNNNNNNNNNNNNNNNNNNNNNNNNNNNNNNNNNNNNNNNNNNNNNNNNNNNNNNNNNNNNNNNNNNNNNNNNNNNNNNNNNNNNNNNNNNNNNNNNNNNNNNNNNNNNNNNNNNNNNNNNNNNNNNNNNNNNNNNNNNNNNNNNNNNNNNNNNNNNNNNNNNNNNNNNNNNNNNNNNNNNNNNNNNNNNNNNNNNNNNNNNNNNNNNNNNNNNNNNNNNNNNNNNNNNNNNNNNNNNNNNNNNNNNNNNNNNNNNNNNNNNNNNNNNNNNNNNNNNNNNNNNNNNNNNNNNNNNNNNNNNNNNNNNNNNNNNNNNNNNNNNNNNNNNNNNNNNNNNNNNNNNNNNNNNNNNNNNNNNNNNNNNNNNNNNNNNNNNNNNNNNNNNNNNNNNNNNNNNNNNNNNNNNNNNNNNNNNNNNNNNNNNNNNNNNNNNNNNNNNNNNNNNNNNNNNNNNNNNNNNNNNNNNNNNNNNNNNNNNNNNNNNNNNNNNNNNNNNNNNNNNNNNNNNNNNNNNNNNNNNNNNNNNNNNNNNNNNNNNNNNNNNNNNNNNNNNNNNNNNNNNNNNNNNNNNNNNNNNNNNNNNNNNNNNNNNNNNNNNNNNNNNNNNNNNNNNNNNNNNNNNNNNNNNNNNNNNNNNNNNNNNNNNNNNNNNNNNNNNNNNNNNNNNNNNNNNNNNNNNNNNNNNNNNNNNNNNNNNNNNNNNNNNNNNNNNNNNNNNNNNNNNNNNNNNNNNNNNNNNNNNNNNNNNNNNNNNNNNNNNNNNNNNNNNNNNNNNNNNNNNNNNNNNNNNNNNNNNNNNNNNNNNNNNNNNNNNNNNNNNNNNNNNNNNNNNNNNNNNNNNNNNNNNNNNNNNNNNNNNNNNNNNNNNNNNNNNNNNNNNNNNNNNNNNNNNNNNNNNNNNNNNNNNNNNNNNNNNNNNNNNNNNNNNNNNNNNNNNNNNNNNNNNNNNNNNNNNNNNNNNNNNNNNNNNNNNNNNNNNNNNNNNNNNNNNNNNNNNNNNNNNNNNNNNNNNNNNNNNNNNNNNNNNNNNNNNNNNNNNNNNNNNNNNNNNNNNNNNNNNNNNNNNNNNNNNNNNNNNNNNNNNNNNNNNNNNNNNNNNNNNNNNNNNNNNNNNNNNNNNNNNNNNNNNNNNNNNNNNNNNNNNNNNNNNNNNNNNNNNNNNNNNNNNNNNNNNNNNNNNNNNNNNNNNNNNNNNNNNNNNNNNNNNNNNNNNNNNNNNNNNNNNNNNNNNNNNNNNAUACCUAUCCUUAUCUUGUCAUAAUGACGGUGGGACCCGCAUAUUAAUGACGGAUUAAAAGCCCCGUUUGAUGAUUAUCUCGAAAACCGGUACCGAUUGGACCCGUUUUAUUAGUAUAAAGCUACUAAACAGUGUAUUUUCAUGCCAUAUAUGAUCCAAAGGGGUAUUAAUUAUUCUUAAGUAUAAAUAUACUUAACUGUACUUUAUUUUAUUACGAAAAUCAUAAAACCAGUUAAAACCGAGAAAUUCCCGAGAGAGUUCUUCGUGUUCUUGAGAUUCAAACGAGGAUUUGGACGCGUUAUCGGACUCAGAUUUUGGUGUUCAAGUAUCCAAAUCGAAGGUUUCGACGUGUAGAAUCCAUUUUCAUCAUCGAAAACACUCAGAAAUCAUCAGGUGGGUUUGGAUUUUUGAGUUUUAAUUCGAAUUAAAUAAGCUUAAAUUAGGGCUUUUUGAUUUUGAAGUCGUUUGUGUGAUUUGAUGAUUUCAUGUUGUAGAUUAGUUUCUCCUGAUCAUUUUGGUUUAUUAUAUGUGUGAUUUCAAGUUCAAUAACAUAGUUAAAAGUGGGUUUGAUUCUGCUGUGUUCAAGAACUAGGGUUCUUCGUAGCUUUGGAUAUUUCUAAUUGAAAUUUGGGCUUUUCUUAUUUGUUAAUUGCAUGCUUAAUUGGUUUAUAUGGUUGGAUUGGUCGUGAGGAGAGGAAUUCAAACAUGUGAUUGGAAUUGACGGACGACCUCGGAAUCGGUCGCCGUGUUCUGAAAAACAACUCGCCAGCGGCGAGUUUGUUUCGAUCUUUUCCGGCCAAACGGCCUAUCUCCUGCAAAAUCUGAGGCCACCAAUCGAUUCCUGGUGGCUGAUAUAGCUAAUCUGGAAGUUUUGGUAGAUGUUUAAGGCCGGGAGACCAACCUCCGGCGACUCAGACGGUGGCCGGCGGCAUUUAUGCUGUUUGGUCACCGUAGUUUUGAAGAUGGUGACGUUUAGUCACCGUCGUUUCUACACUUUCACAGAUCGCAUCAUAUUUUUAAAACCUGACAGUUUGCACCCCUGUGUAAACUUUUGAUUAUUUACAAAAUAAACCUUUUCAAUUUAUUUUCAAAAAUCAUUUUUAAAUUACUUAUUUUAAUUUCAAAAAUAGUUUUUAAUUAUUUAUUAGUUCAAAAAUAAAUCUGAUUUAAUUUAUUAAUUAAUUUCAAUUUGUAAUUAAUUAUUAUAAUUGGUCAAUUAAUUUAAAUAUUAAUUGAUUAAUUGUUUUAGUUAAUUAUUAAUUGAUUUUAAUUGAUUUAUUAAUUAGAUUUAAUUAUUUGAAAUAAUUUUAAAAUUCCGAAAAAUAGUUUCGAGCUUUGAAAUAUUUUUCUAAAAUAUGUUUGAAGUCUGUUAAUUGAUUUCAAAUGAUUUCGGACUUGAUUUCAAGUAUUCAAAAUUGAUGAUUUAUUUAUAAAAUGAUUCUCUUAUUCGUUUUAAUUCCGAAAAAUGUUCAAAAAUUCAUAAUAAAUGCCGAAAAUCCUUUUGACUUCAAACCUUCUUUGAAAAAUAAAUUUUAGUGAAUACCUUAUGUGAUACGUGUUAUGUGCUAUCUGAUCGAUGUGCUAUAUGCCUAUGUGAACGUUAUAUGGCUGUUUCUGGCAUAUUUUUCAAUCCGUAAAUCGGAUUUGGGUAAAACGAAGGGUAGAUUGAAGCUCGUUUCGAAUGUGCGAUAAUAAGAAUAGUAUGAGAUCAUAUAUUGAUAGAUAAUUGUUGUGAUUAGCAGAAGAAGAGAGACGUAGAAAAGGAAAGCAAGUGGUAAUAGAAUAGUAUAUCGAGCAAGUACAAUCAAAGCUUGAGAUCAGCUAUAUAAGGCAAGUUUCCCUGAUACUUUCUUUCAAAUAUAUAUGAUAAUUGAUGUGAUUACUUCGUGAGAUUUCUAAUUAAGCCCUGUUAUUUCUUAAGCUAUAGCAUGAAUUGGUUAUUCUAUUAAUUCAUGAACCUUCAACCAGAUUCUUUGAAUUACAACUUGGACUAUUCACUUCAUUGAUUCUUGAGCCUCCAACCAGAUUCUUGGGUAUUUGUUACGAAACCUAUUUCAAUUGCGAACCUCAUGUUCUUGAAACUUUUAAAGAAAUACCAUACGAACCUUAUUUCAUUUCAAUGACAAAUCCUUGACCCCUAAACCAAUUGAUUAAAAUCCAGUAAUACCUGAAAUGACAUAUACCUUACAAUUGUUCAUUUUCUUCCGAUAAACUAAUUUCUUUGGUCUUGAAGAUACCCAUUUAUAUUCGAAUCAUUUUGUAAAAGAAACUAGAAACCUUCUUUCCUAUAAACAGUGGCCUUUGAUAUACCUUACAAUCCAAUCAUGCUUUAUCUGAUUCCUUGAAUCAUAAAGUAUUCCUUAUUCCUAUUCUGAAGUAUCUUGAAGAUACUCUUGAAUUGCAUUCUACUUCUGCUUCAAAGUUAAAUCAUGAUAUUGAUGACUCUGUUUUAUUGAAUUAUAUUGUUGAUCAUCUUGAAUUAUGAUAGAGUUGGAUAGUUUUUCUUAAAUGGACCAAAUGAAUGGUCAGACCAGAUGAGUGGUCGCUUUAGGCCAAUGUGUGCCUUGGAUCCAGUAAACGAGCAUGGCGGGGCCUGCUCGGGGUUAGUGUCUGACUGAUCAGCAGCCUAACCUUUGGUUUUUAAAAUUAAAAUUUAAUAUCCAAUUCUAAUUGAUACUCUAAAAACAAAUCUUGAUAUUGAGAUUGAUUCCAUUAGACACUGGUUUCCCUCAGCUUAUGAUUAAUGUUUUAAAUUGAUAUUGCUAUACUUGCUGAGCUUGUUAAGCUCACUCUUGCGAUACUUUAUGUUCUUUCCAGUGAAGGCAGAGAAGGUUGGUAAUGAUGACCCUCAGGCUAGUGGUAAGGCCAGGAUUCCAGGCUGAGAGACGGAGGGAGCUAUCAGCAGCACUUGGCUUUUUAUAUAUAAACUAGUUUGAGUAGCGGAAAACAUUUGAGGUGUAAGCAUUGUAAGAUUUAAGUCUAUAUUUUGGGAUUUGGGUUUGUAAUAAUUAAAGUUAUGUUGUGGCUUGUUUUAUACUUUAACCUGUUGCAAUCCAUGGAUAGUGAAGGGUCACCACAUAUAUUAUGUUAAUUACAAGUUUAUAUUAUGUUGUGGACCCCAAACUUCUGACCCGGGUUUGGAGGGCGCCACAGGUUGGUAUCAGAGCGACAGGUUAUAAGUCAAUGAAACAAGCCUAGAUUGUUGGGUAGAGGGUUAGGAUUAGAAAUGAGUGAUAGGUAGAUAGAACGUUGAGAGGUGAGUAUUAGUGAGAAGUAGGCUCUUGUGCUAUCAAGGAUUCUUAUAUGCGUUCUGUUAUAUUGAUUUACAGAUAUUCAUGAUGUCAAACUCUAUUAUUCCUUCAUAUCCACAACAUUCAGACACCACAGUUAAUGGACCCCCACCUCCUCAGCGACCUGAGCCUCACCCUCAUGUUUCACCCUUUUUAGAGGAUGUUUUGGCCGCAGCAGCAAUGGUUCCUUCCAGAAAUAUACCCCCGACUUAUCAUGCUAGGCCUUUUAUACGUGGACCCCCACCCAUUACCCCAAGUUCCACCCGAAGUUCUUCUAUUCACACUUCUUUCUGUCCUACACCAGAUCCUGUUCCUUAUCAUGAGUUUGAGGCGAUGAGGAUGGAGCGUCAGUACUUGCUUUGACAAGUCAGAGAGAUGGAGUGUAUCAUACAGAUGAUGGACCCUAGUAGAGCUGAGCGAGAGUUGAGGCAGAGGAUUGUGGAUGUAAGGAUGAAUGCGAUGGAAAAGCUUAAUACAGUGGCUGAGGGUUAUGGUGACUUAGUAGACUGGGCUAUUUGGAUGAUGAGAGAGUUGGACACAUUUGGAGGUCCUACUUUUCCUGGGAGCUAGAUGAUAGUAGUUGUAGAGUGGAGGUGCCAUGUACAUUAGUGUGUAGUGUGUAGCAUGUAUCGGAUCAGCAGAUUUUGAAAUAUAUACAUAUAUAUAUAUACUAGCAUAGCUGACUAGUUGAUAGGGUUGUUGUUGCUGUUGUUGUAAUUUACAUUUGACGAAGCGCAUUGACGCUUGUAUCUCCAGCACUGACUUAUAUAUAUUGUUAGAUAUAAUUGAUGAUUACUAAUAUUCUUAAAGUCUGUUUUAGAACAGGAAUCAUCAGAGUUUAAUCUGGAAGCUGAUCAGAGUUUAGUAAAGUCUGACAGAGUUUGAUAAAGUCUGACAGAGUUUGAUAAAGUCUGACCAGAGUUUACAUAGUCAAGAUUCGACAGAGUUUACACGUGGAAAGAGCUCAGAAGCGGAUAUACUUCAAGGAAGGAUAGAAGCGGAGGAGUGAUUUACUGGCUAUGGAAACUAAACAGAAAACUGGAGCAAUCUUUGAUUGAUAGAAUUCAUAGCAGAUUUAUAGGAUAUCAAAUCAGAGAUUGAUUUUGUAACUGUGUCUAUAUAAACACAGAUUAGGGUUACUCUAUAUGAGUUGAGUUAUCGAGUACAUUGUUAAGAACCCUAGCAGCUCUUAGUGAUACAUUAUAAAUCACUGAGAGAGUUUUUGUAACCAUUAAAGCUUUGUGAAUAUAAGAGUUUAUUACUUUCAAUCUCUUAUAUUGUCUUACUGUGUUACAGAUUGUGAUCACUAUAUCAGAUUAUAUAGUGAGUUUAUAGGACCUAACAAGUGGUAUCAGAGCCAGCUCUGUUAAGAUUACUACAGUGAGAUCUUAAACACAAUCAUGUCUGAAAAAUCACAAGCUUCAUCCUUUAGAGUUCCAAUCCUUAAGGCAUCUGAAUAUCCAGUCUGGAAAGAAAGAAUGAUCAUAUUCUUAGACUCUGUUGAUCCAGAAUACCUUGACAGGAUUUUUGAUGGACCACAUAUGCCCACCAAGCUCUCUGUUGGGAUUGCAGAUGAACCUCAAAAGAUGGUUCCAAAAGAAAAGAAAGAUUAUACUCCAGAGGACAUCUCAUCUAUCAGUAAAGAUGCAAAGGUGAAGCAUCUGUUGCAUAGUGCCCUUGAUAAUGCAAUGUCUAAUAGGGUGAUUGGGUGCAAAACUGCUAAACAAAUCUGGGAUGCUCUGGAAACCAGAUGUCAAGGAACUCAGGCCAUUAAGAAAAACAGAAAAACAAUCCUUACACAGGAGUAUGAGCACUUUGACUCAAAAUCUGGUGAGUCCCUGACAGAUCUGUAUGACAGAUUUGUCAAACUGUUGAAUGACUUAUCUCUGGUGGACAAGGAAUAUGAUCUUGAAGACUCAAACCUCAAAUUCCUUCUAGCUCUUCCUGAAAAAUGGGAUUUGAAAGUCACUACAAUAAGAGACAAUCUUGAUCUUGGAGAAAUGUCUCUUGAUGAUGUUUAUGGAAGACUGAAGACUCAUGAACUUGAGAUGGAGCAAAGGAGCAAACGUCAUGGAGGAAAAUCAAAGUCUGUUGCUCUGAAAGUUCAAGAGGAAGCUGCUAAGAGCAAAGGAAAAGCUCAUGUCACAAAGUCUGACAUUGAGUCAUCAAACUCUGAUGACUCAAACUCUGAUGUUCCCUCAGACUCUGAAGAAAGUGAUGAUGAGAUGAUGCAGUUAGCAGCAUUGAUGGUGAAAAGCUUCAAGAAGUUGGCCUACAAAAAGUUCAACAAAGGCAAAAGUUUUUCAAGGAAAGACAGAAACUCUGACAGAGUUUAUGACAAGAAGAACUUUAAGAAGAAUGAGGGCAAAGAAGGGAAAGCUGGAAAAGCUGACAAGUAUACCUGUUUCAACUGUGGUGAAAAGGGACACUUUGCAUCUGAAUGCAAGAAAGCCAAGAAGGAAAAAGAAAAAGCCUUUAUCACCAAGAAAGGAAACUGGACAGAUACAUCUGAUUCAGAAGAAGAAGUCAAUUAUGCUCUGAUGGCAAACACUGACAACAACUCUGAAUCUCCUGCUAAGGUACCUCAUUCUACUCUUGCCUUUGAUACUGAAGAUAUAACUGAGUUAAGAUUGUUUCUUAAAACUUUGCAUAUCAGCUUUAGAGAUCAGACUUUAGAAAAUGAAAGAUUAAAAUCUGAAACUCUAAGUGUAAAGAAAAGGAAUGAUUAUCUAGAAAAAGAAUUAGUUCAGAUGUUGGAAGUUCAGAAAGAAAGAGAUGAUGCUGUCAUUGUCAAAGAUGAAUUAUUAAAGAGGUAUGCAUCUCUUCAAUCAGAACUUGCUAAGGAAAGGGAGAUCAUUAAGACAUGGACUAAUUCAGGCAAAACUACUCAGGAUAUCUUAGGUAGUGGAAACUGGAAGAAGGGACUAGGUUACACUGAUAACUCAGAAGCUGAGUCAUCAAAAACAGAGUUUGUUAAAACUCAAAAACCUAAGGUUAAACCUGUUAAAUUUGUUGCUGAAUCCUCUAAGUCUAAACAGAGUAGACCAAAAUCAGAGAUUAACAACAAUUUAAAAUCUGAUAAGCCCAAACAGGUUAACAUAGGACUGAUGACUCAGAAACAGCUUAAACAUAAGCUUAAAGAGGUAAAGUCUGAUGACAAAAACAAGGAGCCUAGGAAAAAUAGAAAUGGCAAGAUUGGAAUAGACAAGAGUAAUAACUACAUGCCUAUUCCAAAUGCACCUAGGAAGACAUGCCAUAACUGUGGGAAUACUAAUCAUCUUGCUAAUUUUUGCAGGAAGAACAAGGACAUUAACUCUUUACCUACAAAGUCUGGAGUUAGAAAAAGUAGUAUUAGAUAUAAACCACAAGAUCCAUGUUUUCAUUGUGGUAGUUUAUGGCAUUCUAUUUAUACUUGCAAAGAAUAUCAUAGUUUGUAUUAUGAUUAUUAUCAAUUGAAACCUUCUUUGAAGAAGUUUAAUAAAAGCUCUGCAAGUACAAAAUCUGUUUCUAGUACAAACUCUGUUGCAAAGUCUGUUAGCUCAAACUCUGAUAAUAAUAACUCCGCUGCAAAAGCUAACAAACUUAAUAAGGCCAAGGGAUCCAAGCAAGUCUGGGUCCUUAAAACUAACAAUUAGUGGUCUUUGUGAUUGCAGGGCAACAGGAAGAAUAUUCUAGUCUUGGACAGUGGAUGUUCAGGACACAUGACUGGAAAUAAGGCCCUGCUGUCAGAGUUUGUGGAGAAGGCUGGCCCAAGUGUUUCUUAUGGAGAUGGCAACAUAGGAAGGACUCUGGGAUAUGGCAACAUCAAUCUUGGAAAUGUCAUCAUAUCAAAUGUAGCUCUUGUUCAAGGGCUAAAACACAAUUUACUCUCUGUCAGUCAGAUCUGUGACAGAGGAUAUCAUGUUGAUUUCUAUGAAGAACACAGUGAGAUAGUAAGCAAGUCAACAGGCAAAGUGGCAGUGAUUGCUCACAGACAUGGAAAUAUUUAUGAAAUCCACUUGCCUACAAACUCUGAAGGAAAAGCAAUUUGCUUGUCUACAAGGAUCUCUGCAGAAGAAAGUUGGAAGUGGCACAAGAAGCUCUCACAUCUGAAUUUCAACUCCAUAAAUGAGCUUAUAAAGAAAAAGCUUGUGAGAGGACUCCCUGAAUCACUACUCACAUCUGAUGGAUUAUGUGAUUCAUGUCAAAAGGCCAAGCAGAGAAAGACAUCCUUCAAGAGUAAGACUGAAUUCUCAAUAAAGAAACCAUAUCAUCUUCUACAUGUUGAUCUAUUUGGACCAGUUAAUGUACCAUCCAUUGCAAGGAAGAAAUAUGCUCUUGUCAUUGUUGAUGAGUAUACCAGAUACACUUGGGUAUAUUUUCUUCACUCUAAAGAUGAAACAGCCUUGCAUCUGAUGGAUCAUGUGAAACAACUGGAUCAUGGAUCUGAAGACAAAGUGAAGAUCAUUAGAAGUGAUAAUGGAACUGAGUUCAGAAAUUCAACAAUGGAAGAGUUCUGCAAAGAAAGAGGUGUAGUGCAACAAUUUUCUGCACCUGGUACACCACAGCAAAAUGGUGUAGUUGAAAGGAAAAACAGGACUCUUAUAGAAGCUGCCAGAACUAUGCUUGAUGAGGCUAAAUUGCCUACUUAUUUCUGGGCAGAAGCUGUUCAAACAGCUUGUUUCACUCAAAAUGCAACCUUGAUUAAUAAGCAUGGCAAGACCCCAUAUGAGAUGGUGAAGAAAAAGAAGCCAAAUCUGAAGUACUUUCAUAUAUUUGGGUGCAAAUGCUUUGUAUUGAAGACUCAUCCAGAACAGCUUACCAAGUUUGAUUUAAAAGCUGAUGAAGGCAUUUUUGUAGGUUAUCCUCUGACAACAAAGGCCUUCAGAGUCUAUAAUCUAAGAACCAAGGUGAUCAUGGAAUCCAUACAUGUGUCAUUUGAUGACAAAAGAAUUAUGGGUUUAGCAGAUAUGGAUGAUCAUGAAGAACUGCAUUUUGAAAAUGAAGAAAUAUUCUCUGAUUCAACAAACUCUGAUGAACAGUCAAACUCUGACUGUGAACAAAAUACAGCAAACUCUGGUGAAAAUUUACAAGUUCAUGAUGAUGAAGCAAUUGUUGAGGGGGAGCAUCAGAAUGUUUCAGACUCUACCCAAGACUCAUCAGAGAAUGCUGACUCAAACUCAUCAGAGAAUACUGAUUCAAACUCUGAUAGCACAAAUUUAGGGGGAGCUACAGAGAAUAAUCAACAGAAUCAGGAGAGCAUGGAUCAAGGGGGAGGAUCCAAUGAUGAAAAUGGUCAACUUCCACAUGCUAGGAAGUGGACAAAAUCUCACACACCUGAUUUAAUAAUUGGCAAUCCAGAAGCAGGUGUGCAAACAAGGACAGCUACAGCAAAUGAGUGUUUACAUCAUUGCUUUCUGUCACAAACAGAACCUAAAAAGGUGGAGGAAGCUCUUCAAGAUGCUGACUGGAUUCAAGCAAUGCAAGAAGAGCUAAAUGAGUUUGAGAGAAACAAAGUCUGGACCCUAGUACCAAGACCUAAAGAUAGAUCCAUAGUUGGUACAAAAUGGGUUUUCAGAAACAAAACUGAUAGUGAAGGUGUCAUUACAAGGAAUAAAGCAAGACUUGUGGCAAAAGGGUAUUCACAACAGGAAGGUAUUGAUUAUGAUGAGACAUUUGCUCCAGUUGCAAGAUUGGAGGCAAUUAGAAUCUUUCUGGCCUAUGCUGCUCACAAGAAAUUCAAGGUAUUUCAGAUGGAUGUCAAAAGUGCUUUUCUAAAUGGGAAACUGGAUGAGGAGGUAUAUGUUGAACAACCUCCAGGCUUUGUGGAUCCAAAGCAUCCAGACUAUGUCUAUAGAUUGGACAAGGCACUUUAUGGACUAAAGCAGGCUCCAAGGGCAUGGUAUGAAACUCUGGCUCAAUUUCUUCUUGAAAGUGGAUUUACUAGAGGUACCAUAGAUAAAACCCUGUUUUAUUUGAAUCAUGGUAAUGAUCUGCUUUUAGUUCAAAUCUAUGUUGAUGAUAUUAUUUUUGGCUCCACUAAUGCUAAACUCUGUCAAAGAUUUGCCAAGCUCAUGCAGUCUAGGUACCAAAUGAGCAUGAUGGGGGAACUCAGUUAUUUUCUGGGUUUACAAGUUAAACAGACUGAAGAUGGGAUUUUUAUAAAUCAAGCCAAGUAUACCAGAAAUCUUUUGAAGAAAUUUGGUAUGCAAGACAGUUCAGCUGCAACUACUCCUAUGGCAACAGCAACCAAACUAGACAAAGAUACUGGUGCAUCAGUGGAUAUCACAAACUAUAGAGGAAUGAUUGGAUCUUUGCUUUAUCUGACUGCAAGUAGACCAGACAUCAUGUAUGCCACAUGUCUAUGUGCAAGAUUUCAGGCAGAUCCAAGAGAGCCUCAUCUGAUUGCAGUAAAGAGGAUAUUCAGAUAUCUCAAGGGAACCACAUCAUUGGGAUUAUGGUAUCCUAGAGAAUCAGAUUUUAGUCUAAUUGGAUACUCUGAUGCAGAUUUUGCAGGUUGCAAAAUUGACAGGAAAAGCACAAGUGGGAGUUGUCAAUUUCUGGGUGGAAGACUUGUUUCUUGGUACAGCAAGAAGCAAAAGUCCAUUUCAACAUCAACAGCAGAGUCAGAGUAUAUAGCUGCAGGCAGCUGCUGUGCUCAAAUUCUUUGGAUGAAGAAUCAACUGUUGGACUAUGGGUUAUCCUUUUCUAAAAUUCCUAUUUAUUGUGAUAACCAAAGUGCUAUUGCUAUGACAGGAAACCCAGUUCAACAUUCUCUGACAAAACACAUCAGCAUAAGAUAUCAUUUUAUAAGGGAGCAUGUGGAGGAAGGAACCAUUGAACUUCACUUUGUUCCUACAGAACAGCAGCUAGCAGACAUAUUCACCAAACCACUAAGUGAAGCAACCUUCACUAGGCUGGUGAAUGAGCUAGGAAUGAUAUCAGGAACUGAGUAAACAUACUGGUCAGAUCUUUCAAAUUUCAAUUGUCAAAUUACCAUAUGUAUUGCUCACAAAUUUGCCAUGAUAUACUCUGAUUGUUAAAAUCUGAUGACAUUCUCUGAUGAUAUACUCUGUGUGCUAUACUCUGAUGAUAUUCUCUGAUCGUCAUUCUCUGACGAUAUUCUCUGAUGUUUGUAAACUCUGAAUCUUGAUUAAUGAUUUCAUUUCUAUUUCUCUGAGAAAACAAACCUGUGAAGAUACUAUGAAGCAUGAUAUGAAUUAGUAAUCAUGAAUCUCAGUUCAGUUCUUUAAUCUUGAUCUCCAUUUUGUGCUACUACUUAACACUAUCUGCAUAUUGAAAUCAUUGAGACUCUAUUACUUCACAUAUCUUAAUUAUAAGUGAGACUGACUAAUUUGCAUUUUCUCUCAGUAAAUUAGACAGUGAUUAUAAACUCUGAUGAUAUAUACACUCCUGCAAAUAAGCAUGGUACUCCUUUGAGAUCUUAGAUGUCUAUAUGACAGUGACUGGGAAGACCCAAACCCUUACUGGUAUUAAGUAAUUGCCAAGAUUUUAAAAUCUAUGGUGACCAGUCACAAUCUCUGAUUACUGGAGAACUACUGUGGCAAAAUUAUCCUUAAAAGGUCGUGAUUCAUUUACACUGAAAAGCGUCCUUUUGAAAAAAAAAAAAAAAGGGGGGGUUUAGUUUAUUUUAUCAGAGUAUAUCGUUUGUCUAUGUCUUGAGAGUUUAAAUAAAUUAUUCUUGUCUACCUUAUAAUUACGAAAUUGUGAAAUUCUCUAGUCUCUGAUUUAAUAUGUUAAAUCACACACAUAAAUGUCACAAGCAUAUUAUUGAGCUAUGGAUUCUAUGNNNNNNNNNNNNNNNNNNNNNNNNNNNNNNNNNNNNNNNNNNNNNNNNNNNNNNNNNNNNNNNNNNNNNNNNNNNNNNNNNNNNNNNNNNNNNNNNNNNNNNNNNNNNNNNNNNNNNNNNNNNNNNNNNNNNNNNNNNNNNNNNNNNNNNNNNNNNNNNNNNNNNNNNNNNNNNNNNNNNNNNNNNNNNNNNNNNNNNNNNNNNNNNNNNNNNNNNNNNNNNNNNNNNNNNNNNNNNNNNNNNNNNNNNNNNNNNNNNNNNNNNNNNNNNNNNNNNNNNNNNNNNNNNNNNNNNNNNNNNNNNNNNNNNNNNNNNNNNNNNNNNNNNNNNNNNNNNNNNNNNNNNNNNNNNNNNNNNNNNNNNNNNNNNNNNNNNNNNNNNNNNNNNNNNNNNNNNNNNNNNNNNNNNNNNNNNNNNNNNNNNNNNNNNNNNNNNNNNNNNNNNNNNNNNNNNNNNNNNNNNNNNNNNNNNNNNNNNNNNNNNNNNNNNNNNNNNNNNNNNNNNNNNNNNNNNNNNNNNNNNNNNNNNNNNNNNNNNNNNNNNNNNNNNNNNNNNNNNNNNNNNNNNNNNNNNNNNNNNNNNNNNNNNNNNNNNNNNNNNNNNNNNNNNNNNNNNNNNNNNNNNNNNNNNNNNNNNNNNNNNNNNNNNNNNNNNNNNNNNNNNNNNNNNNNNNNNNNNNNNNNNNNNNNNNNNNNNNNNNNNNNNNNNNNNNNNNNNNNNNNNNNNNNNNNNNNNNNNNNNNNNNNNNNCAUGCCGUAAACUCUGAACCUACUCCUACAACAGCCUCUGAACCUGUUCAAGCCAGUCCUCAGAAGCCAGCCAGAUUCAAGAAGAGGGCUCAAAAGCCUGCAAGAGCAAAAGUCCCAGUUACUGAAAUCACAGAUUUCACAGUUGAGGAAGAACAAACACCAUCAACUCCAGUCAUCUCCUACAGCAUCUACUUCAUCCUCUGAAGUAGAUGAAGAAAUAAAGUGUGAUGAACCAGUUACAACUGAAGCUGGAGCAAACAUGUCUGAUCCUCAUCCUCCAUUAUCUGAUCAUGGACCCUCCACUCCAAUUCCUAAUUCUCCAAUGAAAAUUCCAGAGGGUGCCAUAGUUCAUGAUACAGCUCCAGAAAACUACAGGUCUGAUGUAGUUGAUGAAUCUGACAGAGUAGCUAUGGAAGCUCUACAGUCUCUUGCUCAGACUGGUGAAGAGCCUAUCAAAUCACAGUCUGAAGCUCAAGAAAAAUCUGCUCAGGAUACUGUGGAGAAAGUUGCUGAUACUGUUCCUGAUGCUGACAAAGCAAAUUCUGAUGCUGAUACUGAGGAUGAUGACAGUUCAGAUACUGACAAGGAUGAAAAUGAUGGAGUUCCUCUAACACAACAAAAGUGGGAGUCUACUAGCCAGUAUAAUGUCAGGCUACAAACUCUGACUACAGACUCUGAGCCACUUCCCAGGGAUCUUCAAGUUGAUCCACCAAAUGAAGUAUGGGAUAAACUCUGGCUGAGCCAUCAACAUUCUCUGGAGCCAACUAAAGCUGAAGAAUUUCUAUCUAUGGCAGAGAAUAAAAUUUCAAACUCUGAUGUUAUGUCAAGCCUCAAAGGCACAAUUCUUUAUCUGAAGACAUUUCAUCCUGCUCAUGCCCAGACAUCUAAAUCAAUAGAUGGUCUAAGAACAGAGGUGGCUAAUGUCAAGGAGACAAAUGAGUUGGAGAAGAAAAGGACUAUAAUACCUCUGAGAGAUAAUGUUCAGAAGCUGGUGUCUGCACAUGAAUCUCUGGACAAGAGGAUGACUAUCAUUGAAUCAACUCAAGAGAAGAUGUCCAAACAGCUUGAAGCCAUCCAAUCUUCACUUUCUCUGAUCACAUCCAUACUGAUUCCUGAUGAGGAUGAUGUCAAAAAGGGGGAGAGAGUAGCUCAAGUCAAAUGCAAGUCUACUACUCAAACUCUGAAGAGGAAGAAGAAGGAUGAUGAUGAUGAUGCUGAUGAUUUCACAAAGCACAAGAGAUUUCAAGCAGGGACUGGUGGAAGAGUUUCAAACUCUGACAGUCAGAAACAAUCUAAGCAAAGCACAAAGUCUGCUCCAACACAUAACUUCACAUCUGGAUCUAAGCAAAGACCAGUGACUGGAUCAGACAAACCCAUGACUGAUGAAGAGCUUGCUAGAUUGGUUUUUGAACAAGAAAAUCCAGAAGCCAAUUUGGAUUUGGAGUUGAUUGCUGCAGAGGAAGCUGAGCUGAAAAAGGAACAUGUUGAAGCUAUAAACUCUGGAAAGAUCCAAAAGCCUGCAAAGUCAACUACCAAGCCAAAAGAGAAAGGGAUAUUGAUCAAGGAACCUACUGUUGCUGAUCAGAGUUUACCAGUCAAAAAGGUAUACUCUGAAGAUGAAUAUACUUCCAAGGGCAAAAGCAAAGUAGAUGAACAUCUGGAGAAAGGCUGGGAAAAGAAGAAGUCUACAACCUCUGACAAGGAUCAAGUUGUAAAGGAAAAGAAAACAGAAGCUGCAAUCUCUGACAAAGCUCAUGUUGCAGAACCUCAAAAAGAAAGAUUAACCUCUGACAUAGCUCAAGUUAAUAAGGAUGCAAAGAAAGACACAACCUCUGACAAAGCUCAAGCUGUGUUCAAACCAACAACUACUCCACUGGCUGGAUUUGCAAAGCCUACUCUGAUGACUGAGAUAAGCUUUGAAAAGGGCUCAAUUCAACCAAUCUCUCAUCGUAAGGCAGGAAGAGAUAAAGGAGGGCUGGGAUCCAAAUAUGAAAAAUUUGAUCAGAGUAUAGGAUCAAGACCAGAUGACCCCUCAUCUCUCUGUGCUCCCAAGACUGGAGUAUUGCAAGACAAAAUGGACAAACUUGAUUCAGUCCAGUUGGUAAAGAAUGACAGAGGAGAUAAUAUCCUUAUCUACUUCAUGUCUGAUGGAACAGUGUUUAGAGUACUUGAAGCAGAUCUAUAUGCUAAACACUGGGAAGAAUUGAGAUAUGUAUCAUACAUAUUUCAAGUAAAGAACAAGUCAGGACAACACAUCUCCAACCUGCUAAAGGAUCAAAUCAGAAGAAAGAUGGGGAUUACAGGAAACAAAAAUGCUGGACCUUUCAUUCCUAAAUACCUCAAUCAUAAAGGACAGCUGGUGGAGAUGAAGACAAAUUCAGCAAAGAUUGAAACAAUAGGUGGAAUCAGAACUCUUGCAUUUAAUGAAGAGUCUGAUAAAGCUUACAAUAUCAGGCUGGAUAGAGACUUGAAGAAGAACAAGAUUUAUGAUCUCAGAGCUGCAAUUUAUCAAACUGGAGUUUCAGAUCCAGAGCUGAGAGAGAUCAAGAGACAAAUGAUUACAGUGCUUGAAGAAGCUGAAAGAGAACUCCUCAGAAGGUAUCUACAGACAGCAAAUGGUGUCUAUGCAGCUAAGGAGUAAAGUAUCUGUAAGUUUUAAAAGUUUUCUGUUGUAUAGUUAAACUCUGUUGCAUUUGACUUAAAUGUUUUGACAUCAUCAAUUAUCUGUUAACUUGCACAUAACUUAUUUAUGCACAAGUUGGGGGAGAUUGUUAGAUAUAAUUGAUGAUUACUAAUGUUCUUAAAGUUUGUUUUAGAACAGGAAUCAUCAGAGUUUAAGCUGGAAGCUGAUCAGAGUUUAGUAAAGUCUGACAGAGUUUGAUAAAGUCUGACAGAGUUUGAUAAAGUCUGACCAGAGUUUACAUAGUCAAGACUCGUCAGAGUUUACACGUGGAAAGAGCUCAGAAGCGGAUAUACUUCAAGGAAGGAUAGAAGCGGAGGAGUGAUUUACUGGCUAUGGAAACUAAACAGAAAACUGGAGCAAUCUUUGAUUGAUAGAAUUCAUAGCUGAUUUAUAGGAUAUCAAAUCAGAGAUUGAUUUUGUAACUGUGUCUAUAUAAACACAGAUUAGGGUUACUCUAUAUGAGUUGAGUUAUCGAGUACAUUGUUAAGAACCCUAGCAGCUCUUAGUGAUACAAUAUAAAUCACUGAGAGAGUUUUUGUAACCAUUAAAGCUUUGUGAAUAUAAGAGUUUAUUGCUUUCAAUCUCUUAUAUUGUCUUACUGUGUUACAGAUUGUGAUCACUAUAUCAGAUUAUAUAGUGAGUUUAUAGGACCUAACAUAUAUCAGCGUCUUUUACCUUAUAGUCUUAUCUUUUCCUUUACCGCACUUGUUUUAUUUCACUUUACUUUCAGUACCGACCAUAAACUUUUGAGAUAAUAUUGCACCCCUUUCCUUUAUUGUUUUACAUUCUGUAAAGAAGUAUGCAAUUUAUUUAGUUGAAUAAUCUCAAAAAUGUUUUCAGAAAUUUGUAACUCUGUUUUCUUAAAAACCUUUUAUAAAAAGAGAAUUUGAUUUAAAAAGGCUAAGUGAAUUGUUUCUUCUUUACAGAAUGCCUCCAACAAGACAUACUCGUGCCAACAGCAACCCUGAAGGCACAAACAGUACCAAUAAUAACAAUGACAACCAGAAUGUCAACACAGGCACAGUAGAUCCUGCUGUUGCCCAACUAAUUCAAAUUUUGGCCCAACAAACUGCUCAGCUUACCCGACAACAGCAACAUUAAGAGAAUCCUAGGGUAACUUUUAAAACUUUUCAGGCAGUUAAUCCUCCAGAGUUUAAGGGCUCAGCAGAUCUUGUUGCAGCCCAAACAUGGUUAAAAGAAAUGGAAAAGUGUUUUGAGUUAGUUCCAGCAAGUGAGGACCAGAAAACAAAGUUUGCCAGUCAUUACAUGAAAAAUUAAGCGACGUAUUGGUGGGAAUUUGUUAAGAAUUUGGAAGGUACAGUUGAAAUUACUUGGGAAAGGUUUAGAGAAUUGUGCUUAGAAAAGUAUUUUCCUAGGUUUCUUCAGGAUCAGAUGGAAUUGAACUUUUUAGAGUUGAAACAAGGAAAUAUGUCUAUGGUUGAGUAUGAGAAUAAGUUUGCGGAAUUGGCUAGAUUUAUGCCAACUUAUGUAGAGACCGAUAGGCAGAAAGCGAAGAGGUUCCAUCAAGGUCUGAAACCCUGGAUUAGAAGCAAAUUAGCUAUUUUACAAUUGGAUACUUACGCAGCAGUUGUUGAGAAAGCGGUGAUUGCGGAGACUGAAAAUGAGUUGUUCAGAAGUCUAAGGAAGAUAAGAAAAGAAAGCCAGACAAUAGAGAAGGACCAUCUCAUCAAGGGAGGUUCCAGAAGAAAGGGAAAUUUCAAGCAGGAAGGAGUUCCAAUUUUAAGAAACAGAAUGUAGGCAGUGGUGGACAAGGUAGUCGUUUUAUUAUGGGAAAUCAGGCCAAUCAGCAGAGGCCUUCAAUACCAGAAUGUCAGAUAUGUGGCAAGAGACAUGGAGGAAUAUGCAACAAGCUGAACGUGGUGUGUUUUAAAUGCAACCAGAAAGGACAUUAUUCUAGAGAAUGUCAGAAUCAACUAGCAAUAAAAGAUCAAGCCAAUAGAAGCUCAACAAGUAAGACUCUAGUCAUAGGAUAUACAUGUUUUAAAUGUGGAAAGCCAGGACAUAUGGCUAAGGACUGCAAGACAUCAGCCCCUGUUAGUAAUGCACUUAGGAUCAUGGGAACUGUUCCAGAAGUGAAUGAACCUCCUAAGGCAAGAGUCUUUGAUAUGUCAGUGAAGGAUGCUAUUCAGGAUGCCGAUGUGGUGGCAGGUACGCUUAACGUAAACUCUUUAAAUGCUAAGGUGUUAAUUGAUUCCGGAGCCACUAGAUCAUUUAUUUCUCAAGCUUUUGUUGAUAAGUUGAAUUGUCCGGUUGAAUUGUUGAAUGAGGUUAUGAAUGUAGAGCUAGCUAAUCAGGAUCGUAUUCCCGUUAAUCAAGUUUGUCCUGAUUGUGAAAUUGAGAUUUUAGGAAAUAAGUUUUGUGCCGACUUGAUACCUUUCAAGUUGGGGGAAUUUGAUGUAAUCUUAGGGAUGGACUGGCUGUCUAAACAUAGUGCGCAGAUAGAUUGUAAAAAUAAGAAGGUAAUAUUAAAGGCACCAGACGAUAAGGUAAUAACGUUUAGAGGACAAAAGCAAGUAAAGAAGUUCUUAACCAUGAUUCAAGCGAAGAGGAUGUUACGUCAAGGAUGUGAAGCCUAUAUUGCUUAUGUAAUUGAUAAAAGUCAGGAAUCAGUAAAACUUGAUGAUAUUCCUGUAGUAAAUGAAUUUCCAGACGUGUUUCCUGAUGAGUUACCAGGACUUCCUCCAGAUAGAGAAAUAGAAUUUGCAAUUGACUUAGCACCUGGAACGGAGCCGGUAUCCAAAGCCCCGUAUAGGAUGGCACCCGUAGAGAUGAAAGAAUUGGCAAAACAAUUACAAGAGUUACUGGAAAAGGGCGUGAUUAGACCGAGUGUAUCCCCAUGGGGAGCACCAGUGUUAUUUGUAAAGAAGAAAGAUGGAAGUAUGAGGUUAUGCAUAGAUUAUAGAGAGCUUAAUAAGCUUACUAUCAAGAAUAGAUAUCCUUUACCCCGUAUUGACGACUUGUUUGACCAGUUGAAAGGAGCAGAAUAUUUUUCUAAGAUUGACCUUAGGUCAGGAUACCAUCAGCUCAAAAUCAAAUCUGAGCUAAGACAGCUUUCAGAACAAGGUAAGGUCAUUUUGAAUUUUUAGUGAUGGCCUUUGGAUUAACGAAUGCACCAGCUUUUAUGGAUUUAAUGAAUAGAGUCUUUAAGAAGUAUUUGGACAAGUUUGUGAUUGUUUUUAUAGAUGAUAUUCUGAUAUAUUCUAAGACAACUGAGGAGCAUGCAGAACACUUAAAAACAGCCUUAGAGAUACUAAGGAAGAAGAAGUUGUAUGCGAAGUUUUCUAAAUGUGAAUUCUGGUUAGAAGAAGUUCAAUUUCUAGGACACAUAGUGAGUCGUGAAGGAAUCAAGGUAGAUCCAGCAAAGAUUGAAGCUAUAAUGAAUUGGGAAAGACCAAAGACCCCCACAGAAAUCAGGAGAUUCUUAGGGUUAGCAGGUUACUACAGAAGGUUUGUACGGGAUUUCUCAAGAAUUGCAACCCCACUGACUAAGUUAACUAGAAAGAAUGAAAAGUUCAUAUGGAAUGAGAAGUGUGAGGAAAGUUUUCAGGAUUUAAAGAAAAGAUUAGUGUCAGCACCAGUAUUGUCCCUUCCAGAUGAUCAAGGAAAUUUUGUGAUUUAUAGUGAUGCCUCUUAUAAAGGAUUAGGAUGUGUAUUGAUGCAGCAUGAUAAAGUUAUUGCGUAUGCGUCUAGACAACUUAAACCUCAUGAACAGAAGUACCUUACUCAUGACCUGGAGUUAGCAGCUAUUGUAUUUGCACUAAAAAUAUGGAGACACUAUCUGUACGGAGAAAAGUGUGAGAUUUACACAGAUCAUAAAAGUUUGAAGUACAUCUUUACUCAGAAAGAGCUUAACAUGAGACAAAGAAGAUGGUUAGAGUUGAUUAAGGAUUAUGAUUGUACGAUUAAUUAUCAUCCAGGAAAAGCCAACGUAGUAGCGGAUGCUUUAAGUAGAAAGGAGAGGUUAAAUGUAUUGACUGUGCCAGAGGAAUUGUAUAAAGAGUUUCAAAAGUUGGAAAUCGAGGUAAGAAUUCGUGAACCAUCAGAGAUAGCAGUGUAUACCAUGACCUUCCAACCAGAGCUAUUAGAAAAGAUUAAGAAGUGCCAAGAAGAAGUAAUGAAUCAGGAUGUAAACAAAUUAGUAGGAGAAGAGUUAUGUACACAGAAAGAUGACCAGGGUAUUCUUAGAUUUUCUUCCCGGAUAUGGAUUCCACCGGAGACAGAGUUAAAGAAUGACAUCUUGCAGGAAGCACAAAAUUCUAAGUAUUCAAUUCAUCCAGGCAGCACUAAGAUGUAUAGAGAUUUAAAGGAGAACUAUUGGUGGCCAGACAUGAAAAGAGAGAUUGCGGAAUGGGUAAGUAAAUGUUAUACGUGUCAAAAAGUGAAAGCAGAACACCAAAGACCAAGUGGACUAUUGCAACCUUUAGAGAUUCCAGAAUGGAAAUGGGAACAUAUUGCUAUGGAUUUUAUUGUAGGAUUACCGAAGACAAAAGCAAAUCAUGAUGCCAUCUGGGUUAUAGUGGAUAGAUUAGCCAAAUCAGCUCAUUUUCUUCCGAUUAAUGAGAGGUUUUCUUUGGAUAAACUGGUUCAUAUGUACUUGAAAGAGAUUGUAGUUCAUCAUGGAGUCCCCGUAUCCAUUGUAUCAGAUAGAGAUCCACGAUUUAAUUUGAGAUUCUGGAAAAGUUUUCAAGAAUGCUUGGGCACUAAAUUGAAUAUGAGUACGGCAUAUCAUCCACAGACAGACGGCCAAAGUGAGAGAACUAUUCAGACAAUCGAGGAUAUGUUACGUGUUUGUGCAAUCGAUUUCAAAGGCAAUUGGGACGAACAUCUACCUUUAGUGGAAUUUGCAUAUAAUAAUAGUUAUCACGCGAGUAUUGGAAUGCCUCCAUAUGAAGCCCUUUACGGACGCAAAUGUCGAUCACCAGUAUAUUGGGAUGAAGUCGGAGAACGCAAAAUACUUGGACCAGAACUAGUGCAGCAAACCAAGGAAGUCAUCGAAAUUAUUCAGAAGCGACUAAUUGCAGCGCAAAGUCGUCAACGGAACUACGCAGAUCAAUCCCGGAGAGACGUAGAAUUUGAAGACGGAGAAGCAGUACUGCUAAAGGUAUCACCAUGGAAAGGGCUAUCCAGAUUCGGAAAGAAAGGCAAGCUAAGUCCCCGAUAUGUCGGGCCAUUCGAAAUCUUGAGGCGUAUUGGCAAAGUAGCGUAUGAAUUGGCAUUACCCCCACAAAUGGAGCAUAUUCAUAACGUCUUUCAUGUAUCGAUGCUUAAAAAGUAUAAUCCAGAUUCGAAGCAUGUGAUAGAGUAUGAGCCGAUAGAACUGGAGGCAGAUUUAUCUUAUGUAGAAAAGCCAGUAGAAAUCCUAGAUAGAAAAGAGAAGGUGUUAAGGAACAAGGUAGUUAACUUAGUGAGAGUACUGUGGAGAAACCCAAAGGUUGAAGAGUCAACCUGGGAAUUAGAAAGUGAUAUGCUUGAAAAGUACCCUCAUUUGUUUACCUAAGCGAUUCUGAGGACAGAAUCCUUUUAAGGGGGGAAGGAUGUAACAUCUGGGAUUAUCCGUGUAAUUAUUUUGAUGAUUAAUGAAUAUUAUAUGAAUAUUAUGUGAAUAUUAUAUGAAUUUCUGUGAAUUAAUUGUUUCUUGUCCUAUUAAUAUGGCUGCUUGUUUACGAUCAAAUUUGAGGAAUAUCAAUUUUUAUAUGCUCAGUACAAAAUAUAGUUUAUUUAGAUAUUUUUAUAUUGAUUUAUGUAUUGUUGUAUGAUUUUAUAUUUGGUUUAUGGAUUUAAUUACGUAUAUUAUAUUUAAUUAUUAAUUAUUUUGAUUUUUCGAAAACCGUCAACCCGUAACGGUACCGAGAUUUUACUUCCCGAAAAUUUCGACAAAACUCACCAUAACCUACAAAAAUGCCUUCAUCAGCUUUUAAAUUAAGCUGUUCUGGAUGAGUCUUCAAGACAAAGCAUUUGCACCCAAAUAUAUGAAAGUACUUCAGAUUUGGCUUCUUUUUCUUCACCAUCUCAUAUGGGGUCUUGCCAUGCUUAUUAAUCAGUGUUGCAUUUUGAGUGAAACAAGCUGUUUGAACAGCUUCUGCCCGGUUGUCUAGAUAUACGUGAAAACAAGAUAUUUUGAUUAUUAUAUUAUUUCUUUUAUCGUAAUACGUGCAAACGGGACCCGCAUACUAAUGAUUGAUUGAAAAGCCCCGUUUUAAUAUAUAAUUAUCUCGAAAACCGGUACCGAUUGGACCCGCUUUAUUAAUAUAAAGCUAUUAAACAUUGUAUUUUCGUGUCAUAUAUGAUCCAGAGGGGUAUUAAUUAUUCGUAAAUAUAAAUAGUCUUAACCGUACUUUAUUUCACUCGGGAAAUCAUAAUAUCAGUUAAAUACGAGUUUAUCGAGAGAGUGUUCUUCGCGUUCUUGAGAUUCAAACGAAGAUUUGGAAGCGUUAUCGGACUCGGAUUUUGGCGUUCAAGUACUCAAAUCGAAGGUUUUGCUGAGUAGAAUCCAUAUCUAGCAUCAGAAUCAGUGCAGCAACAAUAGGUGGGCACGGAUUUUUGAGUUUUAAUUCGAAUUAAAUAAGCUUAAAUUAGGGCUUUUUGAUUUUGAAGUCGUUUGUGUGAUUUGAUGAUUUCAUGUUGUAGAUUAGUUUCUCCUGAUCAUUUUGGUUUAUUAUAUGUGUGAUUUCAAGUUCAAUAACAUAGUUAAAAGUGGGUUUGAUUCUGCUGUGUUCAAGAACUAGGGUUCUUCGUAGCUUUGAAUAUUUCUAAUUGAAAUUUGGGCUUUUCUUAUUUGUUAAUUGCAUGCUUAAUUGGUUUAUAUGGUUGGAUUGGUCGUGAGGAGAGGAAUUCAAACAUGUGAUUGGAAUUGACGGACGACCUCGGAAUCGGUCGCCGUGUUCUGAAAAACAACUCGCCGGCGGCGAGUUUGUUUCGAUCUUUUCCGGCCAAACGGCCUAUCUCCUGCAAAAUCUGAGGCCACCAAUCGAUUCCUGGUGGCUGAUAUAGCUAAUCUGGAAGUUUUGGUAGAUGUUUAAGGCCGGGAGACCAACCUCCGGUGACACAGACGGUGGCCGGCGGCAUUUAUGCUGUUUGGUCACUGUAGUUUUGAAGAUGGUGACGUUUAGUCACCGUCGUUUCUACACUUUCACAGAUCGCAUCAUAUUUUUAAAACCUGACAGUUUGCACCCCUGUGUAAACUUUUGAUUAUUUACAAAAUAAACCUUUUCAAUUUAUUUUCAAAAAUCAUUUUUAAAUUACUUAUUUUAAUUUCAAAAAUAGUUUUUAAUUAUUUAUUAGUUCAAAAAUAAAUCUGAUUUAAUUUAUUAAUUAAUUUCAAUUUGUAAUUAAUUAUUAUAAUUGGUCAAUUAAUUUAAAUAUUAAUUGAUUAAUUGUUUUAAUUAAUUAUUAAUUGAUUUUAAUUGAUUUAUUAAUUAGAUUUAAUUAUUUUAAAUAAUUUUAAAAUUCCGAAAAAUAGUUUCGAGCUUUGAAAUAUUUUUCUAAAAUAUGUUUGAAGUCCGUUAAUUGAUUUCAAAUGAUUUCGGACUUGAUUUCAAGUAUUCAAAAUUGAUUAUUUAUUUAUAAAAUGAUUCUCUUAUUCGUUUUAAUUCCGAAAAAUGUUCAAAAAUUCAUAAUAAAUGCCAGGAAAAUCCUUUUGACUUCAAACAUUCGUUGAAAAAUAAAUUUUAGUGAAUACCUUAUGUGAUACGUGUUAUGUGCUAUCUGAUCGAUGUGCUAUAUGCCUAUGUGAACGUUAUAUGGCUGUUUCUGGCAUAUUUUUCAAUCCGUAAAUCGGAUUUGGGUAAAACGAAGGGUAGAUUGAAGCUCGUUUCGAAUGUGCGAUAAUAAGAAUAGUAUGAGAUCAUAUAUUGAUAGAUAAUUGUUGUGAUUAGCAGAAGAAGAGAGACGUAGAAAAGGAAAGCAAGUGGUAAUAGAAUAGUAUAUCGAGCAAGUACAAUCAAAGCUUGAGAUCAGCUAUAUAAGGCAAGUUUCCCUAAUACUUUCUUUCAAAUAUAUAUGAUAAUUGAUGUGAUUACUUCGUGAGAUUUCUAAUUAAGCCCUGUUAUUUCUUGAGCUAUAGCAUGAAUUGGUUAUUCUAUUAAUUCAUGAACCUUCAACCAGAUUCUUUGAAUUACAACUUGGACUAUUCACUUCAUUGAUUCUUGAGCCUCCAACCAGAUUCUUGGGUAUUUGUUACGAAACCUGUUUCAAUUGCGAACCUCAUGUUCUUGAAACUUUUAAAGAAAUACCAUACGAACCUUAUUUCAUUUCAAUGACAAAUCCUUGACCCCUAAACCAAUUGAUUUAUAUCCAGUAAUACCUGAAAUGACAUAUACCUUACAAUUGUUCAUUUUCUUCCGAUAAACUAAUUUCUUUGGUCUUGAAGAUACCCAUUUAUAUUCGAAUCAUUUUGUAAAAGAAACUAGAAACCUUCUUUCCUAUAAACAGUGGCCUUUGAUAUACCUUACAAUCCAAUCAUGCUUUAUCUGAUUCCUUGAAUCAUAAAGUAUUCCUUAUUCCUAUUCUGAAGUAUCUUGAAGAUACUCUUGAAUUGCAUUCUACUUCUGCUUCAAAGUUAAAUCAUGAUAUUGAUGACUCUGUUUUAUUGAAUUAUAUUGUUGAUCAUCUUGAAUUAUGAUAGAAUUGGAUAGUUUUUCUUAAAUGGACCAAAUGAAUGGUCAGACCAGAUGAGUGGUCGCUUUAGGCCAAUGUGUGCCUUGGUCUUAAAUGGACCAAAUGAAUGGUCAGACCAGAUGAGUGGUCACUUUAGGCCAAUGUGUGCCUUGGAUCCAGUAAACGAGCAUGGCCGGGCCUGCUCGGGGUUAGUGUCUGACUGAUCAGCAGCCUAACCUUUGGUUUUAAAAAAUAAAUUUAAUAUCCAAUUCUAAUUGAUACUCUAAAAACAAAUCUUGAUAUUGAGAUUGAUUCCAUUAGACACUGGUUUCCCUCAGCUUAUGAUUAAUGUUUUAAAUUGAUAUUGCUAUACUUGCUGAGCUUGUUAGCUCACUCUUGCAAUACUUUAUGUUCUUUCCAGUGAAGAUAGAGAAGGUUGGUAAUGAUGACCCUCAGGCUAGUGGUAAGGCCAGGAUUCCAGGCUGAGAGACGGAGGGAGCUAUCAGCAGCACUUGGCUUUUUAUAUAUAAACUAGUUUGAGUAGCGGAAAACAUUUGAGGUGUAAGCUUUGUAAGAUUUAAGUCUAUAUUUUGGGAUUUGGGUUUGUAAUAAUUAAAGUUAUGUUGUGGCUUGUUUUAUACUUUAACCUGUUGCGAUCCAUGGAUAGUGAAGGGUCACCGCAUAUAUUAUAUUAAUUACAGGUUUAUAUUAUGUUGUGGACCCCAAACUUCUGACCCGGGUUUGGAGGGCGCCACAAUGUAAAUAGGGAAAAGUAGUCAAAAUAUUGAUUUUUAAUGAUUUUGGCAUUUAUUCCUUUUGUAUAAUAUGUAAAUGUUUCCCUAUUCACUAUAUUCAAUUCAAUUUUCAAAUCUAGACUUUUUGUUAUAAUUUCAAAUUAAUGGAGUCUUUUUUCACUCCACAAUUUUAGCACUUGAUAAGGAAGUUUUUAUAUAUUAGAUUUUUUAAUAUUCAGAUACAUGGAUCUCGACUGUUAUAGCUCAUAUGCAAAUAGGGAAGUCAGACUUUAUUUGAUUUCCACUAAUUUUGACAUUAAUUACUAAAAUACUUUUCUAUUUAAUUUUAACAGUUUUCAUGUUCAUUAUAUUCAAUUUUCAAAUCAAGACUUUUUGUUAUAAUUUCAAAUAAAUAUCCCACUCCAUAAUUUUAACUCUUGAUAAGGAAGGUUUUAUAUAUUUUGACUUUUUUAAUUUUUUGAUACAUGGGUCUAGCCUGCUAUAACCCAUAUGUAAAUAAGGAAAAAUAGUCAAAAUUUAUUUGAUUUAACUGAUUUUGGCCUUUAUUAUUACAAUACUUUUUUGUAUAAUAUAUACUGGUUUCCAUAUUCAAUACAUUUAAUUUCCAAAUCAAGACUUUUGUUAUACUUCCUAAUCAAUGGAACACUUUUUAACACCACAAUUUAGCUCUUGAUAAUGAAAUUUUUAUAUAUUAAUUUUUUUAUAUUUUUCCGAUACAUGGAUAUAGACUGCUAUAAUUCAUAGCAAAAAGGAUUUAAAAUUUAAAUUUAUUUAAAAUAUUUUCAAACGAUAAUUCAAAGCAUUGUUUCUAGCACAAUCCCACAAGUUAUGCAUUCAUUCUAGCUUUUGUUUUUAACUGUCUUAACUAAUACGUAAGCAUUAAUUCGAUAAGUGCUAUAAUUCACAGCGUUUGAAAUUUAAAUUUAUUUAAAAUAUUUUCAAACGAUAAUCUAUUAAAAUGGUUGAAGAAACGAAGACCACAUAAGGAUACUAAACCACCUGGUUGUGAAAUAGUUUCUUCAAGUACCUCCAGACUCGGAGCUUACGGUGUAACUUGACUUGCUCAAAAUAAGAAUUGCAAGACUAACACAAAUAUGAUGCAUGAAGAAACGAUAGGUGGUAAGUCUGAUGUUUUCAUAUCAUGGACGAAGUAUAUUCAUCUGGUUUCUUUGAAUGAAGUUUGCUAAUCCAUGUGUACUCUUCCAUUUUAGUAUAUCACAAUAUUUGCAUAUUAUACUCCUGUGAAAUAUAUUGAUGAAUUACUGCAUCAACAUUUAGAUAUCAAGUUAUAUCUGCGACUAGUAAUUUUGCCCGCUUCGCAUGGGCGUUAAUUUCAAAAAAUUCAUAUCUCAUUUUAGAAUAAAAAUUUUGUGAAUAAUUUAUUUACAAAUUAUCUUGUCACAACGUCGGCUUGCUUCGUUUUAUCUUUAAACUAUUUUAUCUCAUUUUAUUUUGUUUAUAAUAUGUUAAACCAGUGAUAUAUUAUACAAAAUUUAAAAUUAAAAAAAUAAUUUAUAAAUUAUAAUAAUGUCAGUUCAAUUAAUUUAAGAUAAUUAUUAAAUAGUUAAAUUUCUAUGUGAGUAUAAUGUAAAGAAUGAGCUAAUAAAUGAAAAAAGUUUUGUAUCAAAACUUUGUAUGUAAGUAUGAUGUAAAGAAUGGGAUAAUCUAAAUUUUUAUGUAUCAAAACUUACCAGAAAAGGUGAAUUAUAUAAACUUGAAAUAUCUACCAAAAAUAAGAAAAUUGGGAGAACUUGAAAGUAAAUAUUUACUUCAACAAAUUCAAAAAAGAUGUGAUAUAAACUUUUAUUAUUAUAUUUUAGUUUUUGAAAAAUGAGGUUCUAUUUUAUGAGAAAAUGAGAAACAUAAGAAAUAUUCACUCCAUAAUUGUUGAAAUAUCAGCAACAGUGAACUUGAAAUAUCAGCAACAGUGAACUGACUGGCAUGGACGAUUCACUAUUGAAAAUUUAAAGCCAAAAUAACAUUAUGAAGUUGUGGCUUGAUUUUUUUAUAUUUCUUUUAUCAAGAAAGUUGUGCCUUGUGAAAUUGAUUGAUAAAUCACAUAAUAACAAUCAUCUUUAGAGUUUUUUUUUUAAUCUAUUGGUGCACUCAGCUUAUUCUAUUCUUCAUAUGAACUGUGACUGCAUUGAAUGUUAAUACAUUCAAGCUAUGGCUUCAGCAUAUGAAGAAAACACCUUCUCCUCAUGGAUGGUAUCUCCCACUUGAAGUAUCAUCCCUCCAAAUUCAUCAAAUGAGUCCUUGUUGCAGAGACCUUGUCCGAAGUAGACCUGUAGAAAAUUAUUUCACAAUUCGUAUCCGGAAAAAGAUUCGAUGUAAAGGAAAUGAGUGGUUCUAGAGCUUAACCUUUCCAUGGUGCCUCGUACUCAGUUGCAAGAUUUUAUCAGAUUGAAACUUCAUCAGUGUUUCAUUCGGCUCUGGCCCAGGAAUUCCAUUCUCUUGGUUAAGUAAGGGUACCUGAAAAGUAUAAUAAAGUCCACAAAAAUUAAAUGAAACUCUGCAGCAAGAAUGUGUCAAAUGAAAUGAUAUUAAACAAAGGAAAACAAAAGAAUCUAUAAUCAAGCUCAACGUUAAUAAGGAUGCUAAACUUGCACAAACAAUUUGUUAGAUGGAGAGCAUUUAAGGUAAAUUUUAACCUUGCAUCGAGGGCAUAACUGAAUGCUUAUGAAAGUUAUGUUGUUGAGGUCCUCAGCAAAUCGUUCACCCCCAUCAAUAAAUAUGUUGUAAAAAUCAAGUGUUUUUUUAUACUAUAGAUUACAGCUUAUAUAUGAGACAAAAAGUCCAAAGAUAAUAAGGCAAUAUUAAGAAAUCAGAUUAGGAUAUACAUAGCCCUAAAAAAAAGUUAGACCUGGGGCGGAAAUGAUUAACAGGUAAAGGCUCCUCCAGCUGGCUAUUAAGUUCAUCUAAAGAUCCCUGCAUAUGAUACAUACUCAUAUUAGGCACCAGUUCUGCACUUAUAUACAAAGAUUAUAUAAAUCAUAAAUGUUUAAAUAACAUGGGAAAGCAUUAGAAACUGAUACUGGUCGGUAAACACAAGAUUGUAUCCGGUUGUAGGAGCAUAAUCCGGGAGAGGCCUGGAGUCAGACUUUGUAUGAGCAGGAAUCUUUAUUUCUCUUUCCUUCAAACAGAUGAAAUAGUUUACUUUGUGCCUAUAACAGGAGAAGCAUUACCAUAUCGUGCAGAUGGAUAGAUGCUGAGACUCAAAGGGCGAUAAAGUGCGCCGGCUUAGCCGAUCAAAAGGAGCACCCACUAUGUUGAUUCUAAUUACAGUUUUGGAACUGAUUAACAUCUAUAUAUGCAGCUCAAUGAACAUGUAUGUGCAAUAACUACGGAGGGAUUUGUGGGGGCGUAAUUACAGUAAAAGCAAUUAAAUAUUCAUAUAUGUACUACUACAACUAUUACAUCCACAUUUUGUCAAAAAAAAAAAACUAUUACAUCCACAUUAACAUCAAUAAAGCCUCUUCAUCAAUUUCAACACAACUCCAAAGAUAGCAGAUGACCAUGAUUGUCCAAAACCGGUUCAAUGACAUAAAGACACAGAAAGCAAAAAAAAAAAUGUCACUCUAUAAACUACUGGCUUGAGUUAUAUUACUAUGUUAUUUUAUUAAAGAAACCAGGAAGUUCUGCUACAAUUUACAAAAACAAAACUAUUAACUUGACCAAAACCCCUGCUUUACAAUAAAAAGUUCAAAUCCCCUGCUUUAUAUAAACAAAAAUAUUCAAAACCCCUGCUUUACAAUAAAAAGUUCAAAGCCUACUCUUAUAUUAAACUAAAAUAUUCAAAACCAAAAGGAAAAUACACCAAAUAUUCUACUUGAUAACAAACAUUCGGAACGUAGUUGAAACCCAGCUUUUUAUUAUUGUAUUUCCUAGCAAAGGAAUAUAACAAAUAAUGACAGUAGGGCUCGUAAAAACAUAAACAUAAAACUUUUACAUACCAGUGUGUAAUAUUAUGAUCAGGUGAAAGCUUGUAUAUAACUUUUCUUGUAUGGAAACAAUUUGUUCCAGUAGGCCAGUACAUUGGUCCUUGAAUUCCUGCCAGUCCAUGCCCUAUAAACUAUACAGUUUAUGCAAUAAUAACUCAUAAUUUAAGUCCAGGUGAAGGCAUGUGUAUAUGAGAGAGAGCUUAUAUUCUUGUAAUUGACCAUAAUGCAAAUAAUGCAAAAAGUAAUAUAAGAAUGCUGGCUUCAUAUGUAUAGACAUAAUAAAUGGUUUACGAAAGUUAUGAAUGCCAUUGCUUUACCUACCUUAGUUGGUUACGAUUGCAGGCUGUGAAGAAUGCAACAAAAUCGUUUAAGAUGCUCUGAACAGCUCGAGAGACCUAGAACAGAAACAAUUUAGAUGCAAUUAGAACCAGUUUUUUAAAUGCUCACAAUAAAUAACAAAAAGGUUAAGACUAUAACCUGAGAAAAAAGGUGAUUCCAUAAAGUGUGCCACAAGGAAACCUCUGCGUUCACCGUAGCAUCUGCAGUUGAAGCUAACUGGAAGAUGCUACAGAUAAAGAACCAUAUAUCUCCAAUAAUAGCAUAUACUUUGCUAUAUAUGAACACAAUAAGAUUGCAUAUCCCGAGAAAAAGGCGAAGGGGAGCGUAUAAUAUUUCCCAAAGAAUCCAGAAUAUAGGGUACAAAAAGGAAGCCACUGCAAUCCAUUCAGAUCAGUUAAUAAUUAUUCUUUUCAGUAAUUAAUUUCAUAAAAUCCUUAAACUGAAACAUUCAGAUAUUAAUAAAGUGUUUAUAAGUAUACUGGAAGAAUUACGCACCAAUAUUCCAUAAAAGUGACAGUAAAAACCAGAGGCAACAAUACAGUCUCAAAUUAGCAAAAACCCAGUUCAAUAUAUACUAAACUCAACAACGGGUGACUAAAAAUGAUAUAAAGAUCGAAUUACGGAUCAGGAAGGAAGGCAGAGAAGCUAAUGAGCAAGCAAACUUACAGAUAUAUUAUCACUUUCCAGCUCCAUAUCAACAUGAUCUUCGUCCUUGGGCUUGUAUGAAGACUUUCCUAAUACUCCAGAUUUAAGAUAGCGGUUACAAUCAUUCAAGGAGAGAAAUAUGUAUCCAUCAAUAGGAUCAGCGUAAUACUGCAGAAAACAUAUAUCAGUGAAACCGUGCUGUAAAGCUUACAAUUCAGAUUUUUACUACAUCAUAUAUCAAAUAAGGGAGUGAGCAAAAUCGCAUCCAACAAAUAUACAGAGUGUGUAUAAUAUGUGACAAUAAUGCGGGAAUAUAGUGAACCAUACCUGGGGGCUUUGUAUCCGAGAACCGCAAAAGGAAUUGAUGUGAGAAUAUUAUCAACUGUUUCUGCAGAGUUCUUGUCACCUGCAACAAUGGUGAAGAACCUGUUAGCCAGCGCGUUAAAUUUUUAUAGGAGCUCUGAACGACUUCCAAUUACAUUUAGGACAUAAAUUUAGUGCCAUCGUUUUGCAGUACUAAAGUGUAACAUAGAUGAUUAGUUUUAGCAUGCCUAAACCAUCUUUCUCUUUAGCUACACAAUCAUCACCACUCCCAUCUUUCUGUUCAAACGCCAUCCACAUUAGAUACACCACUCCCCCUUCCCGGCGGCAUCCUUACCACUAUAACAACCAAAUCAAACCUAAUUAACCCCACAACAAACCCUCACACAUAUAAAUACACAUAUUGUUAGGUCCUAUUAACUCACUAUAUAAGAUGAUAUAGUGACCACAAUCUGUAACACAGUAUGACAAUAUAAGAGAUUGAAAACAAUAAACUCUUAUUCACAAAGCUUGAAUGGUUACAAAAACUCUCUCAGUGAUUUAUAUAUUAUCACUAAGAGCUGCUAGGGUUCUUAAGAAUAUACUCGAUAACUCAACUCAUAUAGAGUAACCCUAUUCUGUGUUUAUAUAGACACAGUUACAAAAUCAAUCUCUGAUUUGAUAUCCUAUAAAUCAGCUAUGUAUUCUAUCAAUCAAAGAUUGCUCCAGUUUUCUGUUUAGUUUCCAUAGUCAGCAAAUCACUCCUCCGCUUCUAUCCUUCCUUGAAGUAUAUCCGCUUCUGAGCUCUUUCCACGUGUAAACUCUGACAAGUCUUGACUAUGUAAACCCUGAUCAGACUUUAUCAAACUCUGAUCAGCUUCCAGCUUAAACUCUGAUCACUCCUGUUCUAAAACAAACUUUAAGAACAUUAGUAAUCAUCAAUUAUAUCUAACAAUCUCCCCCAACUUGUGCAUAAAUAUGUUAUGUGCAAGUUAACAGAUAAUUGAUGAUGUCAAAACAUUUAAGUCAAAUGCAACAGAGUUUAACUAUAUAACAGAAAACUUUUUAAAACUUACAGAUACUUUACUCCCUAGCUUCAUAGACACCAUAAGCUGUCUUUAGAUAUCCUUUGAGGAGUUCUCUUUCAGCUUCUUCAAGUACUGUAAUCAUUUGUCUCUUGAUCUCUCUCAGCUCUGGAUCUGAAACUCCAGUUUGGUAAAUUGCAUCUCUGAGAUCAUAUAUCUUGUUUCUCUUCAAGUCUCUAUCCAGCCUGAUAUUGUAAGCUUUAUCAGACUCUUCAUUGAAUGCAAGAGUCCUGAUUCCAGUUAUUGUUACUAUUUUUGCUGAAUUUUUCUUCAUCUCAACCAGCUUUCCUUGAUGAUUAAAGUAUUUAGGAAUGAAAGGUCCGUCGCCUAUGACACAAGAAAUUGUAGGACAACCGGGGUCCUUAUAUUUCACGGGAAUUUGAUUUGAAAGAAUCGAGCUAACUUGUGAGGUCAAAAAGGCUUUCUUUGGAACAUGUGUGGUUUUCUUAUGGGUACACAAAUCUUUUAGACACUUAGCAUAAGAAACUCUGUCAUUCUUCACCAGUUGGACUGAAUCCAGUUUGUCCAUUCUUUCUUGCAAUGCUCCAGUCUUGGGAGCACAGAGAGAUGAGGGGUCUGUUGACAUUGAUCCUAUACUCUGAUCAAAUUUUUCAUAUUUAGAUCCCAGCCCUCCUUUAUCUCUUCCUGCUUUUCGACGAGAGAUUGGUUGAAUUGAGCCCUUUUCAAAGUUUAUCUCAGUCAUCAGACUUGGCUUUGCAAAUCCUGGCAAUGGAGUAGUUGUUGGUUUGAACACAGCUUGAGCCUUGUCAGAGGUUGUGUCUUUCUUUGCUUCCGUAUUAACUUGAGCUGUGUCAGAGGUUAAUUUUCCUUUUUGUGAUUCUGCAACAUGAGCUUUGUCAGAGAUUGCAGCUUCUGAUUUCUUUUCCUUUACAACUUGAGCCUUGUCAGAGGUUGUAGACUUCUUCUUAUCCCAGGUCUUUGAUUGAGAGAAAACUUUGGGUUGACCUCGGGUUGACUUGGAAACUUGUUUUUCUCGCGCUCACACAACGUGCUAGCUAAUUGACUUAAUUGAGCCUCUAACUUAGAAACGGCUUGCACAUUAGAAUGCAAGAUUUGCCUAUCUUGGAUUAGGGUUGUCAUGAAAGUUUGCUGUGACUGGGUCAAAUUAGUUUGAGAUUUUACUAAGGCUUCCAAACUCUUUUCCAAAGAAUUAAGACGCUUAUCUGAAUCAUUAAAACCGGGAGGAUUCAAAGGUGUUUGAAUUGGUUUAGGAAAUGAGUUCGGAAUUUGGGUUGGGCAAGAGUUUGGGUUGGGCCUUUGAAAAGUUGUUUGAGGAGUUUGAAAAGAAGUUGGGCCUUGAUUUUGAAAAAUUUGACCUUGGGUCCAUGAGAAAUUUGGGUGAUUCCUCCACCCGGGAUUAUAAGUGGGUGCAAACGCAUCAUUCCUAGGAUUUUGAAACAUUGCGUUUACUUGUUCAAACUCGUGCGCGGGUUGGGUUCCGGGAUUUCGAAAAUUGUAAUUAGGGAACAUGGACAUUUGGAGCAGUCUUUGAACUUUGCUUAGACUUUGAACUGUCAGAGUUUAAACCUCUUCCACCAGUUGCAGCUUGGAAUCUUUUGUUCUUUGUAAAGUCAUCCACAUCAUCAUCAUAGCAGACACCAGCUUCUUAUCCCCCUUUUUGACAUCAUCCUCAUCAGGAAUCAGUAUAGAAGUUAUCAGAGAAAGUGAGGAUUGGAUGACUUCAAGCUGUUUGGACAUUUUCUCUUGAGUAGACUCAAUGGUGGACAUCCUCUGUUCCAAAGAUUGAUUUGCAGACACCAGCUUCUUCAUGUCUUCUUUUAGAGGUAACAGGUGCCUUUUCUUGUCCAUGUUUUGAGUUUCCUUGAAACUGGAUACCUCUGUUCGAAGACCCUCUAUAGACUUAGAUGUCUGAGCAUGAGCAGGAUGAAAUGUCUUCAGAUAAAGAACUGUAGCCUUGAGGCUUGACAUGACAUCAGAGUUUGUGAUUUUAUUCUCUGCCAUUGAUAGGAAAUCUUUAGCUUUUGCUGGCUCCAGAGAAUGCUGGUGACUCAGCCAGAGUUUAUCCCAUACCUCAUUUGGUGGAUCAACCUGAAGAUCCCUGGGAAGUGGCUCAGAGUUUGUGUUCAGAGUUUGCAGCCUGGCAUUAUAUUGGCUGGUAGACUCCCACUUUUGUUGUUGAUGAGACAGAGGGACUUCAUCAUCAUUUUCAUCAUCUGAACUGUCAUCAUCCUCAUCAUCAUCAGAUGCAGAAUCUUCAACAUUCUUAGCAGAGUCUGGAACAAAUUUUUCUUGAACAUCAUAUUUUGAUUUGCUAGGCUCUUCACCAGCCUUAGCAAGGGACUGCAGUGCUUCCAAUGCUACCUUGUCAGAUUCAUCAACUACAGCAUCUGACUUGUAAUUCUCUGGUGCUGUAUCAUGAAUAAUGGCACCCUCAGGAAAUUUAAGUGGAGAUUGAGGAAUUUGAAUGGAGGGUCCAUGAUCAGAGAUUGGAGUUUGAGGAUCAGACAUUGUUGUCCCAGCUUCAGUUGUAACUGGUUCCUCACACCUUAUUUCUUCAUCUACUUCAGAGGAUGUAGUAGAUGCUGUAGCAGUUGAGAUUGGAACAGCCUGAAGAGGAUGUACCAUCAGAGAUUGAGAAGAUUCUGGAAGUGUAGUAGAUGGUGCCUGCUCUUCCUCAAGAGGAAAAUCUGUGAUCUCUGUUAUGAGUACCUUUGCCCUCUUAGGCUUGUUAGCCCUUCUUUUGAAUCUAGCUGUCUUUGGCUGAGGACUGGACUGAACAGGUUCAGAGUUUGUUGUAGGAGAAGGUUCAGAGUUUACAGCAUGUGCAGGUUCAAGAUCAUCAUAAUCAUAGGCUGCAACCAGUCUCCUUCUUUUCUGUUUUUGAGGAGAAGCAGCUUCAGGGUUUACAGGAUCAGUGCUUACAGCAUCAGAGUUUACAGCAUCAGAGUUUGCUGUUUUAUCAGACUGUCUUCAGAACUUGUGUAGCAACAGAGGUUCUGGUCUUCUUAGUAGAAGGGGCAUCGGACGGUGGCUGGAGUGACAGCAUACUGCGCUCCGUCAUACUCAAAUACAAUGGAUGGUGACCCAGCUUCACCACCAUUGUCAUAAUGCCCUGUUCUCCAGAAAGUAAUUUGGCUUCCUGAUAGUCUGGCAGGAGCGGUAAGGGCGUUAGCUAGGGCACUCUGUGCCAAAAAUUGCUGGAUGGGAUGAUAAUCCCUUGGAGCGUCGGCAGUAUUGAGAAUGGCAGCAUGGUUGUUGGGAACGAAUUCCACACCUGCAAAGGUAAAAGUUGUAGUGGCUAUUAGAACAGAGUUUGUGAAGGAAGGUGUUUGAGAAAGUGUGUUAGAGAAGAUUUGAAAUUCAGAGAGAAGAGCGUAAGAGUUUGUUGAGAGAGUGAGUGUAAAGAUUAAGUGUAUAAGUGAAUAAUAAGCAAUAAAAUCUGAUGUGAUAAACUCUUCAGAUUUUGUUUAGCUGUACACGCUUGGGCUCUUUGUUCACUUGGACACCUGUCAGAUUUUAACUGGUAGAUGAAUGUUAGUGGGAUGAAGAAACGAGAUUAAUAAUCAUGAGUGCAGUAAAACAUGUGCAGUUAUAAAUGCUGAUUACACGUUCUCCUAUUAAAAUGUUUUUCAUGUAAACCCACUAACAAUACAUCCGUUUGGAACACUCUCUUCACAUUCUCUGAAUAUUUGAACUCCUGAAAUGUACAUGAUUUUAAAAAAUCAAGAUUAGGUCUCUCGAAUUUUAAACUCUGAGAUUUAAAUCAAAGAAAAUAAAUUUCGAAAUACCUCAGAAUAAAGACAUAAUUUUCAGAAUAUUCAUCAAUAAAUCAGAGUUUGUUAUAAAAUCCAUAGCUCAAUAAUGUGCUUGUGAAAUAAUGUGUGUGAUUUAACAUAUGAAAUCAGAGACUAAAGAAUUUCUCAAUUUCGUAAUUAUAAUGUAGACAAGAAUAAUUUAUUUAAACUCUCAAGACAUAGACAAUAGGCAUACUCUGAUGGAGAAAUAUAUAAACUAAACUAACCCCUUUUUUUUUUUUUUUCAGGACGCUUUUCAGUGUAAGUGAAUCACGACCUUUAAGUAUAAUUUUGCAACAGUAUUUCUCCAGUAAUCAGAGAUUGUGACUGGUCACCAUAGGUUAUAAAAUCUUGGCAAUUACGUAAUACCAGUAAUUGUUUGGGUCUUCCCAGUCACUGUCAUAUAGACAUCUAAGAUCUCAAAGGAGUACCAUGCUUAUUUUCAGGGGUGUGAAUAGUAUCAGAGUUUAUAGUCACUGUCUAAUUUACUGAGAGAAAAUGCAAAUUAAUCAGUCUCACUUAUAAUUAAGAUAUGUGAAGUGCUGGAGUCUCAAUGAUAUCAACAUGCAUAUAGUGUAAAACAGUAGCACAAAAUUGAGAUCAAGAUUAAGGAACUUAACUGAGAUUCAUGAUUACUAAUUCAAAUCAUGCUUCAUAGUAUCUUCACAGGUUAUAUGUCUCAGAGAAAUAAAAAUGAGAUUAUUUAUCAAGAUUCAGAGUUUACAAAUAUCAGAGAAUAUCGUCAGAGAAUGACGUCAGAGAAUGACAAUCAGAGUAUAUCAUCAGAGAAUGUCAUCAGAGUUUAACAAUCAGAGUAUAUCAUUGCAAAUGUGUGAGCAAUACAUAUGGUAAGUUGACAAUUCAAAUUUGAAAGAUCUAACCAGUAUGUUUACUCAGUUCCUGAUAUCAUUCCUACCUCAUUCACCAGCCUAGUAAAAGUUGCUUCACUUAAUGGUUUGGUGAAAAUGUCUGCUAGCUGCUGUUCAGUAGGAACAAAGUGAAGUUCAAUGGUUCCUUCCUCCACAUGCUCCCUUAUAAAAUGAUAUCUUAUACUGAUGUGCUUUGUCAGAGAAUGUUGAACUGGGUUUCCUGUCAUAGCAAUAGCACUUUGGUUAUCACAAUAAAUAGGAAUUUUAGAAAAGGAUAACCCAUAGUCUAACAAUUGAUUCUUCAUCCAAAGAAUUUGAGCACAGCAGCUGCCUGCAGCUAUAUACUCUGACUCUGCUGUUGAUGUUGAUAUUGACUUUUGCUUCUUGCUGUACCAAGAAACAAGUCUUCCACCCAGAAAUUGACAACUCCCACUUGUGCUUUUCCUGUCAAUUUUGCAACCUGCAAAAUCUGCAUCAGAGUAUCCAAUUAGACUAAAAUCUGAUUCUCUAGGAUACCAUUAUCCCAAUGAUGUGGUUCCCUUGAGAUAUCUGAAUAUCCUCUUUACUGCAAUCAGAUGAGGCUCUCUUGGAUCUGCCUGAAAUCUUGCACAUAGACAUGUGGCAUACAUGAUGUCUGGUCUACUUGCAGUCAGAUAAAGCAAAGAUCCAAUCAUUCCUCUAUAGUUUGUGAUAUCCACUGAUGCACCAGUAUCUUUGUCUAGUUUGGUUGCUGUUGCCAUAGGAGUAGUUGCAGCUGAACUGUCUUGCAUACCAAAUUUCUUCAAAAGAUUUCUGGUAUACUUGGCUUGAUUUAUAAAAAUCCCAUCUUCAGUCUGUUUAACUUGUAAACCCAGAAAAUAACUGAGUUCCCCCAUCAUGCUCAUUUGGUACCUAGACUGCAUGAGCUUGGCAAAUCUUUGACAGAGUUUAGCAUUAGUGGAGCCAAAAAUAAUGUCAUCAACAUAGAUUUGAACUAAAAGCAGAUCAUUACCAUGAUUCAAAUAAAACAGGGUUUUAUCUAUGGUACCUCUAGUAAAUCCAUUUUCAAGAAGAAAUUGAGCCAGAGUUUCAUACCAUGCCCUUGGAGCCUGCUUUAGUCCAUAAAGUGCCUUGUCCAAUCUAUAGACAUAGUCUGGAUGCUUUGGAUCCACAAAGCCUGGAGGUUGUUCAACAUAUACCUCUUCAUCCAGUUUCCCAUUUAGAAAAGCACUUUUGACAUCCAUCUGAAAUACCUUGAAUUUCUUGUGAGCAACAUAGGCCAGAAAGAUUCUGAUUGCCUCCAAUCUUGCAACUGGAGCAAAUGUCUCAUCAUAAUCAAUACCUUCCUGUUGUGAAUACCCUUUUGCCAUAAGCCUUGCUUUAUUCCUUGUAAUGACACCCUCACUGUCAGUUUUGUUUCUGAACACCCAUUUUGUACCAACUAUGGAUCUGUCUUUAGGUCUUGGUACUAGGGUCCAUACUUUGUUUCUCUCAAACUCAUUUAGCUCCUCUUGCAUGGCUUGAAUCCAGUCAGCAUCUUGAAGAGCUUCCUCCACCUUUUUAGGUUCUGUUUGUGACAGAAAGCAAUGAUGUAAACACUCAUUUGCUGUAGCUGUCCUUGUUUGCACACCUGCUUCUGGAUUGCCAAUUAUUAAAUCAGGUGUGUGAGAUUUUGUCCACUUCCUAGCAUGUGGAAGUUGACCAUUUUCAUCAUUGGAUCCUCCCCCUUGAUCCAUGCUCUCCUGAUUCUGUUGAUUAUUCUCUGUAGCUCCCCCUAAAUUUGUGCUAUCAGAGUUUGAAUCAGUAUUCUCUGAUGAGUUUGAGUCAGCAUUCUCUGAGGAAUCUUGGGUAGAGUCUGAAACAUUCUGAUGCUCCCCCUCAGCAAGUGCUUCAUCAUCAUGAACUUGUAAAUUUUCAUCAGAGUUUGCUGUAUUUUGUUCACAGUCAGAGUUUGACUGUUCAUCAGAGUUUAUUGAAUCAGAGAAUAUUUCUUCAUUUUCAAAAUGCAGUUUUUCAUGAUCAUCCAUAUCUGUUAAGCCAAUAAUUUUCUUGUCAUCAAAUGACACAUGUAUGGAUUCCAUGAUCACCUUGGUUCUUAGAUUAUAGACUCUGAAGGCCUUUGUUAUCAGAGGAUAACCUACAAAAAUGCCUUCAUCAGCUUUUAAAUCAAACUUGGUAAGCUGUUCUGGAUGAGUCUUCAAUACAAAGCAUUUGCACCCAAAUAUAUGAAAAUACUUCAGAUUUGGCUUCUUUUUCUUCACCAUCUCAUAUGGGGUCUUGCCAUGCUUAUUAAUCAAGGUUGCAUUUUGAGUGAAACAAGCUGUUUGAACAGCUUCUGCCCAGAAAUAAGUAGGCAAUUUAGCCUCAUCAAGCAUAGUUCUGGCAGCUUCUAUAAGAGUCCUGUUUUUCCUUUCAACUACACCAUUUUGCUGUGGUGUACCAGGUGCAGAGAAUUGUUGCACUACACCUCUUUCUUUGCAGAACCAUUUUGCUGUGGUGUACCAUUUUGCUGUGGUGUACCUUGGUUGAUUUCCAAUAGCUGGACGGUUACCUUGUCCACUACCACCUACAUCUGGCUUCUUAAAAGUGGGAUUUCUCCCCUGCUGAAAUUUCCCUUUCUUCGGGUUGUUAAAAUUCUGAAACCUUCCCUGCUGAAACUGUCCCUCGUGAUGCUCUGACUUACGCUUCUUUCCCUCUUUCUCUUUCUGAGACAUUUCGCUCUCCGUUUCUGCUAUCAUUGCCUUCUGAACAACAGCCGCAUAAGUAUCUAAUUCCAAUAUGGCUAGCUUUCCCCUGAUCCAUGCCUUUAAACCCUGUUGGAAUCUCUUAGCUCUCUUCCUAUCAGUAUCUACAUAGGUUGGAACAAACCUAGCCAACUCAGCAAACUUUUUCUCAUACUCAGCCACUGACAUAUCCCCUUGCUUCAAUUCUAAAAACUGUAACUCCAUUCGAUCCUGGAGAAAUUGAGGAAAGUAUUUCUCCAAAAACAACUCCUUAAACCUAUCCCAAGUAACAUCCUCUGUCCCUUCCAUUGCUCUCACAGACUCCCACCAAUAGGUGGCCUCCUCCUUCAGAUAAUAACUAGCAAACUCAGUCUUCUGCUCAUCUCUCACUUUAACUAACAUAAAUGCCUUUUCAAUUUCCUUCAACCAUAUCCUAGCCUCAAUAGGGUCCGCUGAACCCUUAAACUCUGGGGGAUUAACAGACUGAAAGUUUUUGAAAGUAACCUGGGGAUUAGCCUGCCUUUCCUGCUGCUGAGUCAGGUUGGCAGUCUGUUGGGCCAAGAUCUGAAGAAUCUGGGCCAUUGUAGGUUCUGGAUUAUUGUUAUUGUUGUUGUCAUCAGGGUUGGUUGCACGGGUUUGUCUUCUAGGAGGCAUAGCUCUGUAAAGAAACAAGCAGUUUAUUUAACCUUCAAAACUUUUAGCAAUUGUUUUUAGAAAAACAGAAUAUUUCUUUUUGAAAACAUUUUUGAUCAUUGAAUUAAAUAAAUCGCAUGCUUCUUCACAGAACAGAGCAAUAAUGAAAGAAACAGGGUAUAAUGAUAUCACAGGGUUUAUAUGAAGUGCAGUAUGUAAAACAAGUGUAAUAUGUAAAGUAAGUAAAACGGGUGCAAUAAAGUAAAAGGACAGUAUGAAAAAGAAAAGUUCUAAUAUAUAUAAAGAGCUGGGGGUACAUCAGCGCAAGCGCUUGUCAAAAGUAAAACACAACAGCAACCUACACACUGGUCAGCACAUCUUAGUCUAUAUCAGGUCAAAAUCGGCUGACACUACCCUACCACCACACACUACACACUACACACUAAUAUACAUGGUACCUCCACUCUGUAACUACCACCGUCUAACUCCAAGGAAAAGUAGGACCUCCAAGCUUAUCCAACUCCUUCAUCAUCCAUAUGGCCCACUCCACUAAAUCACUGUAGGUACUCUGAUCUUCAGCUAUGGCACCAAGCUUCGCCCUCGCCAUCAUCCUAACAUCUACAAUCUCAUACCUCAGCGCUCGCUCAGCUCUCCCAGUGUCCGUCAUCUGUAUGAUACGCUCCAGCUCUCUAACCUGUCCGAGUAGAUACUGACACUCCAUACUCAUCGCCUCAAACUCAUGAUAAGGAACAAGGGGUGGUGCAGAAGAAGUCGAGGGUAUAUCCCUGGGAGGAACCACUGCUGCUGCAGCCAACACAUCCUCUAAAGGGGGUGAAACAGGAGGGUGAGGCUCAAGUCUCUGAGAGGGUGGGGGUCCGUUAACUGUAGUCUCUGAAUACUGGGGAUAUGGAGGAAUGAUAGGGUCUGACAUCGUGAAUAUCUGAAAGUCAUGAGAUAACGCAUACAUAAGAAUCUCUGAUAAUAAGAAUACCUGUUAGUCACCAUUACUCACCUCUCAACGUUCUAUCUACCUAUCACUCAUUUCUAAUCUUAAUCCCUCUACCCAAACCCGACAAUCUAGGCUUGUUUCAUUGACUCAUAACCUGUAGCUCUGAUACCAACCUGUGACACCCUCCAAAUCCGGGUCAUAGACUUGGGGGUCACACAUAACAAUAUAAACCUGUAAACCAUGAUAAUAUAUGCAUUGACCCUAAACAUCCAUGGAUCGCUCCAGGUUAUAGUAUGAAACAAGCCACUACUUAAGUUAUAUUACAAUACGUCAAAUCCCAAUCCAUAUCUUACAACUUACAAACAUAAAACGCAGUGCUUACACAUAAAAGAUACUCAAAAGUUCAUAAUAUCAGCAACUCCUAGCAAGGCUUCCCAACACUCAUCCUGAUACCUUAGCUUGAUGGCUAGCCUGUGGGUCUUCGCUAACAGUAGUCUCUUUCUUCACUGGAAAAGAACAUGAGACAUCGCAAGAGUGAGCUUACAGCUCAGCAAGUAAUAUAAACAAUAAACUGAAGUUCAACAUUUAUCAAUAAGAAUGAAUCAAGGCAUCAAGUCCUCUUUUUAAACAAUGAUUAGAAUUGGAUAUUCACAUUUUUAUUUUAAAAACCAAGGUUAGGCUGCUGAUCAGUCACGCACUAACCCCGAGCCAGGUACAUACCAAGCUCUAUCACUGGAUCCAAGGCACACAUUGGCCUAAUGACCACGAAUCUGGUCUGACCACGAAUCUGGUCCACAUUUAUAAAACCAUCCAAUUCUUUAACAAUAUAAUGAAAUCAACAAUAUCUUAACAAAUCAGAAUCAAUACCAUUGGAACAGAAGUAAUAUUACCAAAACAGAAUCAUAAUCGACAAAUCAGAACCAUGAUAAUUAGUGGUGCAAUACAUAUCAGGAUCAAAGGACAAUUCAGAAGUGGGUUCAAGUAUCCUCACAAUAUGUUUGAAGAAUGUCUUGAGGUUGAAAGGAAGAUCAAGUAUACAGUGAAGCUAAUCUGAGGUUUUGUAUAGAGAACAAUGUCAGUGAGAAUAGCUUGAGGUUUCAAAUAUGUUUAACUUGUAGGAAUUUCAAGUGUUAGGGUGUAUAUGUGUGAACAUUCUUCAAAAGAGUAAUAUAGGUAUUUGGUAAGACAUUGUAUAAUUUGGUGAAGUAUUGUAGCAUAUAGGCUUGUACUGUGUGGUCAUUCAAGGAUGGAAGAGUAUCAGAGCAAAUGAUUUGUGUUGUCCAGUCUCAAAGAAAUGGGUAUAAGUUUAAUUGAAAUCAAAAUCAAGGUUCAGCUUGCAAUUCAGGUGUUGAAAGGAUUGAAUAAGGUUUAUCAAUAAUCAGGAUCAAUAGCACAAUAUAUCAACAGAAGUACUUUCAAAUCUAUCCAGAACAAUGACACUAUAUGCAGAAGAGUAACUCAAGGAGUUUACAAAAGUAUAAGUUGAGAAUAGAGCACUUGCCUUAUUCUGAAGCUUUACUUCUCUCUAUCGCUUUCACUAGACAGAAUCACUCCAACACUACCUGCUUUCCUUUUCUAAGCCUGUCCUUCUCUGACAAUCAUAAUAUUCAUCUAUCAAUAUUCAUUCUCAUGUCAUCCUAUUUGUUUCAUAAUCGAAACAAGCUUCUAUCUACCCUUCGUUUCACUUGAAUCCGAUAUACGGUUCAAAAGAUACGCAUAAAACAGUCAUACAAGGUUCAUAUAAGCAUUUCACAUAUCAAUCAAGUAACACAUAGCACAUAACACAUAAGUUAAUCAAUAAAAUAGUCUUUCAGAAAAGGUUUGGGGUUAAAAUGAUUUUUCUGGCAUUUAUUAUGAAUUUUUAAACAUUUUUCGGAAUAAAAACGGGUAAAAGAAUCAAUUUAUAACUGAAUAAACAAGUCCGAAUACUCGAAAUAAGGUUCGAGAACAGCUUGGGGUUUCAAAUAUGUUUAACUUGUAGGAAUUUCAAGUGUUAGGGUGUAUAUGUGUGAACAUUCUUCAAAAGAGUAGUAUAGGUAUUUGGUAAGACAUUGUAUAAUUUGGUGAAGUAUUGUAGCAUAUCGGCUUGUACUGUGUGGUCAUUCAAGGAUGGAAGAGUAUCAGAGCAAAUGAUUUGUGUUGUCCAGUCUCAAAGAAAUGGGUAUAAGUUUAAUUGAAAUCAAAAUCAAGGUUCAGCUUGUAAUUCAGGUGUUGAAAGGAUUGAAUAAGGUUUAUCAAUAAUCAGGAUCAAUAGCACAAUAUAUCAACAGAAGUACUUUCAAAUCUAUCCAGAACAAUGACAUUAUAUGCAGAAGAGUAACUCAAGGAGUUUACAGAAGUAUAAGUUGAGAAUAGAGCACUUGCCUUAUUCAGAAGCUUUACUUCUCUCUAUAGCUUUCACUAAACAGAAUCACUCCAACACUACCUGCUUUCCUUUUCUAAGCCUGUCCUUCUCUGAUAAUCAUAAUAUUCAUCUAUCAAUAUUCAUUCUCAUGUCAUCCUAUUUGUUUCAUAAUCGAAACAAGCUUCUAUCUACCCUUCGUUUCACUUAAAUCCGAUAUACGGUUCAAAAGAUACUAAUAAAACAGUCAUACAAUGUUCAUAUAAGCAUUUCACAUAUCAAUCAAGUAACACAUAGCACAUAACACAUAAAUUAAUCAAUAAAAUAGUCUUUCAGAAAAGGUUUGGGGUUAAAAUGAUUUUUCUGGCAUUUAUUAUGAAUUUUUAAACAUUUUUCGGAAUAAAAACGGGUAAAAGUUUCAAUUUAUAACUGAAUAAACAAGUCCGAAUACUCGAAAUAAGGUUCGAAAUCAUUUGAAAUCAAUUAACGAACCUUCAACAUAUUUUAGAAUAAUUUUCUAAAGCUUGAAACUAUUUUUCUGGAUUUUUAAAACAAUUAAAACAAUUAAAUCUAAUUAACAAAUCAAUUAAAAUCAAUUAAUAAAUAAUUAAAACAAUUAAUCAAUUAAUAUUUAAAUUAAUUGACUAAUUAUAAUAAUUAAUUACUAAUUAAAAUUAAUUAAUAAAUUAAAUUAGAUUUGUUUUUGAAUAAGAAAUAAUUAAAAACUAUUUUUAAAAAUAAAUAAAUGAUUUUCGAAAUUAAAAUAAAUGAAAAUAAAUCAGUUUUGAAAGUUUUUAAAACUUCAGGGUUUAAACUGCAAGGUUUUGAAACUUAAAGGUUUGAAUUGCUAAAAACCAAACCGCAGUACUGAAUCUUUAUCCCCCCCAAAAGUUGGGGGGUCUAACUGCAUUUUUUCCCCGCCGCCACCGUUCCCGGUUGCGACGUCGCCGGAGAAGCCGUUUACGGCCUCCAUUCGGCUCCAAACUCUCCAGAAUUAUCCCUUGACUCAUUUACAACUCAUACAUAACUUCAAUUCGAUCCGUAGAGCCCUGGUUUGGCCGGAAAAAGGUGAAGAAACUCGCCGUCGCCGGCGAGUCUUCUCUCCUUCGAUUCCGGCCAUACGAACACCUCACAUACAAUUUAAACACAUGUACAGAUUCCUGGGAACUAGAUGAACAUGAUGGUGCCUUCCAAUUUCACUUCUACCUCCAGGAUUAAAAAGCCCUAAUUUCCAAUUGAAAACAUUCAUCGUGCAUAAACCCUAAUUCUUAAUUCGAACAAUUAAACUCAAUUUUGAACAUGUUAUUGAACUCCAAAUCAUGCAUAUGAUAUACCAAAAUGAUCAGGAGAAGAUUAUCUACAACAUGGAAGCAUAAAAUCACAUAAAACACAUCAAAAUCAAAAAGCCCUAAUUUAACCCUAAUUAAUUCGAAUUUAAAAACCCUAAUUACUUCUAACCUGUGAAUCUAGAGUGGUUUUUGAUGCUUGAUAUGGAUUCUACGCUUCGAUAUCUUCGAUUUGACUGCUUGCACGCUCGAUUCUGAGUCCGAUAACGUCUUCAAAUCUUCGAUUGAACUCCAAGAACACGAAGAACGAUAACCCGGUUUCUCUCGAUUCCCGUGUAUUGAAAUGAUAAUUAUGAAAAAUAAACUAAUAAUUAUCCUAUUUAUAAUUACGAAUAACUGGCCCCCAUUUGGAUCAUACCGGAUAUAAAAUACACUUCUUAAUCAUUAAGUAUUAAUAAAACUGAUCCGUUCGGGACCGACUUUAAAGAUAAUUAUCAAAUACACACAUUACGAGAAACUUAUGGGGCUCCGAGCUUUGUCUGGCACGAAGUACGAAAAUAUAAUGCUUUAGCCAAAAUGAUUUGGGGUUAAAAAUAUCCGGCGUACACGUUUAUCGAUAAUAAUAAAAUAUUCAUAAAAUCGUUCCGAAAUCUUUCACGUAAAUCCGUACACCGGAUGGAAAAAGUUAAAACACGAAAGUUGUUCAGAAUAUCUUGAAUAAUAAAUCGGCGAAACUUUCCCGGAAGCCCCCCGGGGUUUAAUUAUCAAGUAAACGGGUUUAAAAUCAAUUUAAUAAUAAUAUUUUAUAAUAUACUUAAUUAAAUCCUUAAAUCCAAUAUCAAAUCAUAUAUUAAUCCAUAAUUUAUCAAGUAAGUGCCAAAAUUCUCCAUAUUUUGAUCUGAUCAUAUAAAAAUUAUCAACUUACAAGUCCUACCACACAUAGACGAUCAUACAGCAAGUCACUUAACAUAUAAUUCUCGAUUAAUUCACAUAAAAUUCACAAAAUAUUCACAUACUGACAUAAAUAAAUACAUGCCGAAAUCCCGGAUAUUACAAGCUUGGCAAAUCUUUGACAGAGUUUAGCAUUAGUGGAGCCAAAAAUAAUGUCAUCAACAUAGAUUUGAACUAAAAGCAGAUCAUUACCAUGAUUCAAAUAAAACAGGGUUUUAUCUAUGGUACCUCUAGUAAAUCCACUUUCAAGAAGAAAUUGAGCUAGAGUUUCAUACCAUGCCUUGGAGCCUGUUUUAGUCCAUAGAGUGCUUUGUCCAACAUGUAGACAUAGUCUGGAUGUUUUGGAUCCACAAAUCCUGGAGGUUGUUCAACAUAUACCUCCUCUUCCAGUUUCCCAUUUAGAAAAGGACUUUUGACAUCCAUCUGCAAUACCUUGAAUUUCUUGUGAGCAGCAUAGGCCAGAAAGAUUCUAAUUGCCUCCAAUCUUGCAACUGGAGCAAAUGUCUCAUCAUAAUCAAUACCUUCCUGUUGUGAAUACCCUUUUGCCACAAGCCUUGCUUUAUUCCUUGUAAUGACACCCUCACUGUCAGUUUUGUUUCUGAACACCCAUUUUGCACCAACUAUGGAUCUGUCUUUAGGUCUUGGUACUAGGGUCCAUACUUUGUUUCUCUCAAACUCAUUUAGCUCCUCUUGCAUUGCUUGAAUCCAGUCAGCAUCUUGAAGAGCUUCCUCCACCUUUUUAGGUUCUGUUUGUGACAGAAAGCAAUGAUGUAAACACUCAUUUGCUGUAGCUGUCCUUGUUUGCACACCUGCUUCUGGAUUGCCAAUUAUUAAAUCAGGUGUGUGAGAUUUUGUCCACUUCCUAGCAUGUGGAAGUUGACCAUUUUCAUCAUUGGAUCCUCCCCCUUGAUCCAUGCUCUCUUGAUUCUGUUGUUCAUUCUCUGUAGCUCCCCCUAAAUUUGUGCUAUCAGAGUUUGAAUCAGUAUUCUCUGAUGAGUUUGAGUCAGCAUUCUCUGAUGAGUUUGAGUCUUGGGUAGAGUCUGAAACAUUCUGAUUCUCCCCCUCAACAUUUGCUUCAUCAUCAUGAACUUGUAAAUUUUCACCAGAGUUUGCUGUAUUUUGUUCACAGUCAGAGUUUGACUGUUCAUCAGAGUUUGUCGAAUCAGAGAAUAUUUCUUCAUUUUCAAAAUGCAGUGCUUCAUGAUCAUCCAUGUCUGCUAAACCCAUAAUUCUUUUGUCAUCAAAUGACACAUGUAUGGAUUCCAUGAUCACCUUGGUUCUUAGAUUAUAGACUCUGAAGGCCUUUGUUGUCAGAGGAUAACCUACAAAAAUGCCUUCAUCAGCUUUUAAAUCAAACUUGGUAAGCUGUUCUGGAUGAGUCUUCAAUACAAAGCAUUUGCACCCAAAUAUAUGAAAGUACUUCAGAUUUGGCUUCUUUUUCUUCACCAUCUCAUAUGGGGUCUUGCCAUGCUUAUUAAUCAGUGUUGCAUUUUGAGUGAAACAAGCUGUUUGAACAGCUUCUGCCCAGAAAUAAGUAGGUAAUUUAGCCUCAUCAAGCAUAGUUCUGGCAGCUUCUAUAAGAGUCCUGUUUUUCCUUUCAACUACACCAUUUUGCUGUGGUGUACCAGGUGCAGAAAAUUGUUGCACUACACCUCUUUCUUUGCAGAACUCUUCCAUUGUUGAAUUUCUGAACUCAGUUCCAUUAUCACUUCUAAUGAUCUUUACUUUGUCUUCAGAUCCAUGGUCCAGUUGCUUCACAUGAUCCAUCAGAUGCAAAGCUGUUUCAUCUUUAGAGUGAAGAAAAUAUACCCAAGUGUAUCUAGUAUACUCAUCAACAAUGACAAGAGCAUAUUUCUUCCUUGCAAUGGAUGGUACAUUAACUGGUCCAAAUAGAUCAACAUGUAGAAGAUGAUAUGGCUUCUUUAUUGAGAAUUCAGUCUUACUCUUGAAGGAUGUCUUUCUCUGCUUGGCCUUUUGACAUGAAUCACAUAGACCAUCUGAAGUGAGUAGUGAUUCAGGGAGUCCUCUCACAAGCUUUUUCUUUAUAAGCUCAUUUAUGGAGUUGAAAUUGAGAUGUGAGAGCUUCUUAUGCCACUUCCAACUUUCUUCUGCAGAGAUUCUUGUAGAUAAGCAAAUUGCUUUUCCUUCAGAGUUUGUAGGCAAGUUGAUUUCAUAAAUAUUUCCAUGUCUGUGAGCAAUCACUGCCACCUUGCCUGUUGACUUGCUUACUAUCUCACUGUGUUCUUCAUAGAAAUCAACAUGAUAUCCUCUGUCACAGAUCUGACUGACAGAGAGUAAAUUGUGUUUUAGCCCUUGAACAAGAGCUACAUUUGAUAUGAUGACAUUUCCAAGAUUGAUGUUGCCAUAUCCCAGAGUCCUUCCUAUGUUGCCAUCUCCAUAAGAAACACUUGGGCCAGCCUUCUCCACAAACUCUGACAGCAGGGCCUUAUUUCCAGUCAUGUGUCCUGAACAUCCACUGUCCAAGACUAGGAUAUUCUUCCUGUUGCCCUGCAAUCACAAAGACCACUAAUUGUUAGUUUUAAGGACCCAGACUUGCUUGGAUCCCUUGGCCUUAUUAAGUUUGUUAGCUUUUGCAGCGGAAUCUUUAUUAUUAUCAGAGUUUGAGCUAACAGACUUUGUAACAGAGUUUGAACUAGAAACAGAGUUUGUACUUGCAGAGUUUUUAUUAACCUUUAAAGAAGGUUUCAAUUGAUAAUAAUCAUAAUACAAACUAUGAUAUUCUUUGCAAGUAUAAAUAGAAUGCCAUAAACUACCACAAUGAAAACAUGGAUCUUGUGGUUUAUAUCUAAUACUACUUUUUCUAACUCCAGACUUUGUAGGUAAGGAGUUAAUGUCCUUGUUCUUCCUGCAAAAAUUAGCAAGAUGAUUAGUAUUUCCACAGUUAUGGCAUGUCUUCCUAGGUGCAUUUGGAAUAGGCAUGUAGUUAUUACUCUUGUCUAUUCCAACCUUGCCAUUUCUAUUUUUCCUAGGCUCCUUGUCUUUGUUAUCAGACUUUACCUCUUUAAGCUUAUGCUUAAGCUGUUUCUGAGUCAUCAGUCCUAUGUUAACCUGUUUGGGCUUAUCAGAUUUUAAAUUGUUGUUAAUCUCUGAUUCUGGUCUACUCUGUUUAGACUUAGAGGAUUCAGCAACAAAUUUAACAGGUUUAACCUUAGGUUUUUGAGUUUUAACAAACUCUGUUUUUGAUGACUCAGCUUCUGAGUUAUCAGUGUAACCUAGUCCCUUCUUCCAGUUUCCACUACCUAAGAUAUCCUGAGUAGUUUUGCCUGAAUUAGUCCAUGUCUUAAUAAUAUCCCUUUCCUUAGCAAGUUCUGAUUGAAGAGAUGCAUACCUCUUUAAUAAUUCAUCUUUGACAAUGACAGCAUCAUCUCUUUCUUUCUGAACUUCCAACAUCUGAACUAAUUCUUUUUCUAGAUAAUCAUUCCUUUUCUUUACACUUAGAGUUUCAGAUUUUAAUCUUUCAUUUUCUAAAGUCUGAUCUCUAAAGCUGAUAUGCAAAGUUUUAAGAAACAAUCUUAACUCAGUUAUAUCUUCAGUAUCAAAGGCAAGAGUAGAAUGAGGUACCUUAGCAGUAGAUUCAGAGUUGUUGUCAGUGUUUGCCAUCAGAGCAUAAUUGACUUCUUCUUCUGAAUCAGAUGUAUCUGUCCAGUUUCCUUUCUUGGUGAUAAAGGCUUUUUCUUUUUCCUUCUUGGCUUUCUUGCAUUCAGAUGCAAAGUGACCCUUUUCACCACAGUUGAAACAGGUAUACUUGUCAGCUUUUCCAGCUUUCCCUUCCUUGCCCUCAUUCUUCUUGAAGUUCUUCUUAUCAUAAACUCUGUCAGAGUUUCUGUCUUUCCUUGAAAAACUUUUGCCUUUGUUGAACUUUUUGUAGGCCAACUUCUUGAAGCUUUUCACCAUCAAUGCUGCUAACUAUAUCAUUUCACCAUCACUGUCAUCAGAGUCUGAGACAUCAGAGUUUGAGUCAUCAGAGUUUGAUGACUCAAUGUCAGACUUUGUGACAUGAGCUUUUCCUUUGCUCUUAGCAGCUUCCUCUUGAACUUUCAGAGCAACAGACUUUGAUUUGCCUCCAUGACGUUUGCUCCUUUGCUCCAUCUCAAGUUCAUGAGUCUUCAGUCUUCCAAAAACAUCAUCAAGAGACAUUUCUCCAAGAUCAAGAUUGUCUCUUAUUGUAGUGACUUUCAAAUCCCAUUUUUCAGGAAGAGCCAGAAGGAAUUUGAGGUUUGAGUCUUCAAGAUCAUAUUCCUUGUUCACCAGAGAUAAGUCAUUCAACAGUUUGACAAAUCUGUCAUACAGAUCUGUCAAGGACUCACCAGAUUUUGAGUCAAAGUGCUCAUACUCCUGUGUAAGGAUUGUUUUUCUGUUUUUCUUUAUGGCCUGAGUUCCCUGACAUCUGGUUUCCAGAGCAUCCCAGAUUUGUUUAGCAGUUUUGCACCCAAUCACCCUAUUAGACAUUGCAUUAUCAAGGGCACUGUGCAGAAGGUGUUUCACCUUAGAGUCUUUACCAAUUGACAAGAUGUCCUCAGGGGUAUAAUCUUUCUUUUCUUUUGGAACCAUCUUCUGAGGUUCAUCUGCAAGCCCAACAGAGAGCUUGGUGGGCAUAUGUGGUCCAUUAGGAGCUCUGAACGACUUCCAAUUACAUUUAGGACAUAAAUUUAGUGCCAUCGUCUUGCAGUACUAAAGUGUAACAUAGAUGAUUAGUUUUAGCAUGCCUAAACCAUCUUUCUCUUUAGCUACACAAUCAUCACCACUCCCAUCUUUCUGUUCAAACGCCAUCCACAUUAGAUACACCACUCCCCCUUCCCGGCGGCAUCCUUACCACUAUAACAACCAAAUCAAACCUAAUUAACCCCACAACAAACCCUCACACAUAUAAAUACACAUAUACAUAACCAAAUUAACUCUUAAUAACUUCAAAACACAAUAUAAAGCCCUAAUUAAAAGCUUUCAACAAAUCCUUGUACACAAACAGAAAUCAUAAGUAUCUAACCUCAAUUUGUAGCAAAUUAACACUUAAUAAGCAUAAUAAUAAGAAAUACAGUGAAAUAAAAUGUGAAGUGAAUUGUGCAUACCAAAUUGAGGUUAGAAUGUUAGAUACUUAAUGAUAAUCAUCUAUCAAACUGAAGGUGGAUUGUGAAUCAUACCUAAUGAUAAUCGUUCAUCAAAUUGAAUGGCAUCUUUGGAAGCUUCGAAGUUUUAGGGAAAGCUCGACUUGACUGUGUUUAGGACCCCUUCUGUUUACAGCCCAAGCCCUGCCACGUUUCAACACAAAAACAUAAAUGUACACUUGCAAAUAUACAUGAUCAAUAACAAUUAGAGAGUAUCGUUGAACAUAAAAUAAAAUUCUCCAAAUUCAAUUAUCUUAUACCUCUCCUGCUCUCAUCCACAACUUUCAUCAUUCCUUCAACAUUCAUUGGCCUCUACUGCUGUAAAUGCAAUUCAAAAGUGAUAACAAACUCUCUUCGAGCUUUUAUCAAACAGUAGGAAUGCAAUAACUUAAAAUCAUCCCGAAACAAAAAAACAGCACAACAAUAACUUAAAAUCAUCACGAAACACAAAUAGCACAAACACAAACAACUUAAGUUGUAUUUCAUACCUGAUUUUGUCUAAAAAACAUGAAAAAAACAGAAAGAGAGAUAUGUAGACAAUAGGAGAGAGGGAUUCAGGGAGAAAGAGAGGGAGGCAGAUAUAGAGACAGCCGGAGAGAGGGAGAAAGAGAGAGAAAGAGCUUCACGAAGGGAGACGGGGGACUUACGUGGAGAAUACGGAGGGUCAAGCGAUGAGAUCUGAAUACGUUUGAAUCCAAUCACACGCGAAUUUGAAAUUUGAAAUUGAAAUCAGAACAAAAGCAGAUUGUACUGGGCUAUAGAAACAGACUGUAUUUUCGUUUGUUUCCGAAAAAGAGAAUAAAUGUGAAUUUGCACGGGACAUGGGGAAAAGUAGUUCUGGUUACAUUACACAUAAGGAAAGUGUAUAUACAUACACAUCUGUGUGCAAGAGCUUUUCAAAAUCUAUUGUUGACUGUAGUGGCAAAAAGUGUAAAUAGGUAUGAAGAUUUGGGGUAGCUCCGGAUAGAAAGUGGCAAAAAGAGCCCAGAAUACAGGAUGUGGAAUGGCAUGAGUGUAAUUAAGCAUCAACUCUUGGGGUAGGGGGUGUAAAAAAGACUUCCAAAAGGCAACAGGAUUUAUAAUUUAAAGGAUUCAUAUUUAUCAAGACGACUUAGAAACACCGGUGAUCUUGGUUCUAGCAAGUAUAUAUGAAGGUUCAAAUGUGUGAAGGUUAGAUCAAAAUUUUCACUCGGCUCAAUCAUAUACACAUCUAAAUACAUUUAAUUUUUAAAUCUAUUUGGAAACAAUUUAUAAAACUACAGGAGAUAUCAGAUUUAUCAACACAACAGCAUCGAAAGUCUAUGUUAACCAAGUUUGAAUGUAGUAUAUAGCAUGAGACAUAGAUUCUUAUUUAAUUUGCUCAUCAUUCACACGUAAUCAUAUAACUGUAUAUUUGAUUUCAAAACAGUACGAGACUAAUUUUAAAAAUAAUUAUGUCGUUCUAGGCUUAAUCGUGAUAUAUAUGUAUCACUGCUAUAUCUCUGAUUAUAACAUCUCCAAGAUAGUUGAAUAAACGUACUACAAUAUUUAGAUUUUUAUGAAACAAUAAUGUAAUAAAGUAUUUCAAAUUAUGCUCACAUCCUUUAUAGACUAGGAGCUUUUCAUCCGGGCUAUGUUGAUUUUAAAUGAUAUUUUAUUUUAUUAAGUUUAAUUUUUAAUUUGGGAUUAUUUGAUGGUUUGAUUUUAUGUUCUUAAUCAUAAAAAUUAUUUCACAACGCCAAAAAAAGAACAACUACAAUAUCAGGACACCCGUGCGCGGAGCGCGGGCAAGAAAAUCUAGUCAUGGUAUAAUUUUAAUUAGAAAGGUUAAUUCAAGAAUUGUUAAUUAAUAAAAGAAAGUUGAGUAUUAACUGGCUUUGAUACAAGCCAUAACUUAAAAUUCGUAAGAGCUUUAGGAGUUGUAAUUGAUUUCAUAAUAUUAUAAUAAAUAGCAUAGAUUACUAUUUCUUUAAGAGGGUGAUUACUAAAUUCUUAUUUUAUGUGGUUUAGAAUAUAAAAUAUCUGGAAAAAGGCGGAGUCAAUUGUAUAUUAAAUUUCAGGAAUAAUACCGGCUAAGGACGUCAAGCAAGUUCACUAUCCCUGUCUUGACGUGAAAAUUUUCCAUGCCUAUUUCAUAAUUUUGUGAAAAGUGUUGAUUGUGAAGAUAUUACAUUUUGUACCAUUGUGAAUCGAGAAAAUAUCUCCGUUUCAUUUUGAAGUCUUUAAAGAUAUUGUUCAUAUAUUACUUUUCUAUAAUUCGAGCCCUCCCAUUGUUCAGGAAUGAGCUGAUCUAAUAACGAUAAUAUUUUGAAUCUUCGUGACUUGAUGUGAAUUCAUUGCAGCGAUGAUCUCAAUUUACUCCUUUUGGAGAUCAUCUUAUCCGUUGGAAUCUAAUUCUUUUAAUUAUCUUCCACUUCUGCAUUCGGGUAAUCUUUGUAUGACGAAAGGGUGCAUUGUUCGCACUUCUUUGAUUGAGAUGAGAAGUGUUUGUUUGGGAAAAUUUCCUUGUAUUCGGAGGAAUCUGUUCAAGCUGGUCAACACGAAUUUAUUAAAUUCGUGGUAGAGUUGAAAUUUACUAUCUGGUAAGGCAGAUAGUAGGGUUCCAAUGUUAAACCCUGAUGCUAGCAAAGAGAGUGUUGGUGGGUCUUUAGUGGUUACGAUCAAACCACUAGGACUACACAGGAGAACGGUAUUCAUGAAAUGGUGUUGAUCGAGCCAUGUAGUGUUACCGACAGGUGGAAGACUAGCAUUUUCUUUACUUAAAAUUGUGUUGUCAUUUGAUGGUAACUGUUUUGUUACUUUGACUUGAAUUGUCUUCUAUGUUAUAUUCGCAUAUCAUAUUAAAUUGUUGUUUUGUGCUAUGUGGACUUGCUGAGCAAUUAGUUGCUCAUUCUUGCAUCUACUUUAUUCCUUUUGAGCAGUAAAGAGUGAGUAUGGCACAACUCAAGAGAACCGCCUGGAAACGGGUUUUGGCAAGGAAAACGAGAAGGCACAUCAGAUGAGCUAAAGAUGCUAGGCAAUGUUGUUUGGUGGUACCAAUAAUAGUUAUUUUAAUAGUCUGUAAUCAGACUUGCUAUUAUGUAAUAAAGUUAAACUUGGUAGUAGUGUUAUAGAUGAUCGACCUUGGACUUGUGGGGUAAAAGUUGGUUUGUAUAAUAUUAGAUAGAAUGUAAUGCAAGUGUUGUUUUGAGCUAGAUGUUUAGUGACGAACCAGAUCUGCGGGAUGCGGAUCUAGGGGCGUCACAGUUUUAUAUGUAAUAUAAACUUCUAUUAAGAUAUUUUCACGUCGUUCUCUUAAUUUUUUUUGUUAAUAUGUAUUCGUAUGGCAUGAUUUUAUAUAUAUGUGACACCAACUUCUAUUAGAUUAUAUUUACGAAUGUGUUUUAUAUUAGGACAAUGAUAUCUAAUAUAAUAUAUUUAUUUUUUUAAAUAUUUAUAUCGUUCAAGAAAGAAAAUUGGUAUUCUUAAUUUGUCAUGGAUUAAAAAAAAUUAUAAACUUGCAAACAGAAGGGGGAAUUCGUUUUGGAUUAAGAAAAUGUGUUUUGUGCUCGUUCCCACAUUAGUGCUACACUUGUUACGGGUAAGCUUCCUAAUCAUGUUUCUACCACAAACAGUCUGCAAAGUAAAUCAUUGAAAUACACAAAUUACAGUAAAAUUGUUUGAAUCAAUGACUAGUUUCAUCCAGAAAAUACAGUAUAGAUUUGUUUAACUACAAAUAUAUUUGUUGUAGAACUAAAAACGGGGGUGAGCGAUUCGUGCUUUGGACUGGUCUCGAUGCGAGAUGCCUACGUAUCCUCUGCUAGGAGAAGAAUCAAGUCCAAAACGUAGUUCUAGUUAUGAGGGGUAGAGCCCUUUAUAUAGGCGCUUCGGAGUCAGAAGUCGGAUGGAAGUAAGAUUCCGUGUAUCAGACUUCUUAUCGAAGUAUGCCUCGAGGCAAGAGAUAGGAUAGAACUCUUAUCCUUUCGUUGCUGAUAUUUAUCCGAACUCCGGGAUGUUUAUCUGUUAGAAUCAGAUGUAUUAUAGAAUUUGGACUUGUAACUGGUCCUCUGACUGGGCCUCUAUUAAUUAAUUACGAAAUUAAUUAAUAUUUAAGAGCCUCAGGCCCUAUUUAACUGGGCUUCAGUGUUCUUGGGCUUUUAAUAUCUAAUAAUAAUUAAAUAUUACUUCUGACCCAUAUCAUUUGCCCCCCAACUUUCGACAAGUUUUGUAAAAACUUUUCAAAAGUUGCUGAUAUCCUAUCAGCUUUCUGAGCUUUAAACACCAUGCGAGAAAACUUACUUCUCCUAAUUCUUGUUAUCCAAGGUCUGAAGUUUCAUAAAUAGCGCAAGGAUCUCAUUGACAAUUCGAGAGAUGAUUUGACCAUGUAGUAAAGAUAACUCUGUUUCGUAUCCUUCGGGAUUUUCGACUGGAAUAUCGGAAGACACGAGUCCUUUUUAUGACCUUCCUAGUAGUUUUCGCAUUAUUACGGGUCUUUUGUACAACGAGUAUCCUUCUCGGAUUUAUGCUUGUCACGCUGCUCUCGAGCAUUUUUGUAUUUUUCCCGAGGCUUAAUUCAAUUAAAUCGGAAUUUCUGCAAUUAAAUUCCAAUUUUCUAGAAUUUUUCGAGCCCUUAAAGAAUUUUAAAAAUCUCAAUUCUAUGAUUUUUCCUGAAUUUUCAGGAUUUUUACCAUAUAUAUAUUUUUUUUGUUUUUGGGGAAGGCUCACUAGUCAGGUGGCUCCCUUGGCGUUGGUAAUCCACGCCAAGGAGGUAUCAACGCAUCCACGCCAAGGAGGCUUUGCUUCCUAGGCGCGGCUGGUCUCACAAGAAUCAACAAAGAAAUGCUCCCUUGGCGUUGGUAUACCACGCCAAGGAGACAUAUGUACGAGCACGCCAAGGAGACAAGGCUUCCUAGGCGUGGUCGGUCUAGCAAGACUCAACAAAGAAAUGCUCCCUUGGCGUUGGUGUACCACGCCAAGGAGACAUAUGUACAAGCACGCCAAGGAGACAAGGCUUCCUAGGCGUGGUUGGUCUCACAAGACUCAACAAAGAAAUGCUCCCUUGGCGUUUGUAUACCACGCCAAGGAGACAUAUGUACAAGCACGCCAAGGAAAAUCUUGUUUUCUAGGCGUGGUUGGUCAUUCAUGACUUAACAAGGAAAUGCUUCCUUGGCGUUGGUGAUCCACGCCAAGGAGACAUACACAUAUCCAGGCCAUGGAAAUCCUGCUUCCUAGGCGUGGUUUGUCGCUAACUUGAUUUUGCCGGAUCCUGUGGGCCAAGGUCUAUGUCUGAUAGGCCUAUGUAGCUUAAUUUUCCUUUUCUUUUUACUUAGACAUCUCCAGAUCCUUCCAGAACGAUCGAGGCACAUCUGAAAAGUUUGAAUUUCAUGGGCUUCCCGCUUGGACAAAGCCCAUUCACCGGCUAGGGGCCCAUUUGACCGCAAAUAGACGGUAACCCUAGAGUUUACCGGCUGUUGAACCGGUUAGAGCUCCCUAUAUAUUAGAGUGACUUGGGAGUUCAUUUCCCUCAUUCACCAAAAUUUUCAAAUCUCGGAGCCUAAAUACUCUCCCAAACCCUCUCAACUUUCUAUAGUUUUCAGGCGAGUUUUCAGGCGAGUUUCCCGGCAAUCUUCAAGAAGAUCCCAGUUUUCGGCCGAUAUUCAAGCAAUUUUCCAGUUUCCGAUCAAUCUUCAUCUUUUCUCCAUCAUUUUCUGGAUUUGAAGCAUUCAUCCGAAGAACAUCAAUGGCGGACUCCAGUUCUUCUCAACAAUCUCAACUUUCCCAGCCCUCAACCGCUCAUCCUCGCGCGAACCGAGGUAAAAAGAAAUCCCUAGUCCAUGCUAGUGUUUUUUCACUUAGGGAUUUACUUUCUGAAUUCGGGGAAGCUUUCCCUAAUUUGUUGCAUUUAGAAGCAUAUAAGUUUCCUUCGAAAUAUGAUCAAAAGGCCGUAGAUACUAUAGCUGUAGCCUUUGGGAUAAAUGGGCCAUACAGGGCUGAGGCUCCGGGCCCAAAUGACAGGUCUUGUUAUCCAAAGCCCGGGGCCCUUAGGAUUUAUAAGGAAACUCUUUAUGCUGGUUUUAGGUUUCCUCCGCCCAUGUUCGUUUGUAGGCUCUUAGCUGAGGCCCGUAUUUGUCCUACCCAACUUCAGCCCAACGGGUGGAAGUUUAUUUACUGUUUUCUAGUUCAAUGUAGAAAGCAUAAUUUGGAGCCCAGCGUAGCUGUUUUUAGGUACUUUUUCAAAUUUGUAAAUGCACCCAACGAUGAGGGCUGGGUUAAAAUUCAAAAUAGAAAUGUGGCCCGUAGUAUUUUUGUUCCUGACACGGCCCCUGACUCCCUCCCAAAUUGGAAAAAACAAUGGUUUUAUGUUUAUAUGGAGGGGGCCAGUUGGGAGGAUUGCUUCUUUUCCAACUUUAGUCGGGCCGAAGACGGGCCCGUUAGGUCCCUCAAGUUGGGCUUAGAAGAAGAGGCCGCCAUUCUCAUCUUGAUGGGAGACAACCUUCACCAUUGCUCUCUCCUACUUUCCGAGGCCUCACUUCAAGCACAUGGGCUUAGCGAUUUAGGCCCAAAGGGUAUCCCCUUUAAUCCUUAUUAUUUUUUUUUAUUUUUACGAAAUUGAUUAUGGGUCGUAACUUAUUUGCUCAUUUUUUCUUUUUGCAGCUCUUGCCACUUUGGGCAAUAUUUUCAAGAAAAGGGAGACGGCCGCUUCGAAGACCGUUCCCGUGGAAAAGGUCCGCACUAAGCGGCCCAGGAAGGAGGGCGGUUCUCCUAUUGUGGAGAAGGUUCCGGCCUUUAUGGCCGAGAGGCCCAUUGCCAUCGAUGAGGAUCCAAAUCCUUACGUGGUCCAAUGGGGCCUUUUAAACAAAGACACCAUUGUGGGCGACACUCGGGCCGCCGCAGAGUGGUCGAGGAAUGUUGUGACUCCGAGGGACAAGGCCCACGUGGUCGAGUCCUCGGACGACUUGCAGAUUGAGCUUCUAGGAGCUCAGGCCGUGGCGUCGGUAAGACAUUCUCAGCCUUUUAUGUAUCUUGUAAUACUUUGUCUUUAUUUAUUUCUCUUAACGUCUUUCUUUUCUUGUUUUCACCAUCUUGUAGGUCAAUACCUACCUUCAGGCUGCCCUCCACAACCUGAGGGAGGUGAGGACCGAGAAGACGAUCGCCGAGCGGGAUCGUGAUAGGUACCUCGAGUCUUCCACAACCAACUUCGAACGCUUUCGCGAGGUGGAAAAGGAGUUGGCGGCCGAGAAGGAGAGGGUUCGAACCCUGGAAGCCGAGCUGGCUCGAGUCCGAACGGAGGCAAUCGAGGACUUCAAGAAGUCCAAGGAGUACGAGGAUCUGAUGGCGGCCGAGUACGACGCCGCCUUCCCGGAGACCUUCAAGAACUGCUGGGAGGCCAUCAUCGGAGAGCUCAGCUCUAAGAUCGAGGGGGUUACCCUGGAGAAGUUCCCUGUUCCCUCGAUUCCGGGGAAAACCUCAGAAUCCUCAGAGGACCUCGAGGAGACGGAGUUCGGGGAUUCCCACCCAGUCGAGACCCAGGAUGAGGAGGCUCAGGAUGGGGUCGAUUCUCCUAUGGCUGAGGAUACCGAGAAGGAAGAGGAGAUCCCUGAGGAGGAGGAGGACGAGGAGGUCCCCGUGAAAGCGGCUGAGGCGAAAGGGGGGAACGACAUCUUUGAUGAUGGUCUGCCUUAGAUUAGGUGGCUUUAGUUUGUAUAUAUUUAUUCGAAUAUUUAUGUCAACCCUUCGGGGUUUAACUCUUUUAUUAAUUUGUCAACUUUAUCUAUCAAGUUAACUUCUUUUGCAUAUCAUGCUUUUAGCUUCGUAGUAUUUUUCCACUUCGAGCUUUUUAUCCAGGUUGAUUCAUACCUAGAAUUUCUAUCUUUAAUCAUGUGAGUUCAACUUAGAACUUGUGAACUUUUCAUCAAAGAAAGCACAAGUACAGGUAAAAAUGACUUGGACAAACGAGCUAGAUAAUCCUCAGGACUUUAUUAAUAUAUUAGUAAAAGAGAUAAACUACUUUCGGAAAUCAACUACAUGGCAGUGGUCAACAUGACCUUAUUCUUGUGGUAACUACUACUUCCACUAUCAUAGGAUAAGCAUCAGAUAUAAUAUAUCUUCAAGUUGGUCGCAUGCCAACUUCUGGGGACUUCAACUCCUUCCAAGGUUUGAAGCUUGUAUGAGCCAUGGCCUGUGACAGUUUUAAUUUGGUAGGGGCCUUCCCAAUUUGGAGCCAUCUUGCCUUUGGGACCUACCCCAGAAGCUUCAAUUUUUCUAAGUACCAGAUCUCCUUCCCGGAAGUAUCGCUCCUUAACCCGUAGGUUAUAGUAAUAGGAAGCUCGUUUCUGGUUUACCACAAUCUUAGCAUGAGCUUCGUCACGAACCUCAUCAAUCAUAUCAAGCGCAAGUCUCAUACCUUCUUCAUUGGCUUCUGGCUCAUACUGCUGGACCCUGUAGGAUGUAUGAGUGAUUUCAAGUGGCACCACUGCCUCGGCUCCAUAAGCCAGCUGAAAGGGGGUUGCCCCAGUUGAAACCUUGCAAGUGGUUCGAUACGCCCAUAGUAUAGGAAGUAUGUCAUCGGGCCAUGACCCCUGGGCCUUCUCAACUCUUUUCUUCAGUCCAUCGAGGAUUAUUAUAUUGGCCACCUCAGCUUGUCCAUUAGCUUGAGGGUGAGCAACUGAAGUAAAGCGUAACUCAAUCGAGUAAUCCUCACAAUAACUUUUAAACUUAGCGUUAUUGAACUGAGUCCCAUUGUCUGUAACCAUGACUCGAGGUAUUCCGUAUCUGCAAAUGAUAUUUUCCCACACAAACUGAGCAACCUGCUUGGUGGUUAUCUUGGCCAGUGGUUUGGCCUCAAUCCACUUAGUAAAAUAGUCAAUAGCUACCAAUAGAAACUUCCUUUGCGCGCUAGCAAGUGGAAAAGGUCCAAGAAUAUCCAUCCCCCACAUUGCGAAGGGGAUAGGAGUAUUGAUAGAUGUCAGCAUCUCAGGUGGCUGUCGUACAACAGGUGCAAACCUUUGACAACGAUCACACCUUUUCACAUAGUCUUGAGCGUGCUUUAGCAUAUCUGGCCAAUAGAAUCCAAGGCGAGUCACUUUAUGAGCCAAUGCUCUUCCACCAAGGUGUUGGCCACAUACCCCUUCAUGAACUUCUCUAAGGGCUUCUCGAGCCUCAUCCGGCCUCAAACAUCUUAAAUAAGGGAUCACAAACGAUUUUCUAUAUAAGACCCCCUCAAUGAGUACAUACUUAAGGGCCCUUACCUGUAAUUUUCGUGCUUCAUCAGCAUUAGGCGGCAGAUGACCGCUUUGUAAAUACAACUUAAUCUCAUCCAUCCAAGUGGCCCCUGUGUCAAUGGGGGCAAUUAACUUUGCUUCGAUGCUAGGGGUUCUUAAAACCUGAUAAUAAACGCUUCCUGAGCAUACCUCAUCAUCGGAGGAUGCAAAUUGCGAUAAGGCAUCAGCCUUGGUGUUCUCCUCCCUUGGCACAUAUUCUACCAGGCAUUCUUCGAAUAGUGCCAUCUGGGUCUUUACAAUCCUUAGAUAUUUCAGCAUAGUCUCCUCACGGGCUUCAAACUCACCAUUCACUUGGAAGACUACAAGCUUUGAGUCACCAUAGACCUUCAAAUUCUUAACCCUCAAGGUUCUAGCUAGACCAAGUCCAGCUAUCAAUGCUUCUGAUAAGUGGUAUUUAUACACACUUAUAGGCCUUCAUUUCCACUUAAAUUGGUUGGUUGUACUUAAGUGUUUAGUGUCUUUUGAUGUGUUUUUAUUGUUUUUCUGUGCAGGUCACGAGUUGAGGUGAUGAAGUGAUUUUCUAUCAUUUUAGGUUGUUUUUGGUGCAUUAUUUGCAAGAAUAGAGAAUUGUGGAUUCAUCACGACUUGGGAUUUUGUGGGUACAUCUUCUACAAACCCUCACGAGAACACACUCGUCCACUAGAGCUAUCUAGGGGUUUAAAGGGCUUGUUGCAUGUGCUAAAUGCAACCGUGAUCACCUACGGAAGUGGUACUAGAGCGAGGAAGGGCAUGCACGCGAGAACGAGCUAAAAAACGAAGAAACGGGCUGCCAGUGGCAGACAGUAGCGCGCCCGCGCUAGAUCUUAGCGCGCCCGCGCUAGCUACUGUCCCACUAGCGCGCCUGCGCUAGUUUAGCGCGGCCGCGCCCAGCAGAGUUGUUCCGGGCCGAUUUUUGGAGCUUUUCUGAUGGAUUUUAGCAGCGGUCAAGGCCCGGUUGACUUGGUCAAUGUAUCUAAUUUCUCAUGUGUAAAAACCCUAGCCUCACUUGUAUCGUAGAAUAUCGGAAUAUAGUUUUAUCAGUUUUUCUCUUGUAAUAAAACACAUUAGUGAAUUGUAUUGGAUCGUUCUUCGCGAGGAAGUGACAGUUUCGAGCGAGAUCGUGAACAUCAAUUCUGUAACGUUGUGUUCUUAUUUAUUAAUUCAAGCAAUUGUCUUAUGUUUAAUUCUCGUCUUUUAUUUAUCAUGUUUUCAUUAGAACCCAUGAUGUCGAUUAGUUCGAUUAUGAACUAACCGCCUUCAUGGGAUUCUAAUGGAUUUAUCGAUGUAGUCUAGUAACGAAUAUUAAUUACUUGAUUUUGUGACGUACGUUGAUUUCUUUGCAUGAGCCGUGCUUAUUCUUCUUAGGAGCGUAGCUAACUUCUAAGUUGUUUGUUAAUUCUUUCUGAAGCGAGAGUGGAUGAUUGAAUUUAGAACUAUGCCAUGUAAACAUAGGAUUAUGUGAAUGAAACAUAAUUUGUGGUAGACUUGAACUAUUUUUAUCACCCUGUGUAAUCACGAUAGACGACUUGCUAUUAAACCUCUCUGCUUACACUACCGCUAUAGAGAUAUAGGGUCUGAGCUUUGUUGGUGUCCAUGAGAUUUCUGUCUUAAUUGUGGAUUUUGAUUGGUAUGAUAUGUGUGCAACGAGAGUUGGCAUGUAUUGCUUUCGUGUUGUCUGAUUAGGAUCAACAGUCGCAUGAUAAUCAGUAAUUUCAAUUCUAGAUGAAUUCGAUAAUGAAGUUAGAAUCCCAUGUGUUUUCCUAUUCUGAAUUUGAUUAGUAAAUUUAGUUAUUAGUAUAAAAGAACCCAUCCUUGUUAAUUGUCUUGGCAGUGAAAAUUACUCAUACAUUGUUGCAUAGGUGCGUAUUCUUAAUUCACCAGUCUCUGUGGGAUCGAACUUAAUAUAUUACUUGUGAUCACGUGCGCUUGCGUGUAGAUUUUUGCGAACAAGUUUUUGGCGCCGCUGCCGGGGACUCGGUGUUAAUUAAUUAGUUUAUGUACUUGUCAUCAGUGUGCAUUAAAAUUCACUGACUAGGAUUCUAUUCUCUUCUCACUUUUCUUCUUUUCUUUAUUUCAGGUACUUGAGUCGCGUUAUGCUAACACGUUCUAAAGCUCGUAAGGAAGCAAUUGAUUCAUCUUCUUCUUCUGAUUCUGAAACAAUGGAGUAUGCAAAGACAACAGUUGAUGAGGCGUCACAGGAAUUUUCUCGUUUGAAUAUCAAUGAUAACCAAGCUGAGACAAUUGAGCCAGCGAUAUCAGCCAGUGGUAUUCGAAUUAAGCCAUCAAUCAUUCUCAGGCUGCAGGAUACUAUUCAAUUUGGGGGGUCUGUUCAUGAGGACCCAAACCUGCAUCUAAGGAAAUUCGAGGAAUUCAGUAUUGCAUUGGAUUUCAAUAUCGGACCUAAGGAUCUGGUGAAGCUGAGACUCUUUCCAUUCACGCUACGUGAUGUAGCACGAUCGUGGUUUCUCUCUCUCUCGGCAAGCACUACUAAUAGCUGGAACAAGUUGGAGAAAAUAUUCUGUACCAGGUUUUAUCCUCUAAUUAAAGUAUCAGCUAUCAGAAACACCGAAAGUAAAUUCUCUCAAUUCUCAGGAGAAUAUCUUUGUUUAGCUUGGGACCGGUUCAAGAAAAUUCUCGAAAAUCUCAAUGAAGAUGGCAUGCCUCCUGGAAUGGCAAUUCAUUAUUUCUACAGGGGUCUUAAUGGUCAAUGUAGAGCAGAGUUAGACGUGGCAGCUGGAGGAAAUCUGUGGAGCAAGAGCUUCGAUGAAGCUUACGUACUGAUAGAGAACCUGGCUGCUGCCGAGCACAGAGACCUAAAGUGGAAAAUUCCAAGAGAGGAAGAAUCAGAGGAUGAUGAAGCGGUCGAAGUCACUCAGGAACUUCAGAUGACUAAUUGGCACAGAAUUAGAGCUCACUCCGACUCAAUUCCUAAUGCAUGUGGAGACACUUGUCCUCUACUUUCUACCAGUGCGAGUAGCCAAUCUGUAAUUCAAUCACCUGCUGAUUCAACAUUGAAUGAAGCACAGUACCGAAGGAUAAUCCGACGAAUUGACGCGGUUGAAGAACGAAUCGGUCGCUUUGCUGAUAUCUUAACAGACUCUCUUGCUGAAGCAUUCUUAGCACUAGAUGUUAAUGUUACUUGGAAUUCGUUUGGUUAUGGAACGAGGUAUCCUCCACAGGAUACUUCAUCGGAAUCGGAUUAAUUCAGGACUUCACGUCGAGCUAACGACGUUAAACAAGCGCUUCGCGGGAGGCAACCCACGCACUGGAACCAGGUUGUACCGUUGUAAACCUCAAAAACACUAAAAACGAGAAAAAUCAGCCCUGAGUGUCAGACACUAGCGCGCCCGCGCUAGUGUCCAGCGCGCCCGCGCUAAAGUGCACAGCGCGCCCGCGCUACACUUAGCGCGGCCGCGCUACUGACUGCCAGAAACUCGAUUUUUCUCCCAAAAAUAUUUUCUUUUCGUUUUUAAAAGCCCACAAUCCUAAUUUUGCAUGCCUAGCCCGAAAUAUAUCCUCCAUAACCCUAACUCAGCUCUCAAAAUCCUAUAUAAACACAAAACCCAUCUCCAAUUCCUAUUCUAAUUCUAUAAACCCUACUUAUAUAUAUACACAUCCAUACACACAACCACCACCAAAUCUCUCAAACCCACUACACACAAAUCUCUUGCAACUCUAAAUCUCUAUCAAUGGCACCCAAAAGAGCCCGAAGAUCACAAGGACCAAGCACCCAAGCCCCUACAUCUAGCGAUUCUUCCUCGAUGGGUGAGGUUGAGUUCACCUCCGAUGGUGCACGAACCGAGUUUCAACGGCUUAUGAAUAAGUCGAUAGUUAAGGAGAGGGGAUUCUUACCCACGGCGGAAGAUGGUGAGCUCUUGAACAUGAUUCAAGAAAGGGGUUGGGAGUCUUUUUGCGAGGCUCCGGAGGCGGUUCCCUUGGCUAUUAUUCGAGAGUUUUAUGCUAAUGCCAAGGAGAAUCGCGAUGGAUUCACGGUGGUGCGAGGAAUCCGUGUGGAUUAUAGUGCGGAGGCGAUCCGUAGAGUGAUUGGGGGGCGUGCCAAGCGCCGUAAUGAAGAAGAUUGGGUUGUUGAGAGGAUCGGGCGUGCCAAACGCCGGUUUGAUGAUGAUCCGGUUGAUCUUGAGCGGUUGGUGUAUGAUAUGUGUGUGCCGGACACGACUUGGAAGAUGACUGCACCUCCUUUGCCGGCACAUGUUUCGUUUCCAGCAGCCGCGUUGAACCGGUAUGCGAAGGCGUGGAACGCCUUCAUCUGUGCUAACAUCAUGCCAUCUUCACAUGGGCAUGAGGUGACAGUGGAUAGAGCUAUUCUGCUCUUUGGGAUUGUCUCGGGCAAGUAUAUUGAUCUGGGACAUGUUAUUCAUCAGGGGAUUCUGAGGUUCUUACAGGGAGGAACCACUGGUGCCAUUCCAUACGGCACAAUUGUUACGAAGCUCUGUCGAUCAAGCGGUGUUCGUUGGCCAGCCAACGAGCAAUUACAGUUGCCAGCAGCACCUAUUGAUCAUUCGGCGAUCAGCCGGAUGACGGAGUGGGAAGGAGCCGUUCCUCACCCUCGAGGACUCGGUUACAUAUAUGAUGAGAUGCCAGGGGGACGUCCAGGGUUUAUUAGGAGAGUGCGGACUAGAGCUUCUGGAGCUGGUACUUCUCAGACGGAGAGGAGCUCCGAGCCUAUGGGAGAUGUUCAUUAUCGCCGACUAGCGAGACGGAUGGACACUAUGCAUGACAUCCACCAGAGGUUUGCAUUUGACUUGACACAAGCUCUUGGUAAUGCUUUCCAGGCACAGGGGGUCACAGUUCAGUGGCCAGUAUUCGGAGCAGGGAUGCAGUAUCCUCCACCUGAUUCACCUCCAGCAGAGGAGGGGGAGGACUCGGACUCCGAGUAGGUAUGUGGGUGCUCUAGCCUUUUUACCGCUUUCAAUGGGGACAUUGUAAUUUAAGUUUGGGGUGGUAAUCUAAGGAAGAGCAUAUUAUUAUGUAGUUUAUUAUUGCAUGUGUUAGUUAGUUCAUGUAGUUCACGUUUUUUUAUUUUGCUUUUUAUUUUUUUUUCUCACGUUUUCUUUCUAUUUUUCUCAAAUUUUUUAUUUUACAUGUUUAGUAGUAAUUGUCGUAGUUAGUAUCACGAGCAUUUGCAUGAAUUAUGAAGUUAAACCAAGUCAAUUGCCUAUGAUGAGUUAUGUGCGUAGUUCUUGAUUAGUAGUUUCAAUUGCAAUGCUAGGUUAGUACUUGGAAAUUGCUUGUGUUGGAAAUUGUAAUUCACAUAUGUUCUUGAGAUAGGAUUUAGACGAAAUUCCAUGAAUUCUAGGAUUGAAUUGAGCACCCUUCAGCUUAGGUCUGUAAAUCUUAAGUUUGGGGGAACUGAGGGGUAGAUAUGCCUUUCUAAAAAAAAAAAAAAAAAAUAUAGAAAAAAAAAAAAAAAAAAAAAAAUAGUAGUAAAUAAAUUCACUAAAAAAAUAAGUGGUAGAAUUAACUAGGUUGAGCUCAUUAGUACUCGAGUAAUUAAGUCUGAGGGGACUUUGUGCCUAACAACCUAAAGCCCUUCGUGGUUUGGGAUUGUUGACCCAACGCUCGCUACAUGGGUACUAGUGCAUAAAUCUUUAGGGAUCUCAACCAUUGCACGGUUAAAUAAACCACUAGAAUAGAGUGAAUAAUUGGUGUGUGAAGUCUUGUGGUGUUCGUAACGCAUUUACACUGCGAAGCGCUCUGACCUUAGACCGAGCAAUUAAUCACCAAAAAAAAAAAAAAAAAAAUAUAGUGAAUACAAUAGAAGGUUGUGGACAUUCUUUGGGACCUUGGCUUUUAGUUGGACUUGAGUGACGGGGUGUUAGUUUUAAACUUUUACGAUUCUUGAUGGGGAUUCUGUGGGAGUAGUAGUUUUUGUCUUGUCUCAAUAAAAGAGCAUGCUUGCACACACUGGCACUCCACACUUGUAAAUAGAAGAGUAAUUGACUUAGUAGCGAGAGAGAUGAAAUUCGAGAACAUUAGCACAAUCUGAGGUAUUAUAAUUGGCAAGGCAAUUACUUCAUAGUUUACUCAUUCCUCACGUAGUUGCAUUCGUGCAUUGCAUUGUAUUAUUGUAUAGUGUCGUUGACGCUUGAGGACAAGCAUCAGUUUAAGUUUGGGGGUGUGAUAAGUGGUAUUUAUACACACUUAUAGGCCUUCAUUUCCACUUAAAUUGGUUGGUUGUACUUAAGUGUUUAGUGUCUUUUGAUGUGUUUUUAGUGUUUUUCUGUGCAGGUCACGAGUUGAGGUGAUGAAGUGAUUUUCUAUCAUUUUAGGUUGUUUUUGGUGCAUUAUUUGCAAGAAUAGAGAAUUGUGGAUUCAUCACGACUUGGGAUUUUGUGGGUACAUCUUCUACAAACCCUCACGAGAACACACUCGUCCACUAGAGCUAUCUAGGGGUUUAAAGGGCUUGUUGCAUGUGCUAAAUGCAACCGUGAUCACCUACGGAAGUGGUACUAGAGCGAGGAAGGACAUGCACGCGAGAACGAGCUGAACACGAAGAAUCAGGGCUGCCAUGACAGACAGUAGCGCGCCCGCGCUACUUGUUAGCGCGCCCGCGCUACCUUCUGCUGCCACUAGCGCGCCUGCGCUAGUUUAGCGCGGCCGCGCCCAGCAGAAGUGCCCCGGGCCGAUUUUUGGAGCUUUUCUGACGGAUUUUCGCAGCGGUCGAGGCCCGGUUGACUUGGUCAAUGUAAUUUAAUUUCUCGUGUGUAAAACCCUAGCCUCGUAGAAGUAGUUUAGUAGAGAACAAUAUCGUAGUUUCAGUUUAAUCAUUCAAGCACAUUAUCAGUUUGUAUUGGAUCGUUCUUCGCGAGGAAGUGACAGUUUCGAGCGAGAUCGUGAACAUCAAAUCUGUAACGUGUGAUCUUUAUUAUUAAUUCAAGCAUUUUUAUUCCGUUUAAUUCUUGUCUUUUAUUUAUCAUGUUUUCAUUAGAACCCAUGAUGUCGAUUAGUUCGAUUAUGAACUAACCGCCUUCAUGGGAUUCUAAUGGAUUUAUCGAUGUAGUCUAGUAACGAAUAUUAAUUACUUGAUUUUGUGACGUACGUUGAUUUCUUUGCAUGAGCCGUGCUUAUUCUUCUUAGGAGCGUAGCUAACUUCUAAGUUGUUUGUUAAUUCUUUCUGAAGCGAGAGUGGAUGAUUGAAUUUAGAACUAUGCCAUGUAAACAUAGGAUUAUGUGAAUGAAACAUAAUUUGUGGUAGACUUGAACUAUUUUUAUCACCCUGUGUAAUCACGAUAGACGACUUGUUAUUAAACCUCUCUGCUUACACUACCGCUAUAGAGAUAUAGGGUCUGAGCUUUGUUGGUGUCCAUGAGAUUUCUGUCUUAAUUGUGGAUUUUGAUUGGUAUGAUAUGUGUGCAACGAGAGUUGGCAUGUAUUACUUUCGUGUUGUCUGAUUAGGAUCAACAGUCGCAUGUUAAUCAGUAAUUUCAAUUCUAGAUGAAUUCGAUAAUGAAGUUAGAAUCCCAUGUGUUUUCCUAUUCUGAAUUUGAUUAGUAAUUUUAGUUAUUAGUAUAAAAGAAACCAUCCUUGUUAAUUGUCUUGGCAGUGAAAAUUGAUCAUACAUUGUUGCAUAGGUGCGUAUUCUUAAUUCACCAGUCUCUGUGGGAUCGAACUUAAUAUAUUACUUGUGAUCACGUGCGCUUGCGUGUAGAUUUUUGCGAACAAGUUUUUGGCGCCGCUGCCGGGGACUCGGUGUUAAUUAAUUAGUUUAUGUACUUGUCAUCAGUGUGCAUUAAAAUUCACUGACUAGGAUUCUAUUCUCUUCUCACUUUUCUUCUUUUCUUUAUUUCAGGUACUUGGGUCGCGUUUAUGCUAACACGUUCUAAAGCUCGUAAGGAAGCAAUGGAUUCAUCUUCUUCUUCUGAUUCUGAAACAAUGGAAUAUGCAAGGACAGCAGUUGGUGAGGCGUCACAUGAAUUUUCUCGUUUGAAAAUCAAUGAUAAUCAGGCUGACACAAUUGAGCCAGCGAUAUCAGCCAGGGGUAUUCGAAUUAAGCCAUCAAUCAUUCUCAGGCUGCAGGAUACUAUUCAAUUUGGGGGGUCUGUUCUUGAGGACCCAAACCUGCAUCUAAGGAAAUUCGAGGAAUUCAGUAUUGCAUUGGAUUUCAAUAUCGGACCUAAGGAUCUGGUGAAGCUGAGACUCUUUCCAUUCACGCUACGUGAUGUAGCACGAUCGUGGUUUCUCUCUCUCUCGGCAAGCACUACUAAUAGCUGGAACAAGUUGGAGAAAAUAUUCUGUACCAGGUUUUAUCCUCUAAUUAAAGUAUCAGCUAUCAGAAACACCGAAAGUAAAUUCUCUCAAUUCUCGGGAGAAUAUCUUUGUUUAGCUUGGGACCGGUUCAAGAAGAUUCUCGAAAAUCUCAAUGAAGAUGGCAUGCCUCCUGGAAUGGCAAUUCAUUAUUUCUACAGGGGUCUUAAUGGUCAAUGUAGAGCAGUGUUAGACGUGGCAGCUGGAGGAAAUCUGUGGAGCAAGAGCUUCGAUGAUGCUUACGAACUGAUAGAGAACCUGGCUGCUGCUGAGCACAGAGACCUAAAGUGGAAAAUUCCAAAAGAGGAAGAAUCAGAGGAUGAUGAAGCGGUCGAAGUCACUCAGGAACUUCAGAUGACUAAUUGGCACAGAAUUAGAGCUCACUCAGACUCAAUUCCUAAUGCAUGUGGAGACACUUGUCCUCUACUUUCUACCAGUGCGAGUAACCAAUCUGUAAUUCAAUCACCUGCUGAUUCAACAUUGAAUGAAGCACAGUACCGAAGGAUAAUCCGGCGUAUUGACGCGGUGGAAGAACGAAUUGGUCGCUUUGCUGAUAUAUUAACGGACUCUCUUGCUGAAGCAUUCUUAGCACUAGAUGUUAAUGUUACUUGGGAUUCGUUUGGUUAUGGAACGAGGUAUCCUCCACAGGAUACUUCAUCGGAAUCGGAUUAAUUCUGGACUUCACGUCGAGCUAACGACGUUAAACAAGCGCUUCGUGGGAGGCAACCCACGCAUUGGAACCAUUUUGUACCAUUGUAAACCUCAAAAACACAAAAAUCGAGAAAUUUCGGCCCUGGGUGUCAGACACUAGCGCGCCCGCGCUAGUGUCCAGCGCGCCCGCGCUAGAGUGUACAGCGCGCCCGCGCUACACUUAGCGCGGCCGCGCUACCGACUGCCAGAAACUCGAUUUUUCUCCCAAAAAUAUUUUCUUUUCGUUUUUAAAAGCCCACAAUCCUAAUUUUGCAUGCCUAGCCCGAAAUAUAUCCUCCAUAACCCUAACUCAGCUCUCAAAUCCUUAUAUAAACACAAAACCCAUCUCCAAUUCCUACUCUAAUUCUAUAAACCCUAAUUAUAUAUAUACACAUCCAUACACACAACUACCAUCAAAUCUCUCAAACCCACUACACACAAAUCUCUUACAACUCUAAUCUCUAUCAAUGGCACCCAAAAGAGCCCGAAGAUCACAAGGACCAAGCACCCAAGCCCCUACAUCUAGCGAUUCUUCCUCGAUGGGUGAGGUUGAAUUCACCUCCGAUGGUGCACGAACCGAGUUUCAACGGCUUAUGAAUAAGUCGAUAGUUAAGGAGAAGGGAUUCCUACCCACAGCGGAAGAUGGUGAGCUCUUGAACAUGAUUCAAGAAAGGGGUUGGGAGUCUUUUUGCGAGGCUCCGGAGGCGGUUCCCUUGGCUAUUAUUCGAGAGUUUUAUGCUAAUGCCAAGGAGAAUCGCGAUGGAUUCACGGUGGUGCGGGGAAUCCGUGUGGAUUAUAGUGCGGAGGCGAUCCGUAGAGUGAUUGGGGGGCGUGCCAAGCGCCGUAAUGAAGAAGAUUGGGUUGUUGAGAGGAUCGGGCGUGCUAAACGCCGGUUUGAUGAUGAUCCGGUUGAUCUUGAGCGGUUGGUGUAUGAUAUGUGUGUGCCGGACACGACUUGAAAGAUGACUGCACCUCCUUUGCCGGCACAUGUUUCUUUUCCAGCAGCCGUGUUGAACCGGUAUGCGAAGGCGUGGAACGCCUUCAUCUGUGCUAACAUCAUGCCAUCUUCACAUGGGCAUGAGGUGACAGUGGAUAGAGCUAUUUUGCUCUUUGGGAUUGUCUCGGGCAAGUAUAUUGAUCUGGGACAUGUUAUUCAUCAGGGGAUUCUGAGGUUCUUACAGGGAGGAACCACUGGUGCCAUUCCAUAUGGCACAAUUGUGACGAAGCUCUGUCGAACGAGCGGUGUUCGUUGGCCAUCCAACGAGCAAUUGCAGUUGCCAGGACACCUAUUGAUCAUUCGGCGAUCAGUCGGAUGACGGAGUGGAUGGAGGACGUUCCCACCCUCGAGGCCUCGGGUACAUAUAUGAUGAGGUGCCAGGGGGACGGUCCAGGGUUCGAUUAGGAGGGAGCGUACUAGAGCUUCUGGAGCUGGUACUUCACAGACGGAGAGGAGCUCCGAGCCUAUGGGAGAUGUUCAUUAUCGCCGACUCGCGAGACGGAUGGACACUAUGCAUGACAUCCACCAGAGGUUUGCAUUUGAUUUGACACAAGCUCUUGGUACUGCUUUCCAGGCACAGGGGGUCACAGUUCAGUGGCCAGUAUUCGGAGCAGGGAUGCAGUAUCCUCCACCUGAUUCACCUCCAGCAGAGGAGGGGGAGGACUCGGACUCCGAGUAGGUAUGUGGGUGCUCUAGCCUUUUUACCGCUUUCAAUGGGGACAUUGUAAUUUAAGUUUGGGGUGGUAAUCUAAGGAAGAGCAUAUUAUUAUGUAGUUUAUUAUUGCAUGUGUUAGUUAGUUCAUGUAGUUCACGUUUUUUUAUUUUGCUUNNNNNNNNNNNNNNNNNNNNNNNNNNNNNNNNNNNNNNNNNNNNNNNNNNNNNNNNNNNNNNNNNNNNNNNNNNNNNNNNNNNNNNNNNNNNNNNNNNNNNNNNNNNNNNNNNNNNNNNNNNNNNNNNNNNNNNNNNNNNNNNNNNNNNNNNNNNNNNNNNNNNNNNNNNNNNNNNNNNNNNNNNNNNNNNNNNNNNNNNNNNNNNNNNNNNNNNNNNNNNNNNNNNNNNNNNNNNNNNNNNNNNNNNNNNNNNNNNNNNNNNNNNNNNNNNNNNNNNNNNNNNNNNNNNNNNNNNNNNNNNNNNNNNNNNNNNNNNNNNNNNNNNNNNNNNNNNNNNNNNNNNNNNNNNNNNNNNNNNNNNNNNNNNNNNNNNNNNNNNNNNNNNNNNNNNNNNNNNNNNNNNNNNNNNNNNNNNNNNNNNNNNNNNNNNNNNNNNNNNNNNNNNNNNNNNNNNNNNNNNNNNNNNNNNNNNNNNNNNNNNNNNNNNNNNNNNNNNNNNNNNNNNNNNNNNNNNNNNNNNNNNNNNNNNNNNNNNNNNNNNNNNNNNNNNNNNNNNNNNNNNNNNNNNNNNNNNNNNNNNNNNNNNNNNNNNNNNNNNNNNNNNNNNNNNNNNNNNNNNNNNNNNNNNNNNNNNNNNNNNNNNNNNNNNNNNNNNNNNNNNNNNNNNNNNNNNNNNNNNNNNNNNNNNNNNNNNNNNNNNNNNNNNNNNNNNNNNNNNNNNNNNNNNNNNNNNNNNNNNNNNNNNNNNNNNNNNNNNNNNNNNNNNNNNNNNNNNNNNNNNNNNNNNNNNNNNNNNNNNNNNNNNNNNNNNNNNNNNNNNNNNNNNNNNNNNNNNNNNNNNNNNNNNNNNNNNNNNNNNNNNNNNNNNNNNNNNNNNNNNNNNNNNNNNNNNNNNNNNNNNNNNNNNNNNNNNNNNNNNNNNNNNNNNNNNNNNNNNNNNNNNNNNNNNNNNNNNNNNNNNNNNNNNNNNNNNNNNNNNNNNNNNNNNNNNNNNNNNNNNNNNNNNNNNNNNNNNNNNNNNNNNNNNNNNNNNNNNNNNNNNNNNNNNNNNNNNNNNNNNNNNNNNNNNNNNNNNNNNNNNNNNNNNNNNNNNNNNNNNNNNNNNNNNNNNNNNNNNNNNNNNNNNNNNNNNNNNNNNNNNNNNNNNNNNNNNNNNNNNNNNNNNNNNNNNNNNNNNNNNNNNNNNNNNNNNNNNNNNNNNNNNNNNNNNNNNNNNNNNNNNNNNNNNNNNNNNNNNNNNNNNNNNNNNNNNNNNNNNNNNNNNNNNNNNNNNNNNNNNNNNNNNNNNNNNNNNNNNNNNNNNNNNNNNNNNNNNNNNNNNNNNNNNNNNNNNNNNNNNNNNNNNNNNNNNNNNNNNNNNNNNNNNNNNNNNNNNNNNNNNNNNNNNNNNNNNNNNNNNNNNNNNNNNNNNNNNNNNNNNNNNNNNNNNNNNNNNNNNNNNNNNNNNNNNNNNNNNNNNNNNNNNNNNNNNNNNNNNNNNNNNNNNNNNNNNNNNNNNNNNNNNNNNNNNNNNNNNNNNNNNNNNNNNNNNNNNNNNNNNNNNNNNNNNNNNNNNNNNNNNNNNNNNNNNNNNNNNNNNNNNNNNNNNNNNNNNNNNNNNNNNNNNNNNNNNNNNNNNNNNNNNNNNNNNNNNNNNNNNNNNNNNNNNNNNNNNNNNNNNNNNNNNNNNNNNNNNNNNNNNNNNNNNNNNNNNNNNNNNNNNNNNNNNNNNNNNNNNNNNNNNNNNNNNNNNNNNNNNNNNNNNNNNNNNNNNNNNNNNNNNNNNNNNNNNNNNNNNNNNNNNNNNNNNNNNNNNNNNNNNNNNNNNNNNNNNNNNNNNNNNNNNNNNNNNNNNNNNNNNNNNNNNNNNNNNNNNNNNNNNNNNNNNNNNNNNNNNNNNNNNNNNNNNNNNNNNNNNNNNNNNNNNNNNNNNNNNNNNNNNNNNNNNNNNNNNNNNNNNNNNNNNNNNNNNNNNNNNNNNNNNNNNNNNNNNNNNNNNNNNNNNNNNNNNNNNNNNNNNNNNNNNNNNNNNNNNNNNNNNNNNNNNNNNNNNNNNNNNNNNNNNNNNNNNNNNNNNNNNNNNNNNNNNNNNNNNNNNNNNNNNNNNNNNNNNNNNNNNNNNNNNNNNNNNNNNNNNNNNNNNNNNNNNNNNNNNNNNNNNNNNNNNNNNNNNNNNNNNNNNNNNNNNNNNNNNNNNNNNNNNNNNNNNNNNNNNNNNNNNNNNNNNNNNNNNNNNNNNNNNNNNNNNNNNNNNNNNNNNNNNNNNNNNNNNNNNNNNNNNNNNNNNNNNNNNNNNNNNNNNNNNNNNNNNNNNNNNNNNNNNNNNNNNNNNNNNNNNNNNNNNNNNNNNNNNNNNNNNNNNNNNNNNNNNNNNNNNNNNNNNNNNNNNNNNNNNNNNNNNNNNNNNNNNNNNNNNNNNNNNNNNNNNNNNNNNNNNNNNNNNNNNNNNNNNNNNNNNNNNNNNNNNNNNNNNNNNNNNNNNNNNNNNNNNNNNNNNNNNNNNNNNNNNNNNNNNNNNNNNNNNNNNNNNNNNNNNNNNNNNNNNNNNNNNNNNNNNNNNNNNNNNNNNNNNNNNNNNNNNNNNNNNNNNNNNNNNNNNNNNNNNNNNNNNNNNNNNNNNNNNNNNNNNNNNNNNNNNNNNNNNNNNNNNNNNNNNNNNNNNNNNNNNNNNNNNNNNNNNNNNNNNNNNNNNNNNNNNNNNNNNNNNNNNNNNNNNNNNNNNNNNNNNNNNNNNNNNNNNNNNNNNNNNNNNNNNNNNNNNNNNNNNNNNNNNNNNNNNNNNNNNNNNNNNNNNNNNNNNNNNNNNNNNNNNNNNNNNNNNNNNNNNNNNNNNNNNNNNNNNNNNNNNNNNNNNNNNNNNNNNNNNNNNNNNNNNNNNNNNNNNNNNNNNNNNNNNNNNNNNNNNNNNNNNNNNNNNNNNNNNNNNNNNNNCUGUUCGAGGUUUGUAUCGGAUAUCAAAUUCUCCGAGCUCAAUGGCCCACUUAAUCAAUCUUCCACUAGCCUUAGGGCUAUGUAUAACAUUUCGGAGAGGUUGGUCUGUCAAGACUUCUAUCUUAUGAGACUGAAAGUAAGGUCUCAACUUCCUCGAGGCCGUAAUCAUGGCCAAAGCAAAUUUUUCGAUCACUGAGUAAUUGAGCUCCGCUCCAUGCAGAACCUUGCUCACAUAGUAUACUGGUUUCUGGGCUUUGGAUUCCUCCCGAACUAGGACGGCGCUUAGCGCUUGUUCCGAGACAGCUAGGUAUACAUACAGGGUUUCGCCCUCUACGGGUUUUGAUAAGAGUGGUGGCUCUGCCAUAUAUUUCUUUAGAUGUUCGAAGGCCACUUGGCUCUCAUCCGUCCAUUCAAAGUUCUUAACCUUCUUUAAUGCUUUGAAGAAAGGCAAGCACUUGUCUCCUGACUUGGAUACAAACCUUCCCAAAGCUGCAAUUCUUCCUGUCAGUUUCUGAACAUCCCUUAUACUUUUUGGGGGUUCCAUAUCUAGGAUAGCUUUUUAUCUUGUCGGGGUUGGCUUCAAUACCACGCUUUGAGACCAUCAAACCCAGGAACUUCCCAGAACCGACCCCAAAGGCACACUUAGCUGGGUUUAACAUCAUCUUAUGCGUCCUCAGGACUUCAAAGGCCUCUCUAAGGUGUUCAAGGUGAUCCGCUUUGUUCAAGCUUUUCACCAACAUAUCGUCUACAUAUACCUCCAUAGUCUUACCAAUCAGAUGUUUAAACAUCUUGUUUGCAAGGCGUUGGUAUGUUGCUCCUGCAUUCUUAAGUCCAAAGGCCAUAACUAAAUAACAAAAUACACCAAAGUCAGUGAUAAACGAUACCUUGGGUACAUCGCCCUUGUCCAUCCGGAUCUGAUUAUAUCCACUGAAGCCAUCCAUGAAACUCAGCAUCUUGUGGCCAGCAGUAGCAUCUAUCAAUGUAUCAAUUCUUGGAAGAGGAAAACAAUCCUUUGGGCAAGCGUCAUUUAGGUCAGUGAAGUCUACACACAUCCUCCACUUCCCGUUAGCUUUCUUGACCAUAACAGGGUUGGCCAACCAUUCUGGAAAUUGUAUCUCUUCGAUAAAACCUGCUUCCAACAACUUAUCGACCUCCUGCUUAAUGGCUUCUUGCCUUUCAGGGGCGAAGUUCCUUUUCUUCUGCUUAAUAGGUUUCCUCUCGGGGUUUACAUUCAACUUAUGGGUCAUGAAUGAGGGAUCGAUACCUGGCAUAUCGGCCGCUGUCCAAGCGAAAACAUCAUGGUUGUUCCUCAAGAACCUCACAAACUCCUGUUUCAAAUCUUCCUGGAGUAACGCUCCAACAUAAGUAACCUUUUCAGGUUCUUCCGUAUACAAUUGGAUUGGAACCAAAUCUUCGGCAGGCUUGCCUCUCCUUUCCUCUUCUUCCCGGACAUCAAGGUCUUCUAUGGGUAAUACUUGCCCCCCACUUCCUCCGGACCUUAAUGCUCCGAUAUAACAGCUUCGGGCCAUUUUCUGGUCUCCCAGUUCUUCUCCGAUUCCGUUCCUAGUCGGGAAUUUAAUUUUCAUGUGGUAGGUGGAUGGGAUUGCUUUAAAAGCAUGUAUUCCAGUCCUCCCAAGGAUGGCAUUAUAGGUUGGUGAGGCUUUAACGACCAAGAAGUUUACCAUACAUGUGGCUUGCCUAGGUUCAGUACCCAUUGUUACGGGAAGCUGGAUCAUGCCUUCAAUCUUGGUUUCCACAUUAUUGAAGCCAUAUAUAGGCAUAUCCGAUGGGGUCAGUUGAGUAUCGGAGUAUCCCAUCUUUUCAUAGGCAUCGUAGAACAGAAUAUCCACCGAGGAUCCAUUAUCAACGAGCACUCUCUUUACAGACGAGUUUCCGAUCACUGGUGUAAUUACUAAGGGGUCAUCGUGGGGGAACUUCACUUUCUCGAGGUCAACGUUAUCGAAUGCCAUUGCAUAAUCAAUUUUUGCCCGCUUCGGGGGUUCUCCAACUAUAUUCAUUACCUCCCUUGCAUAAGCUUUUCUUGAAUUGCUUGAAGUGCCCGCAGCCGUAGGUCCUCCGGAGAUUAUGUUAAUAAUAGGCCCUCGGGGUUGAGUUCUUUUCUCAUCAUGGUCUCUUCCACGACUGUCGUUAUCUCGAUAGUUCUUGUCUCCAUCCUUGGUGAACUUUGACAACUUACCUCUCCGGAUCAAGAACUCGAUUUCAUCCUUUAACUGUCCGCAAUCGUCAGUCUUAUGUCCUAUAUCCUUAUGGAAUCGACAAUACAGGUCUUUAUUUCGUUUCUCCGGGUCGGUCCUUAUAGGCUUCGGCCAUCUUACACUUUCAUCCUUUUCGAUCUCCAGUAAGAUUUGACUCCUCGGGGCAUUGAGCCUAGCAUACUCAGUGAAUCUUGGUCCCACCUUCUUCUUAGCAGGAGACUUUUCAUCAUCGUCCCUCUUGGGAUAUUUGUUUUCAGCAUUGUACUCGGCGUCGUUUCCGCGUUUCUUAAAGUUAGUGUUCGGCCCUUGAGUACUCUGGGACUUCCUUAGGCUUUCCUCCGCCUUGAUGUACUUCCCGGCUCUCUCUUGUAAAUCGUUCAUAUUAUCGGGUGCCCUCUUGGCUAGAGACCGGCGAAAGUUGUCGUCAGUGGUACCCUGCUGGAGGGCGAUCAUGGCCACCUUUUGAUCUAGGUCCGGGACCUUCAAGGCUUCUUUAGUAAAACGAUUCAUAUACUUCCGGAGUGAUUCGUUCUUACCUUGAUGCAAAUUCAUUAGAGAGGCAGAGCUCUUAGCAUGUGUUUUGCUUCCAACAAAUUGCCCUAUGAAAGCCCUGCUCAAGUCAGUAAAACAAGAGAUAGAAUUAGGGGGUAGGCGACUAUACCAAUGUUGGGCCAUCCCACUCAAGGUUUGGGGAAAAGCGCGGCACUUGAUUGCUUCAGUGACGGGUUGGAGCAAAAGAGCGUUCAUGAAGGUCCGAACAUGAUUAGCGGGAUCACCCGUGCCAUCGUAAGCUUUAAUGGUUGGGAGCUUGAAUUUUCGGGAAAUCCUUGCACCCAUGAUUUCUUGCGUAAAUGGGGGAACCGGGUUAUCAGGAUCGCCUGCCGGUAGCAAGUGAAUUUGAUUCAUCACGGUUUGUCGAGGGUUUUCAUCCCUAGAUUCUGGGGGUUGCAUCCUUGCCUGAUCUCUUUUUAACCGUGCGAUUUCCUCUUCAUGGGCCCGGAUCCUUUCCUCAUAGGUUAUUGGCCCCCGGGGCUCAUUAGUUUCUUGCCUAUGGCGGCGUCGACGGUGCCGAGUAUGAUCGGUUUCUCUCCUCCUUCGAGGGGGGGUAUCACGCUCUUGCUCCGACUCCGAGGAGUCGUAAUCAGUUACGUGCACAUAGUCAUCACCCGUGCCUCCACGAGUGGUUGUCGUGACGGUUGAGUAAUGCGUGCCGGCGUCGGUGACGGUUGCAAUUACUCGAGUCAGAGGGGGCAGCGAGCCAAAAGUCAGGGGAGUAGUAGUUUGAGCAAUGGUCGUACCAAGCGGGAGGGAGGUAGUUACAGGGGUUGAUUCAGUCGAGACUCCGGUGGUGGUUCGACCGCGUGGAACAUGAAUUUCUGAACGUGGUCCGGUUGGGUUCGUCAUGGUUGUCGUUUCGAUGCCCCACAGUGGGCGCCAAAUGUUGUAGAACUAAAAACGGGGGUGAGCGAUUCGUGCUUUGGACUAGUCUCGAUGCGAGAUGCCUACGUAUCCUCUGCUAGGAGAAGAAUCAAGUCCAAAACGUAGUUCUAGUUAUGAGGGGUAGAGCCCUUUAUAUAGGCGCUUCGGAGUCAGAAGUCGGAUGGAAGUAAGAUUCCGUGUAUCAGACUUCUUAUCGAAGUAUGCCUCGAGGCAAGAGAUAGGAUAGAACUCUUAUCCUUUCGUUGCUGAUAUUUAUCCGAACUCCGGGAUGUUUAUCUGUUAGAAUCAGAUGUAUUAUAGAAUUUGGACUUGUAACUGGACCUCUACUGUUAGAAUCAGAUGUAUUAUAGAAUUUGGACUUGUAACUGGUCCUCUGACUGGGCCUCUAUUAAUUAAUUACGAAAUUAAUUAAUAUUUAAGAGCCUCAGGCCCUAUUUAACUGGGCUUCAGUGUUCUUGGGCUUUUAAUAUCUAAUAAUAAUUAAAUAUUACUUCUGACCCAUAUCAAUAUUUGAUACUCAUAAUUCUUUCUUUAGGAUACAAACUGAAAUAUCUCAGCCAUCGAAUAAAUUCUGAGGUAUAAAAAUGAUUAGAAAUGCGGGUUUUGGUAGAUUUCAAUCUGACUUCUAAUGAAGCUCCUCCAAUUUGGUUGAUGAUAGAAUGCUUUUAAUUUGUACUAUGAAACAGGAACAAAUAACACCUAAACAAAACUUCACACAGGAACAAAUAACACCUAAACAAGAUGUACUCCACUUAUUAUCGAGGUCAUUAAAACUUAUGUAACCAUGUAAAAUGCACAAAUGUAUGAUACUUGAUUUCCGCAACUACUAUAAAAUCUAAUGCCCCUUUCUCCAGAUAAGUAUGCCUUUUAAACUGAAGUCAUGUACAGCACAUCAAAAAAACUGAAUGCAUAUAAACAGAUGAAUAAAAUGACAAGCAACUUCAGUCUUCAUUCCUUUUUACUUGACGGUCAUAUACCAACUUGAUCAGCAGAACAAUGACGAAAAUAAAGAAGAAGGAACCUAUGAGGCAAACAGUUAUUGCAAUGGCUAGAGAGUGAGAUAACACCAAAUAUGUUCCUGUAAUGAAGGUCAACAUCAUCGCCAUAAUGGAAACAAUAUUGAGCCCAACUGAUGCAGCAUUGAGCUUCGACACUUGGUGUGGAUCUUCAUACAUAGAUUCGAGAAAAUAUAGAAACAAAGAGCAUGUUGAUAGUAGCAAAGCUAACGCGUCUGAUACCAUGAAUGCGUUGAAAGCUGUCUUCCGUGUCAGAACCACCAAUCCUUCAUCAACUUCCCCACUUUGAUGGAGACCACCCGGCAUCGUAAAUCCUACCGUGAAAGUCACGGUAGUGAUAAGCGCGGUAACUAUUAUCUGUGUGUUGGUCCUCUUUUUAUAUCUUUCAAGAUCUUUCUUCAUGCGUCCAUGCUUUGCAUCCAUCAAUAAUUUCUUUUCUUCAUUGAAUAUCACAUCUUUUGUCUCCCGUCUACUUGGGCGCACUGAACUCUCAUCAAUAUCCGUUUUCUUCUCCAUAUUUUUUACCCAAAACUUCCAAGACUUAGUAGUCUGGACAUCAUCAAGCGCAAUUUUAAUUUGUACCUAGAAAUAAAGGACCGUCAAUUACUAAUAUUGUAAAUGAUUUUGAAAGGUCCUUUGUGUAUGUCUUUGUUAAGACUUUACUCAUUUAUAGUAAGCAAGGUUAUUCUCACAAUCGACCCUGGUAUUAAGCAUAUAUAAUUUUUCUAUAAGUUUAAUUAGCAUUAUAUUUAUAUUGUUAGUUGACAUAUUCGUUAAGAUGAGAUAUAAAAAACAAAGUUUUCAUAUUUUAGUAAAAACAAACUCGGAAUUUUUAAUUAUGUACCUGAUCAGCAAUGAUUUCUUCUUGAAAAUACAGCAUGUCUCGUGGAGUCCACUUUUUCUUGUUUUUUGCCAUUGUAUCAAGUCCUUUAUGUUUUAUGAGUUCUGGUAUGAAACAGCCAUUGGAGAUGAGCAGAUGAAGAGGUGUAUCGCCAUUGGCAUCUUGCUGUUCCAAAAUCUUGUCCUUGUACUUUUCUGGACAAUACUUUAAAAUACCCUGUAUCAUCUCUUUUUUAUUGUUAGUUGCUGCCAAGUGUAGUAUAUUCUGACCAUUUUUAUUAACAGCUGUGUAGGCAGAAGAUGAAGCUGGCCAUGAUUGCAUGAGUCUUAUCACCGUCGAAGUGUAUUUGCAUUCAGCUGCUAGAUGAAAUGGUGUUGAUACCAUAUCUCCAUACACAAAUUGAUAUUUAACAUCCUUCAGCGCUUUUAUGAUGACAUCAAGUAUUGAAACAAAUUCUUGAUACGCAGCAUAAUGAAGUGGUGUCCACCCUUGAUCAUCGGCAAAAGUUACAAGAUGUUUGGCUUCUCCCAAGAUGCGUAUCACAGAAUCUGAGAACAAAAUAAAAGUAAGGUACAGAAUUUUUUACUGGUCAAAACUUAAAUUUAGUUUGUAUCAAUAUAUUUGUAUGUUAAUGGUAGUAAAUACUAAAGAGGACCAACUUUUUUUAGUAAGCAAGCUUAUAAGCUUUCAAAAGUAUACAUUCUAAUAAAUUUUGGGGUGAGACAUCAAUGUAAUGUAGAAAGAGUGUUGUAAGAUUAAUGGAUAUUAUUAUUUGUUCAUACUUGCUACAUUAACCCACAAGAAUCAACGAGAUCACAUUUAUAUAAUAAGUAUUGAUACGUACCUUCAUCACGCCUGUUAAUAGCAAUAAUCAGGGCAACCACACCUUUAUGACCGGUGGUAAUUCCAGCUUCAUAAGUUUCAGAUAGCAAUCUGACGAUGUCUGUGUACUCCUUAUCGAUGGCUUUAUAGAUUAAACGCAUGAGACUAUUUUUACUUCCACGACCAUGUUGAUAGGCAGGAUUUUCUCGUAAGAUCAGUUCAACAGUAUCCACAUAAUUUCUGUCUACUGCUAAUUCCAAAACAGUGUGUCCGGACAUGUCAGUUUUAUUAAAUAAUGCUUCAAAACUGACAUUUGGUCUGUCCUCUGCAUUACUCCAGCGUUUGGCUGCAUCGAUCAUCAUCCCAAUGACAUCUCUGUCUUCUUCCUUCGCUGCAAGUCAAGUGGAAAUGUCAACUAUACAGAUACUACCUUCAGUGUGUAUACACUUUGCUAGUUUUUUCUAGUGUAUCUCUUCCUAGAGCUAAUAAGAUAUAUAAGUAUUGCAAAAAACGGGUCUCGAAGGCAUUGUGAAAUUGUUGUACAUACAUACCUCGGUGGAUAUUAAGAAUAGCAGCAUGCAAAGCUGUCGUACUACCAGCAGGGCCAUCUAAACACAGAGCUGUGCAAGUAGUACAGAUCACUUUUAUUAUAUCAUAGGACCCUUUAUCCACAGCUAUAUAGAUUGGCAUUUUACCUUCAUCAUUUGGAAAAUGUCUACCACUUGGAUCCGCCUCUACUAAGAGCUUAACAAUAGCCACAUUACCCUUAUUGACUGCUACGUGUAAGGCAGUGUUCCGCUUUUGAGCAGUCACUUGCCUAACAAAAGCAUUUAAGAAACCAACUGGAUCCUCAUUAGCUGAAGAAGAGGACAAAUGUCUGGCUGCAUUGACGAGGACCUCAACCACUUCGGUGUGUCCAUGAUGUGCUGCAAGGUGAAGCGAAGUCUGCUUUAAUCUAUCCAGCUUAACCAAAAGGUUUUUGUUUGCAAACUCUCUCACAAUAUAUCGUACACGUUCUGUAUCUCCCUUUUUUGCUUCAACAUGAAGGAUUGUUUCUCCCUCUUCAUUCAGUAUAUCUGCUUCCAUCUCCAAUGCAGCUCUGGCAUUAGCAUCUCCAGCAAUGGCAUCAGGAAACCAAUGGGCAACGGCAUGAGUAUUUUUGUACCUUUCUAGAUCUUCUUUCAUCCGUGCAUGCUUUUCACGCAUCAUCAAUUUUGUUUGUUUAUUGAAAAUCCUAUCUUUGGUCUCUCGUUUACUUGGGAGCACGGAACUUACCAAAAUAUCCUCUUUCUGAUUAAUCUGGAUUUCAUCUAGUGCAACUUUGAUUUGUACCUAUAUAAGGACGGCCAAUGAUCAACAUUUAUUUUGAUUUGGGAACAUACACUAUUAUCUUAUUUGUGAGUGAAUAUUAUUAUCUUGUUUUUAGAACACUAUUAAUGACUUCAGUUCUGAUAUACUCUUAUGGUUUGAAAUACUAGAAAACGAGUCUUAACUGAUAGACUGGGGUAGAAAGGAAAAUUAGAUUUUAGGUACCUGCUCAUCAAUAAUUUGGUCUUCAAAAUACAACAUGUCCGGAGGAGUCCAUUUCUCUUUGUUUUUCUUCACUAUAUCCAGCCCUUCAUAUUUCAUGAGUUCGGGGACAAAACAACCACGGCGGAUAAGAAUAUGAAGAGGUGUAUUGCCACUGUUAUCCUGCUUAUUCACAAGCUCGUCCUUGUGCUUUUCUGGACAAUAAUUUAGUAUACCUUCUAUCAUCUCUUUUUUACUUUGUAAUGCGGCCAAGUGGAGUAUAUUCUGUCCAUUUUUAUCAACAGCAAUAUAUGCUGAAGAUGAAGAUGGCCAUAACUGCAUAAGAAGUAUUACUGUAGAAGUAUAUCCUUUCUCCGCUGCCACAUGAAACGGUGUUAAUAUCAUAUCUUCAUACAGAAAUUGAUUCUCAACUUCUUUUUGUGCUUUUAUCAAGGGGUAAAUUAUUGCAUCAAAUUCGUGAUAUGCUGCAUGGUGAAGUGCUGUCCAACCCAGAUUGUCAACAAAGGUUACAAGCUCAUCGGCACAAUCAUCCAACAGCCUGAAGACGGAUUCUGAAAAACAAAACACAUGAGACUGUUUAUAUUAAACAGAUCAAGUUUUAGUGAUUUUAUAUUGUCACAAUAGUCAAAUUCUUAAUCCAGAAACAAACCUUUAUAAGUUUAGGAAUUGACAUACUGAUCAUAGAAAGCAUGGUCAAUUACGCAGAAAUAUGAAUUUUCAAAAUUAAUGGACUAUUUGAUGAAUCUGGUGAGUGGAUGACCAAAAGGGUUGACCUUGAAAGGCUAAUCUCUGCAUAUUUAAAAGAUUUAUUUGAAACGAGUUCCAUUUCUGGCUUUUAAGGUGCUAUGAAAGGAAUUAGGUGGGUAGUUUAAAAGAAUGUCGAGCUGGUAUGCAGGCUUUAUUUUUUCAUAAAUAUUUGAAUGCAGUUUGCCUAAGAUUGUGGCUCUUGUUUAAAAAUGGUGGAGAGGUUCUACUGAUUCAUCAUAUCUGAAUAAAACAUGGGUUGAUUGAUUCUAAAGUGCAAGGAGCCGAAGGCUACAGGGGAAUUCAGGCCUAAAUAUAAAAUUAUGCCUAAGACGCUAGUGAACAAGAUGAAGCCUUUCUUAAGAGAUAUGAUUCCUUAAAUCAGAGCACUUUAGUACCAAAGAGAUUGAUUACACCCCAAAUACGCUAUGGUGACUUUAAAAGUGUUUUAUGCCUCGGAGAAUGGGGGUGGAGGUUAAGAGCGAGUCCAACAAUGUCCUACUUGUAACCUUAAGUUUAAUAUAAAAAAAUAUGUCCCAAUAAUUUAGGAUAUAUUUAAGUACAAUGUGAUUUAUUCUCAAUAUAUAUUAAAUAUUUUAUUAUUAAAAGUUUACAUUCAUCAUUGAAUGACAAUAUAAAGUAGAGAGAGAAAGGGAGUAUGUGUAAUAAUUUAUUAUAAAAUAUAAGACAGGAAAAGGAGAGAAAUGUCUUAAAAAUAAGGCGGGAAGAGAUUGUGCUGGUGAUAUAAGACAUGACUAAGACAUUGUUGGAUCAACUUUUAUUAUCAAAUGUCUUAAAUUCUAGUUUAGGAUAUCAUAUAAGCCAUCUCUUAAAGAUGGAACAAUAGCCUUAAUUCUAGACAUAAGUAAGCUCACAAUAGGGUCGAAUGGAUUUUAUUAAAAAGAGUGAUGCUAAAAAUGGGUUUUUCUGAUAAAUGGGUUCACCACAUUAUGAGCUGUUUGACAAGUGUUUCUUUGGCAUUCAAGAUAAAUGGGUUUUUCAUGAACAAGACAGAAGUCGCCUUUAGCAAAUAUGAUAAAUGGUUUAUUUCUCUGGAGCGCUGUUCAUAGGAACCUGGGAGAGGCUGUUAUGUAGACAUUGUUAUUGAAAAAUUAUAUUUAAUUGGCAGUACUGAAUAAGAAUCCUUCGUGCAUACCCUGUUUGAGUGUGAUGGAGCAAAGGUUUUUUGGGAGCAUAGUGAGUUUAAAGUGACCAUCCGCUUAUGUGGGAGCAUGGUGAGUUUAAAAAGACCAUCAGGGAUGCACCAUUUGGCUGGUUCACCAAUAAGGCUAGUGAACAAGAGUUUUAUUCCAUUGAUUCUUUAACCCAAUAAGAGUUUUGUUACGACAGGACCAAUAAGGCUUGGUCCUGUUGGAAUAAAAUUAUGUAUGAACAAACUUCUGUUAACCCUGUAAUGGUAGCUGCAGGGCAUACAAACUUGUAUAUGAGUAUUGUGGGUGUGCAAAAAGGGUAUUUUUGCUCCAAUCAAUGUGUGGGGAGUAAAGAGUUCAUCAAGUUGGAUGCUAGCACCUGCUGGAUUGGCAAGAAUUAACUGUGAUGCUAAUGUUCAGGAUGGGUGUCAAGUUGGUCGGGUGUAGUAAUUAGAGAGAUGCCACAGGAAAGCUGAUGAAAAAGGAAGUAGAGGGAAUGGAAGUGUAGCAGAAGCAAAGCCUGGCUUCUUAGGCCUCAGAAAAAAACUGAUGGAUUAAUGUUAGAACUUUGAAUUACAAAACUUGAUUCAGAACUAAUAAAUAUUAGAAAAACUGAAUUUCGUCAAUAAAAAUAAAUAAUAGAAUAAUAAAAUGAAAUCAUCUUAUAAGCAUAAAUUGGACCAAGAACAAUGUUAUAAUGUAAUAGACUAUAUACCUCUUUUGCGGCCUUUAAUAGCAGAAAUCAAAGCCGCCAUAUCGUCGUAUGAAUAAGUAAUAUCAGCUCCUCUUUCGUAGCUGCUCGUGAGUAACUUGACAAUAUCUGUGUACUCUUUGUCCAUGGCUCGGUAAAUUAGAGGCAUUAGAUCAAUAAAAUCGGGAGCAUUCCAAGAUUGAUAUAUUGGGUUUUCUGCUAAUAUUAGCUCAACUAUAUUAGCAUAAUUCCGGUCCACCGCCAGUUCUAAACAAGUGCAUCUAUUCUCGUCAGUUUUUCUAAAUAAUUCGACUGAAUGUUCAUACGUGUCCUCAUCCCAUUCAUCUGAGUCCGAAUCCUCCCCAGAACCCAUCCAUUUCAUUGCUUUGAUGAUCACUCUAAUCACAUCUAUGUCUUCUUUCUUGUCUGCAAAGGAAGUAAAAGUAUGAUGAUCAAAUAUUCAUUAUAAUAUCUUUAAGAUCUAAAUAUUGAAUUUGGCAAUUAAUAAAUAGAAAUAAUCUGGAGAGAUUCAGGAUUGCAUUGAUCCAACUCUGUUCAUAUUGAUACGAGACUUUAAUUGCGUUGUUAAAUGAUUCAUGAUCUUGAAAUGUCUUUAGGCACACAAUCACCUUUUGUACACAUAAAUAAUGUUAUUGUUUCAGUUCUGGAAAUUGUUAGAGACUAAUACUAUCUGCAAAUGUGUUUAACAUCUUUGUGAACAAGGAAUGCAAACAACUUAUUAUGAGGCAGAAAGUGUUAGCAAGAACUGAAAUAAAUUUAGCAACAGGGCAUAUUGAAUUGUGACAUAUGUAUAAACUACAUACCUUGAUCGAGAUUCUUUAUAGCAGCAUGCAGAGCAGUACCACAGGGACCAUCCAAAUUAGAUGGAGAAGUGCAAGUUGUACAGAUCAUCUUCACAAUAUCAGAGUAACCUUUUUCCGCGGCUAUGUACAUUGGCGUUUCACCUUUAUUGUUUGGAAGAUGUGGAUCACUUGGGUCGGCCUCUAAUAAUAUCUUAGUAGUAGCCAAGUUACCUUGCAUCACCGCUAUGUGUAAGGCAGUGUUCAUAUCUUUAUCACCUUGCCUGAGGAAAGCUUGAAAAGAACUUACUGGACUUUGAGAAUCAUCAUCAUCAGAAGAAGAUAAAAGUCUAGCUGCACCAAUGAGGAUCUCAACCACUUCAUUAUCGUGGUCGGGAUCUUUGAUAGCAGCGUGCAAAGCAGUUUUAACACCAGGACCUUUUAAAGAGGGAGCUGUGCAACUUGUACAGAUUAAUUUUACUAUUUCCUUGUACCCUUUUUUCACAGCUAUGUAAAUUGGAGUUUUACCAUCAUUGUUUUGAAUAUGUGUAUCACUUGGAUCAGCCUCUACUAAUAGCUUAACAAUUGCUAUAUGAUUAUUUAUGACGGCUAUAUGCAAGGCAGUGUCCAUAUCUUUGUCACCAAGCCUAAGGAAAGCUUGAAAAGAAGUUACUGGAUUAUCAUCAUCUGAAGGAGGCAAAUUUCUAGCUGCAUCAAUGAGGACCUCAGCGACUUCAGUGUGUCCAAAAUAUGCAGCCCAAGUAAGUGCAGUCUCUUUUUGAUUAUCCAGUUUGACCAAAAGAUUUUUGUGUGCAAACUCCCUCAAAAUGAAUCGCACAUUUUCUAAAUUUCCUUUCUUUGAUUCAACAUGAAGGAUAGUUUCUUCAUCUUUGUUCAGUCUAUCAGCUUCCGUCUCCAAUUUAGCUAUGGCAUCAGCAUCUCCCGCAAUGGCAGCCGCAUACAAAACAGCUUUAAUAUCAUAAAUUUCAUAUAGUGCUCCACCAGGGUUCUUACCUAUAUUUGUGUAUAUAAAGAAGUGUCAAAUGGAGAAUCUAACACAUUUAUGUUGUGUUUGGUUGGUGUCACAACUGUAAACUAAAGCUAAUUAUGAAAGAAAGAAGACUCCAUUAAAGCUCUGUAAAAUGUGUUUGUACAUAGCUUUCUACUUUGUUUUUAUUCUACUUGAAUGAAAUGUAACACACAGAUAUCUAAUAUAUACACACCAACUCUGUAACUAACUUCUAAAACUAACUGCCACUACUUUGUUGAGCUGUCAUUUCGGGACCACAGCUGUCACUCUGUUUUUCCCGCUUCUUCUCUUGAUUCUUCUCACUACUAAUAUACUGAACAUCCCCCCUCAAGUUAGGUGUAUGAAACAGGUUGAACACACCUAACUUGGAGAGUAAAUAACGCAGUUGGUAUGAAGGUAAGGCCUUGGUGAAUAAGUCUGCUGGUUGCUCUGUGGACGGAAGAUGAUGUGUAACCACAAUUCCCUGUUUAAUCUUCUGACGAAUAAGAUGGCAAUCAAUUUCAAUGUGUUUUGUACGUUCAUGAAACACUGAAUUUGAGGCAAUGUGAAGAGCAGACUGGUUGUCACAGUAUAGAGAGACAGGAGUGAGAUUAGGUACAUACAACUCUUUGCAUAGUGAUAACAACCAUGUAACUUCACAGCAUGAAUCUGCCAUUGCUCUGUACUCAGCCUCUGCUGAGGAGCGUGAAACAGUAUGCUGGCGUUUGCAUUUCCAGGAGACUAAUGAAGACCCCAAUGUGACACAGAAGCCAGUGAUAGACUGCCGAGUCUGUUUGCAGCUUCCCCAAUCAGCAUCCGUAAACACUCGCAGAUUGAAUGAGGAGUUGGAUGACAACAGGAUACCCUGGCCACAUGUUUGUUUUAGAUAUUUAACCAACUUAAGAGCAGCCAACCAGUGAAUUUCUUGUGGUUUAUGCAUGAACUGAGCCAGUAUGUGUACAGAAUAGGAUAAGUCUGGGCGAGUAAUAGUCAGAUAAAUCAAACGCCCAAUCAACCUCCUAUAAGCAGAGAUAUCAACAAGCAAGGGAGAGUUGGACUCUGCUGUCAGAUUGUGGUUCUGAUCUAAAGGUACUAAAGAUGUCUUGGCCUCCUCAUAACCAACAUCCUUGAUGAUAUCCAUAGUGUACUUACGUUGAUUCAAAUAGAUUCCAGCAGCUGAACGAGCAAUUUCAAUCCCCAGAAAGUAUUUCAAGGGGCCCAAAUCCUUGAUUUUGAAUUUGGUAGCAAGAAAUUGAGUGACCUGAGUCAUUAAGUCAGGUGCAUUACCUGUUAAUACCAUAUCGUCCACAUACACUAGUAACACAACAAGCUUAUUGUCUUUCUUGAAAACGAAUAAACUUGAGUCACUGAAGGUUUGUGUGAAUCCAAAUUCAAGCAAAGCAUCAGAAAGUAUAGUAAACCAUUCUCGAGGAGCCUGACGCAGCCCAUAUAUUGACUUAAUAAGUUUGCACACUAACUUCUGAUUUGGAAAUUGCUGUAAGACCUCUAGUGGAAUGGGAUACCCUUGAGGAAUUUCCAUAAACACUUCUUCAUGCAAGAAGCCGUGUAAAAAGGCAUUGGUAACAUCAAGCUGUGUGAUGGACCAAUUAUUCAUUGCUGCCAGUGCAAGAACAACACGAAAGGUUGCCAUUUUGGCUACUGGUGCAAACGUAUCAAAGUAGUCCAAACCUUCUGUUUGUGUAAAUCCCUUGGCUACAAGACGUGCCUUGUACCUGUCUAUUUGACCAUCAGGCAAAUACUUCACUUUAAACAGCCAUCGACAGCCAACUGCCUUUUUGUUAGGUGGGAGAGGUACAAUUUGCCAGGUCUGGUUAGCUUCCAUAGCAGCUAACUCAGUAUUCAUUGCAGUGCACCACUCACUUGAUUUACUGGCUUGAUUGAAUGUCUGAGGCUCUUGAAUUUUUGAAAUAUUAGCCAAAAAAUGCUGAUAUGACUUGUCAAAUGCAGAAUAUGAGACACAAUUAGUCAAGUUUUGAGUUACAGUAUUCUGCAGUUGUGGUGGCAGAUUGGUGUAAUCUUUAAACUUGACAGGAGCUUGCCUUUGUCUUUGAGGUCUUACUACAUGAGUAGUAGCUUCACUGAUAGGUAUUGUAGACUCAGAAUUAUCUGUAUUAACAGAUACUGUAGGUGAAGAUUGCAUAUUCUGCUCACUAGUAUCAGUAUUGAUACUGCUGGGAGUUGGAUAGCAUGUGAUGGGAUCUGACUCCCAUUCAACAGUAGAGUUGUUCACAAACAGUGGAGUGGUUUUCAAGGCAAUGUCAGAAGUAAUUUGUUGAAACGGAAACUGACUUUCAUCAAAAUACACAUCUCUGGACACAAAGACUUGUCUGGUCUGCAGAUUUAGAACUUUAUAUCCCUUUUUAGCAUAGGGAUACCGCAAGAAAACUCCUUUAAUUCCUCUUGCUGCAAAUUUGUCACUUGGUUGAGGAACUGUAGUUGCAUAACACAGGCAGCCAAAUAUUCUAAGGCGAGAAUAAUCUGGCUUAGAAUGAAACAGCACCUCAUAUGGUGACUUGCCUUGAAGUACAGGUGUGGGUGUUCGAUUAAUAAGAUAGCAAGCAGUUAACACACAGUCUCCCCAUAAAGUAAGAGGAACAUUGGAUUGAAACCGUAAGGCUCGUGCAACAUUUAGAAGAUGUCUGUGUCUUCUCUCCACAAUUCCAUUCUGUUGUGGAGAGUAAGGACACGUGGUUUGAUGCACCACACCAUUUUGUGCAAACAAGUUAGUCACAGUUUGAUUAACAAACUCAGUACCAUUAUCUGAACGCACAACUUUAACAGAUGUCUUGAACUGAUUUAUAACAUAACUGAGAAAAUCAGAUAUAAUACGACUAACACCAAUUUUAUCUGGUAGCAGAAAAACCCAUGCAGCACGAGACAUGUCAUCAACAAUUGUUAAAAAAUAAGAACAACUGCCAUGAGUCUUAAUUCGAUAUGGUCCCCAUAAGUCCAUAUGGACAAGAUCAAACACAUUUGAACUACAAGACUCACUAUUAGCAAAAGGAUUUCUAACUUGUUUUGACAGAUGACAAAUAUCACAAGUGUGAUUGACAGAAGAUUUACACUGAAAAGGAAACAAUUUCAGAACAGACAUAGGCACAUGGCCAGUUCUUGCAUGCCAGAGAUUAGUAUCUGCAGAAUGAGAGGCAACAGCUGAACAAGAGGAUGUAGAAGAUAGUUUGCAAGCAUUUAGAAUGUAGAGACCAUGGACAGCUUUACCAAUCUCUAGGUCCCUCAUCAAGGUAGGGGCCUGAAGAAAGCAACAAUCAUUCUUAAACACAAUAGAAGACACUGAAUCAGUCACAAAUUUGGAGACUGAAAACAAGUUAUAAUGAAACUGAGGCACACACAGUACAUUGUGAAGUGUAAUAUGAGAGUUAAUAGAGAUAGAUCCCAUAUGAGUGACAGGUGCAGUGUGACCAUUAGGAAGGUAUAAUAGAGACUGACAUGUCACAAUAUCAGACAAUAGAUGUAGAUGAGGUGUUACAUGAUCAGUGGCACCUGUGUCAACAAUCCACUCAAAAUCCUUGUAGGAAUUAUUGUGCACAUGACUAGCAAAAUGCAGAAAUGUACCUGCAAACUGAGUACUAUUGACAGUAGCAUAUGGAUUUGUCUCAGCAGCUGGUUGAACAGAGGUAUGAUUUAGUAGCUGUAGAAGUUGCUUGUACUGACUUUCAGAAAAUUGAAAGUUGCAAGUUGAUGCAUCAGACUGAGAUAUAGUAGAUUUUGUCUGAGAAUUAUCAGCACUCUGAGAGACUUGAGCAGCUACAGCAUUCCUGUUGGACAGAUGUUUUGGCUUAGGCUUGGGUUUACCAUACAUUUUGUGCCACUCAGGAUAACCAUGCAGACAAAAGCAUUUAUCCUUGGCAUGUCCUUGCAUGUGGCAGUAGUCACAGUAGAUAAGCACAUCAGACUGAGCCUUCUUGACUCCUUUCACAAAUGUAGUCUUGGACUUGACUGCUAAGGCUACACUGUCAGCAGAUGGAUGAGAACUACUAGCAAUCCCUCUCUGAUUUUCCUCUUGCAACAGUAUGGAAUAGCAUUUGCUAAGAGAAGGUAAUGGAUUCAUUAAAAGAAUCUGUCCACGAAUAGAAGUGAACGUGUCAUUUAGUCCCAUCAAGAACUGCUCUAACUGUAAAGACUGUUCAUGAGCAUCCAGUUGAGCAUUGAUUGUACAGGUACACUUGCCACAGCAUCUAGGAGAAGUAGUCAUAGAAGACAAUUCUUCUUGCAAUGUCCUGUAUUUAGUAAAGUAGGCAGAAAUAGACAAACUAUCCUGAGAGAGAUGAGACAGUUCUUUCCUGAGGGCAAACAAUUUAGGCACAUUAGUCUGAGCAUAACGAAUACGUAAUUCAUCCCAAAUUGCCUUUGCAGAUUUCAUAUACUGAAUGCUAUUGCGAAUAGAUUCAGUCACAGAAUUAAGGAGCCAGGAUGUCACCAUAUUGUUACACCUGUUCCAAUGUCCAUACAAAUUGGAUGUAGAUGGAGGUGAAGUAUAAGUUCCAUCCACAAAACCGAUCUUAAACUUGGAAGAAAGAGCAAUAUCCAUGGCACGUUGCCACUGACUAUAAUUGUGUUCAUCAAGAAGCACAGUAGUAAGUAUCAAGCCUGGAUUAUCCGAAGGAUGAAUGUAGUAUGGAUGAUUAACAUCAAUUGCAGUUAUAGAACCUAUCGUAGCAGAUGAAUAGGACGCAACUGUAGACAUGACUAAAAACACAGAAUCACAGCAGAUUCAAGCAAGAUUUGGAGAGAAUCGUGUUGAUUAACACAAAUCACAGCACAAACAAGCAGUAAAUCACAACAACAAGUACCAGAAGAGCAAUUAAACCACGAAUUACACCUCUGAUCAAAGAACGAAAAACCAGAUCUGAAACAGCAGAAAAACCUAAAAAAAACACCAGAUGUGAGAUCAGAAAGAACGGCUUAUCUGAAGUCACAAAGGAGAUGCGGAAUGAUUAGACGCGAUCGAGACGCUCUGAUACCAUGUCACAACUGUAAACUAAAGCUAAUUAUGAAAGAAAGAAGACUCCAUUAAAGCUCUGUAAAAUGUGUUUGUACAUAGCUUUCUACUUUGUUUUUAUUCUACUUGAAUGAAAUGUAACACACAGAUAUCUAAUAUAUACACACCAACUCUGUAACUAACUUCUAAAACUAACUGCCACUACUUUGUUGAGCUGUCAUUUCGGGACCACAGCUGUCACUCUGUUUUUCCCGCUUCUUCUCUUGAUUCUUCUCACUACUAAUAUACUGAACAGUUGGGGUGAAUGAUUCCGGAAGGAUUGGAAUGAAAAAUGAACUAUGUUAUGGACAAUUGUUAAGAAAUUUCAUUCCUCCCUCCAUUCCAUUCCUUACAUCAUAUGUUAGAGAUCACAUCUUCAAUUUGAGAUGGAAUGCUUCAUUCUCUCCUACCCCCAAUUUCUUCUCAAAUCUCAUCAUAACAAUAUUACAUUCACUUAAUUUUUUUUAAAACUUCCCUCCUAUCACUAUUAGCUUCAAGUAAUUUUACUCAUUCUAUUCCAUUCCAUUCUUCGUAUCAACUACAUACUAGGGGUCGGACUAAAUACUCUGAGGAAUCAUCAUGACAUUGAAUAGUGAAGAAGAUUAUAACAGAAAAGAAACUGGAUUUAUAUAGCUUAAAAACACAAAAAGGGGCAUACCUUGAUCGAGAUUCUUUAUACGCAGAGCCGUAUUACCAUCAGGUCCGUCCAAAGAUUGAGCUGGGCAUGUUGUAGAGAUUAUCUCUACUAUAUCGUUGUACCCCUUUUCCACAGCUAUGUACAAUGGUGUUUUACCUUUAUGGUUUUGAACAUGUGUAUCACCUGGAUCGGCCUCUAGUAAUAGCUUAACAAUUGCAAUAUGAUUAUUGAUGACUGCUAUAUGUAAGGCAGUAUCCAUAUCUUUGUCACCGAGCCUAAGGAAAGCUUGAAAAGAAGUUACUGGAUUAUCAUUAGCUGAAGGAGGCAAAUAUCUAGCUGCAUCAAUUAGGGUCUCAGCCACUUCAGUGUGUACUUUAGACAAAGCCAAGUGAAGUGCAGUCUGUUUAAAUUUGUUAAGCUUGACCAGAAGGUUUUUUUCUGCAAACUCCCUCAAUAUAAACCGCACGUGUUCUGUAUUUCCGUUUUCGGACUCUGUGUGAAGGAUAGUUUCUUCGUAUCCGUUCAGUUUAUCAGCAUGCAUUUCCAACGCAGCUAUAGCAUCAGCAUCUCCAGCAAUGGCAGCGGCAUACAGAGCAUCUUUAUCCAUAAUCUUGUAGAGGCUUCCACCAGGGCUCUUAGCUAUAAAAAUAAAAAAGUGUCAAAUUAAACAGCGAAGAAGAUUUUAACAAAUGCAAAAUAGGUUUUAGCUUACAUAACAAAAAGAAGUAUAUAUCCCUAUAGAUAGUAUAUUAUUAUCUUUACAGAAAAGAGUGUUUAAAGAGCAUACCUUGAUCCAGAUUUUGAAUACGCACAACAGUACUACCAUGAGGUCCAAGCAAAGAUGGAGCAGUGCAAGUUGUAGAGAUGAUCUCUGCUAUAUCAUUGAGCCCUUCUUCCACAGCUAUGUACAUUGGUGUUUUAUCAUCAUCGUUUUGAAUAUGUGUAUCAGUCGGGUCGGCCUCUACUAGUAGCUUAACAAUAUCCAGGUGACCAUACUUGACUGCUGCGUGUAAGGCGGUGUCCAUGUCUUUAUCACCUUGCCUGAGAAAAGCUUGAAAAGAAGUCACUGAAUUAUCAUCACCAUCUGAAGGAGGAGGCGGCAAAUGGCGAGCUGCAUCAAUGAGGAUCUCAGCCACUUGUUUGUGUCCUCCUCGAUAUAUAGCUAAGUGUAGUGCUGAAUGCUUAUAUCUAGUAAGCUUAGUCAAAAGAUUUUUGUGUGGAAAUUCCCUCAAAAUGAAUCUCACACGUUCUGUAUUUCCCUUCUGGGAUUGCAGGUGAAGGAUAGUUUCUUCAUCUUGGAACAGUGUAUCAGCUUCCAUCUCCAAUUGAGCAAUGGCAGCAGCAUCUGCGGCCAUGGCAGCAUCGAAGAGAGUAUCCAGAUCCAUAACUAUAUCUUUACUCUACCACGGCUCCUGCCUGCUGGACUUUCUCGGAUUAUGAAAAUGCUAGUUAUGUAAUUGGAAGCUUGGUGUUGGCUUUAUAUCAACAAGAUGUUGACCAACCAAAAUGCUAAGUCGUGCUCAUGUAAAUUGGUUGUUGGGUUUGUUAACGAAGAUGCAUCAUAAUUUUGCAUCUCCGGCAAUGGCAGCGUCAUACAAAGCAUUCGUAGCCAUAGUUCUAUAUCACUGAUUGAAUCAGUCGAUUAAUGGAAGAAAAACUACAGGGGUGCUAAGUUAUGCAGAAUUACUUAUGGAAGCUGCAGCUUGGGCUGUGCUCUAAAAUAAGAUAUUAACUAACAAAUACUAUUAGCAAUCCGUUUCAUACGGCAUUGUAUAAUGGAACCGUUUGGGCAAAAUUAAAAAAAGUGACUUCUUGCUUAAACUAGAGAAGUGGAGCAGAAGUAAGAAGUAAAUAAGUGAAUAAAGUGUUUGGAAAAGAAGCAGAAGCUGUGAGAGAGAAGCUAUGAUUCUCAGCUUCUUAAAAGUGCUUCUUUACACGGGUCAACGAAAGCCGAAGCCAGAAGCAGCUUCUACUUCUGGCAAACAAACAGGCCCAAUAUCUACAAUCCCUGCUGCUGCAUGUGGCCAGGUAUGUAGUAGACUUUUCAGAUGAUUGGGUUGGAGGUAAAUAAACAAGUCCCCCACAUGUGAUAAGAACGAUACGAGUCUACCAUUACAUAACACAGGCUUGUCACCGAAAGUUCUGUACGAGCCCCGAGCUAACUAAUAUAAUCAAUAUCAUCGAAAAAUAAUAUCUUGUUGGUUGCAAAUUUAGCCUAUAAUUAUAACUAAUCCCGUCAAAGAUAGCUAUAAUAUAUCACUAUUCUAAUAUGUUUUUAAUUUGCAUGUCAUCCCAAAAAUGUCAACUGUAUAAAAAUUUAAUAAUGAUACGAUUCCCUAAUUAUUUACUUUCUGCAAAAGUCUCCUUGACUGAGUAUGCAAUUAUUGUGUCUAAACAGCUGCGUGCUUACUGAAAGUUUCAGAUUAAUUAACUUAUAAUCAAGAUUGAUUAUUACUUUCGACCUGUAACUACCUUUUUUUGUUUAAAAAUGUCGUUGCAUUGUGCAUAGCUACAACCGAGUCAAAUAAUUCAUUAACUAGCUCGGGAUGAAAUAGAGAGAGAAUGAAAAAAAUGUACUCUAAUAACAUCAUGUUAGAUUAGAAAAAUAUAUUUGAUUUUCAUUCUUUCAAUUAUUUCAUUGUUGCUAUUUUAAUUAAAAUUUUAACAUAUUUCAGAAGAAUUUUUAAGUAGUAUGAUAGACUCGGCCUAACUUCUGUCAAAUAUGUAUUACGACAUUAAUUAAGUUAAAGUAUAUAGCUAACUGGGUUGUUUGUGCUUGCAUAUAUGCCAAAAUAUGUAUAUAUUGCAAACCUAAUUUUACAAACUAAAAAUUAAACUCAACUGAAGGUAAGAUAUGUGGCAUUUUUUUGAUAGUAUGAUGAUAUAUGUGCUAGCAUUUGCAUUAGUACCCCUGCUUUGAGCUUCUACAUUGGCACCGCCACUGCUUCUUUUAAUCGGAUCAAUCACGUCAAUUUGUAGCACCGCCACUGCUCCUGAGUUUUUUCGUGCUUAGGGUUUUAGAGAAUCGAGCAGGAAGGGUAAGAUGGGUUUAUAGUAUAAUAACCCCACGUUUUGGUAUUAUUUGCUAACGCGGUAAGACAGAUUUACCGGAAGUUAGCAAGAACACCCAUAAUGCUUAAAAAUUAUAUUCACAGUGCAUUAUAUGGCUACUUUUAUUUUGUGGACAUUAAAGUGCAAAAAAAUUAUUUUAUAAGCCAACAAACUGCAAUUUACUCUAAUAUUUAUCACAAAAAAAUUAAACUCAUUCAUAUCUAGCGACUAUUAUCUCAUAAUUUCUUUUUGGGAAUUUAUCAAAUAUACUACUUUUUAGGAUCUUAUUUGCAAAAAUACCAUCUUCCUAAAUUAAUUGCAUAUUUACUAAACUAAGUUUCUAAAUUGCAAAAAUACUACCCCCUCCCCCCUGCAACUAAAUGCAACCUCAAAUACAACUGAAUGCCUGAUUUCAAGUUCCACUUUUCAAAUGUCAUUUUCGACCUCAUCCUUGGAAUCCAUAUAUAUAUAUAUAUAUAUAUAUAUAUAUAUAUAUAUAUAUGGAUUUCAAGGAUGAGGUCGAAAAUGACAUUUGAAAAGUGGAACUUGAAAUCAGGCAUUCAGUUGCAUAUGAGGUUGCAUUUAGUUGCAGGGGAGGGGGUAGUAUUUUUGCAAUUUAGAAACUUAGUUUAGUAAAUAUGCAAUUAAUUUAAACGUUUAAAUAUCAAAGUUUUAUUUAAAAAAAUUAAAAAAAUAUAUUAUGAAACCAUUAUUUAAAGGGAGUUUUUUCAUAAAUAUAUAGGAAAAAGUAAAUUUUUGCAAAUUUACUUUUCUCAAGAAUAGCUAUUUGCAGUUUUACUACACUAAAUUUCUAAAUUGCAAAAAUACUACCCCCCUCCCUUCUGCAACUGAAUGCAACCACGUGCAACUGAAUGCCUGAUUUCAAGUUCCAGUUUUCGUAAUGUCAUUUUCGACCUCAUCCUUGGAAUCCACACAUAUAUAUGUAUGGAUUCCAAGGAUGAGGUCGAAAAUGACAUUUGAGAACUGGAACUUGAAAUCAGGAGUUGCAGUUGCAUGUGGUUGCAUUCAGUUGCAGAAGGGAGGGGUAGUAUUUUUGCAAUUUAGAAACUUAGUGUAGUAAAACUGCAAAUAGCUAUUCUUGAGAAAAGUAAAUUUGCAAAAAUUUACUUUUUCCUAUAUAUUUAUGAAAAAACCCCUUUUUCCUACACAAAUUUUUAUAUAAUUUUUCAUUUCAUUGUCUACUCGUUCCAUUCUAUCCGGGUGAACACAACCUAAAAAUUUGAAUUUGGACAAAAUUUGUUCAAUAAAACUUUAUUUAACAAUGUUUGAUUGCUUUAAAUUUUGUUCAAAUUCAUUAAUAUAUCUUAACACCAUCCAAAACCAUACAUGUUUGUUAUCCUUCGAGGCCCCAUUCAUGUAAAGAGACUUUUGGAGCUAGUUGACAAUUGACAUGCAAAACAACCGGUUUCAUACGUCUAUCUGUCAUCUACUCACCACAAUAAUUGAUGUAAUUAUACCUAAGAGAUAAUCAAUCAUACUUGAGCAAAUUCGAAAAAAGUAAAAACAUAAAUUUUAUUUAUCAUUCCAUCCUCUUUAUAAAAGUCUCCUUUCGAAAUAAAAUUGGAUUAGUAGAGAAAAAUUUAUAUAUAAUCUUUCAAAUAUAUCGGUGUAUUUAUUAUUAUGUUAUUAUUUUUAAGAUAAUAACUAGGAGAAUUCAGAAUUGUUUGAUUUCUUCCCAUCUGUGUCCACUCCAUCUCCAAUUCAGCAUCAGGGACAACGCAGUCAUCGAAAGUCUGCCAGUUGAACAAGCUACACCAACUGUUGUAAACUCUUAAAUUUAAGUGAAAAAUUUCACAAGAAACUUUUUUGGGAGGACAUGAUGCUCCUAAUCCAACAUUACUUAAACAGAGGCUUGAUGAGUUGAUGUAUAGUUGUAUACUAAACCCGUUUACUGCGGCAAUUUCUAUUCUGGAGUCCACUGCUACAUGUGGCCACUAUCAUUUCUCACAACCUCAUUAGUUCCUAUUUAAUUAACUUAAACCAACUCUCUUGAUGGAUUUAAAAAGAGUAAAUUUCAAAGAUGUGGCUACAUUUUGUUGGAAAUAUUAAACUAUUAGCGCAACAAUGAGGCAGUUAUAUAUCAGGAAUUAAAAAGAACAGGCAAGGCACCAAAUAACGAAACAAUACACGAAGGCAAAACAGAAAUAUAAUCAGUACCUUAAAUCGACAAGAAAAGACAGAAAUCACUUAGCUUGCGAAGCUUUAUCAAAUACUGAUCAAAAUCAGAAUAACAGCUGAGUCGCCUAGCCCUUGAAAAGCCUAGACUAUUCUUGACACGAUAAUUGCCCCACUUACGCUGUGUUGGGUUGCAGCAAUAUCGCCUCCAGGAUAAAACAGAUCAGAUCAACUUGUUCACGGACACGCAAUUGAUCAACAGUGACCUGACCUCAGUUCGCCCAGAAAACCUAUGCAAUCUGUUCUGUAUGUAUUUUUGCAGAGAGAAAAUAGAGAAGAGUAGCAGCUAGGGUUUUUUAUCUUUUUGUUAUCAGUAUCUCUCACAAAACGUUUUGAUUCUGUAUAUAAUACAAAAUAAAACGUAACUGAAGAUAUGGCAUUAAUUACAAUAAAUAUUCUGACUUCAAUUGUUUUAUUUUAAUUGAAUAUAUAUCAGUACAUUCACCACUCAGGGGCACGUACAUUCACCACUCAGGGGCACGUACAUUCAUAUUAAAAUAAUAUUAUAAGUCAGGAUUUAUUUAAUUAAAACAGUGGUAAAAUUCCUCGCCCAGGUCGCCUCGUGUACGCGAGACGCCGAGACAUUCGCCCUUCGACCCGACCCGAGUCGAGGCGUGGCGGGGAGGCGGCGGCGGCGCGCGCGUGUGUGCGCGCGCGAGGCGCUCACUACAACCUUGCACACCCACAUGCCUUGGUAGUUGAACACUACACUUGCACAUGUACUAUAUAAAGCCACCAACCUCACUUUCCAAUAUCAAUGUGGGACUAACCCACAUACCAUAUUUUACCACUUUCAAGCUACUAACUUCAACUCAAUUUAUUUAUGGAUUACACUAAGAAAAUGUCUUAGAUCCAAACAUGAAAGUUUAAGUCCUCAUUACAAGGAACAACACCUCCAACAAUUAGAUUAAGGUAAUUCCAUCAAGAACCCAUAUAAAAUGAGUCUUAAAAUUUACCAUUUUCUAACAAUCCCCCACUAAUCCAUACAGAAAUGCAUAUCAGAUUUUAUCAUGACUUGUUUUUCAGAGUAGGUACCCUUCCGGGUUUGAACCCUCCUAAGUCCUCUACUUCGAUGGCUACCGGAUAUAGAUGGAAUAUUUCACCUUGAAUCUUUAUCCGUUUGGUGUAACCACACUCCAUAGACGACGACAAGUCAAAGGCUAUGGUACAGAUCUACGGCUUUGAGACGUUAAUGGUCGUGUCUCGAUCCUGUUCGACAAAUGUUUCAAGGAAUAACCCAUUCCUCUAAUUGCGACCACACAAUUACAUUCGCUUAGCUGGGCAUCUCCAAAGAUGUACUGCUAACUUCUCGUCAAAUGACUUGACCCCAUUCAGAGUUUUAAAAACUCUUGCUAUACAUGCAGUAACAGUACCUUUUAAGGUUUCCAGGGGAUAGACUCAAAUACAUAAGUAUCUAGCUAUAUGUAGUAAAGGUACUACCGAUCCAUCCUUACAACUUGUUAUUACCCCAUUGAAUACACUUCAAGGGAUCUCCUCUCAGGUGUAUUGGGUUCCCGCUGUAGAUGAACCAUGAUGGGUUACCAGUCCCAUCCCCAACCUCGACUUAAGGACUACAGCAUGCUCAAGCCCCUUAGUCAACGGGUCAGCUAUAUUAUCCUGAGUUCCAAUGAACUCUAUAGCUAUAACCCUAUCAGAAACAAGACCCCUUAUAGACUUAAGUCUAACUUGGAUGUGUCUCUUUGUCUUAGCGUUAUACUUUACACUUCUGAUCUUGUCAAUAGUUGUACGGCUAUCACAAUGAACAGAAAUGGCAGGAAGCGGUUUGCUUACUACAGGUAACAUUGACAUCAGUCCAUGUAACCAUUCAGCCUCCGUCCCCGUGGCAUCCAAUGCACACAACUCAGCCUCAAAAGUAGACCGAGUAAUCAAAGUCUGUCUAGAAGACUUCCAGGACACAGCUCCACCCGCUAGGGUAAACACAUAUCCAGUCACUCCAUUGGAACCGGAUUUCUUAGCUAUCCAACUUGCAUCACUGUACCCCUCGAGUACCCCCGGAAAUCUCCGGUAAUGCAAGCCAAGAGAAAUAGUUCCCUUGAGAUAUCUAAGAACUCUAUCCAGAGCCUCCCAAUGAGUCUUGUUCGGACAGCUUGUAUAUCUAGCUAACUUAGACACAGAAUAAGAAAUAUCUGGUCUAGUCACGUUAGCAAGAUAUUGCAAACUACCAAUAAUCUGAGACUACCUUAACUGAGACACAGGUACACCUGAACUAUUCUUGACAAGGGCCACUUUAGGAUCAUAGGGACAAUUUGAAUAACCAUACUUCUCAAGUAUAGAUUUCUCUACAUAAUGAGGCUGUGACAAGGUUAUUCCAUCAGUUGACCGUGUUAACUUAAUCCCAAGAAUCAUACUAGCCUCACCCAUAUCCUUCAUCUCAAAGUGCCUUUUCAAGAAACUCUUUGUCUCGUUAAUAAUCGCAAUAUUGGUUCCAAACAACAAAAUAUCAUCAACAUAUAAGCAUACAAUCACACAUUCAUUUCCUAUAACCUUAUAGUAGACGCACUUAUCACUUUCAUUAACUAAAAACUCGAAUGCUAAAACAGUUUCAUCAAACUUUUUAUGCCAGUCGAUAGGUGCUUGUUUAAGGCCAUAGAUGGACUUGACUAGUUUACAUACUUUCCUCUCGUUACCAGAAGCAAUAAAUCCUUCAGGCUGAUCCAUGUAAAUCUCUUCUUCAAGGUCACCAUGAAGAAAAGCUGUCUUUACAUCCAUUUGAUGGAUGAUAAGACCAUGCACAGAAGCCAAUGCUAUAAGCAGUCGGAUUGUUGUCAUUCUAGCAACAGGAGAGUAUGUAUCAAAAUAGUCUAUACCUUCUCUUUGCCUAAAACCCUUAGCAACUAGCCUCGCCUUGUACUUAUCUAUUGAGCCAUCUGGGUUCAACUUCCUCUUGAAGAUCCACUUACAUCCUAUAGUAGAACAACCAGGAGAGAGAUCGACUAACUCCCAUGUUCCAUUAGAAACAAUAGAGUCCAUCUCACUCUUUACAGCGCCUUUCCAAUGCCUUGACUCCGAAGAGUCCAUGGCUUGACGGAAAGUUAAAGGUUCAUCCUCGACAUUGUAAGUGAGAAAGUCACUUCCAAAGUCCUUGACUACCUUUGCACGCUUACUCCUUCUAGGUUCCUCUACUUCGUUAGGAGUAGAGCUACUACUAGGAUUCGCCCCCACAUUUGUCAUCUUUUCCACAUGAUCGGGAAUAGAACUCGAUGUGAGAGUCGGAUCAUCCUCAGAAUUACCCUGAGGUAUACCAGUCUUCAUAGGGAACACGUCCUCAAAGAACGUUGCAUCACGAAACUCAACUAUCGUAUUAGCCACAAUGCCGUCUAUGUCAGAUUUUAUAACUAAAAAUCUCAUAGCGGUUGUGGUCUCUAGAUAGCCCAAAAAGAUACAAUCAACAGUCUUAGGCCCUAGUUUCUUUCUCUUGUGUUCAGGUACAAGUAUCUUUGCAAGGCACCCUCACACACGAAGAUAAUUCAAACUAGUUUUACGUUUUCUCCAUAAUUCAUAUGGUGUCUUAUCCAUGUGUUUCAAAGGGACCCUAUUCAGAAUAUGGCAAGCCGUAUUCAGAGCCUCUCCCCACAUGUAUUUAGGCAACCCCGAAUUAAUCAACAUGCUGUUAAUCAUAUCUUUAAAAGUUCUGUUCUUUCGCUCUGCCACCCCAUUAGACUCAGGUGUGUAUGGUGGAGUAACCUCAUGAACUAUACCAUUGCUUGCGCAAAAUUCAUUAAACAAGUUACUUGUAUACUCACCACCUCUAUCAGAUCUCAAACGUUUAAGUACUUUGCUCGUUUGUGUUUCAGCUUCAUUUUUAAACAUAAUGAAUUUUUCUAGUGCUUCAUCCUUAUGUUUAAGCAGAUAAACAUAACAAUAUCUACUAUAAUCAUCUAUAAAGGUAAUGAAAUAUCUAUAAUGAUCCAUAGUCAAAACACCACCAAAUUCACAUAUGUCUGUGUGCACUAAAUCUAACAAUUCAGAAUCCCUAACAACAUUAUGAAAAGGUUUCUUUGUUUGUUUAGCAGUCACACAUACUUGACACUUAGAUUUCUUAUCAAUGGAAUGCUUUGGAAUCAACUCUAAAUUCAUCAUAUUCUUUAGAGCACCAAAAUUUAAAUGACCAAGUCGUGAGUGCCAUAAAUCAGAUGAUUCAACACAAUUAACAGAAGGAACAUUAAUAAAACCACCCAAAACGGGUUCCACAUUUAUCACAAAUAAACCAUCCGACAAGUAACCCUUGUCAACAAAUGUACCAGUCUGAGUAAUCACAACUUUAUUACAUUUAAAAGAAAGUUCAAAGCCAUUUUUAACUAAAUAGCUUCCACUUAUAAUAUUUCUAUGAAUAGAAAGAACAUGAUGCACUCUAGUGAGGGUCAGAACACGCCCAGAAGCAAACUUCAGGUCCACAUUUCCAAUUCCUAGCACUUGAGCAGCACUUGCAUUCCCCAUCCUCACUGUCACUCCAUGACACUGUUGAUAAGAUACAAAGAGAGUAAUAUCAGCACAAAUAUGCACAUUAGCUCCUGUAUCAAUCAACCAUUCAUGAGACAGAUAAGCGGAAAACAGUUCAGGGUUGUAGGCAACAUACCCGUCAUUGGUUUCAGAGGCAACAAUCUCACCAACAACCAUGUUAUCCACAGGCCCACUCGUGGUUCCAAGCACAGUAUUAGCCUGAGCUACCACACCAGCUUUCUUAGCUUUCUUCAUGGGACAGUACUUGCUCCAAUGACCAACCUGUCCACAAGACCAACAUGGCUUGUUUGCCUUUGGUUUCUUAGCCUUGUUCUUGUCAUUCUUAGGUUUAUCCUUCUUAGUGACAGAUUUCCUUUUCUGUCCUACAGUUACUACGUUCACCUUUGAACUACUCCCAUGCUCAGCAGGCAUCACAUGUCCUUGUUUGGACUUGUGCUGCUCCUGCACAGAGAUGUCCAACAUCAGAUUAGUCCAAGUGAUCUCUCCUUUCUGUCUUUUCAGGGAGAGAGCAAAUUCUUCCCAAGACUUUGGGAGUUUUUCAAUCACGGACAUAACCUGAAACUUUUCAGGCAGGUCCAUUCCGGACUCCUUCAAAGCAUGCACCAACAUCUCAAAUUCAUGCACCUGUUCCGUCAUGGAUUUUCCAUCCACCAGCUUGAAAUCAAGAAACCUCGCCACACUAUACUUCUCAAGACCUUGAGAAUCAGUAUUGUGGGUUUGGUCCAGCUUCUCCCACAAAAGCUUAGCAGUAUAGGCAUCCGAUGAAUAUACAUCGAAUAGAGUGUUCGCUAACGCUGCCAAAAUAGCAGCCCUAGCCACCCCAUCCUUUUCAGCCCACAAAGCAUAAACCUUUGCAGAAUCAGCCUUCUCUUGAUCCACAACAGGAGGAUCAUACUGCACCACUGGCCAUAAGCCCUUAACCGUUAACCAGAGCUUCAUCUUUUUCUGCCAACGAGAAAAGGAAGCCCCCCCGUUGAAUUUAUUAGGCAUGCCCGAUAAAUCAAUAGGCUGAGGGAAACGGUACGUAGCCCAAUCAAUGGCAGCAAUACCACCAGAACCAGAACUAGAAGCACCAAGAACAGUCACAGGAGUUCCAGUUUCGUUAACCAUCUUGCUAAUAACUAUAUAACACAAAUUAUCGUUUCAAGAUUGUUGGAAAUAUUAAACUAUUAGCGCAACAAUGAGGCAGUUAUAUAUCAGGAAUUAACAAGAACAGGCAAGGCACCAAAUAACGAAACAAUACACGAAGGCAAAACAGAAAUAUAAUCAGUACCUUAAAUCGACAAGAAAAGACAGAAAUCACUUAGCUUGCGAAGCUUUAUCAAAUACUGAUCAAAAUCAGAAUAACAGCUGAGUCGCCUAGCCCUUGAAAAGCCUAGACUGUUCUUGAAACGAUAAUUGCCCCACUUACGCUGUGUUGGGUUGCAGCAAUAUCGCCUCCAGGAUAAAACAGCUCAGAUCAACUCGUUCACAGACACGCAAUUGAUCAACAGCGACCUGACCUCAGUUCGCCCAGAAAACCUAUGCAAUCUGUUCUGUAUGUAUUUUUGCAGAGAGAAAAUAGAGAAGAGUAGCAGCUAGGGUUUUUAUCUUUUUGUUAUCAGUAUCUCUCACAAAACGUUUUGAUUCUGUAUAUAAUACAAAAUAAAACGUAACUGAAGAUAUGGCAUUAAUUACAAUAAAUAUUCUGACUUCAAUUGUUUUAUUUUAAUUGAAUAUAUAUCAGUACAUUCACCACUCAGGGGCACGUACAUUCACCACUCAGGGGCACGUACAUUCAUAUUAAAAUAAUAUUAUAAGUCAGGAUUUAUUUAAUUAAAACAGCGGUAAAAUUCCUCGCCCAGGUCGCCUCGCGUACGCGAGACGCCGAGACAUUCGCCCUUCGACCCGACCCGAGUCGAGGCGUGGCGUGGCGGCGGCGGCGGGCGCGUGUGUGCGCGCGCGAGGCGCUCCCUACAACCUUGCACACCCACAUGCCUUGGUAGUUGAACACUACACUUGCACAUGUAUUAUAUAAAGCCACCAACCUCACUUUCCAAUAUCAAUGUGGGACUAACCCACAUACCAUAUUUUACCACUUUCAAGCUACUAACUUCAACUCAAUUUAUUUAUGGAUUACACUAAGAAAAUGUCUUAGAUCCAAACAUGAAAGUUUAAGUCCUCAUUAAAAGAACAACCUCCAACAAUUAGAUUAAGGUAAUUCCAUCAAGAACCCAUAUAAAAUGAGUCUUAAACUUACCAUUUUCUAACAAUCCCCCACUAAUCCAUACAGAAAUGCAUAUCAGAUUUUAUCAUGACUUGUUUUUCAGAGUAGGUACCCUUCCGGGUUUGAACCCUCCUAAGUCCUCUACUUCGAUGGCUGGAUAUAGAUGGAAUAUUUAACCUUGAAUCUUUAUCCGUUUGGUGUAACCACACUCCAUAGACGACGACAAGUCAAAGGCUAUGGUACAGAUCUACGGCUUUGAGACGUUAAUGGUCGUGUCUCGAUCCUGUUCGACGAAUGUUUCAAGGAAUAACCCAUUCCUCUAAUUGCGACCACACAAUUACAUUCGCUUAGCUGGGCAUCUCCAAAGAUGUACUGCUAACAUCUCGUCAAAUGACUUGACCCCAUUCAGAGUUUUAAAAACUCUUGCUAUACAUGCAGUAACAGUACCUUUUAAGGUUUCCAGGGGAUAGACUCAGAUACAUAAGUAUCUAGCUAUAUGUAGUAAAGGUACUACCGAUCCAUCCUUACAACUUCUUAUUACCCCAUUGAAUACACUUUGAGGGAUCUCCUCUCAGGUGUAUUGGGUUCCCGCUGUAGAUGAACCAUGAUGGGUUACUAGUCCCAUCCCCAACCUCGACUUAAGGACUACAGCAUGCUCAAGCCCCUUAGUCAACGGGUCAGCUAUAUUAUCCUGAGUUCCAAUGAACUCUAUAGCUAUAACCCUAUCAUAAACAAGACCCCUUAUAGACUUAAGUCUAACUUGGAUGUGUCUCUUUGUCUUAGCGUUAUACUUUACACUUCUGAUCUUGUCAAUAGUUGUACGGCUAUCACAAUGAACAGAAAUGGCAGGAAGCGGUUUGCUUACUACAGGUAACAUUGACAUCAGUCCAUGUAACCAUUCAGCCUCCGUCCCCGUGGCAUCCAAUGCACACAACUCAGCCUCAAAAGUAGACCGAGUAAUCAAAGUCUGUCUAGAAGACUUCCAGGACACAGCUCCACCCGCUAGGGUAAACACAUAUCCAGUCACUCCAUUGGAACCGGAUUUCUUAGCUAUCCAACUUGCAUCACUGUACCCCUCGAGUACCCAUAGAAAUCUCCGAUAAUGCAAGCCAAGAGAAAUAGUUCCCUUGAGAUAUCUAAGAACUCUAUCCAGAGCCUCCCAAUGAGUCUUGUUCGGACAGCUUGUAUAUCUAGCUAACUUAGACACAGAAUAAGAAAUAUCUGGUCUAGUCACGUUAGCAAGAUAUUGCAAACUACCAAUAAUCUGAGAAUACCUUAACUGAGACACAGGUACACCUGAACUAUUCUUGACAAGGGCCACUUUAGGAUCAUAGGGUGUACUUGCGAUUCUAUAAUUUGAGUAACCAUACUUCUCAAGUAUAGAUUUCUCUAUAUAAUGAGGCUGUGACAAGGUUAUUCCAUCAGUUGACCGUGUUAACUUGAUCCCAAGAAUCAUACUAGCCUCACCCAUAUCCUUCAUCUCAAAGUGCCUUUUCAAGAAACUCUUUGUCUCGUUAAUAAUCGCAAUAUUGGUUCCAAACAACAAAAUAUCAUCAACAUAUAGGCAUACAAUCACACAUUCACUUCCUCUAACCUUAUAGUAGACACACUUAUCACUUUCAUUAACUAAAAACUCGAAUGCUAAAACAGUUUCAUCAAACUUUUUAUGCCAGUCGAUAGGUGCUUGUUUAAGGCCAUAGAUGGACUUGACUAGUUUACAUACUUUCCUCUCGUUACCGGAAGCAAUAAAUCCUUCAGGCUGAUCCAUGUAAAUCUCUUCUUCAAGGUCACCAUGAAGAAAAGCAGUCUUUACAUCCAUUUGAUGGACGAUAAGACCAUGCACAGAAGCCAAUGCUAUAAGCAUUCGGAUGGUUGUCAUUCUAGCAACAGGAGAGUAUGUAUCAAAAUAGUCUAUACCUUCUCUUUGCCUAAAACCCUUAGCAACUAGCCUCGCCUUGUACUUAUCUAUUGAGCCAUCCGGGUUCAACUUCCUCUUGAAGAUCCACUUACAUCCUAUAGUAGAACACCCAGGAGGGAGAUCGACUAACUCCCAUGUUCCAUUAGAAACAAUAGAGUCCAUCUCACUCUUUACAGCGCCUUUCCAAUGCCUUGACUCCGAAGAGUCCAUGGCUUGACGGAAAGUUAAAGGUUCAUCCUCGACAUUGUAAGUGAGAAAGUCACUUCCAAAGUCCUUGACUACCUUUGCACGCUUACUCCUUCUAGGUUCCUCUACUUCGUUAGGAGUAGAGCUACUACUAGGAUUCGCCCCCACAUUUGUCAUCUUUUCCACAUGAUCGGGAAUAGAACUCGAUGUGAGAGUCGGAUCAUCCUCAGAAUUACCCUGAGGUAUACCAGUCUUCAUAGAGAACACGUCCUCAAAGAACGUUGCAUCACGAAACUCAACUAUCGUAUUAGCCACAAUGCCGUCUAUGUCAGAUUUUAAAACUACAAAUCUCAUAGUGGUUGUGGUCUCUAGAUAGCCCAAAAAGAUAUAAUCAACAGUCUUAGGCCCUAGUUUCUUUCUCUUGUGUUCAGGUACAAGUACCUUUGCAAGGCACCCCCACACACGAAGAUAAUUCAAACUAGUUUUACGUUUUCUCCAUAAUUCAUAUGGUGUCUUAUCCAUGUGUUUCAAAGGGACCCUAUUCAAAAUAUGGCAAGUCGUAUUCAGAGCCUCUCCCCACAUGUAUUUAGGCAACCCCGAAUUAAUCAACAUGCUGUUAAUCAACAUGCUGUUAGAAAAUUUACCAUUUUCUAAUGGAUUUUACACCAAUUCACAUUUUUGUGGCUGUACUUUAAAAAUAGCAAAAAUGUAGCCAAAAUUCUUCUCUGCCUUUCAAAAAUGUGGCUGCCGUCAAGUCCACUCUAACAAAUUUAACGGACGGUGGGAUAUUUCUGUUUUUUUUUAAUUUUCUGCAACGAUCAAAACAGUAUCAUCAGAACUCAAAUACUGAACAACCAAAGCAAGUUGGUGCAUAAUUUCAUCAUUCAAUCAACAUAUUUCUUGUUGAGUAACUUCGAUUCAUAAAUAAUAAAAUCAGACACUCUAUCUGAAAAGUCACUGCACAACCAACAAACCCCAAUCUUUUUGCGUGAAUUUAUAAAUACACACAUAAUACAUACAAUCACGGCGGCGACGGCGAUAAUGAGCCAGCACGGUCUCGUUGAAAGCCUCUCGCACAUUCACAUCACUGUACUCUCUUCUUUUCUCACCCUCUAAUUUCACUUUGAUUAACUGUAUAUACAACUAUGUGUUUUUCCUGUGUGUAUAUACGUUUGUAGGUUGGUAAAACUAUCAUCUUCAUUUGAUAAGGUUGUGAUUGAGGCCUAAUUAUCGAGCUAUAGAGGUUCUGAAUGUUGGAAUUUGUUCGUGAUUACCGUAACUCAGCAUGUUCGUGAUUACUGUAACUCAGCAUUUUAGUUUUUUAUUCUAAAUUUCUUUUUAUCUCAUAAAUACCCCUCCUAUUAGAUCCGUUAGUGUGGACUUGACAGCAGCCAUAUUUUUUCUAUUUUUAAAAUUCAGCCACAAAAAUACGAAUUGGUGUAAAAUGUAGCCACACCCUUGAAUUUUGCUUAUUUAAAAAUAAUAAUCAUACUAAUCAUUUUUACUCCAGGAAGAGCCAAUUUGACCUGACCUUGAAUAAAGAGUAAACCUCAAGGGUGUGGCUGAAGUUUACACCGAUUUUCAAGUUUGUGGCCGAAUUUUAAAAAUUACAAAAGCGUGGUUGGAGUUCGCCUCCGCCUUUUAAAACUAUGGCUUCCGUUAAAUGCCCUCUAACGGAGCUAACGGAAUUGAGGGUAUUUUUGGAUUUUUCGAAAUUCUUCUCUUCUCCCCUUUAUUUUCUCAACCGAUGCGCCGCUGUCCUCUCUUCCCCUUCUAAACUUCUCAUUUCUCUCUUUUUCCUCCCUCUCCACAAGUAGUUACUGCAACUACACAUCUCGAAAUUCAAACUCUCUGAAAAUCAACAGGAGAUACAUAAAUAUUAACAUAGAAAGUGAUUAGCAAUUCGCAGACAUAUAUACAAGUAAAUAAAAAAAGAGAAUGAGAGAGAGAGGGAGAGGGAGGGAGGGAGAGAGAUGACCUGUAUUCCCAAGUUUGAAAGCCAGAUUUGUAAAUAAGAAAGUGAAGCGGCUCCCAGCAAUUGAAGACUUCAUCGGAAUCGUGAAUGAUAUUGGUAGUAGCGCUCAUAUAUCUAAGCAUGCCUAGGGCAAGUACAGGUAACAGAAACCCUAGCCCCUUGUCCUCCUCGCCGUCAUAAACUCUCCCUGGGUCAUCUAGGCUAAACUCCGGCACCGCCACCACCAUCGAAUUCACCCUUCACCACUCUAUUCUUGCCAUCGUGUUCACGGUCUCCAACCCCGACUCCCUGCUCAGCCCCCUUCCUUGUAUCUUUCUCACGCAGCAGUGACGCUACAACACAACCGGUGGUUGUUCACGGCAAACACCUCUGCAACCCACCAUACCAACGACCACUUGAUAGCCCUCAAUCUCAUCUCAAAUUCAAGCGUGGAUUUUGAAUCCCAAUCGCCAACCCUAGUUCUCGAUCCUCCGUUUUUCACCGCCGCUCGUGCCGCCCCCUUUGUUUCUUCCUCUUUUCCCCAAACAAUUUUAUUUAUAUAUUUUUACAUAUCCACCCCUUUAUUUAUUUAAUUUUAAGUGAGUUAACGGCUAAAAUCUAACGGACUUAACGGCAGCCAAAGUUUUAAAAGACGGAGGCGAACUCGAGCCACGCUUUUGUAAUUUUUAAAAUUCAGCCACAAACUUGCAAAUCAGUGUAAAUUUCAGCCACACCCUAGAAAUUUACUCUUGAAUAAAUUCAGUUGUAUGAAUGCAUCGAUCACAAAUUACAAUUAUAUUACAUGAAAAUACAACUAUCACGUCUCACAACUAGGGCUGUAAAUGAGUUGAUACGCUCGAUAACCGCUCGGUGUUCGGUACACUAGAGUUCGACUCGAUAGUUCACGAGCCAAGUUCACGAACUCAUAAACAUGGCUCGUGGAUGUGGGAGUUUCAUUAAUGAAUGAUUUGUUCUGAAUUUAUGAUUUCUUAUAGAAUAAAUUAAAAUAUUGUUGGGAUUUUAAUUUAUUUUUUUUUAAUUAGAUUAAAUAACAAACAAGCUCGUAAAUAAAUUUACGAGUAUAAGCUAGCUCGUUAGCAAAGUUUAUUGAACAAGCUCGUGAACAAAAUUAAUGAACGGUUGGUAAGCAAAAAUUCGUGGGAUAUGUCCGUGAGCGUAAGUUAAUGAGCGGUUCGUGAGCAAAAGCUCAUGAGACAAGCUCGUGAGACAUGUUCGCAAGCGGUUCGCGAGCCGUCCGUGAACAUAGUUAUUCCUUAAUGAGUCGAUACUCAAACAAUAUUUUUGGCUCGAUCCAAGCUCGAGCACGAGUUCGCUAAUUUUUUAACAAACGAUACACGAGCACUCUAGAGUUCGGCUCGGCUCGGCUCAUUUACACCCCUACUCACAACCUGCAAGUUGUCUUAACUUAAACUAAGAAGGUGUUUUGUAGUGACUGGAAUAAAAUGAAAUUCGUAAUCUGAAAUGAGGUGAUUAAACAAAGUGUUUAAAAUUUUAACUUUACUAAUUGUUUCAUUCAAAAUUAUUGAAUUUUAAAUUUAACCGAAUGUUUUGAAAAAAAUUAGUCAUUUCACUUGUUUUUCAUGUUUCUCUCAUGUUUCUAUGCGGUCUAUAUUAUAAAUAGAGUUGGGCUCUGUGGAGACUCAAUUUUAUUGGAGACUUGGAGACCACAUCUCUCACCACUAAUUUAUAUAUCUAUUCAAUGGACACGAUUAAAGAUACAGUAAUUUGCUUUUAUAUCAAUGAUCACAUCACGUGCAUUUAAUAUACGUAUUUAUAGUCAACAUUAUCAUCAAGGGGAAAGCAGUAAACUAAAUUACGAGAGAAGGGAAGAUGAGAAAUAUAUAUCACGGAUAUCCAAAAUCCCGCGCUUCCGUCAACACAAUGAAAAAUUGUAAGUUAUUACAAACUUAUUAAACAAUAAAGUAAAAGAGAAAUAAAAUGAGAAGAUGAUUAUGGAACAUAUUUAUACUCCCGAUGAGUGCAGGAUGAAGUUAAAAUUAGAUGAGAAGAGUGAAUAACAUCAAUUUGGGAGACAAUGUGAAUUUAAAUUAGGAGGGGAAAAAAUACAGGACAACCAAAGGCAAAUUAGAAGGUGGACAGGACAACCACAACUAAAUUAGAAGGUGGAAGAAUAGAAUUUUGCAUUCAACAAAAAGGUUGCAGAACAAAGAGAUGAUACAGUGUUUGUUUGUGGAACAUAUAUAUAGUUUCAAUUGGUGCAAGAUGGAGAUAAAAUUAGAUGAGAAGGGUGAACAAUAUUAUAAUGGGAGACAAUAUGAAUUUAAUUCAGGAGACAAGAUAAAAAAUGCAGGACAACGAGGACAACGAGUUUCUAGAGAAGAUAAUAUUAAUUUUGAAUUAUCUAAAAAGAGGGAUGAUAGACAAGCAGUGCGGCUAACUUAACUGGCAAUUCACAACAAGGUAGAAGGAUAACAUUUUAAAUUCAACAGAAAAGUUGCAGAACAAAGAGAUGGUAUAAUAUUCUAACAAACAAAAGACGUAGUUAUACGAUUUCUAUGAUAAGAAAACUGGUCAAUGCAUGAUGAUCAUCUGUUUCGAAAUCCUGUAAUAUUUUUGGUACUAAUUGCCACCAUUAGAUAUGCCAUAUAUACAUUUUGUUGUAUUUAAUUGAAUGUUAUUAAAAUAAUUAUUGUUUUGAUUGUAGACCGCUAGAUUAAAGAUUGUUGGACGGUUUAGAUGAUGGUCUCCAAUACUCCAAAAAAAGAGUACUCCAAGGAACUUUACUCAUUAUAAAUAAUUUAAAUUUAUUCAUACUUAAUCACUACUUUUUUCAUUCCUUCUUUUUUAUAUAAUUUUUUUAGUUCAUGCUCUCCGCGUUACAUUGUGAACACAACUUAAUUGUUAUGUCGUAAUGUCGACCUAUUCUUUUUUGAAAAAUCUGAUUAAAUAAUUAACUAGAAUUAAUUAUUAAUUAACAAAAUUUAAUCAAUCAAUUAAUACAUAAUUUAAUUGACCAACUAAAAUAAUUAAUUAAUAAUUUAAAUUAAUAAAAUAAAAAAUUAGCAUUUGUUUUUGAAUUUAUAAAACAUGAAAAGUAUUUUUGAAAUUAAAACAAAUAAUCAAACAUCAAUUCUUUUUUUUUUUUGAAACAAAGGUGUUAAUCUAAUAAUAGAAAGUCAUACGGCAUCUACACCAAUGAUCGAGUCGAACAAACUGGAAAUUGCAAUCGCCUGUUCUCAUGGAGAGACAGUUAAACGAUAUUUUGAAGAUAAAGCAUAUACAAAUACAAAUACCCGCUUCAUGCAUCCUGGUUGAAUCACCGAUACCCUCUUCAUCAUGCCCUAAUAGAGCUAUCGUUUGAGCUAUCGACCAGAAUUGCGAUUUCAUACAAACUUUCAUCAUCAAAUCAACACACCCGCUUACAAUGAAGAAGCGAAAACAAAACUCUCACAAGGGAGAGAAAACAAUCUAGAUCUGGAGCGAAACAACAAAAACAAGAGAAAUCAGACUGAAAAUCCACCCGAUUGAAACAGAUAGGAAAGACGACGAAAUCUCCGAUGGUUUUAGAUCUAAGAAUCUUCCCGAGAAUAGAUCUGGAACAGAACCACAAAAACAAGAGAAAUCGGACUAAAAACCCACCCACUUGGAAGAGAGACAGCAAAAUCUCCGAUGGUUUUAGAUCUAAGUUUUCGGAGAAGAAGUAUUAUUCGAAAACUAGGAAGAAAACAAAGUAAUUAACUGAUUUGGGGCUUUCCACCGGUGAAAACCGAUGGAAGCCCCAGGCGGCUACGACAAAAGAGAGGCUAGACUAUAAAGAGAAUUAGGGUGAUGAUAUUGACGUGGGUAAUGUCAGAGACAAAAAUGCAAAUAUUACUCCAAUCAAAUAUCAAUUUUAAAAAUUAAAUUGAAAAGAUUUAAAUUGUAAGAUUGUAAAAGUAUUAACGGAGGGUACAUGUUCUUUACGUUAUUUUUUUCCCGUGUUUUGAGACUCUAAUAAAAUGUAGUUUCAUAAUAUAUUUUUUAAUUUUAUUUCUCUUGGAAAAAUAUUGACGUUUAAACUUUUAUUCAAUAUAUAAAAAAACCUUAUAGAACUUUACUCAAUGGGACCGAGGAAGUAAGAUACAGGGUAUCAAUGGCCCUGUUUGGGCAACGGAAGUUGCUCCUGAAAUUAAACACCUAGAGGGGGGGUGAAUAGGUGUUAUGGCUAAUAUGACCGAUUUUUAAUGUUACCGAAUAUUUAUACUGUCACAGACAGCUUGCUGUUAAUUUCAGAGUAAACAGUCAGCUAGCUAACAAUGCAGAUGCAAUGCAAAACAGAUAUAAUCAGUAAGCUAGCAACACAGAGAAUUUUAGCCAGGUUCGACCCCUAACCCUAAUGGUCUACGUCCUGGUCCCCUACCAACUGGUAAGAGAUUAUAUUAUUAAUCAAUAAUGUUAACGAUUACAAUGAUUCAAUAAUAUAACUCCCUUUAUCCCUUGUUCCUGUUAUCAGCUUGCUGAAACCCCUGAACCACGAACCAAAAGCUCUCCAAGACCUAUACUUCCCAAGUAUACUCUUCUAGCUAACUAGUCCCCUUGUUCCCUUGUUUCACAAGCUCGAUACACAGCAACAAACCUUUACACUUUGAACAAUACAAUGUAUGAGUGUAAUACAACCGAAACUAUGAACUCAAUAUAGAUAUAUAAUCAAAUAUAAGUACUAGAGCUCAAGUAAAGAUUUUGCAAUGUAAGUGUGUUGUAUUUCAGAAGCUUGAAGUGUGUUCUUGUUUUCUACCAAAACGGAAACCACACUCAAGUUUAUAUACCAUCAUUCCAAACGGUCAUAACUCAACAAACUAUCCAACGUUCUUGGCCCAACAACCUCACGUUUAAUUUGCUUGAAUAAUGAACGUUUGAACGAUGUAUUUUUACUGAGUAAAAGCAUAAAGACGUUUGAAACAACUCAGUAAACGUUUGUUUAUAAAACAAAACAGUUUGAAUAGAAGUAGGAGUCUAAAAGGAUAAACAAGGUUUGAAAUCAACUCCUAUAUUUUAGGAAAACGAUUUUGAAUAAAACUCUUUGAUAAAAGAUGAGCUCUAAUAUUUAUAUACUGUAUAUAUAUGUAUUAGAGUCCUCACAAAACGUUCCCUAACAAAUCUCCUUGAAAAUAGGACUUGAUCUUUAUCCGAUAAGCAUCCUGUCAGUACGCUGUGAGCUUGCUGAUAGUCUGUCAAUAUUCCUGUAAGCUUGCUGACAGAACAAUGAUAACUUCAAAAGACAUUAGCUGUUAGCACAGUUAUAAUCUAGUUCUCAGCUAGCUACCAGAGUACAGUUUUAUGUUAUCAAGUUGCUGUUAGUGUGAUCAUCAAAAUCUCGAGAGUAUCAAUCUCCCCCUUUUUGAUGAUUACACUAUAUUUAGGAAAGUAAUAAUACUCCCCCUGAAUAUAGCAAUCUUAUAACAUUAAACUAUACAACAAAUAUAACAUUCACAACACAAACCAAGUUCCUAAAUUUUCUCCCCCUUAAUCAUCAAAAGGGUAGAAAAUCAAGCAUCGUCAUCGAGAUCACAAAAAUUAUCCAAAUCAGCACAUAAUNNNNNNNNNNNNNNNNNNNNNNNNNNNNNNNNNNNNNNNAAUUUAUGAAGUAAAAUUAACACGAAACUCUUGAAAUGACCAGCAUGCAAAAAUAAUUAACAAUAUGUAAAGUACAGAGAGUAAGCUGAUAGUACCCGGACCAAGCUUAUUAGCUUGCUGACUGCACAUCACACAUACCCAAUUCCCUUCUCAGCACAACAUAUCUUUGUUCAGGAAGAGGUUUUGUGAAAAUGUCAGCUAGCUGAUCUGCUGUAGCCACAAAAAUCAGCUUGACAGCACCUUUUGCAACAUUGUCUCUCAGAAAAUGAUGUCGAACAUCAAUAUGCUUUGUCCUUGAAUGAUUGACUGGAUUUUCUGAAAUGUUGAUUGUACUUGUGUUGUCACAAAAGAUAGGAGUUUGCUUGCAUUUGAUUCCAAAGUCCUUCAAUUGUUGUCUCAUCCAUAGCAUUUGAGAGCAACAGCUACCAGCUGCUAAAUACUCCCCCUCAGCCGUAAAUAGAGCAACUGAAGUUUGCUUCUUGCUUAACCAAGAAACUAAGCUUUGACCCAAAAAUGCACAAACACCACUUGUACUUUUUCUAUCAGUUUGACUACCUGCAUAAUCUGCAUCACUAUAUCCAACAAGAUCAAAAGCAUUUGUGAUAGGAUAGAAUAAACCCAAACUAAUGGUUCCACUUAAAUAUUUAAAUAUUCUUUUAACAGCUUGUAAGUGAGAAUCCUUUGGUUUUGCUUGAAAUCUAGCACAAACACAAACACUAUACAUAAUAUCAGGUCUAGAGGCUGUAAGAUAAAGUAAACUACCAAUCAUACCUCUAUACAUUCGAAUAUCAACAUCUUUACCAUUUUCAUCUGCUGUCAGCUUGCUGACAACGCUCAUUGGUGUUGAUUUCGCCUUGAUAUUCUCAUAUCCAAAUCUUUUGAGUAGAUUCCUGAUAUACUUAGAUUGAUGCACAUAAAUUCCUUCUGGAGUUUGCUUAAUUUGGAGCCCCAAGAAAUAAUUGAGCUCUCCCAUCAUGCUCAUGUCAAACUCACUAUGCAUGCACUUUGAAAACCACUUACACAAAGAAUCAUUAGUAGAUCCAAAUAUAAUAUCAUCCACAUAUAUUUGAACAACUAAUAUAUCUUGACCUUUAAAGAUAGUAAACAAAGUAGGAUCAAUUUUACCUCUAAUGAAACCAUUUUUGAUCAAAAAUUCACUUAACCUUUCAUACCAUGAUCGAGGUGCUUGCCUUAAUCCAUAUAGUGCCUUCUUGAGCUUGUAGACACGGUUGGGAUAUUUUUCAUCCUCGAAUCCUGGUGGUUGCUUGACAUAGACUUCUUCCUUUAGAUAUCCAUUUAAGAAUGCACUUUUGACGUCCAUUUGAUGUAGCUUGAACUUCUUGUAGCAUGCAAAUGAUAAUAGCAUCCUAAUAGAUUCCAAUCUUGCAACCGGAGCAUAUGUUUGAUCAAAAUCAAUUCCUUCUUGCUGAUUGUAUCCUUGUGCAACAAGUCUAGCUUUAUUCCGAGUGAUAGUACCAAAUUCAUCAACUUUAUUCUUGAAUACCCAUUUGGUUCCAACAAUUGAAGCAUCCUCUGGUAGAUUUACAAGUUCCCAAACAUCACAUCUUUCGAAUUGGUUGAGUUCUUCUUGCAUUGCCAUGAUCCAAUUUUCAUCUUGUAAAGCUUCUUGAACAUUCUUUGGUUCCUCUUGAGCUAUGAAGGCAGCAUAAGCACAAAUGUUGGCUUGAGCUUUCCUUGUCUUGAUUCCAGCUGAUUUAUCUCCAAUGAUCAACUGAGGAGGAUGAUUCUUCACUGUUCUAGUUGAUUUUGGUAGAUUAUGUUGAGCUAUGACCUCUUCAUUCCUUGUAGUCUGCCUAGGAGGAGUCUGAUCAACAACAUUUUGGCUUGCUGAUGAAGUUUGACCUCUGGAUUCGUCCAAUGUGAGCUUUGACAUCUUAUCCAAAGUUUCUUCAAGAGAUGGAGUGGAUUCAGUAGCUUUAUUGCCUUCUGAAGUUGUGGCAGUUGACUUGUCAGCUUGCUGAUUUCCAGUUUCCUUCACUGUCAGCUUGCUGCUAGUACCUGUACCUGCACAUUCUUCCUCAUCCCUUGCAAGAUCAUCAGUAGACUCUUGAAAUGAAACAUCAAUAGACUCUUCAACAGUAUGUUUAGCAAGAUUAUACACUCUAUAAGCACGACUUGUUAAAGAAUAGCCCAAAAAUAUAGCUUCAUAAGAUUUAGAAUCGAAUUUACCAUCCCUAUCAAUGGUUUUGAGUACGAAGCACUUAGAUCCAAAAACCUUGAAAUAGCUGAUAUUAGGCUUCUUUUUCCUUAGCAAUUCAUAAGGAGUCUUGUUGAGAAUUGGCCUGAUAAGCACUCUGUUAAGAACAUAGCUUGCUGUGUUGACAGCUUCUGCCCAAAAGCUUCUUGGCAGCUUGCUCUCCUGCAGCAAUGUCCUAGCUGUUUCUUGUAAGGACCUGUUCUUACGCUCUACAACUCCAUUUUGCUGAGGUGUACGAGGUGCUGAGAACUCAUGUGAGAUUCCUCUUUCUUCACAAUAAGUAAUGAAGUCCUUUUGAAAUUCCCCACCAUGAUCACUUCGAAUACCAUUUUCUUUGCCUUAUGUGGAGUCCUUGUUUGCUUUCCCAAUUGACAAGCAGAACAUGUCUCCAUCUUGACAUACUUAAGCUUUGGUAAUCCUUGAACAAGCUUCUUUGCUGACAGCUUGCUGAGAUGAUCCAUAUGAGCAUGUCCAAGCCUUCUAUGCCAAAUUUCUGGAUUAUUAUCCACAGCUGCUAAACAAACGCCUGCCUCCUGUUCUUCAAAGUUCAAAACAUAUAUAUUUCCUUCUCGUUUUGCAACUAGAGGAGUUUUGUUAGCACCAACAAGUAUAGUACAUUCAUCCUUACCAAAGUUAACAAUAUGACCAUCAUCAAAUAACUGACUUAUACUAAGCAAGUUAUAAGUAAGACCUUUAACAUAUUGUACCUUGUUGAUAGAAAUGAUACUAUUACCUAUAGUUCCUUUGCCAAGAAUAGGAAGAGUUUUGCUAUCACCAAUUGUGACACGUCCACCCUUCUUCAUCUUCAAGCUUAGAAACUGUGAUUUGUCUCCACUCAUGUGCCUAGUGCAUCCACUAUCCAAUAUCCAUUGAUUUGGCUUUACUUUAGACACGAGACAAACCUACAAAACAAACACAAAACACUCAACUCAGCAAAUAUAGCCAGGUGAUCCAUAGUAUCAAUGCUGAGAGCUGACUCCAAUGCUGUGACCUUGGCACCAUAUUCGAAUGGAACAGCAUUUAGAAUAUUCAUGUUGAUUUCCGAUUGAGGAAUCUUUUUGCCAAGUCUUUCAAGACUGUUGAGAGUGACUUGGAAUCUAGCUUGGCUUUCUCGAAUGGAUUCUCCCUUCUUGAUAGCAAAGCUUCCAAAUUCUUUCAUAAGCUUCCCGAGCUUGACUUUCUUUAAUGCCUUUGAGCCUUCGUGAUAUGUCUCCAAUGCAUCCCAAAUUUCUUUUGCAGAUUUGAGAGAAGAGACCUUGUCAUAUUCAGCUUGAUUCAGCCCAUUGAUUAAUGUACUCCUUGCUUUUCCAUUGGCAGCAACCUUUGAUAGCUCGUCCGCUGUGAGAACAUCAACGUCCUUGACUUUGCCAUCGCUAUCAAGAUAUUCAUAAGGACCUCUUUGCACAACUCUUUGCAUUAGGGGAUCUCUGGAUAGAUGAGCCUCCAUUUGGCCUUUCCACCAAUUGUAGUUGUCAGAACCCGUGAGGAGAGGAGCUCUAAAAUCGGACUUUCCCUGAAAGUUAUCAGCCAUAUCGAUCGAUACUAUUCCUGUUACAGAAGUAUUAGUACAAACACAGCUCUGAUACCAAUUGAAAUUACACACCUAGAGGGGGGGUGAAUAGGUGUUAUGGCUAAUAUGACCGAUUUUUAAUGUUACCGAAUAGUUAUACUGUCACAGACAGCUUGCUGUUAAUUUCAGAGUAAACAGUCAGCUAGCUAACAAUGCAGAUGCAAUGCAAAACAGAUAUAAUCAGUAAGCUAGCAACACAGAGAAUUUUAGCCAGGUUCGACCCCUAACCCUAAUGGUCUACGUCCUGGUCCCCUACCAACUGGUAAGAGAUUAUAUUAUUAAUCAAUAAUGUUAACGAUUACAAUGAUUCAAUAAUAUAACUCCCUUUAUCCCUUGUUCCUGUUAUCAGCUUGCUGAAACCCCUGAACCACGAACCAAAAGCUCUCCAAGACCUAUACUUCCCAAGUAUACUCUUCUAGCUAACUAGUCCCCUUGUUCCCUUGUUUCACAAGCUCGAUACACAGCAACAAACCUUUACACUUUGAACAAUACAAUGUAUGAGUGUAAUACAACCGAAACUAUGAACUCAAUAUAGAUAUAUAAUCAAAUAUAAGUACUAGAGCUCAAGUAAAGAUUUUGCAAUGUAAGUGUGUUGUAUUUCAGAAGCUUGAAGUGUGUUCUUGUUGCUCUACCAAAACGGAAACCACACUCAAGUUUAUAUACCAUCAUUCCAAACGGUCAUAACUCAACAAACUAUCCAACGUUCUUGGCCCAACAACCUCACGUUUAAUUUGCUUGAAUAAUGAACGUUUGAACGAUGUAUUUUUACUGAGUAAAAGCAUAAAGACGUUUGAAACAACUCAGUAAACGUUUGUUUAUAAAACAAAACAGUUUGAAUAGAAGUAGGAGUCUAAAAGGAUAAACAAGGUUUGAAAUCAACUCCUAUAUUUUAGGAAAACGAUUUUGAAUAAAACUCUUUGAUAAAAGAUGAGCUCUAAUAUUUAUAUACUGUAUAUAUAUGUAUUAGAGUCCUCACAAAACGUUCCCUAACAAAUCUCCUUGAAAAUAGGACUUGAUCUUUAUCCGAUAAGCAUCCUGUCAGUACGCUGUGAGCUUGCUGAUAGUCUGUCAAUAUUCCUGUAAGCUUGCUGACAGAACAAUGAUAACUUCAAAAGACAUUAGCUGUUAGCACAGUUAUAAUCUAGUUCUCAGCUAGCUACCAGAGUACAGUUUUAUGUUAUCAAGUUGCUGUUAGUGUGAUCAUCAAAAUCUCGAGAGUAUCAGCUCCAACUUUUUACUUGAGUUUUUCUUAACCUGUUUGUAUAAAAAAGUAAGAAGUACUUAAGCCAGGUGAUAAAGAAGUUAGAAGUAGAAAAUACCAACUUUUCUUUACAACUUAUACUUUUUUUCCAAACACUUUAAGUACUCAUAAUUAUUAAUUUGCUUCUCAAUUCUACUUCACUUGUUUACUUUAAUCAAGAAGUCAUUAAUUUUAAAUUAACCCAAACGGUCCCAAAAAUUGAUGGGCAAUGCUUGGUACCAAAAAUUAUUUUCUCAAAAGGAAAAUGUUAGGUACCCCAAAAUAUUAUCCCAAAUAUUUUUCCCAAAUGAUGUGUCGAAGUUUGAUUGGCUAUUUACUUCGAUAAUAAUGAGACUCCCCGUGUAUAUGCAUCAAUCACCCAGUUACAAUGUUCCACUUGUCUGACACAUUAUUCGUUAAAAAAUUUUGGGGAAAGUUUUUGAGGUAUGUAGCAUUACCUUUCCCAAAAAAAUUCCCAAAUAGCUGAUGGAGGGUCUAUAUGUAUUUAAUGGCUCGAUAAGAUAAAAUGUGAAAUUUGUGAAAUUUUUAGAAAAACUUUUGAGUACAUGGCAUUUUCCAUGGUUUGACAUGUAGGGUAUAAAUAAUGGACUCCAUUAUUUUAUUGUCACUCUGCAAACAUAUUUGCCUGUCCGGGAGUAUUCAUCACUACUCAGUAUUUACAGUGAAGUGGCUAGGCACACUUUAAUGCAAAGGUUACAUGAUUAAGGUACGUACGAGCACGAGGAGUGUCUGUCAACAAUGUAACCAAUUGUAUCAACCACUUCUUAUAUGUUGUAGUGUAGCAUUUCAAUGUAGGUCCUUACGCGGGGACUUCAUGUAAAUUGGUUGUUGGGUUUACCAUCGAUAAUGCAUUUACAAUUUUAAAAUUCUUAACGAAACAAAGGUUAAAUUUGCCACAAGCAAUGAGUUAACUACUUCGGUAGGAUGUAUAAAAAGAGAUUUCAAACUUGAGGCUAUAAUACUUUUCCAAUUUCUUUUAUUACAUUUGUCAACACAUAUUUUUUAUUGUUAAUAUUUUUGAUUUUAUAUUAGUAUUAAAUAUAAAAAUUUCAUUAUAGAUUAACAUCUGCGAGGGCCUCAGCCUUAUGAUACUAAAACUGCCACGGCCGAAACUAUUAAAAUCUUCCACUCCACUCAUCUUGUUUUUCAUAUGAACACAGGCCAGACAAGAAUGGGCUUCCAAUCCAAUGUACAAAUAACACAUUCUAAAACGGAGUGGACACUUUACAUAUUGCUAACUUCACAUGUGUCAAUUUUAUAACAAAUGGGCUGCGGUGAAUUUUGAUAUUUUCUGCCACACUACUUGUCUGCUUUCGCCAGUUUUACCUCAGAAUAUCAGAUGAAUACGCGUAUUUAAUAUUAGUGGUAACAAGUUUUUAAAGGAUGCUAGACAAUUUAAUCAGUUUUAAGGGACCUGGUUUUUAAUUAGAGAAAAUUAAUUCUAAAAUCCCUGAAUUAUAGACACUUUUUUUUAGGUCCCUGAACUAUAAAUGUCAAUUCAUAAGUAAUUCAACUCUUGAUUUUUUCCUAUCUGGGUCCUUCCGUUAGAUCUGGUUUGACGCCGUUAGUUCAUCUUAAGUUCAUGAGAAUCAAAGAUAAUUUUGGAUGUGAUUCUGGUAUCCAAAUUUGAAACUUGAGUAAUCAAAUUGCUCGUUUUUCAAUCCCCUAUCCAUCUAUACCAUCAAAAUUUAGUUUGGUAAUUUCCGAAUUUUGAGUUGAAUAUUAGUUUUCAUUUUAAUAGCUUUUAUACGAAUUAUAAUGAUGUAGAUUGAUAUAUCGUGUAAUGAUGAGCAUAUUCAUAUAUUCGUGAUUUUUAAUGUUCAAAUUAGUCUCGUUGGAAAAUUCGAGCUUACCGGAUUUGAGUUUUUUCGACCAAAUUCGCCGGAAAAACUAACGACGUCAAACCAGAUCUAACGGAAGGACCAUGUAGGAAAAAAUCAAGAGUUGAAUUACUUAUGAAUUGACAUUUAUAGUUCAUAGACCAAGAAAAAAAGUGCCUAUAGUUCAGGGACUUUAGAAUAAUUUUCCCUUUUUAAUUAACCUGUUGCAGUAGCACUGAAACAACAUAUUGCUCUCCAUUUCCUACUAUGUAAAGUGAGUCGAAGUUAUAAGCUAUUAGAUGAAAUUAUAAGAUAACAAACUGAUCAAAAACUAGAGGUCGUCGGGAGUAGGCAGAGUUAAAGUCCCGAAAGAAUUUGCAAAGCAGAAACAACACAGUUUUUUUAGAGGUAAUUGCAUAUCGCACCCCUUAACUAUGGUUAAAAAACGAUAUUGUACUCAUACUUUGAGAAACUCAACUCGCACCCCCUAUCUUUACAUUUCAAGAACGAUACGCAUCCCCUCUGUUGAAUUCCGUUAACUUCCGUUAAAAUACUCCAUCAAUCUCAAUUUACAUGUCCCUUUUGCUUUUCGAGGAGUCAAAUUGACUAAUUUCUGACCAACUAUUAGAAAAUUUUUAAAUAUACACUAUUUUAAAUAUAAAAAAUAAAUAUUAUGUGAUAUUUAUUAUAAAUAUAUACACUUUUAUUAAACAAAAAUUUGAAAUGUAAAAUCAUUUUGACUUAGGAAUAGCUUAAUUAAACAAAAAUUUUUAAAAAAAAUCAUCAAAAAAGUAAAUCUAGUCUAUUUUAAUAUGUAACUUUCUAUUUCCUAAAAUAAUAAAUAAAUAUUUUUUAAUAGUUGGUCAAAAAUUAAUCAAUUUGACUCCUCGCAAAGCAAAAGGGACAUGUAAAUUGAGACGAAGGGAGGAUUUUAACGGAAGUUAACGGUUUUUAACGGAAUUUAAUGGAGGAGGGUGCGUAUCGUUCUUGAAAUGUAAAGAUAGGGGGUGCGAGUUGAGUUUCUCAAAGUAUGGGUAUAAUAUCGUUUUUGAAUCAAUUUGACUCCUCGCAAAGCAAAAGGGACAUGUAAAUUGAGACGAAGGGAGUAUUUUAACGGAAGUUAACGGUUUUUAACGGAAUUUAAUGGAGGAGGGUGCGUAUCGUUCUUGAAAUGUAAAGAUAGGGGGUGCGAGUUGAGUUUCUCAAAGUAUGGGUAUAAUAUCGUUUUUGAACGAUAGUUAGGGGGUGCGAUAUGCAAUUACCUCGCUUUUUUAUAGGUGCGAAAGUCCUCGAGUCUGUGGAACUUGUUAUUUGUUUUGGCAAGUUUCCAUCAAGUAUAUACAUGUAUAUAAGUUUAAAUGAUAACUAAAAAUGAAUUGGGGGGAUACAGGGUGAUCAGGAGUGCAGAUGCUACACUUCAUGAUAGCAAUAGAGUAUCGUCCUUGAAAAUCCCUCCAACAGUAAAGAAUUUUAUGUGGAGAUCUCUAACAGGGUGUUUACCUACUAAGGAAAAUUAUUUACUAUGUAAAAGAGUUGCAGUUUUAAGUGUUUGUCCUGUGUUCAUACCCUUGUUACAUGUCAGUUUGCAGGGAUGUGUUGGAAUCAUGCUGGGAUAGUAGUAAAUGAUCGAGAUUGUACUAACUUAUCACAGUGGCUAUAUUUGGUAAUGGAGGUAUAUGAGAGCAAGGAUGUCCAGAUAGCAUGUAUUUAUGCUAGGAAGUGUGGGAAAAUAGAAAUGCUUCGGUGUGGCACCAAAAAGGAAAAGACUUUGAUAGGGUUGUAGUUUCAGCAAAGCUUACUCUAAGUCAUUGGUGGAGUGCUCAAGACAGGUCAUUCGAUAAUUUCCUAGGGUUCAUGACUCAAGCAGAUUGUAAGGAGCAUUGGGAAUGUCCAUUACAGUAAUUAGGAAGCAUGAAUAGGUUCAUGAUGUUAGGAUCUAGUAAUGUUAAGUGGCUUGUUUCACUUAUCUUUCUAGUAGUUGUUAUACCAAGCUGUACUCUCUGAUAAUCUAUCAAUUAUUAAGCUUUAACACACUCUACAUGGUAUUAGAGCCUGCUCCAUUUUUUUUUUUACAAAAGAACAUUACUUCCUGCUCAUCUAAUCCAAUUUCAAUGAACUAGGCAAUUUUAACAACAAACAGAACUUGCUCUGCCAUAGGCAUUUUGAUCAAUUUUAAGAGAGGACAUUUGCAUUUUUAACUCUCUGUAGUACUAGUGUACUCUUGAAAACAUAUUGUUACUCUAAUUCCUACUACAAUUUAAUGUUAGUCGAAGUCAUUAGCGACAAGAAUCAAAAUAUAAGAUAAUAAACCUGAAUGAACCAAAGGUUUACUGGGAGGCAGACUUUUAAAAUUCUUGGAAGGACUAGCAAAACGAAAACAAAAUAGCUUGAUGACAAUAGAAAGUUGUGCAACUCUACUUAACCUAGCUAAAAUUGUGAAACUGACCUAUAGACAGUUUUUCUAUUCGACUUGAUCUUGCUUUAACUACAACACAAUUUAUCUUUAUUCAUCUAAUAUUCUUCACAAUUCUUGAUUGAACUUUAUCAUGAUUUCACAUGUGCUCAUUCUAAUUACUAGAGCUAGAGUAGGACUACUUUAAUUAUAAGAGAAAAAGGAUAAGGAACCAGAAAAAUUUACAUAUUAACAUAAUAAUAAGAGGAUUACGAUGAAUAUUAAAAAAAAGGAUUACCAUGAAGACUUGCACAACCCGCAAGGAACAGAGACAUAUAGUUUCUGGAGAGUUUAGUAAGCAACAUCACCGAUCUGAUACAUGUUAUAUACACUUGCACAUGCACAUGCACACGACCAUCAUAUAUAUCAUUUUACAAUGAAAACAUACAGAAACCGGAUCAAUAUUACACGUUAAUUGUAUAAUCUGUAGUGCAUCUUAUGUAAGAAUACCAAGGUAGAAAGCACCACAACAAAAAACAAUAUGUAUUCUAUUCUAUCAUAUUUCUUUUGAUAUCUUUGGCUUUUCCUAUACAAAUCAUCCUAUGAAGAUUCUAGACUUACCUAUAUGGUUAGGAAGAUUAUCUAUACUAAUUACGAAUUUGAGAAAGCUAGGGAUGAUCAACUCACCAAAUUCAUGUAGUUAAGGGACAGUUGACAAACACUGUACUAGUGGUAAGUCGUGUGUAUGUGUGGGUUAGCUAUCAUAUACAUGAACUAAGCUAGCUAGUAAGUGAAAUUUAAACGAUUUAAUAUCACAACAAAACAAAUAUAUAUUUUUUGGAGGUAUUUUAAAUUGUCUUGCAACCCUGUGCUGUCCAAUAUCUCUAAUUUGGCAGCUUACAGUUAAAACAUCUAAUUUUUCACAGUAUUUUUAGUUUGUAAUGUUUACUUUCAAACGCUUAACAUACACUACAGGAAAACAGGUCAAAACCGACCGCACAAAACCGACCGCCGCAUAUAAAACCGACCGACGGUCGCGUGGUCAGUUUUAACCCGUCGAAAUCACAAAACGACGUCGACCUGGGUGACGUGGCAACAAAUAAAACCGACCGUCGGUAACGGUCGGUUAUAUGUAUGACAUGGCACUGUUAUAACCGACCGUUCUCUGUGGUCGGUUUUGUUUUCCGCGGAAAAAUAAUUAAAAAUCAAUUUAAAUAAAAAUAUCUGUGCGUCAACCCCUCAAAACAACGUCAUUUUUUUGUUUGGUACUAAAACCGACCGAUUGGUCGGUCGGUUUUAACCUGCAGCUUUUAUAUCACUUUUUAGCUAGUAAUGAGCUCACAUUCACUUGAAAUAAAAAUCAAAGGAGAAGAAAGGAGCUAAAGUGGGGAAGAAUUAUUGCUUGCAAACAUUUCAAGUAAGUGAUUUUCAUUUAUUUGCAUUAAAUGUGUGUGUGGUGGGUGUGUUAAAUGUUUUUGUUAUAUUAAAUGUGUGUGUAUGUAAUUACAUUGAAUGCUUGUAUUGCAUUAAAUGUAUGAAAUUCAUGUGAAAUUAUUUGUUAAAUGUAUGUGUGUAUUGAAUGUAUGUGUUGUUAAAUGUAUGUGUGUGUUAAAUGUGUGUUAAAUGUGUGUGUAGAUGACAAACUUGGAUCGAAGUUGGAUUAGUAAUCAAGUGCAAAGUGAUAAAAUUUCGUUAACUCCAGAAUAUAGGAAUGGUGUAGAAACUUUUUUAAAAUUUGCAAGUGAAAAUGGAAUGGGAGAAGAUGGUACAAUGAAGUGUCCUUGUAAACGUUGUAGGAAUUUGAAUUGGUUAAGUAUCGACGAUGUUAGAUUCCAUUUACUUGCUAAGGGGAUGCUUGAGGGUUAUACCGUUUGGACAUCACAUGGUGAAGAAAGAGGAAGAAAACGUAGUCGAACAUCGCAUAAUCGUUAUUGUGUUCGGGAACCUACGAGGGUAGAACAACCGGUAGAUUUGAAUGCGAUGCUACAUGAUUUUGCCGGUGAAAAUUCCGAAUUUUAUAACAACGUGGAUACGGGAACUAGGAAUGUAGAAGAAGUUCCAAAUGAUAGUGCAAGAAAAUUGUAUGAGGUGAUUGUUGAAAAUGGAGCACCUAUUUAUCCCGGUAAUACGAAGUAUACAAGAUUAAGCUUUACCACAAAAUUGUUAGAAUUCAAGAAUAUCUCACAUUGUAGUAAUAAGGCUUUUGAUAGUUUGCUUACACUUUUUGCGGAUGUAUUACCAAAAAAACCCACGUUGCCCCAAACUUAUUAUGAAAUGAAGAAGAUAAUGAAGGGUUUGAGGGUUUAAUAUCAAAAGAUUGAUUUAUGUGAGAAUGAUUGUAUGUUAUUUUAUGGAGAUGACAAGGAUAAAGUUGUGUGUGAUAUAUGUGGUAAAGAUCGUUAUCGGGAUGUUUUGAGGAAAGAUGGUAAAAAAAUACCAAAAAAAAUAUUGAGACAUUUUCCUUUGAUUCCUCGACUACAACGCUUGUAUAUGUCAAAACAUACAUCCGACCAUAUGAGAUGGUACAAGAAUCGAGAUGUCAAAGAUGGAGAAAUUAGUCAUCCCGCGGACGGAGAAGAGUGGAAAAAUUUUGAUCGUCGAUAUCCAUCAUUUGCUCAAGAAAUUUGUAAUAUAAGGCUUGGCCUUGCAACCGACGGUUUCAACCCAUUUGGCCCUACCGGGAAAAAAACAUAUAGUGUGUGGCCCAUAGUAGUAGUUGUCUACAAUCUUCCGCCAUCAAUGUGUAUGAAAAAACCCUAUAUGUUUAUGACCGAUAUAGUGCCGGGUCCGAAUAGCAUUGGCAAAGAUAUUAACGUUUGUCUAAGGCCUCUCAUUGAUGAAUUGAAGAUAUUGUGGAAUACAGGAAUUGAAACAUAUGAUCAAUCUUCGAAACAAAAUUUUACAAUGAGAGCGGCUCUUAUGUGGACAAUUAGUGAUUAUCCCGCUAUGAGUAUGAUAAGUGGAUGGUCGGGUAAAGGAAAAUUAGGAUGUCAAGUGUGUCUUGGAAGUGUGCAAGGGUUUUAAUUAAAACAUUAUGGUAAAUGUAGUUUCUAUGGCACAAACCGAAUAUUCCUUGAACCGAAUGAUCCACUACGUCGAAAAAGUGAUUUGUUUGAUAAUGCGGAAAGAAGAGUGUUUCGUGGUCGUUUGUCCGGGGAGGGUGUAAAGGAGUUGCUUGACGGUUUAGUUUUUCCACCACCCGGAAAGACUAAUACAAAGGCGAGGAGUAUCGGAUAUGGGGAAGAGCAUCAUUGGACUCAUGUUCCAAUUUUUUAUGAACUCCCUUAUUGGUCUUCACAUAGUUUACGAUAUUCAAUUGAUAUCAUGCAUACGGAAAAAAAUGUUUUUGAGAACCUAUUUUUUACUAUUGUGAAUGCGAAAAAGUCAAAGGAUCACAAAAAAGCAAGAGCGGAUUGCAAGCACUUUGGUGUGUUACCUCAUUUGUGGAUCGAUGAAAAUGGCAAGUCACCCAAAGCACCUUUUUCCAUUACAAGAAAACAACGUAAACUUUUGUGUGAAUGGAUUAGUUCACUGAAACUUCCAGACGGUUAUUCCUCAAAUAUAUCUCGUUGUUGUAAUGUUGAGGAGUGUACAUUUUAUGGAUUCAAAUCGCAUGAUUGUCAUAUAUUUCUUCAAAAAUUAUUGCCUCUUGCAAUUCGUGAGCUUUUACCGGCGCCUAUUGCGGAUGCCAUCACAGCAAUUGCAAAUUUUUUUCGAGAUUUGUGCUCAUCCACGGUUACAAAAACCGAUUUGGAAAUAAUGGAAAAAUCAGUUGUGAAGGCAUUGUGUUUGUUGGAAACAAUUUUUCCUCAAAGUUGGUUUGAUUCGAUGGAACACUUGGUUGUGCAUUUGGCGGAAGAAAUUAGACUUGCUGGACCUGCUUACUGGCAUUGGAUGUAUCCAAUUGAGCGUUUAUUGGGGAAACUAAAACAAAAAGUCGGCAAUAAAGCAAGAGUUGAGGGUUCCAUUGCCGAACGAUAUAUGGAGGAGGAGAUUGUCAAUAUUUGUGCUUUUUACUUUGCAUCCGACUCGAUUCACAAUAAAUUAAGUCGUAACGAAGUUUUGUUUGAUGUACAAAAGACCGACAAAUUAGAAGUUUUUAAAUAUCCAUGUGAUUCUCUUGGAAAAGAACGAAGUCGAUAUUUGAAUGAUGAUGAGCAAUUAUUAGCUGAUGAAUAUGUUCUUCUAAACUCUCCUGAAGUUCAACCUUAUCUAAGGUAUGGUAAAUACAUUUUAUGAUAAAUUUUUGUGAAGAUGUCAAUACAUUUUAUGAUAAAUUCAUGUUAUUGACAUUUAUGCAUUAUUGUAGGAGGUACCAAGAUCGAGUUAUGAGACAACGUCCUGAGACAACGCCACAACAAUUAGAUCAUAUUGUGAAAACUCGAUUCAAAGCUUGGUUUAAGAAAAAGGUUGAGAAAGACGAGAUAGACGGACCUCGUUUCAUGGACUUGCUAGAAGGACCAGCAUUAAAGGUCAUGACUUUUGAAAAUUGUCAAGUUAAUGGAUAUAAAUUUUCAACAUCAUCCGCAUCCGGUUCCGGUGUUGUAGUUAAAGGAACUUUGCACGAAAAUAAUCUUGAUUAUUAUGGUCAACUAAUAGAAAUUAUAAGACUUAUUUAUCAAGGAUGCAAUCACGUAUAUUUGUUCAAAUGUAUUUGGUUUGAUAGUCUCGGAAAUGGUGUGAGGAUCGAUAAGAAUCGAGUGGUGACGGUUGAUAUAACUUCAAGAUUGAGAUCUAACGAAGUUUUUAUUUUAGCUAGUCAAGCCUCUCAAGUAUAUUACGCUCCUAGCGUAUUGGAUCCACGAAGCAAAAUAUAUACGGUGGUCAAAUCUAAAAGUCGUCCGAUUGAUGAAUCAAUUAUUGUGCAAAAUGAUAUAGAGGACGCUUUUCAAGAAGAUAGAUCUAAUGCCGCUAGCUCAUUUUCACUAUUUGUUGAUUUUGCACAAUAUGGACAAAUACCAUUUAUUCGGCAUGAAAAUCAAGAUGAUGAUGAUGAAGAAGACGAAUUGCGAGAUGAUGAAAAUCAAGAUGAUGAUGAUGAUGUUGAACACAAUGAAGAAGAGGAAGAUGAUAAUGAAGAUGAUGAUGAAGAUAAUGAUGAUGAUAAUGAAGAUGAUGAUGAAGAUGAUGACGGUUUUGAUGACUUUCAAUGAUGUGUAAAUAAUAUACAAUGGUGUAAUCAUAUACAAUGUUGUUUAGGCUGCUUAGUAAUUUGGUUAUGUAUUGGUAUUUGAUGUUGGUACAGGAUUUGGCAAUUGAAACUGCAAAAGAAUCUGUUUUUUUUUCAAUUUUUGCCCAGAAAACCGACCGUCAAACAACAUAACCGACCGGUUUUGACCAUUAAACUACCAGAAAACCGACCGCAUUCAUAUAAAACCGACCCCCAUUUUCCAGAAAACCGACCGCAUUCAUAUAGGCGCGGUCGGUUAUAAGCCGGUCGGUUAUAAAAUCCAGGAUAGCGUACUGCCACAAAACCGACCGUGUCAAAACCGACCACAUAUAACCGACCGUUGCAGGAUUUGACAUCGGUCGGUUUUACUUAAAAGUCAGUCAAAGCCUCUGUAUAUUAUUUGUUAUAUAUAUAUAAAUUAUAAUAAUAUAACUUUACCAGAAAACCGACCGUGUUCAAGUAAAACCGACCAAUUUUUUCCAGAAAACCGACCGGAUUCAAUUAAAACCGACCGUCUGCCCAGAAAACCGACCGCUGGCCCCUUUGACUUCGGUCGGUUUUAACUAAAAGUCAGUCAAAGUCUACAUAUUAUUUAUUAUAUAGACAUAUAAAUUAUAAUAUAUAAACAAAUAUAUAUAUUAUAUAAAUAUGUAUAUAUAUAUAUAUUAUUUUACAUAAUAUUUUACAUGUAAUAUUUAUAUAAAAUAUAUUCGUAAUAUAAAUAUAUAUACAGUCAUAGCUAUCUCUUCAAUCUUACAUACACGGAUGGUUACAAGUGAAGUGUCCGGAGAGGAAGGUGUGAAACCUAACUCUUGUUUCCUCCUUUGCUCACGGUGAUAAGUAAACGUCGUUCAUCCCGUCCCCUUUGACGGUAUUCAAAGCAGAUCGUAGGCUGACUCAGUACUAGUCACUAUCCUGUGUCUAUAUAUUAUUGGCUCAUUUUUAAUAUAUAUUAUUUUAACUUUUUUUUCCUAACUUCACGUGCCAAAAAUUUAAGAUUAUUCCGAUCAUUGCAUGUACAUUCUUAUAACUGAUAUAUGUCAUAAGCAGUGUUCUAAUUAAUAAUCGCCGAUUUAACUGAGUAAUCCCCGAUUACUCCACUGCAAGGUCGGACAUUGAUUCGAUUUUUGAAAUACGAUUAAUCCUUAUAUAUAUUUCUUAAUCGAAGUAUAUACGAUAAAUAUACCAAUUAAAAUAUUAUAUUACCUUAAAUAUGAAUAAUUAUAGAGUUUAUGAAUAUAAUAAAUAUAUUAGUUGCUAAUAUAGUAAUAUUACUUUUGAUUUAAAAUUAAAAUAUUAUUAAAUAAUACUAGCUAUUAAUAUAAUAUUAUCUAACUAUUUUUAAUAUUAAAAUAUUAAAAGGUAUGGUUUUUAUUUAAUUAAAUAAUAUAAUUUGGCCAUUUUUUCAAUUUAGGGUUCCUUAAAACCGACCGACGUACUAUAAAACCGACCGAUCUUUUUUUGCGCCUAAUUUUUCACGAAAAAUUAAAACACGCGCCUUAGUGAAACGACGUCGUUUCACCGGACCCAACGUCAUAACCGACCGCUCCGUCGGUCGGUUUUAAGCUCUGUAUAUAUAAAAAAACAGCCAUUUUAUUUCUUUUCCUUUUAUCUUCCUCUCAACUCUCAUCUCUCUCGCCUCUCUGAACUCAAAUCUCUCUCGCUCUCAAAUCUCUCUCACUGUCUAAUCUCUCUUGCUGUAAACUCCUUCUCUCAAAUGGCAAUUCAAUCUUUCAUCUCUCUCGCUGAUCUCAACUCCCUCUUUCUCAACUUGCUCGUGAUUAUGGUUGCGCUCGAUUCUCUAUGCGAAUUUGUACUCGGUUCACAGAGGAGGGUUCGGUUUCCUCGGAAGAAGAAAGCCCCUUCGCUUUUCGGUUUGGGUUCGGAUGAUUCGGUAUGCUCGAUUCGUUUAGUUUGGGCUCUAUUUCAUUUUUUCAAUUUAGUUUAGUUUAGUUUGUAUGUGUAUAUGUUGGUGUGUAUGUGUAUCUGCAUAUAUUUGUUUGUAUUUGUGUUAAUUUCUGGGAAUUUCAUCUAUGGGUAUGUAUUUGUGUAUGUUUGUAAGAGUAUAAGUUUGUGUUAAUUAGUAUAUACGUGUAUGAAAAAUUUUGCAUGCAAUUUGUCCGUCGGUUAUAUGCAAUUUGUCCGUCGGUUAUAAGUGGGGUGAAAUUUUUCUUAAAUUUUCAAUUUGUAUAGUUUUUGUUUUCUUAGGCCCAUCAUUUGUAUGUUUGUAUGUGUUUGUAUAUGUUUGGUUGAGCAAAACACAUACUAAUUGUAUAAUUAUACAAAUUAGUAUGUAUAUUUUGUAUAUGUAUAGUUUGUAUAUUACUUUAAAUAUGAAUAAAGUAAGCGUGUAUGUGUUUGUGUUUGUGUUAAGGGGAUAAGUGUUUAAGUGUGUUUGUGUUUGUGUUAAGGGGAUAAGUGUUCAAGUGUGUAUGUUUUUGAGUUUUGGAUUUAACUUGAUUUUAAUUUUAAUGAAUUGUAUUGUAGGGGCUCUUUGGUUGGGUGAUGAUUAUCGUCAUGAUUUCAAUGACGAUAUAUAUCAUGGCAAGAAAAAGGAAAGCAACGGACAAGGACACCGACAAAGGCAAGGGAAAGAGUGUCGGUAGUAGUACAAACAAAAGGCGCGCGAAGGGAAAAGGCAAGGUGAAAGAAAAGACGGUGUUGCGUGACGAGCCAACGGAUUCGGAUACCGAAUCGGACCAAAACCCAAGGGAGGCGGAGGCGGAGGCGGAGGAGGAACCGGUGAGAAGAGUGAGGAUGCCGCGGUCACAUUCAUGCGGCAUUUUUGGAGCUAAGAUACCAACAAGACCUCGACGGAUCAAUAUCUCCGAUGGACAGUAAGUAUAUUUUUUUAUAUGUAGUGUUUUGUAGUGAUUUGUAAUGAUUAAUAUAUAUAGUGUGCGUUAGGUAUUAAUAAUUUGUUCACGAGUUUAUAUUUAUAAUGUUCUUAUAUAGUAUUGAAGAUAAUGAGGCAAAAAAGACUUUGCUUGCGAUUAUUCGGGCAAGAUGGCCUUUGGGUAAAUACACGUUUAGUGACAUAGACGCGGCUUACCCAAAGUGGCUCGGUCUAAGGGUUGAGGAGUUUCUAGUAAGUAGAUUUUUUUUAAAUAUAAUAUGUUUUUGAUUUUGUUGGUAAUUGGUGUGAUUAUUCAAUUUUAAUCCUUGUACUUGUUGAUAUUAUGUAGAAAUAUUAUAGGCAAUUGAAAGGUCAAAGCCGUUCAAAAGCCAAAGCUAUCAUUGAAGAUCACAUAAAGGUCACAAUCAAAAGGACCAUGAAUGAAUUGAAGAGGAGGAUCGAGAGGAAGUCAAGGGAGGAAGGGGUUUCGAAGUUGGCUUUGAAACCGGAAUAUUAGAAUAUCAUUUUUUGGAAAGAUCUUCUCAAGUAUUGGGACACGGAUGAAGGCCAUUUGCAUAGGUCGGAAGUUGGAGCUGCUAAUCGGCAACGCGUGGAAAGGUUGCAUAGCGCGGGUGCUCGCUCCUUCAACCGUGUGCGCGAGGUAGUACUAUUUUUAAUAUGCAAACACACACACACACUUUUUGUUUUUACCUUAUAAUUAUAUAAGAUAUAAUAUAAUAAUGCAAAUGCUAAUAUAAGUUAUUUUGUGGUAUAAUUCAAGAACAUGAAAAAGAAAUUGUCUAAAAGUCCGACGAAGCUUGAGGUGUGGGUUGAAUGCCACACUAGGAUCGGCUCCAGUCCCGAGAGCCGAAUAUAUACUACCCCCGCCGCUAUGCGCAUUGCGGUAAUCUUCUAAUUUUAGCAUUUUAAUUAAUUGUGAUAACCAUGAAUACGUCAAUAUGUUUAUAUGUUUAAUUAAUGCUUAUAUCUUCUAAUUUUAGCACUUUAAUUAAUUGUUUAUAUCAUAACCAUGAAUGCUAAUUAAUUGUGAUAAAUGUGUAGGAACGAUAUGCCUCCAUUCUUGAUCGUAUGCCGGUGGAGGUUACUCAAACGGGGGAGCGGGAUGAGCCUUGGGAUUGGUGGAUGGAAGCAAUGGAGGUUCCCCAAGGCGAGAGGCCAAAAAAGAAUUACGUUGUGGGGUUCCCUAAAGCUCGAGCUAGUGAUUUGAUCCCAACACUAGCCACUCGCUAUAACCCGUGGUGGCGCCGGCUCAUUCUCAUCCGCUCCAACACAAAAUCCGGUGGUUCCCGAUUCCAUCUUCCUCCCGAUUGUCCGCAAUGUGCUCAAUGAAACCCGUGCCAAUCCUCUCCAAUUUGCUCGUCGCCUAUCGGAUGAGGAGAUAACAACCUUUGCACGCACAGCCCUCGAGGCAUCCGAUCCAGCCGCUGACCCGGCUCGGAGGGCUGAAUGGAAUAGCCUUCUCGGCGGCGAGAUUGUGCACAUUGUAGGGACAUUGCUCGAGGAUGUCCUCCAAAAAAUGGAUGCUCGUGCUCAAAUGGUAAUAUACUUAUGCUUUGUUUUUUGUUUUUGGUUGAUAUGUAAAAAUGAAUGGAUUUCUAAUUGUUUGACAUGUUUUUGUAGGCAACUGCGCAAGAGGGAGAGAAAGAUUACACGGAUGUGGACGAGGAGACGGAUGAAAACACGGAUGAUGAGGGUGAAGGCGAAGCCGGUGGCGAAGGCGGUGGGGAAGGCGGUGGUGAAGGCGGUGGCGAAGAUGGUGGCGACGGCGGUGGUGAAUCAUCCGAUGUUUCAUUGACCGAUUAGUGUAAUUUAUAUUUUAAUUUUAACGGAUGGUAUAUAUUAAGACAGUGGUUGGAUUUGGAUUGUGAAUGUUUGGGUUUUGAAUUGUUUGAAUGUUUGGAUUUGAAUUUGUAAUUAGUAUGUUUGGAUUUUGAAUUGUUUGGAUUUGGAUUUGUAAUUAGAAUGUUUGGAUUUGGUUUAAUUAGAAUUGUUUCGUUUAAUUUUGUUGUUGGUAUUUUGUGAUGUUUGGUUGUUUAGGAUGCUUGGUUUGAUUGUUUGGUUGGUAUGGUUUUGGUACAGGGAAUUGAUUGGAAACUGCAGAUUCUGCUGCAAUUUUUUUAAAAAUUCACCCAGUAAAACCGACCGAAUGGUCCCAAAACCGACCACUUUUUACCAUAUUGAUGCCAGAAAACCGACCGCAUUCAACUAUAACCGACCGUGCUCAUCACAUAAAACCCAGAAAACCGACCGCAUUCAUCAAGAGUCGGUCGGUUAUGAAAGUGGACGAGGAGACGGAUGAAAACACGGAUGAUGAGGGUGAAGGCGAAGCCGGUGGCGAAGAUGGUGGCGACGGCGGUGGUGAAUCAUCCGAUGUUUCAAUGACCGAUUAGUGUAAUUUAUAUUUUAAUUUUAACGGAUGGUAUAUAUUAAGACAGUGGUUGGAUUUGGAUUGUGAACGUUUGGGUUUUGAAUUGUUUGAAUGUUUGGAUUUGAAUUUGUAAUUAGUAUGUUUGGAUUUUGAAUUGUUUGGAUUUGGAUUUGUAAUUAGGAUGUUUGGAUUUGGUUUAAUUAGAAUUGUUUCGUUUAAUUUUGUUGUUGGUAUUUUGUGAUGUUUGGUUGUUUAGGAUGCUUGGUUUGAUCUUUUGGUUAGUACGGUUUCGGUACAGGGAAUUGAUUGGAAACUGCAGAUUCUGCUGCAAUUUUUUUAAAAAUUCACCUAGUAAAACCGACCGAAUGGUCCCAAAACCGACCACUUUUUACCAUAUUGAUGCCAGAAAACCGACCGCAUUCAACUAUAACCGACCGUGCUCAUCACAUAAAACCCAGAAAACCGACCGCAUUCAUCAAGAGUCGGUCGGUUAUGAGACGGUCGGUUAUGUGAAUCAGGGUGGCCUUCUGCCACAAACCCGACCGACUCAUAACCGACCGCACAUAACCGACCGUGGCAGAAGGUUGACGGCGGUCGGUUUUGUGUCAGAGUCAAUUCAGAUAAAAGGCACAUAACCGACCACUGAAAUCGGUCGGUUUUACCAGUCGCUUCUGACGUGGUGUGACACCUGUUGCCACGUGGUGACAGGUGGCAUCAAGUGGGGCCACUUUUCUGGGAACAAAACAGCACAUAACCGACCACUUACUUGGUCGGUUUUAAGGGUUAAAGCCGACCAAUUCGCGUAACCGACCAGGGUUUAACCGACCAGCCAUAUCGGUUGGUUUUAUGCUUAUAACCGACCGAUAUUGUUCAUAACCGACCGAUGCUGGCGGUCGGUUAUGUCCUGUUUUCCCGUAGUGAUAUUAACCAUCCCAGAACAUUGCUGUAAAUCUCAUUUUAAAUCAGGUAAGGCAGUGAGAUUACACAGAACUUACCAACUCAGAAUCGAGCUGCUACCUCAAUUGGAAAGUGACAAAUGCUCAACUUAAAUUUCUAUAUAAAGCACAAGGAUGGCUGCCCUAUUUUGGAUCUAAGAUUAUUUUCACGGGGCACCAGCACCACAUUAUAUAUGGAGAGAUAACCUUUCUUUAAAAAAUAAAUCAUGGGGGCACCUCUUUAUUCUAUUGAUAAAGUCAACAACGAAAUUUAUUUGGGGGACACUGCUGUUCAUACUGAAGCAGACCCAAGCAGUGUAUGUUGUUAUCUGAAAUAUCUAAUAAUUUCGAAACUAGUAUAUAUAGACCAGCAGGUUCUACAAAAAAAAUCAGAUGGAUACCUGUUUUAGCAGCCUCCCUGCAACUCCUGCACCUUCUAUUCAUCUUGUGCUAAUCUUUAUAUAUUUGUGAAUUUCAAUAUUUAAAUAAAUUAUUUAGAUUUACCAUACUUCUGGUGUAAUUGAAAGUUCUGAAAAUGUGCAUCAGAGUUUGAGAAUCUGUGACAACCUUAUUGGCAUAGUUAUAUAAGAGUAGUUCAUCAUCAAAAGUUCAUCCAACAAAUUUACUUGAGUUAGACAUCAUAUCACACUUCUGAUUAGUAAACUCAUGGCUGUGAACUUGAUCUAACAAUCUUGUCGUCUUUUCUCUAGGUGCUGAUGUCUUGAUACUCUUGAUUUGCUGUAAUGGCAACAGAUUUCAAAAAAUUGAAAUAUUUCAUAAUGAAUUAUGGUGAUUAAUAACUCCAGGCAAUGAAAUUAAGCAAAAACUCUUAUUUAACAUUAAAAAAAUCAAAUUCACACCAUGGUGGUGACAGAAAUGUCUUUCACUUAAAAACAUCAUUCUUUUACUUGGGUUGUCAUGUACAAUACAUCAAGAAAACAUGAAAUACCUAAAAUAGAUUUAAAUAGUGACGAACAUGCUCAAUCUUCAUUCCCUUUUACUUUGCGGGCAUAUACUAUCUAGACUGAUUAAACAAUGAUGAGAAGAAAAAAGAGGGAACCAAUAACACAAACAGUGAAAGCGGGACUGGUGAAUGGGAUAUACCAAAUAUGUUCAUGUAAUAAUUGUCAACAUAAUUGCCAUAACCGAAACAAUGUUUAGCACACUUGAUGCAGCAUUGAGUUGAUUGCUGAGCAGGUACAACUAAUUAUAUGUAUUAGAGUUGACGAAGGAGAAGAUGAUGCCAAUAUGGCAGGGCAAAAAAAUUGACCUCUUUUUAAAAGGGGAGUNUCAAAAAAAUUGACCUCUUUUUAAAAGGGGAGUCAACUUUAUCCCUUCACUUUCUUCCCAAACUAUUUUCUAUACCCCGCAACAACUCCUCAAUAUCUUCCCCUGAUAAAGUUGAAGGACUCUUGGCCAUUUCAAUUUGGCCAUUGAAUCUUCUUUUAUCCGGCCUCCAUUUAUGUGUAGGACAAAGAAAUUUCCAAUGGUUCAUAUAACACAUUUUUCUACUAUGUUUUAAAUAACUUGAAGAAGUCUCGUAAUGGCAUACGGGACAUGCAAGUUUUCCCUUGGUGCUCCACCCCGACAACAUGGCAUAUCCCGGGAAGUCGCUUAUCGUCCACAAUACACUUGCACGUAAGUUGAAAUUCCCACCAGAAAAUGCAUCAUACGUUUCGAUGCCAACAUCCCAUAAUUCUUUUAGCUCCGCAAUCAAAGGUUGCAUGAACACAUCAAUAGAGUUCCCCGGAGAAUUAGGGCCAGAUAUUAACGUGGAAAGAAUUAAAUUUUCUUGUUUCAUGCAUAAUAAAAGUGGGAGGUUGUAAUUAACCAAUAUAAUUGGCCAUGUACUAUGGCUUAGAGUCAUCGAACGAUAGGGGCAAAAGCCGUCCGCUGAUACACCCAACCUAACAUUUCGCAAUUCUGAUGCGAAAUCAGGAUACUUCGAAUCCAUUAUCUUCCAAGCUUUGGCAUCAGCUGGAUGCCUUAGUUUCCCAUCUUUUUUCCGUCCCGUUGCAUGCCACGUCAUUAGUUUAGCAUAAUCCUUGCACAUAAACAACCUCUGCAACCUUGGUUUUAGUGGAAAGUACCUCAACACCUUUGCUGACACUUUGUGUAUCAAUUUCUCGGGAUCAUUAUUAGCUUCAUUGCCAUUUUUUUCACAUACAACCCACCUCGAAGCACCACAAUUAUCACAGACAUCUUUAUCUUUGUUAUUUUCCCAAAACAACAUGCAAUUGUUUGGGCAGCAGUGUAUUUUGUGGUAGUCGAGACCUAAAUCCUUAAUAAUACUUUUUGCCGCAUUGAAGGAAGAAGGUAAGUGGGCAGUAGGAAAAGCCUCUUUAAUAAGGUUUAGUAAUUCCCCAAAGGCAGAUUCUGUAAUUCCAUGCGCACACUUUAAGUGAUAAAGCCUAAUUAUGAAACUCAAUCGCGAAAAGUUGGUGCAUCCGGGAUAUAAUUGUUGUCUCCCCUCUGUCGCAUGGUGAUAGAACUUUGUGGCCUCUGCAUUUGGCACAUCAUUGUUCUCCUCCACAUUAUCAAAUCUUUUACCGGUACAUCUGAACAUCUCUUCCAGAUUGUCUUCAAAAUCCAUCCCCGUACCACAGUCCAUGUAGUCAUCAUUAGCACGGCUUAAUUUACUUUGUGAAACCUCACAAAUCCAUUUCAGAUGUAAAGGGGAAGGCCCGCUGCAAAUUAGAUGGUCAAAGAUAAUCUCUCGAUUAUGCCACGUUCGAUUGGCACAAUUUUUGCACGGGCACUUCAUUUCGUCCCCUUUGCAAAAAUUGGGGAAGGCAUUUUCCAGAAAAGCUUUUACCCCAUUCACAUACUCCUGACUACAUCUUGGAAAUCCAAUCCAAGCUGUAUACUCGUCAACGUCCAUUGCAACAUUCUAGCGUGUCCUACGGAUAAAAGAAUAAUAUAUACACAUAUAUUUUUAUUUCAGGCCCCUUACAAACAUAAAAUACAUAAAUUACAAAUAAGCAUAUAAAAUACAAAUAUUAUAAAUAAAAAAAAUGAAAUACAUAUAUUACAAGUAAGCAUUUAAAAUUCAGAAGUCACAAUUAUAUAUAUAUAUAUAUAUAUAUAUAUAUAUAUAUAUAUAUAUUAUUAUUUAUUUAUUUUAUCAUAUAAAUCAAGGAACAUUUUAACUGCAAAAUUGGUGUUUUCAAUAUUGAUUUGGAGUACAUCACAAAUAUAUAUAUAUAUAUAUAUAUAUAUAUAUAUAUAUAUAUAUAUUGCUAGACACAUAAUUCAAAGGGAAUUAGGAGUUCACAUUAUCUAACCAAGUUACUAGAUAAAAGUUGAACUCAUUAAAAAGUAAGGACAUAGGACGACUAUUCCCUACUAAGCCUCUGAUCCUCUAUCCAUCCAAGUCAUCUAAUAGUCUUGUAUCCAAUUCAUUAAUCGUAAUUCGAUAUUUCCGAUGUCAUCACAACUCGAGACUCUCCACAUCAAAUCAAAACCAUGAAAUGACAAACAAACUUCAAUUACGAACUCGAAGCAUGAAUUAGCAUAACAAACAAAACUACUCGAAAUCAUUUAUAAUCAAAGAACAGAUUACACGUAAAAACAACAAUCAGAACAUAAUUGAAUACGUAUACACACGCAUCUGAUAUAGAGCAAUAUGCUACCAGAAAGAAACUAAUGCACCAUAAAAUAAACACAAAAACACAAGCAUACAUAAUCAGUAGGUAACACAGUUAUAUAUAACAUAAAAAUGAAGCAUUUAAAUUACCUCAACUAUUGAAGCCCCGAAUUCAAGCCUCGAUGAGCCCUAAUUUUCAGCCUUUAUGAAAAGCCCUAAUUUUCAGCCUCGAUGAAAAGCCCUAAUCCCCUGCAAUAUGAAAACCCAAGUCAGUAAAAACCCUAAUUAGCUCGACUGAAGCACUAAUCAGCAGGAAACUAAACUAUAACACAGCAAAACCAACUUGACCACAGCCAUACAAACAACUCGCCUAACUAUCAAAAAAACUAAACCAAAAACUAACAGUGAAACUCGUAAUGAUUUAAACUAAACUAAACUACUCGACUCACUGUGACUCGACAAGAACCCAGCCAUAUACAAGACCCAGCUCAGACAACUUAUAAAACGAAAACUAACUACCGAGACUAACGAUUCAGCGACUCGGAAUUGGGAACACAAACCAGCAAAUGAACUACAACCAUGACUAGAAAACUGACUCGGUUGCAACACAAAACAAUCGGAAACAAAAAACUCAGUGAAAAACCUCUUCACAGCAACACAACUAGCAAAAUAAACUCAACUAUGAUGCAGACUAUACUCAGACGCAGCAUUUAAAACCCAACAGCAAGCGAUUCAAACGACUUCAUCAAAACUACAGAAACUCGAAAGUGAAACAGAGGAAAUCACUUAGCAAUAUAGCAAACAGAGAAAAUCACUUAGCAAUUGAAAAUUUAUUCGAAAAUCCAGAAACACAAACACCAAACAUAAGAACCAAAGAUAAAUAAAAAACGAAACAUAAGAACAAAAGAUAAACACAAAACAUAAAAACAAAAUAUAAAAAACAAAACAUAAAAACCAAACAUAAAAAAUGGAACAUAUAAAUGGAACAUAUAUUCCACGGAAAUUACCUGAAUAUUGAAGCCCCCAAUUCAAAUCCACCUAAAAGGCCUAAUUUCAAGCCAUAGUGAAUACCCUAAUUUCGAUUUACCUCGAUAAUGAGAUGAGUGUUAAGCUGAGAUGUAGUGAGAGAUGUGGGUGAGAGCGGUGAGAGACGGAGAGUUGAGAGCUGGUGAGAGUGGAGAGGUGAGUGAGAGUGUUAGUGAAUGGGGAAAUGAAAAUGUGAGUGUUUUCAAAACGGGGGAAAAAGCCCGCUUGCAUUUUCACCUCGAUAAUGGUGCUGUCUUUUUCCUUUUAAUUUUUUUUAUUAUUUUGAUAUAUACUUUACUAAUUUAAAAUAUUUCUGUAAAUAUUGUUUAUAAUGUAAAUAUAAUAUUAUUAUAUUAUGUAAUAUAUUAUAUAAUAUAUAAUAAAUACUAAAAUAAAAAUUGUCACGAAUUUGUAAAUAAUUGAUUAUAUUUCAUUUAUAUAUGAGAUGAGUUAAUUAGUGUAAGUAAAUUUAAAGUAAAUUAAAGUAGUUAAUUAUAAUAUUGUAACGUUUUUGAAUAAGUGUUUCAAGUUGCAACACUUCAACUUUAAAGUAACAUCGAUUUUGUAUAAACAUAAUACUUAUUAAGAAGUGUUGCACUAGUCUCAAGAAGUAUGUCUAUUGUAACUAAAUAAAGGUAACGCCCAUAAAAGAAUGUUACAAAUGAGCACUUAUGGUGUAGUGCUAGUUGAUAGUAUAGUGCUAGAUCUUCUUUUGUUCUCUCAUUUUCAUACUACAUUUGUAAACACUUUUUAUUUAAUGCAAAUCUUCUUUUAGCUUGAUCUUGUAUUGUCUCUAUUUUCUUGCUCCUAGUGGCAUAUUCUUCUUAGCACCACCAUAUGCCUAAGGGCUUUUGGGAAUGGGAGAAGCUUUCUAAUUAGUGUAGAUUUUAUGAUUGCUUAAAUUAGUCGUUAAAGCUCUUUUAAAUCCUAACACAAAAAUAAUUUGUGUAAGGGGCUUAAUGUUUUAGAUUUAAAUUCGGCAGGUCAUUAUUUUAAUUAUCAUUUAGCAGCCAAUAUAGUUUUCGUUUUGUUUGCUUUUAAAACUCACUACAACCCAUCAUCAAAUUAGAACUCAUCUAUCUUUAGUGAAAGGGAAUUUGGUGGCUGCAAUGUGGUUGAAAAUUGUAUUUCGACUCUGCUAUUCUCUCCUCCGAUUCGCACCUGCUCUAUCGCCGCUGUUUCGGCACGGCACCGCCGACGGUGGCGGUGUUUAUCGACAAGGGUAUCACCGGAAAAACGGUACUGUACUUGCGCCUCUCUUUCAUUUGCCUAGAUCUGUCUUCUCUGUGUUUUUUCACCUUUCAGUUCUUUUUUAUUUGUAUAUAAUUGUUUUACUUUUUCUUUAUGUACCAUAUGUAUUGGAUCAUACGUCAAUUUUGCGCUGAUUGGUCGAGGUUGUGUUUAUGUUUUGUUUCCAAGUUGUAGUCCUUGUCUCGUUUUUAGUUUUUUUUUGGUUUUGCAUUUUCAGAGUUACAGCACGGUGUUGAAGUAUGUGAUGCUGAGUUUUGAGUUUUGAUGCAUAGUUUGGUCUGAGUCGCCAUCCCGAGUAUUUUGUUUAGCACCGAGUUGAGUGAAACCGUGUUUGCGUCGUUUGAUUUGCUAGUUUUGUGCGCUUCUGCUGAUUUCACUAGCUUAAAUGAUUGCCUGGAUUUAGUUCUGAGUAUUGUUUCCUGUUAGUUCUUUUUUCAGCCAAGUAACGCCCGAGUCGCAUGAUCCUAGUUUUAAUGUUGCAUUAUUUUGUUUAUUAUUGUCUGAGCUGCUUUUUGAUUUUUUGUCGCUACUGAGUCAAUUAAUCCAAGAGUUGAUACGGGUGUCAUGUUGAAUUAGUAGUGGUCACUUAAUUAGUGUUAUUCUGAUUGAAUUAUUUUAUGGCAUGAUUUUAGUUUUAGAAUUGUAAAUUUGAAUAUUAUUUGGAAUUGUAAAUUUGAAUAUUAUUUGAUUUUGAUAGUAGUAAUUGUAGAUCUUGAUUUGUUACGUUUUAAAUUGUGAUUGGAUAAAUAUUCUUUUUGAAUAUUUAGUACCAUUUAUAAGGUCAUUAUUGAUGACAUUUUAUGCCUUUAAUGGCUUUUAGUGCCAUUUUUAUGGCUUCCGUUACCAUUUUGAUAGUCAUUACAUUUAAUAUAUGAAUUAGAUUUUAAACUUAAUUUUUAUUCUUCAGUUAAAAUUUUAAAUUUUUAUGUGUCUAACCAAAGGAUUUUCCUUUAGUUAGAUAUUUAUUAAUAAUUCUACAUUAUAUAUAUAUAUUCCUCUUUAUUUUUUGAUAUAUAUACUCUUUACUUUUUGUUUUUAUUAGAUUUUUUUGUAUAUUGAUUUAUGUUUUAUUUGAUUGUUUUUUUCUCAGGAUACUUUGGAAGUGAGCUGUAGUGUAUGGGUAUUCUUUUCUAAUUCAUUUAAGCUUUAUUGUCUAAACGUCCGGAGUUAUGCUCGCAUGACUUUCGGUUAGAUGAUAAACUUUCUUGAAAGAAAGAUAUCCCAGUUGCGGUUUAUUGUAUUUCGAUACAAUUCAUCUACAAUUAUGUAGACCUUUAAAAAAAAAACUCACUACAACCCCACCUCCAUUAUAUACACUCUGUUUUCUUUCCGUUUUCUUUAUCAAAGUCACCUGCUCAGUUUUUGUUCAAAACAUAAACCCCUGCUUUGUUUUUCUCUAAAACCCCAUUCCCCUGUUUUAUUUUUCUUUCGCUGAGUCGCACACCGAGUCAAUCGAGUAGUACGAGUCCGAGUUUUGCUUGCAAUCGCUGUUAAAUUUCCGAGUUGGGGUCUGAGUUUGUGUUUUCGUUACUUAGUUUCUUCGAGUUCAGAAUCAUCAUUGAGUCAUUGCUUGUUUAUUUGCUGCUCGAGUUGAACUUGUUAGAUGGGUUUCUGUUGAAUGCCGAGUUGAAAUACGAGGUCCUGAGUCACCGAGUCCGUUGAUUUCUCUUCCUUCUUUUUGUUUGCCGAGUCGUCUGAGUUGUUUGGUUGCUGGGUCGAGUCGUAGAGUCGUAGCGAUUUCUUUAAGUGUAAAUUUCAUCCUCCUGUUUUCGGCUGCUGUUUGAGUAUUUUGUUUGCGUCAUUCCUGCUGGUUUGAGUCGUUCACCCGAGUCGCUCUACUUUGUUUACGUUGUGUUCUGCUACGUUUGAUGAAGUUCAGUUUCGAGUCAUCGCGUCUGUUUCGAUUUCUGUUGCUGGGUUUGUUGCUAGUUGUUUACUGUUCAGUUUGUUUUUCAGUCGAUGUUUGUGUGUGAGUCGAUUGUGUCGAGUCCAGUGCUGAGUGUUUUUAUUGUUUAUCGUCGAGUUUUUGAGGAGCUGAGUUCAAUGUUAAGUGGCUGAGUUCGAGUUACCGAGUCAUCGAGUCCUGGGAGUUGAGUUCGUAUCACUGGGUUAAAUUUUUGUUUAAGUUGUAUACGAGUGUUGAUUUCUCUAGUGUCCCCAUUUGUCUGUUCAAGCUGGCCGUAUUCUUUAUUGGGUCCAGGUCCCCAGCAAUCGAUUGUUGGGGGACCUUUAACCAACACAUGCUGUUUGAGCCGUCCGAUGGGCCAAUUAAGGGCCACGAUUAAAAAACCGUCCAGCGCUUUUUUGUCGCUGGACGUGUGUCGUCCAGCGCUAAAAAAUCGCUGGACGAGUGUAUGUUUUUUAACCGUCCAGCGCUAAAAAAGCGCUGAAAAGACAGAGACACAUAUAUAAGCGUGAAACAAAGACAUAAUGUAUACAAACAUUUGAAAAAAGGAGCGAGCGAGCAAUUUGAAUCGUGUUUUACCACUGCAAUCACCCAUUCUUCGAUUGAUUCUCGCAUAUCUGUAGAAUCAUGCUUUACCAGUUGAUUAUCGUGCUUUACCAGUUUGUUGGAUUCAAGGCAGUGGAGUCGAAGUUUAUCGGGUAAUCUCACCCCUUCAACCUCGUAGCUAUUUGGUUGCUGUUAGGUUUAGGAUGUAGGUUUAGGAUGUUUGUAUGGCUUCGAUUAUACGUUGCAGUUUGCAAUAAAACCUUGCUUUUUCGUAGUGAAUGCAAAUUGUUUGAUAAAAUGCCUCUUUGAAUAUGCUGGUUUGAAAGUGUUUGUUUAAAUGCAUCUUAGAACAGGUUCAUUGCAAACUCUGAUUUAUGUUAUGCAAUGAUUUGUCGUCAUGAAUUUAUGGUUGAUUGCAAUGUGUUUUAUGCUUUAGUUUCAGUUAGUAUAUACUUGAAUUUGUUAGUGAAUUUGCACUGAUUUUGUACGGUUAUAAUGUAUGAAUUUGUAAGUGAAUUUAGGCUGUUUGAGUGAUGCUGAUUUCUUUGUCGAUAUCUGUUGUGUUGUAUUGUCAUUAAGCGUCACUGAUUUAUUGUCGAUAUAUGUUAUCUGCUUUGUAAUGUAUGAAUUUGUAAGUGAAUUUGUUAGUGAAUUUGCACUGAAUUUGUAAGGGUAAUUUAUGAAUUUGUAAGUGAUUUUUUGUGUUUGGGAUCUGCAGAGAUGGAGGACAUAUUGCCAGGACCGAGCAGCUGGGUGGUUAUCGCUGACAAUGCUUACCAUGUCAGUGAUAGUGUAUGGAGAGGUACAGAUAGGGGGCCUUUAGAGUGCUUUGGUGCGAGCCGUCUACUUCAUGUUUGGGUUCUGUUUGAGGCACAGAAGGAGUUGUUGCACGCCGUGGGAUUUGGAUUGUUUGCUAACCAGGAUGUGGGGGUACAUAAUGACACGGCAUUAGUCUCUGCACUCGUGGAGCGGUGGAGGCUUGAGACCAACACCUUCUUCAUGCGCCAGGGUGAGAUGACUAUUACUCUCCAGGAUGUGAGUUAUAUUCUGGGCCUGCCUAUUCUUGGGCAACCUUUGGGAGGGCCAUCCAUACAGUGCCCGGGGUCGUGGUUUCGAAGAUUUUGGUUAGAGCCACUGAGUGAUGCAGAUUAUGAGGCUGGUUGGAAUAAGUCAGGCAUCAAGUUCACCUGGCUUCAUCAUAGAUAUGGACGGGCAGGUGUGGAGGGUGACCCUGAGCGGAUUGCAAUUCACGCGCAGGCUUACCAAGCGAAACUUGAAUAGACUCGGACCUGUCAUACAAACUAAACUUUGCAAGAAGAAACGGAUUAGGCUUAUCAUCAAGAUUGUCCGUUUGCAAAUUAUGUACGAACCCCUUCACAUAUGCGAUACGAAAUUGAUCUUUUUGGAAACGUGUCUCGCGGGGCCUCAAAUUGUUUAUCUGAGCAAUUCGCUCGACAUUGACAAGUUCGCCUCCAUCCCAAGGACGUAGCACAAAACGCUUGUCUUUGUCCAAAGCGUCUGCUCCCAAAAGCCUAAUGUGAAUGAAAUACGGUGGCGGGCAUCUCCUUGCCUUUGCCUCCAUUUCUCCACUAGCAAUCCAUGUACACGCAUCGCUCCAUCUCCUAUCCCUUUCACUUUCUUCCUCCAUAGGGUACAAGUUGAAAUCCUCUUCUUUAACCACAGGAGCAUUUAUGAAGAACCCGUUUGCAUACGAUGGGCAAUCUAAUGCCUCCAUUUCUCCACUAGCAAUCCAUCCACACGCUUCAAUUUCUUCCACCAUAGGAUCUAAGUUGGAAUCCUCUUCUUCGACUACGGGAGCAUCAAUCAAGAAUCCAUUUGCAUACGAUGGACCAUCUAACGACAACCGGUCAAUAAUGUCAAGCAUCUCAUUGUCCGACGGGGUGGACCAAGAACGGAACCAACUUUCACUAAGAGCCUCCUUCGAGGGUGAAAGCGAAUCACUAACAUGAGUAAGUGUGUCACUAAUGUCAGAUAGGUGGCCAUUUUCCAUUUUUCACCUACAAAUAAAAAUCACAUAAAAUCAUAUAAAAUCACUUUAUAUCACAUAAAAUCAUACGAAAUGACAUUAAAUCACAUAAAAUCAUACAAAGUGACAUAAAAUCCUAAAAAAUCAUAUAAAAGCACAUAAAAUCACAUAAAAUCCUAUAAAAAUCAUAUGUGACAAGAUCACAUAAAAUCAUAUAAAAUCACAUAAAAUCAUAUAAAAUCACAUAAAAUCACAUAAAAUCCUAUAAAAUCACCUAAAAAAGUUACAUCUCAGCACUCUUAUUUUGGUCUCCAAAUUUUUUGCAAGUCCUUAUGUCAUGGCCAUCUUAAUGACAUUGCUUGCAUUUUCUCUUUUUCUUACUAAGGCCUUCAAUUGGAUUUUUGAAACGUUGUGGCUUCUUCCUACCCUUCGUUUGAGACACUAUAGGAUCAAGUACCGGCUCGUUCAAGUCGUCACCAAUAUUCUCUUCAAUGGGAUUCUCAGUAUUUGUAUUGAGAGCAGUAUCAUCAUCAUCAACAGCCAUUUUCUCAAGAUUUGCAAUUUCUCGAUUCAUCACCUCUAGGGCAUACUCAUAUCUUUCUUUCGAAACCAUUCUACUAUGACAAAAACUCAUUGUUAACAAAAUCAUAUGGUUGAAUCUUUGACUUGGUGUCAAUUCUGUAGAUGUUGGAUCAUCGCAACCCAUAGCAUAAGGUAGCAUACCAUCUACCCUAUUAGCAUCUCUAGUCCAACGACGUUGAAUAAAUGUUACUGGAAUUUGGGCAACAUUUUUCUUGUUUAAAACGGCAAUGAUGUGUCGACACGGGAUUCCUAAAUGUUCAUACAUCCGACACACACAUCUUCCUGUUAGGGCCACUUUGUUGAACUUCACUUCAUACAGUGUUCUUUUGUCGACUUCGGUCAGGGGUCUAAAACACCUAUAAUGUGUGACUUCAUCCCCUAACGUCAACUGAUCUUUAUCCUUCUCCACAAAGUAUUUAGAGGCUUCUAGCAAUUGAACUUGAAAUUGGCGAAACAUCUCCUUGGUAUACAUGGAAGCCCCGUCUUGUUCCAAAGCCGUCUUCAACCUCAUGUAACGGGUUUUAUUCUUUGUGUCAUUGUCCUCCUCCUUCUCCCGCAUAAAUUGUCUUUCAAUUGCUUUCUGUGCAUUCUCAACAAAUUCCUUCAAUCCUGUACUAGAACUGACAUAGCUAUCAAAGAAUGCAUUCAUCCCCUCGCUCCUCGAUGUCGUGUUCUGACCCGCAGAGAAUGUACUCUUACUGUAGGCCGAGAUCCAUUUCUCCUUCAACAAAUACAAUCCUUGCAACCAUGAAUGAUCUUUCAAAUCAUACUUCACCACUAAAUUUUUCCACCUCUCCUCAAAAAUAUCCUCCGUCAAUGAAUGGUAUAUGCAUUUGUUGAAAUCUACUUUGAAUGUUCCCGGAUGCUUAAUAUAAAGGGUGUUCAAUUUUUCGGGGAACUUCUGGCUUAUAUGCCAAGAACACAACAAAUGUCGGGUUUGGGGUAGUAUGGAUGCAAUUGCCCCCGCCAUAGCUUGAUCUGCUUUAUCUUGGUCCGUGAUUAUAGUGUUCGGGUGUUUAUCGCCAACCGCUUCAAGCCAUGUUCUUAGCACCCAUUCGAAACUACUUUUUACUUCAUCCCUCAUGAGUGCAAAUCCAAAAAGAACAGAUUGGUAAUGAUGAUUGACCCCUGUAAAAGGCACAAAUGGCAUGGCAUACCUAUUCGUUCGGUAUGUCGUAUCAAAAGCAACAACAUCUCCAAAAUUACUAUAGGCCAUCAAACAUUUAGGAUCCACCCAUACUAGAUUUUUCAAACGGUUUUCUCCAUCCACUUGAGUUUUCACAAAAAACUUCCCACCGCCUUCCUCUUUAAGACGACUUAACAAAUCCAAACCCGCUUGAGCAUCACUCACUUGUAUCUUUUUCUUCCGCUCAUCCCACACUACAUUCCUAAUAUUUUGGCUACCAAAACCAACAUUACUUACUCCACCUUGCAUAUUGCUAAAAAGACUCAUGGUUUGGCUAGGGCAAAUACCUGACACAUUUAACACAUUUAUAAGAUUUCUUGCCGCACUCGUCAUAUGUCUUUCCCGUUGAAUCAAACUCAUCUUACUAGGAGAUACAAGAUCAUGAUUGUGUUCUAAUUCAACGGUUGUCAACUCCCAAUAAUCUUUUUUCUUCUUUUUCACAACAAACAUCCUAACCUUACAACCACUUCUAGGAAGUUUAUCCCGAGGACGUGUGCCGUUACUACUACCUACACAUACUUCUUCAUCCACAACAUUUUUGUCUUGAUUUUCACCCGCAAGUCUACAAACAAACAUCCGGGCAUAUAUUUUAUCAACUUUUGCCCUUUUCUUUGUUUGUUGUAUUUUCACAGCAAACCCAUCCUUAAGGGCAUAUGACCUGAUAAAUCUAUCCGCGUCAUCUAAAUUAUCAAAUCUCUGAUUCAAAUACGGGACUUCCAUAUUUUUAUUUCUUUCAUUCUCAUCAUUAAAUUUAUUAUCCACUCCUUUAUCAUCACUCUCUACGUUCUCAUCAACCUCAUCAUCACCACUAACAACAUUUCGAUCAUCAAUACAAUCUUCAUCAACACUAACAUAUUCUUUAUCAUCAACAUUUUCAUCAUCUUUUAAAUCAAUAAACACACGAUCUACAACACUAUCAACCUUAACAACAUCAUCUACAUCUACGUAAUCCUUAUUAUCAACUUUUUUUACUCUUUUUCUUGGAACAAAAUCCUCGAACAAAGAAUCCGCCAUAAUAACAACAACACAAACGAAGCAAACAACUAGAUUAGAGUAAGAAAUUACCACAACCUUGAGUAUGCACUUGCUUCUUUAGCUCCAAAGAGUAUGCACUUACCACAAACCCUAGCUCUCCAAUUUUUUAACCUCCUCGAUCUUUUUUCUACCACUAACCUAAAGUGACCUAGUACGUGAGUAUAUGAUCAUUUCUCUGUGUUUCCAGCGCUUUUUUAGCGCUGGACGAGUAAAAAUAUCUAACUCAUCCAGCGCUUUUUUAGCGCUGGACGGUAGACGUCCAGCGGUAAAAAAGCGCUGGAUGGUUUUUAAAUCUCGACCGUUGAUCUCGCCAUCGGACGGCUCGCGAGGGGUGUGUUGGUUAAAGGUCCCCCAGCAACCGAUUGCUGGGGACCUGGACCCUUCUUUAUUUACUAUUAAUUUUAUUAGAUACUGAUUUGAUUGUGUUUGUUGACGGAAUGGCUAGUUGUACAUACGUAAGGGUCAUGUCAAAAUUGUAUGUUUUCUUUUUAAACUCGUUUCCUUAGGAAUUAGUAGUAAUUUUAUUUAAACCACUAAUUAGUUAAAAGUGAUUAAGUGGUAACUAUUUAAGAUUAAUUAGAUCAGAUUCUAAAUCAUAGUUUAUGAUUAUUAAAAUUAGUUUUUAAAAUAUCCACUCUUCACCAUUAAUUGUUCUAAUUUGCCUAGAUGAAAGAUUAAGGUUUCGAAAAUUUUUUUAAUCUCCGUGGAAUCGAAUCUUAAAUACUAAAACGUGAUCGUGCGCUUGCGAUUAAUUUAAAAAUCAUUUUUCUAGCACAUCACAAAGGAGAUAUGGGAUGCAUUGGAAGCUUAUCAUGAAGGUUCAAAGGGUCUAAGGAAAGUAAAGUUGGGACAACUAAUGAAGGAACUUGGUGCUUUCGGUUUGCAAAAGGGAGAAACAAUUAAAGAAGCUCAAGCUAGAUUUCAACUCAUUAUCAAUAACCUAGGGAGACUUGGAAAGAUAAUUCCUCAAUCAGAAUUCAACAUGAACAUUCUCGCUUCUGUUCCAUUCGACUUUCAAGCCAAAGUAACUGCCUUGGAAGCUGCUCACAAUAUUGAUACAAUGGACCAUCUAGCUCUUUUUGCUGAAUUGGAACAAUUUGAAAGAAAGAUGAAUGCCAAGAAGCAUGAUGCUCUAGUUGAGAAAAUGAAGAAUUUAGCUCUUACUGCUGAAAAGAGCAAGCCAAAAUCAGAUGAGGAAUCAGACGAAGAUCUUGCACUCCUUUCCAAGAAGAUUCAACGGAUGAUUAACAAACAUAAUCAGCUGAAAAGGGAGAAAGGCAAGGAUAAGGCUAAGUACUCAAGUAGCAGAAAGCCUUCCAAGGAAUCAAAGGAUCAGAACUGCUUCGAAUGUGGAAAGCCUGGUCACUUCAAGAAGGACUGCUACAAGCUGAAGUCAAAACAGCCUGCUGUUUCCAGAGACAAAAAGAAGAAAUCUAAAGCACUUCUGACUUGGAGUGAUGAUGAUGAAAGAAUCUGCUUCUAGUGAUGAUUGGUGAGGAAAUGAUCAACCUUGCACUUGUUGGCAUCGAGGAUGAUAAUGUUCAAGGACUCACCGAUGAUGGUCUUGUCGAAACUGGCUCCGAGGAUGACAACAGUGAGGUUAGUUCGUUUAGAUUUGAUAUUUCAAAUGAUAAUCUUGUGCUAGAACAACUAACCAUGCAGGCACAAGAUCAUAUUCCAAAUGAGGAAUAUAAUUCUCUCAAGGCAGAAAACAGCAAGCUGAUUGAAAUGAACAACUAUCUUAAGAACAUGGUUCAAGAGCUUAUGCGGAAGAUAGAUAAAUUCUUUGACUCCAAAGAGCCUACUCAAGCCAGAAUGAAGGAACUUCAAGAAAAGCUAGAUCAAGCUGAAGGUUUUCAUAAAGUUUUGAUGAGACGAAAUGAAGUUCGGAAAGAAGAGAUCUCCCAGUUGAAACAAGAAGUAGAAGCCAGAGAUGCAUGCCUAGAGACAUUCAAGCUAAAGGAAUCUACAAAGUUGCAUACAUCUCAGCCUGCUCCCAGUACAUCUCAGCCUGCUGCAAGUACUUCACAGCCCACUACUACAACAAACCAGCAAGCUGAAAAGAUCAAAAUUCUCGAAACAGAAGUAUUGAAGCUCAGAAAAGGAAUGAGAACUUUUGUUCAAGGAGAAGAAGGUCUAAAAUAUAUGAUGAAGAGCAUCAAGGUUCCACUGGAUAAAGAAGGUGUUGGUCAAAACUUCAACAAGAAGGCAAAUGCUCUCAAGUAUGAAGGAAGGCGUGGCAAACCAUACAAAUAUGCUAUGCACUGGAAUAAAUGUGCAAAAUGUGGAGGACAAGGACAUCUAGCUCAGAAUUGCAGAGUCAGGCCUCAAAGACAGAACUUCCAGAAAAGAUCAGAAGGGAAAACACCCUACUGGAACAAGAAAACAGCUUACCAGAAUGGUCUAAACAGAAGCUAUAGAACUCAGCAGCAUACAUAUCCUACUGUGGUCCAAAAGUGGAUCAAGAAAACUGAUUUAAAUGCUUUAUAUGUUCUUGCUUCUAACCAGAAUGGACCCAAACCAAUUUGGGUACCAAAGGGUUGAGUUUCGUUUUCUUUGUUUUGCAGAUGUGUCUUGCUGCUAAGAUCAAGUCUACACAAUGGAUCAUUGAUAGUGGUUGUACAAGGCAUAUGUGUGGAGACAAAACUCAGUUUAAGAGUCUGAAGAUGAAAAGAGGAGGAAGUGUAACUAUUGGUGAUAGUAAAACUCUCCCUAUUCUAGGUAAAGGUAAAGUUGGUAAUGACACUGCCUCUAUUUCUAAUGUUAGAUUUGUUAAAGGCUUAAAAUAUAAUUUGCUUAGUGUAAGUCAAUUGCAUGAUGAUGGUCAUAAAGUUGAAUUCUCUAAGGAUAAAUGUCUUAUUACUGUUGGUACUAACCAGAUUCCUCUAGUUGCUAGAAGGAAAGGAAAUAUAUAUAUCUUAGAUUUUGAGUUGCAGAAAACAGCCUGCUGUUUAGCUGCUGUGGAUGCUGAUCCAACCAUUUGGCAUAGAAGAUUGGGUCAUGCUCACAUGGACUUGCUUAAGAAGUUGUCAAGCAAGGAGCUAGUGAGGGGUCUGCCCAAAUUAAAGUAUGCCAAGACCGAAGUGUGUUCAGCAUGUCAAUUCUAACUGUUACCGUUAACUUUUGCAGGUUACCGUUAACUUUUGCAGGGGAUCUUAGAUUUUGAGUUGCAGAAAAGAGCCUGCUGUUUAGCUGCUGUGGAUGUUGAUCCAACCAUUUGGCAUAGAAGAUUGGGUCAUGCUCACAUGGACUUGCUUAAGAAGUUGUCAAGCAAGGAGCUAGUGAGGGGUCUGCCCAAAUUAAAGUAUGCCAAGACCGAGGUGUGUUCAGCAUGUCAGCUAGGCAAGCAAAUCCGAAGCACUCAUAAGGCUAAGAAUAUGGUAUCAACUUCUCAACCUCUAGAACUCUUACACUUAGACUUGUUUGGUCCUAAGGCUUAUAAAAGCAUUGGAGGUAAGCAAUAUUGUUUGGUUGUUGUUGAUGAUUAUUCUCGAUAUUCAUGGACUUUAUUUCUUCGUACUAAAGAUUGUGCAUUUGAAGAAUUUGAAAUUCUAAUCAAACUUCUUGAGAAUAAGUUGAAAACCAAGCUUAUAGGUAUAAGGAGUGAUCAUGGAGGUGAAUUCCAAAAGGACUUUAUUACAUACUGUGAAGAAAGAGGACUCACUCACCAAUUCUCAGCUCCAAGGACACCUCAACAAAAUGGAGUCGUAGAGCGCAAAAACAGGUCACUUCAGGAAACAGCAAGGACGUUAUUGCAAGAAAGCAAGCUGCCAAGAAGUUUCUGGGCAGAAGCAGUCAAUACAGCCUGCUAUGUUCUGAACAGGGUGAUCAUCAGGCCUAUCUUGAACAAGACUCCAUAUGAGUUGCUGAGAAAUAAGACUCCUAAUAUCGGGUACUUUAAAGUUUUUGGUUCUAAAUGUUUUGUUCUUAAAAAGAUUGAUAGAGUUGGUAAAUUUGAUGCUAAAUCUUUUGAAGCUAUCUUUCUUGGUUAUUCUUCAACUAGUCGUGCAUAUAGAUAUUAUAAUUUAGAUAAACAUACUGUUGAAGAAUCUAUUGAUAUUGUCUUCAAAGAACCUAACAAUGAUCUGCCAAGAGAUGAGGAAGAUGAUGCAGGUAUUGAUCCAAAUGCUCAACCUCAAUCUGAUGAGAAGAAGUCAGAGGAAGCUGCUACUCCAACAUCUAAGCUAGCUGAAACUCCAUCUUCACAAACUGUCACUCCAUCACAGCAAGCUGGAACAUCAUCUCAGCCUACUGGAAUGACAUCUCAACAAGCUGGAUCUUCAUCUCAGCAAGGUGGAACAGAAUCUCAGCAAGCUGGACUCUCCUCUGCAGUCAGGAAUCUCUCCAACAUUCUGUCUCAAAUGAAGCUUGAUGGAUCUUAUGAUGAUGAUGUACCACCAACAAAGCGGAUUCGAACAUCUCAUGAAGAAAUAUCUUAAAAAACUCUGCCCAAGGCUACAAGGACAGUAAAGAAUCAUCCUCCCGAGUUAGUGAUUGGUGACAUUUCAAAAGGAAUCAAGACAAGAAAAGGAAAAGCAAACUUCUGUUCUUAUGCUGCUUUUCUAGCUCAAGAAGAACCAAAAUCUGUUCAAGAAGCUCUCAAAGAUGAAAAUUGGAUCAUGGCUAUGCAAGAAGAACUCAACCAAUUCGAAAGAUGUGAUGUUUGGGAAUUGGUAAAGCGUCCAGAGAAUGCAUCAGUUGUUGGCACUAGAUGGGUAUUUAAGAACAAGCUUGAUGAAGAAGGUACUAUCACUCGCAACAAAGCAAGGCUUGUGGCUCAAGGAUACAACCAGCAAGAAGGAAUCGAUUUUGAUCAAACAUAUGCUCCGGUUGCUCGCUUGGAAUCAAUCAGAAUGCUCUUGGCUUAUGCAUGCUACAAAAAGAUCAAGCUGUUUCAGAUGGAUGUGAAGAGUGCUUUCCUAAACGGCCUGCUGGAAGAGGAAGUUUAUGUAAAACAGCCGCCUGGUUUUGAACAUGAACAAUAUCCAGACUACGUCUACAAGUUGAAGAAAGCUCUUUAUGGAUUGAAACAAGCACCUAGAUCAUGGUACAAGAGCCUCAGUAAGCUCUUAAUUAAGAAUGGUUUUGUACGAGGCAAGAUUGAUCCUACUCUAUUUACAAAAUCUCUUAAUGGUGAAAUCUUAGUAGUCCAAGUUUAUGUUGAUGAUAUUAUCUUUGGGUCUACUAAUAAUGAACUUUGUGAGUGGUUUUCGAAGUGUAUGCAUAGUGAAUUUGACAUGAGCAUGAUGGGUGAGCUCAACUAUUUCUUGGGUCUUCAAAUCAAGCAAACUUCUGAUGGUAUCUAUGUGCACCAAGGAAAAUAUGUGAAAGAGUUGCUGAAGAGAUUUGGAUUUGAAAAUGUCAAGUCAAAACCCACUCCAAUGUCUCAAACCAGCAAGCUGUUUUCAGAUGAAUCAGGUAAAAGUGUUGAUAUAACACGAUAUCGAGGUAUGAUUGGAUCUCUAUUAUAUCUAACAGCCUCUAGACCUGAUAUCAUGUAUAGUGUAUGUGUUUGUGCACGGUUUCAAGCUAAUCCAAAGGAGUCCCACUUAAAUGCUAUUAAGAGGAUCUUUCGAUACUUAAGUGGUACUAUUAAUCUUGGACUUUUCUAUCCUAUAUCAAAUACUUUUGAUCUCGUGGGGUAUAGUGAUGCAGAUUAUGCCGGUUCUCAAACGGACAGGAAAACCACAAGUGGUGUUUGCAAUUUUCUUUGUUCUAGCUUGGUGUGUUGGCAAAGUAAGAAGCAAAAAUCUAUAGCUCUCUCUACAACUAAAGGUGAAUAUCUAGCUGCAGGGAGCUGUUUUUCUCAAAUGCUUUGGAUGAUGCAAACUCUCAAGUAUUUUGGAAUCAAAUGUGACAAAGUCCCAAUAUAUUAUGACAACACUAGCACAAUAAAUAUCUCAGAAAAUCCGGUUCUUCACUCCCGCACAAAGCAUAUCGACGUUCAACAUCAUUUCUUGCGUGAUAAUGUGGCCAAUGGAAAGAUCAGUCUAGUAUAUGUUCCUACGGAGUAUCAGCUCGCUGACGUUUUUACCAAGCCUCUGCCCGAAGAACGAUUCUUAAUCAUCCGCAGGGAAUUGGGUAUGUGUUCAGUCUAAAUCAGCAAGCUGGUUCUGGUAUGUAGCCUAUUACUUUAAAUCUUCCAUUAUAGUAGCUAGCUGUUGUGUAUGUGUCGUUUAAUCUAUUUGGUUGGUGGUAGUCAACACUUAUCUCUGUGCACAUUCAAUGCUGUUGUAGUUAUCUGUGCUCUGUAUUAUGUGCUACAUUUUAAAAUUUUAAAAUUCUUGUUAUAUAUCUUCUUAUCUGCUACCUGAUAUAUGUUCUUUAAAAUAUGUUUUAUCUAAUUAAAUGGGGUUUUAGUUAUUUUAAGUCAAGUAUUUCAAGGAUAUCUCCUCAAUUCUCGGUAAAAAGGUUUAUCUCGGAGAUAUAUUAUUCAAAUAUUUGGGAACUCCUACAGCCUCGCAUCUCUCCACAACAAAAGUCUACCAAGGGUUUUAUUUUCAAAAUUACACUAGCGCUCGUCUCUCUCUACACUCUCAACCGAGCUCUCUCCAAAACCCUACCAAUGGCGAAAACCAGAAACACCACCACUCCGGCCUCUAGUUCUAAGAAACGCCCUCGUCCCUCCACCUCUGACUGCAUCAUCAUCGACACCACUGUCGAAACACAGGAGUCCUCAAACCCUACAACGGACGAUGUUCUGAGUUCCGAUGAAGACUCCGCAGUGGUUCCAAUUCUUAAGAAAUCUCGGUAUGCUAUCAAAUUCAUGAACAAAGACCUCGAAAUCAGGUAUCGCGAUUAUAACCUUGCUAGUCGUAAGAUUAUUUAUAGAAAGUCUAUUGUUGGAUCGGAAUUUGCUGAUUGUGGUUUAAUUGAGAUUUUUGACACUAUUGGGAUGAAGUCGUUAAUUGAUUUACCUGAUGUUUGCUAUCCCUUCCUUGUUCAAGAAUUUUAUGCUAAUUUGCAUACACCAACUAAGGGCCGUUUUAUCAGUCGGGUACGGGAUCAGGGUAUUUGUCUGAAUGCUACAAUAUUGAAUGGUAUGUUAGAAUUUAAGAAUAUCACUGAUGACUUGAUUGUGCCUCUCACUAAAAAGGGGAUUUGUGACUUGUUUGAGGAUUUAUCUGAAUUAGAACAACACAGUCUAGUUCGUGGUGAUGUUGAUAAUAUUGAUGUGUCUUCACCCACCACUGCCCAACUUGACCUGAUGACACAUUUGUUGUUCAAGAUUUGUCGCACAAAUAUCUACCCUCGCAUUGGUAGUCGAUCUGGGUUAACUUGUCAGGAUCUUAUUCUUGUGUCCUUACUGUUGAAAAAGAAGAAAUUUAAUAUAUCUGGAUUGAUCUUGCACAAUAUGAUGGAUUGUUUGAAGAAGAAAACCCGUGCUUUUCCAUAUGCUCUUUUACUUUCUCAGGUGUUUGAGUUUUCGGGUGUGAAAUUGGAAGAGAAGGAAGCAGUGGAUGCUACUGAAUUUAUUGAUUGCUCCAGUCUCACUUAGUCCAGUCUUCAGAUCAAUGAGCUCGGAUUUUAGAAAAGAUUCCCCCACCGAUUGUGCCUUCACAUGUGUCUACGUCCAGUCUGCCAGAUUCUUCCUCUGUUGCUUCAAGUAUUCAAGCUCUCUUCGCCAAAUUGGAAGACAAGUUUGCUGAUAUUCAGAGGGAAUUUGCAAAGUAUAAGCAGGCAGUUAGUGAGGUGAAAGCCCAGAACACUGAGAUCAAGGGUAUGGCAACUGAAUUGCUUGGCUACUUUCAGAAAGCUAAAUCUGUUGUUAGAGCUGCCAGGACUGCUACAGAGGCUGAUAAGGAAGCUUAUCAGAAUGCUGCAAAGGACCUCUCCAAUGCUCAGAUUUCCUCUCCUGCCAUUGCUUCGGGUUCAGUCAAUCAGGAUUAGGUUGUUGUGGACGACCUUUUUGCUGAUUAAGGGGGAGAAAUCAGGAGGAGUACUUGGCUUGGGGCUGGGAAUUUUUAAUUUACUGCUUUUAUUAUGAAUUUCUAUCAGACUUGUGGUGCCAUGCUACUUUAUGUGUUUUAAGACUUAAUUUGCUUUUGAUGUGCUGAAAUAUCAGCAAGACAUGUUAUGUGGUUUAUGUGUGGAUUAUGCUGUGAUAACAGCUUAUUGACUUGGUUGUUUAAUUGUUGGAUUUCGUUAAGUCAGUUUAUGAUAUGUUAAGCUAUUAUUGUGUUAAAUUGUUUAGGUAGCUAAUUUCUUUGAUAAUCUAUGCUAGAAUUCCAUUGCUUCUAACUUGUGUGUAGGUUUAUCAUAUUCAGGGGGAGUAUUACUCCUGAUAUUUGUGUAAUCAUCAAAAAGGGGGAGAUUGUAAAUCCCAAGUUUUGAUGAUGACACAAUUUAGCAAGCUACUAUCAUUUCCAUCUUAACAUAACGUAUUUACUCUGUUGUAGCCUGCUAUAUUAUUAUCUAAUCAUUUCUGCAGGUUUUAUAUAGACAACAGAACUAUAGCAAGCUAUUUCAUAUGUUAGCUUGACAUGCUUAAGUUAUAGUGUUAUAGCCUGCUGUGUUGCUUUUCUAAUACUGUUGCAGGAAUUUUACUGUAACAGAUUUAUAGCGAGGUGUUUUAUAAUAGCAAGCUAUAAAAGAGUCCUACCAGAAGUAGAACACUUCACAGAAUUGAAGCUGUUGACUUCUACAAAUAUUAGGACUUACAGUGUACGUUUUCUAAUCUGAAUAUGAGUUAAAUAUACAGAUUAUAAGCUCAGAUUAUGUAAAUGAAAACAAUUCCUAAAAUCAAGGAAGUUGUUACACUUUAAACUUAUCUUUUCAAAACACACUUCCUUAUCCCAUUUUAAUAGGAACUGUUGCUUCAAACGUCUUUCUAAAACUCAGCCCUCUAUUUCUGUGGAGUAUAGUAUUGAACUAACAACCUGCAACGUUCACAUAGUGCAACGUUUAUGGAGGUUUGUUUCAAUAUAGCCGUUAUAGCUUUUAGUAUAUAUACAGCUUGCUGUUUUCAAGAAAUAGUUAACAACUCACGAUCUUGAAAACAUUCUCAAUCUCUUAUGAGCUUAUAUUGUGUAUUCGAUUCAUAUCUUAUUAGAGAGCAUAGUUUGAGUUGUAAUCUCUCAUUUUUUAUUCAAAGUUUGUAUUUGAUUAGUCACUAAAGCUAGCGGGGUUCUAAGUAUAGAACAAAGGGGGAGUUAGAUAGAAUUAGUCUUCACAAGGUCUGAGGUGCUAAGGUUCGAGGAAUAAGGUGAAUUCAAGGAGGGAAGCUCAAGGAAUUCAGAGGUUCAAGAACAGGUGCACAGGGGGCUAAGUGUCGAGCUGUUUUCUGUCUGCUCAAGGUUUCAGCAAGCUGCUUUAGUUGACUGGGUAAAGGGAGAUAUAUUAUUAUUCUGUAAUUGUUGGAACUUUCAGUAAUAAUAUAUUCUCUUACCAAGUUGGUAAGGGACCAGGACGUAGACCAUUAGACAUAGGGGUCGAACCUGGCUAAAAUUGCUUGUGUCUGAUUUACAUUUCCGCACUUUACUGUUUUGCAUAAUAGCCUGCUAUAAUCACUUUUGAUCUGAAAACAGUAAGCUGAAAUAUUCGGUAAAAGUUUAAAAUUGACAUAGUUAGCCAUAUACACCUAUUCACCCCCCCCCUCUCGGUCUACUUACAGGGUUUGGGCACGGAGGUUAAGAAAUAUUAUAAAGUAGUGGAAAAGAGGAAGAAAAGUGGGUGAAGUGGUGGGCCAUUGAUUUUUAAUAUAUAAAAUAAAGAUAGUGGAGUAAAAGUAGUGUGAAAAAGGAGGAAAAAGUGGGAAAGUGAUGGGACCCAUUAACUAUUUUAGGAAAGUUAUGUAAUGAGAAAUGGAUGGGACAUCCAAAAAGGAAACUGUAAAGAAUCUGGUGAGACAGAGAGAGUAGUAUAUAUACCUUCUUGACGGCGGCUAAUAGCAGAUAUCAACUGCGGCAUUCUGCAUAUAGCCACAUCAGCUGCCAUCAGUUUGGCCCAUCUUUCGUAUGUUUCAUAUGUUCUUGUGAGUAAGUUGAACAUAUUAGUGUAUUCUUUAUCCAUGACUUUGUACAUUAAAGGCUUGAUACUCAUCAAACAAGAAGGCAUUGAUCGAUAGGAGGCUGACCUCAAUCCAAACGUAUUCCACUGGUUUAUAUCCACAUAUAGCGGUGCUAAUAUCAAUUCAACUGUGUCCGAAUAAUUUCUCUCCACGGCCAACUCUAAAAUGAUGCAACUUUUCUCAUCAGUUCUUUCCAAGAACAACUGAAUCAUGUUCCUCAACUGCUCAUCCCGGUAAUUAUUUAUAACAGUUUCCGUGAUUUGCCUAAUAGUAUCUCUUCUAUCUUCUUCUUAUUCUAGGAGGGACAAAAAAAAGUAUUAAUAAAAGCCCUUUUUUGUAGAUUUGAAAUAUCACAUUUUCAAAGUAUAGUAAAAUAAAAUUUAUUAGUGACUAAAUAAAUAAUAAAAUGUAGUGAAGAGGUUAGGGUUUAUAAACUGAAACUAUACCUGGGUCGGCAUUGUUGAUAAGAAGAUGUAAAACAGUGGUACUACCAUCACGAGCAUCCAUCGUAUCAUCAGCUUGCCUAAGGAAAGUUUACUAUUAAAAUUAAAAUUAUACCUGGGUCAGCAUUGUUGAUAAGGAAGGUAUAAUAAAAUAAAAUUUAUUGUUGACUGUUCCGUGUAUGUGAAUCACUUGGAUCGGCCUUUACUAUUAGCUUAACAAGGCCCACAUUACCCAUUGUUAGGUCCUGGAACGAUUGUAGAAGGGGGGGGGGUUGAGUACAAUCGUCACUUAAAAAUAAUCGCGGCGGAAUAAUCUAAUUGAAUAUAAAUUUGUUAAUCAGAUUUUAAUUAAUUAAUAUAACAAUGUUUAAGUCGUUAUAUAAUUAAUAUGGUUCAUUUUAAUGUCCACUAGUUCGUAGAAUAAGUUUGAUAGAAAGUAUUCUAACUCAGUGGAACAAAACAACCGAAUGAUCAAAGCACAGUAAACUGUGGAUUUAACGACUAGCAAGUUUAGCACAACUUUGAACACUUUGCAAAUGAAGUGGAAGAGCCAUAUUUAUAGGCAAAAUCCAAGAACAAGGCAAGACAAUGCAAAGAUGGCAAAGACAAUUUGGCACUUUGUCUUGCUGAAAAACACAAGGCAAGACAAUCUUAAGCAUUGUCUAUAGCCUAGUAAGACAAUCUGGAGUGGUAAGACAAUUAUCUAGGCACGGUAAGACAAUUGGGACAUGGUAAGACAAUCUUCAAAAUUGUCUUACAAGCCAUUCGGCAAGAGAAUCUUAAAGAUUGUUUUGGAAGCCACAGCAGGCAAGACAAUGAGGGACGCGGUAAGACAAUUACUGAGAUUGUCUUACCGUGUGUUGGAUGAGGUAAAUAACACUGUAAGACAAUCUCUUUGAUUGUCUUACCUUGUUGUUUCUUAAGACAAUCACUGAAAUUGUCUUUCCUUUUGAUCCAACAAGACAAACCCUUAUUCCCUUCAAUUAAUUAACCAAUUAAUAUUCACUUAAUUAUAUUAAAUGCAUAAAUUCAUAAAUUAAAUUAAUUCGAGAUAGAAUUAAUUUAAUAAAUAAAUUACACAUCAUAUAUAAUUAUUUUGAGAAGUGAAAUAAAUAAUUAGAUAAUCAAUUAUCCAUUUUCUUCUUCAGUAGAGUCUUCAGUCUUCUGUAAACAAUUAAGAUCUUCGACUUGAUUGAACGGCCACCUUGUUUUGACGUAGAAUAUUUAAUCUGAUAAGCUGAUACACAAAUGUACUGUCUGGUUCAUCUAUAACUAGCUCAAUUAAAUAUUCCUUAUCAUUUAAACAAUUAAGUUGUGGCUUGUUCGUCGAUUCUUCGUCUUCUGAGUUCUUCUUCAUUUGUAGACAUAAUAAUGGAAAUAUGGAAUCUUCUGAAUAAAUAAAGUAUUGAAACUUUAUACCUUCUGAUCUUCUGGAUGUGCUACAAAAGGUUAUUUGUACACUGAGGCUUGAACAUAUUAAUGAACUUCUUCCAGUGGUUUGUAGCAGCAUCUUGAAAUUCUUCUGACAUAAAAUCUUCAAUAAAUCAUUUGACGUUCUUCGUACGGAUUCCGGAUAACAGUACUUGCUAUUUACUUACUUUCUUAUUAGAGUUGAGUUGAUACUCUUAAAUACAAAUAGGCUUAACAUAUGCCUUUCAAUCUGCCCCUAUUUGUUUGUUAACAUAACAUGCAAAUUAUCGAGAGGAUAACUCAACUAACUGAUAAGACAAAGGAUUAAACAUUGAAAGAUAAAUAGCAAAAGUUUCUGGUAUUCAUUAGACAUUCACCAGAUUCAAACAUUAAAGAUAGAUUACAAAAGGGGUGUUCAUUUAGAACAAAUAUUACAAUACCCUAUAUAAUCUAAGUAUCAACUUCUCCUUCUUCAGUAUCAGAACUGUGAAGAAUCAUUAGACAUUCACCAGAUUCAAACAUUAAAGAUAGAUUACAAAAGGGGUGUUCAUUUAGAACAAAUAUUACAAUACCCUAUAUAAUCUAAGUAUCAACUUCUCCUUCUUCAGUAUCAGAACUGUGAAGAAUAGGAGUUGAAGGUUCAUUUCUGGUUGGCUGUUCUGCAGUAGUGGCUUCACCACGUUUCUUCCUUUCAUUAGCCAGAGCCAGUUGGUGCAUUACUUCCAAAUCCACCGGGUCCUCCUGAAAGUCAGCAGGCUGAGUCUUUGUGACUUGCUUCAUCUUCCUUGUAUAUUUAGAAAUACCAUUCCGAAGACAGUAGUCAGCUAUAACACUAUCAGCAUCAGCCUUCUCUUUAGAAGUGAAUCCCUUGGUUCUCAGGAGAGUAGAUGCAAGGAUCAGUUGGUUCACAUGGUACUUUGGGAAGGACUCAUCAUUCAGAUACACAGUAUUUAUGACAUCAUCAUUGAUGAACUUCAGACAAUAGGGUUUCUUGACAAUUUGAGGACUAUUGAAUUCAGCAUGUUCCACCAGCUUGUCUCGAAAGAGUUCAUUCAAAUUAGAUCUUCUCUUGACUUUGUUACGAAGCACCCAGAGCUUAGUUAUCGUGAAUGACUUUAAAUAUUCAACUGAGAUUCUGAAUGUUCCGUUUCUCCUUGUGUAUAUAAUGAGCUCCCAUUCAUCUAGCAGAUUCCUGACUGCAACUAUAGUGUACCACAACUCAAGAGAAAGGGCAUGCAUAGACAAAUCCUCAUCAGGGUUUACCUCCUUCAGAUCAUAAAUCAGAGACAUGAACUUCUUGUCAUCGAAGGGUUCCCUCUGAGGUCCAUUGAAAAUUCUGCGUGCAAUGUCCCAACUUUUACCAACUUUAUGCUUAAUAUCAAGAUUCUUCUGCACACAGGCAACAUCAUAGAUCUUCUGUUUUUCUUUCUUGAUUUCCUCUUCAGUUAUCAGCUUGUCCUCCAGAAGCUUUUGAAAGUCUCUGAGCUUUCUCUUUCUAGCUUCAUUCUCCAGCUUAAACUUUCUCACAAGCUCCUCAUGUUCAAGAUCUACAGCCUCCUCCUCAGUCUGGAACAGAUAGGCUUCAUCAAAUGCACCAUCUUCGUGAUUCUGGCAGUAAGUGGCAUCAAACACAUCAUCAUCAUCCAUUUCCUUAGGAAAGGCAUCAUAAUUGUCUUCCUGUUGAUGCAUGGGUUGCUUGCCUUUAGACUUUUCAGUUUCUCUGCCAGGUGCAGAAUCAGAAGUAUUGGUGUUUGUGUUCCCCUUGUUACUUUGGUUGGAGCUGUUUCCUUUGUCUUCUCCUCCCUUGUCUCUAUUCUCCCCCUUAGUUGAGGGAUCCUCUCUGGAGGUUGGAUCAUCGGACUUGGAGUUCCUGAGAAGUUGAUCCAGUUUGUUGUCGAUUUCAUCACAUUUAGCCAUAUAAAGCUCAUGAUUGGAUCUCAUCUCGACAGUCAAACCAUGCAUAUCAGCUUUGAGCUCAUCCCUGUAAGAACUGGAUGGCUCUUCCUCUACUUUCUUCUCUAAAGUGACCAGUUGUGCACCUUUCAAUCUUUCAUUUCUACGCAAUCAUCCGGGUAAGUUCAGCUUGUAACUUAGCAAUUUGUUCCUUAAAAAGAGCUGGGUUAGUGUGUUCACUCACCUCACGUACACUCAAAGCUGUUUCACUAGCCUCACGUGCAUGUGUAUCGCUCGGUGUUUGCCUUUCAUCACUCGAUCCACUCAUAGCUCCAACUGUACCAAUGUUCCCUGAUAUGGGUUCAAAGGUAGUGGAGGAACAAAUUGUCCUCCGGAAGCCAGUGACGGCAAAUCUACUUGCACAUUGCCAAGCAGUUCCUGAUCAUGAAAGAAAGAGUGAUCAGCAAAGUUUUCAUACAUAGUAACUUUAUUUUGAAAAACUGUGCUCUCAGAAAGUGUAGUAACCUGUGUAUUGGGUUGAUUUUGCACUAGCGUGAGUGCUAGAGCAGUGCUAGACUCUGUACAGGAUACCGUGGCUGGACGGUCAACUUCAAUGGCUUCAUUCUGUUGAGAGAAUGAAUCCAGAAACUGUAUUGCCAUAUCAGAAUCCAAGCCCUUUUGGGAAGGCAAGGAUGUGGCUGCAGUUGUCUCCGAGGCUUCUAUUCUUUGUUUCUUUUGAGAAGACAGAGCUGCGGGUUGACUCAUCAAACUACUCAAACUUCGUUUCCUAGCAACUUUCUUAACAUGUUUUGAAGUAGUGUUGGUUGAAGUGUUUGGAGAAGAGACAGUGUGUUGAAAUGAAUCAUCAGCUUGGUUAUGAACCUAUGUGUUGACAGGUUCAUUGCUGGCAGGCUGGCAAAACAAGUCAAAGUUACAAUCAUAAUCAGAGAUAUCAACAUUAAAGUUAGAUGAGAAGUCAGAAAGUACCUGAGCUACCUGUAGGUCAUCUCUGAAUGCCUAAAGAUCAGGAUUGAUUGCUGAAUCUGCUGGCAGUGGUUGUGAGGUUGAUUGAAUUGGUGGAGAGUAUUGUGGAUGAGUGGUAGGUUGUGUGGGUGCAGAUGAAGAUGGUUGAGCUUCGAAGAAAUCAAAUGGUAGAGGCUCAUCUUCAAAUGGUGGAUAUUGCUGUUGGGGGAUAGGUGAUUGAACAGGUGAUGGUUCAGGUGAUGGUUCAGGGGUGUGAUGUGGUGAUGGUUAUGAUUGAGCUUGAUGUUGAGGUGGUUGUUGAAGUUGUAGUUGUAGAUGCUGGUCUUGUUGCUGUUGUUGCUGAUGUUGUUGUGGUUGAGCCACUUGAACUUGAUAAGGAACACUUUGAGCAUUGAACCUUUCCGACAUAAAUGGAGUGACAAUGAGUGGAACCUCGUUGUACUUGGUGCCUUUGGCAAGCUUGUUGAUCAGCUUGAUGCUUGUCUGUUUGACAUUUACCCUCUCAGCAUUGAAGUAGAAGUUCUUGUCAGUCUCCGUCAUCUUAUCAUUCAAAAGCAACAUAAGGAAUCGUGGAUAAAAACAUUCUGGUUCAUCUGUAACUAGCUCAAUUAAAUAUUCCUUGUCAUUUAAACAAUUAAGCUGUGGCUUGUUCGUCGAUUCUUCAUCUUCUGAGUUCUUCUUCAUUUGUAGACAUAAUAAUGGAAUCUUCUGAAUAAAUAAAGUAUUGAAACUUUAUACCUUCUGAUCUUCUGGACGUGCUACCAGAGAUUAUUUGUACACUGAGGCUUGAUCAUAUUAAUGAACUUCUUCCAGUGGUUUGUAGCAGCAUCCUGAAAUUCUUCUGACAUAAAAUCUUCAAUAAAUCAUUUGACGUUCUUCGUACGGAUUCCGGAUAACAGUACUUGCUAUUUACUUGCUUUCUUAUCACAGUUGAGUUGAUACUCUUAAAUACAAAUAGGCUUAACAUAUGCCUUUCACCCAUCCUAACUGCUAUAUGCAAGACAGUAUCCAUCGAAUCAUCAGCUUGCCUAAGGAAAGUUUGGAAUGAAGUGCCUGGAUUAUCAUCAUCAGUAGGCAGCAAAUGUCUAGCAGCACCAAUGAGAAUUUCAGCCAAUUCUGUGUAUCCUUCAGACAAAGCCAAGUGAAGUGCAGUCUGUUUACGAUUGUUAAGCUUGACCAGAAGCUUUUUCUCCGCAAACUUGUUUAAUAUAAAUCGCACGUGUUCUGUAUUUCCGUUUUCGGACUCUGUGUGAAGGAUAGUUUCUUCCCAGUAUCCGCUCACUUUAUCAGCAUGCAUCCCCAAUGCAGCUGAUAAGGUACCACGCUACAGCGCCCGCUACAGUCACCCACUACAGUGUCCGCCCCCGCUACAGUGCACGGACAUCCCAAAACAAAUCUCAUCAUUACAAAGUACAAGGCAAACAGGAUAAAAAGCAUGCACAAAUCCCUAAAGGACAGAAGAAAGGACAACAAUUGCACCAAAGCAGACAACCAUGCCGGGGAUUAGGUAUGGACCCGCGCCCGCCACUGUAGCUACAGUAGCGGGUGAAGGCCUAUAUAAAGGACUCCCCAGCCAAAAAGGAAAGGUAAGUGAAAAUUCUUUCUCAAUGCCCUCUCUAAAAAAGCAUAUCGCACCAUAUAUUUAAAGUGAAAACUCUCUGAUUUCCCUAACUUGUCAAGCAUAUUCCGAUCACUGAUUAUCACGCCGGAGGCGCUUCACGGGACACACCCCCGUGCUGCGUUGUUUUGCAGGUCAGGUCUUGACCCGAGCUUCCCGGAACAGUGUACUGGACCAACGACGAGAAAUGGAGUUAUCAGCAGCUAUGGCAUCAUCAUAUCCAGCAAUGGCAGCUGAAUACAGGAUAUCUUUGUCCAUAAUUUCAUAGAGGCGUCCACCUGGGCUUUCAGCUAUAUAGAUAAACAUGUGUCAAAUCGUGUGUAUUUACGGAAUCAUCAUGACAUUGAAUAUAGGUCAAAAAAAUUAACAUAAAAGGGUAUGGAUGCAUGUACAUAGGGACGGAUCUAGAAAUCUUGUUAAGUGGGGGCAAAACACACACAAAAGAAAAGCUCUUUUUAGAGAAAAUUUUUCACUAAACCAAGAGUGGUUUGAGUUGAUUGAUUAGAUAAAUACAUAAGUUUAUGAUAAGAAAUACGCAAUAUAUUAAAGUAGAACCACUCGGAUUUGAAUCCAGAAUCAACUGUGUAUGAACGUAAUGCAUUGAUCAUGGGGUCAUUAGAAGUAAAAACAUAAUAUAAAAAUAUAAAAUAUAUUAAAAUUUUGAAAGCAGUGAAAAAAAUAAGGAAAGGGGGAAAGAGACACUGUUUAAAGAGCAUACCUUGGUCCAGAUUUUUAAUACGCACAAGAGUACUACAAUGAGGUCCGAGCAAAGAUGGAGCAGUGCAAGUUGAAGAAAUAAUCUCUGAUAUAUCAUUCAACCCUUUCUCUACUGCUAUGUACAUUGGUGUUUUUCCCUCAUGGUUUUGAAUAUGUGUAUCAGUCGGGUCGGCCUCUACUAGUAGCUUAACAAUAUCCAGGAGUCCUUCCAUGACUGCUGCAUGUAAGGCCGUGUCCAAAUCUUUAUCACCUUGCCUGAGAAAAGCUUGAAAAGAAGUAACUGGAUUAACAUCAUCAUCUAAAAGAGGUGGCAAAUGGCGAGCUGCAUCAAUGAGGACCUCAGCCACUUCAGUCCGUCCUUGAUAAAUUGCCAAGUGAAGUGUUGUAUGCUUAUAUGUACUAAGCUUGGGCAAAAGAUUUUUGUGUGCAAACUUCCUCAAAAUGAAGCGCACAUGUUCUGUAUUUCCUUCUUCGGAUUCAGUGUGAAGGAUAGUUCUGUCAUUUGUGUCCAGCUUAUCAGCAUGCAUCUCCAAUGUAGCUAUGGCAUCAGCAUCUCCGGCAAUGGCAGCUGCAUACAGAGCAUCUCUGCGCAUAAAUUUGUAGAGGGUUCCACCCGGGCUGUUAGCUACAUACAUAAACAUGUGUCUGGAGUCAUCAUCAGUGGCGGAACCAGGAUUAAGUGUUAGGGGGGCUGAACGCAACCAGAAGAUAAACUAAGGAUAAGUAGUGUGUUAUUCUGCGUGUCUUAACCAUCAUGACAGGAAGAUUUUCUAUACUUUGAAGUCCAGUCCAGAUUAAUCUUCAUCCGUUUUCACAUCAUAGAUAAAUUUGUCUAACUGAUUUGAUAACAACUCCAUAUCUAGUAAAGAGAAAUCCUUUGGACAAAAUUGUGUAAAGGCAUACCAGUUUUGAGUUAUUAAAACUUGAAAAUUAAUUCCUAGGAACCAAAGAGCCAAUACAAAAUGGUAGCUCUAUGUUUCCUUCUGUAAAAAGGUUAUCCAUCUCUUGGGAAACGGUUACCAUAGCUCUAUGUCUCCUUAUGUAUGUUUCCUCUGUAAAAUGGUUUCCUUCAAAUAAGUCAAUGUGUGCAUAUGACUUAUGAAAGCAUGUUCAAAAACUUCUUCUUAUGGUCUCUUCAGCCAAAAUUUGAAGAAUAUGGAGAUGAAAUAAACUCCAACAAGCUCCUAGCACCCCUUCAAAAACUUAGGAGCUCUGUUUGCUUCCUCAACAAUGAGGAGCACACUCUCCCUCUUAACUACAUUUUAUUUUAUUUUUCUCAUGUACAAAGUACUCAACAUGCAUGAUACAGUCUAUGGGUAUACAUAUUUUAAUAACAGAUAUAGAUAGGGAGCGUAUGUAGGGAAUAUUGUUUGAGAUAUCGUGUAAUUAAUUUUACUUCUUAAAUAGUGAAGAGUUGAUUGUUUAUAUUAUUUUUAGAGAAAAGUUAAUAUAUAUGUUAAUUAGACUCUCUUUAGACUAAGUGCCUUCUCUUUUCUUUUUCUUUUUUACAAUAAGUCCCUCUCUAUAAUAUUUAUAAUUCAGCAGGGGUUAAAAAAAUUAUAUUAACACCACUAAUUCAUGGAAAAAAAAUAUACACUGUUUUUUCGAGGUUAGGGGGGCUCUAGCAUCCCCUAGCCCCAAUCUGGUUCCGCCACGGGUCAUAAUUACAUCAAACAUAUUUUUUUUAAAAAAAUUAACAUAAAAGGAACAAAAUAUAGUUUAGUUAACAAAAGAGUAUGAAUGCCUGUAUAGUAAAAAAAAAAUUGAAAGGGACAGAGUCUUUAAAAAGCAUACCUUGGACGAAAUUAAAGUCUUGUCAUGCACAACCAUACUACAAUGAUGUCCGAGCAAAGAUGGAGAAAUGCAAGUUGUAGAGAUUACCUCUGCUAUACCAUUCAACCCUUGUUCCACAGCUAUAUACAUCGGUGUUUUGCCUUGAUUAUUUUGGAUAUGUGUAUCACUUGGAUCCGCCUCUACUAAAAGCUUAACAAGGGCCACAUUACCCUUCUCAACUGCUUCAUGUAAGGCAGUCUCCAUAUAGUUAUCAGCUUGCCUAAUGAAAGCUUGGAAUGAAGUAAGUGGAUUAUCAUCAUCAAUAUUAUCAUCAUGUGGACGAGGCAGCAAAUGGGUAGCAGCAUUAAUGAGGACCUCAGCCACUUCUGUGUGUCCUUCAUACGAUGCCAAGUGAAGUGCGGUCUGUUUAAAUUUGUUAAGCUUGACCAGAAGGUUUUUGUCUGCAAACUCCCUCAAUAUAAAUCGCACUUGUUCUGUAUUUCUGGUUUUGGACUCAGUGUGAAGGAUGGUUUCUUCGGAGUAUCUGCUCACUUUAUCAGCAUGCAUCUCCAGUGCAGCUAUGGCAUCAGCAUUUCUACCCAUGGCAGCCGCAUACAGAGCAUCUUUAUCCAUAAUCUUGUAGAGGCUUCCACCAUGGCUCUUAGCUAUAAGUAUAAAAAAGUGAGGAAGAAUUUAACAAAUAAAAAAUUGGAUUUAGCUUAAAUAACAAAAAAGAAGUAAAUAGGGUUAUAGAUAGUAUAUUAUGUUUAAACAAAAGAGUGCUUAAAGAGCAUACCUUGCUCCAUAUCUUCCAUACGCACAAGAGCACUAAAAUGAGGUCCGAGCAAAGACGGAGCAGUGCAAGUUGUAGAGAUUAUCUCGACAAUAUCAUUGUUCCCCUGUUCCACAGCUAUGUACAUUGGUGUUUUACCUAGAUCAUUUUCAAUAUGUGUAUCAGUCGGGUCGGCCUCUACUAAUAGCCUAACAAUAGCUAGGUUUCCUUUCAUGACUGCUGCAUGUAAGGCCGUGUCCGAAUCUUUAUCAGCUUGCCUGAGAAAAGCUUGAAAAGAAGUAACUGAAUUAUCAUCAUCAUCUGAAGGAGGAGGCAAAUGCCAAGUGAAGUGCUGUAUGCUUAGAUGUACUAAGCUUGGGCAAAAGAUUUUUGUGUUGAAAUUCCCUCAAAAUGAAUCUCACACGUUCUGUAUUUCCCUUCUUCGGUUGCUGGUGAAGGAUAGUUUCUUCAUCUUGGAACAGUGUAUCAGCUACCAUCUCCAAUUCAGCAAUGGCAUCAACAUCUCCGGCCAUGGCAGCAUGGAAGAGAGUAUCCAGCAGAUCCAUAACUAUAUUCUACUCUACCACUGCUCCUGCGUAAUGGAAUAUCUCGCAUAAUACCACAAACGUUAUAUAAAUGGAAGCUUGGUGUAUGGUAAGGAGAUGUUGACCAACUACGCUGUGCCUGUGCUGAUGUAAAAUGGUUGUUGGGCUGGGUAAUAAUAAGUUAAAUUGGCUGCCAGCUUUUAAGUCCUGAAUAUAUUAUAGAACGUGUUAAUUAUAGAACUCACUGAAAUCGACAAAUGGUAUCAACUUCACCAUGAUCGGAUAUCAAGUGAGUCACUAAACUCGCUUAAUGGUACACGGAAUGACAGAUUGAAAGUAGGGUUUGACAUGUGGCAGGCCACAUCAUUUAAAGUUUAUAUGGAAAUAAAGUAUGCAAUUUUUUUAUUAAAUUAAUUUUAGAAUAUAAUUAUCUAAAUAAAUGCAUGGAACUAAAUUUUAAGAUAUAAUUAACUAAAAUUUCAAAAAAAAGAAGAUAUAAUUAACUAAACAUCCAAGAUUAACUUUUAUAUUUUUUAUUAGAUUAUAAUUAUUUUUAAAUUAUAUUGAAAUGUUUUCUCUUUUAAUAUAUUUUAUUUAUGUGAAUAUUAUUGUUGGCAAAUAAAUAUUUUUAAUUUUUUUUCUAAUACAAACUUUUUUAAUUUUGCAUCCUCCAUCUGCUAUUGAAUCUUUGAAGAUUUGUACCCUGUUGUUGGCUGCUUAUACAUCUGGAUCUUCCCUCCUCAACUUUUUUGGCCUCCCUCUCAAUUUAUGUGGAAUGUCUUUUUAAAAAGAUUCAAUAGUAAAAAUUUUAAAAAAGUUGGUGAGAUAAAAAAAUUAAAAAUAUUUUUUGCCAACAAUAAUAUUCACAUAAAUAAAAUUUAUUAAUAGAGAAAACAUUUCAACAUUAUUCAAAAAUAAUUCUAAUAAAAUAUAAUAAAAAAUAUAAAAGUUAAUCUUGGAUAUUAAGUUAAUUAUAUCUUAAAAUUUAGUUCCAUGCAUUUAUUUAGAUAAUAAUAUUCUAAAAUUAAUUUAAUAAAAGGAUUGCAUACUUUAUUUCCAAAUAAACUUCAAAUGAUGUGGCCUGUCACAUGUCAAACCCUACUGCCAAUCUGUCAUUCCGUCUAAACCUCUGUUACUUUUUUUUAACGACAGUGAUGAGAUACUUGAGACCCCGUGGAUAUCACUUUUGUCAACUUGAGUGAUGAGUUUGAUAAUUAACCCAUUAUAGAACUAUUUUAGACCAUCUCUGUUUUCGUUGAGGAGAGCAUAACUAUAGGGAUAAUUUUCAGAUGUAGGGAAAAUAUUGAAAAUAUUGAUAUAAUAUUUAAUUUUUUCCUUAAAAACAUUCAUAAAAUAAAAACUAAUUAAAUAAUUUUUAGGAAACUUAACAUAUUGUAAUUAAAAAAAUGUAAAUCUCUCCAUUUCAAUAUAUAUAUAUAUAUAUAUAUAUAUAUAUAUAUAUAUAUGGAAUGAGAUCAAAUAAAAACUUUUUUAAGUUACAAACUUACAAACUCUUUUGGGCCAUCAGAUUAGAUUUGAUCCUAAGGCUGACUUAAACUUUUAUAAUAGAGGGGUAACUUAGUCAAUUUACGUAUAAACAGUUAUAACAUAUAUAAACUAAAAAACUAACAGAAGCGUAUUAUUGUUUGUUGGAAAAUUUUGCCGGCUAGAGAGAGAAGACGCAUCGGAGAGGGACGACGGCGAGUUGAGCUGGAGAGAGAACAACGCGACUUUCGAGUACAGAUUUACGCAUACUUGAAGGUAAAUUAUUGUUUUUUUUUACAUAAAUUUGUUGUUUAGUUGUUUUCUUCAGCUCGAGAUAUACGAUUUGAUGUGUUUUAGUUGUAUUAUUGUUUUUUCUUUGACGAAUGUACUGUAUUCGUCGGGAUUAGGUUGUUUCCAGGUGUUUUGUGGUGUUCGAUUGAAUAUUAAAAUAAAAAAUUUGUUUUUUAAGGUGGAGAUUUGGUUAUUACUCUUUUCGAUUGUUCUUCUUUUAUGCGAUUGUGCUAUGGACUUGAAUUGAGGUAUGCCAUGAUUUUCUUUGAGUUUAGUUUGUUGAUUCUUUUUUUAAUCUAAAUGUUUGUUGUUUCGUUGAAUGUAUGAUUCACUUUUAUUGAACGAGCGGUAUAUGAAUCAAUUAUCAUAUGUAAUUAUAAAGUGUUUGUUGAAUAUUAGUAUGAAUUCUGUUGAACGAGCUGUAUAUGACUUAAAUAUGUUGAAUUCUUGUUGUAUUUAUGUUGAACUUUGUCUAUGUGCAUCUGUUGAAUAUAAUGUACUUAUAAGUGUAAUUAUAAGUAUCAAUUAUAAGUGUAUUUUUGUUGACUGUAAUUAUAAGUGUUUGUUGAAUAUAAGUAUCAAUUUGUAUGAUUACUCUUAGUUGAGUACUUUUUGGGCUGUGAACAAGAUAUAUGUUGAAUCUUUGUUUUCUUUAUGUUGAACUUGUCUAUGUGUAUCUGUUGAAUAUAAUGUUUUGUCAAUUUCAGUUUAGUUGUAUAACUUUUUCAGGUUUUGGUGAUAAAAUUGCUGCUAAUACAUUGCCUACGGAUGUUGUGGCUAUAGAAGAUGAUGAUUUCUCUUUGGGAGAAGUUGAUGAUUUGUCUUCCCGUAAAUAUGUAUCUCCAGGUUCUACAACGUAUUGGUUGCCUUGUAUGAUUGAUAGUAUACCUAAUGUUGGAAAAUCGUUUAGGAGUAUAGAUGAGGCUGCACAUUUUUAUGUUGAUUAUGGUCGUUCUUGUGGAUUUGAUAUUAAGCGUGGUAGUGAGAAGCGAUAUCGAGAUGGACGUAUUCAAUCGAAACGUUUUCACUGUUCACGAGAAGGCUUCUAUUCUAAAAAUGGUGAGAAGAAUGAUGAUGGCUCAUUUUGUUCAAAACAUAAGAGGAAAAGUAUGUUUACUAGAUGUGGAUGUCCUGCUAUGAUUGUGGUGAAACAUACGAAGGGUUCAAUAUAUGAGAUUACUUCGUUUAUUGAACAACAUAAUCAUAGGUUUGCUAGUGUUGAUGGUAAGAAGUUUUUGAAGGCAAACCGGUCAAUGACUGUUGCACAACAAAAUUUUGCAUUUGAUUGUUCAAAAGUCAGAAUAGGUCCUGCUCGUGCGUUUGGUUUAAUGAAAGAGUUUGUUGGAGGGUAUGACCAGAUUGGUGCAACAGUUGUUGAUUUUAAAAAUUGGAAUAGAGACUUGAAGAACAUAAUUGGGAAUGCAGAUGCACAAGUAAUAUUGAAUAAAUUUCAAUCUUUGAAGGAUUCUUCUAAUGGCAGAUUCUACUAUGAACAUGAUGUGGAUGAGUCUGGAAAAUUGACAAAGUUAUUUUGGGCAGAUUGUGUUGGUCGUAGAAACUAUGAUGUGUUUGGUGAUGUUAUUUCAGUAGAUGCCACAUUUAGUACUAACAAGUAAGAAAUUUAUGUUAUUUUCUAACGUAUUUUGUGUAUAUCUUAUUCCAUUUUUUCUUGAAUUCUUAAUAAACAUAUUUUUGUUUUCAGGUAUAACAUGGUUUUUGUUCCAAUCUGUGGUGUUGACACAGAUUGGAACAAAAAUCAUGUUAUACCUGAAGAAGCUCUUGACGUUAGUUCAUGUAAAGUUGUGCUGCUUUACGUGAACUGACGUCAAGAGCUUCUUCAUUUGGAAGUUCUUCUGCUGCUUGUUCUUCUUCAGUUGCUUUGUGUUCAGCAACAGGCAUCUCAGUAUCACUGGUGCGUUCAUCCUGAAGUCCAGAUACAGCCUCAGUUGCUAUUCCAACAACAUUUAUGUCGGUUGCCAUUUCUUGGGCCAUGAUUUUUUCUUGGUAUUCUUUUUCAGCAGCGUCAACCAUUCUGCGGACUUCACUUCCCAUUGACGACUGCACCGGAGAAAUAGUGUUUUCAACAGGUCUUUCUUCCUCAAUUUAUUUUUGCGCUCCAUCAGCUUCUUUUUCUUUUUCAGCAUCUCUUUCUUCCUCAGCUUCUUUUUGCUCAAUUGUUCUUUCUUUUUCUACUCGUCUUUCUUCCUCAACUUGUUUUUCUCUUUCAACUUCUCUUUCUUUAGAAACCGGGUCAUUAAUCUUUGAGGUUUCUGCUUCGUUUGUUGAAUGCUAGUGUCAAAUUGGCUAUUUGUUGUUCCAAUUGUCUCUUCAACUGGAAUUGCCAAUGGUUCAGAAUUAUGUUGAGAAGUUUCCUCAGUUUCUUUUUCUGGCUGCCCUGAUGGAUUUUCAAAUUGCUCAGGCUCAGUACAGACAAAAACUUGAGCAGCUUCAACCCUUGUCUGAAACUCUUCAUUCUUAUUUACAGUGUUGUAAUCAAUACAACUUUUCAAACAUUUGUUGAAUUGUCUGUUUGCUGCAUCAAAUUCGACUUUCAACCAAGAUAAAAGCCAAGUUCUCUAAUUCAACAAUCAUUUGUUCCUGUAAAAAACAAUAUCACAUAUUCAACAACAUUAAUUUAUAUAUUCAACAAAAUAUUGAAACUUUAAGAAAUAACCUAACAUAUUCAACAAAUUUUAAUAUUAGAUUCAACAAAAUAUUUCAACUAAAAGAAACAAUCUAACAUAUUCAACAGAAUUGAUAUACAGAUUCAACAAGAUAUUGCAAUUCAAAGAAAUAAAUUCCUAUAUUCAACACAACUGACUUAUAGAUUCAACAAAAUAUUACAAGUUAAAGAUACAAUAUAACAAUUCAACAAAAUUGAUAUACAGAUUCAACAACAUAUUUCAACUAAAAGAAACAAACUAAUAUAUUCAACAAAAUUGAUAUACAUAUUCAACAAAAUAUUGCAAGUCAAAAAAACAAAGUCAUAUAUUCAACAGAACUGAUUUACAGAUUCAACAAAAUAUUGCAAGUCAAAGCAUUCAAGUCAAAGAGUAAUUAAUAUAUUUACUUACUCUCUUUCUUUCUUCAUUAAUAGUUCUAUCAACUUCUUGUGUCUGUUCAGUGCUUUCAUCUACAAACCUGAUUCUUCAUUUUCCAAAUAGAUUUUCAGAAGUUUCCUUGCUUUCUCUUGCUCUCAAAUCUUUAUCUGACCAAGCUGUGAAUUUUGGUAUGGUGCGGAAAACUUCAUUUUCAAUUUUAAUCCACACCCUAUCCAUAUAGAACAACUACAUAUAACAUAAAAAAUAUGUUAUAAUGACAAUAUAAAUUAACAUAUUCUACAUUAGAAACAACAUUGCAACAAAUUUUAUUAUUAGAUUCAAGAAAAUAUUUCAACUAAAAGAAACAAUCUAACAUAUUCAACAGAAUUGAUAUACAUAUUCAACAGAAUUGAUAUACAUAUUCAACAAGAUAUUGCAAAGCAAAGAAACAAAUUCAUAUAUUCAACACAAUUGAUUUACAGAUUCAAUAAAAUAUUACAAGUUAAAGAUACCAUAUAACAAUUCAACAAAAUUGAUAUAGAUUCAACAACAUAUUUCAACUAAAAGAAACAAACUAAUAUAUUCAACAAAAUUAAACUCUCAAGUUAAUUGAACAAAUAUAGAUUAUAUAUACUUACAAUGAGGAAAACCAGAGGUCCGCAAAAGUACUUUGUUGCUGGAUCCUUUGCCCAUUCCUUUUUACAAGUUUUUAAACUCUGCAAAAUAUAAGAACACCAGUUGUAGACAUUGCAGCGAUUGAUAUCUCCUUUAAAUCGAACGAGUCGCUGAUCAACAAGCCCGUUCGACACUGUUUGAAUGAGAGUGUUCCCCAUUAAAACCAGAAAGUUUGUCUUAAAAUGAUCAUCAGCAGUGCCUUUCUUAAUCUCACUGACAAGAUCACUUGUCCUAACAUGACUUUUUCCAAACUGUGCUCUAAAAGGUUUCUCUUUUUCUGCCUGUGAAUCUUCAUCUGUCUCAAGUUCAAUAGGAAGAGUGCCCUUUGGUAAUCCUAGAACUAGAUGCACAUCUUCUUCAGUAAUUGGAAUUUCACCACAUUCCAAAUUUAGGACACAUUUGUCCUCAUCAAAUGAUUUGAGUAGUUGAAAUCCCAGUCUAUGUGGAAGCUCCUUAAUUGAAAAAUUAAGGAGCUCAUGGAAUCCUCUUAUCCAUCGUAUCUGUUCUGCAGGGAGUUGAUUUAAAACUUCACAGAAUUUUGAAGGUGAAUUUAUCGUUCUUGUUCUAUUGGAAAAGUCUCUUCCAGAACUUGCCUUCGGUAUGUCUUUUUCUUCGUCUUUCUUAGCUUUGCCUUUUGCCUUUCUUUUUCUUGCAGCAGUACUUGACUCUUCUUGUUCCUUUUUCUUUUUAAUUCUAUCUCUUAUUGUAGAAAUGAGCUCAUCUUCAUCUGAUGACUCUACUAGCUCGUCAUCCGUGUGCAACGGCUCUGAUUCUUCUUGAUUAGUAGGUUCAUAUUCAGAAGUAUUGGAUUUUUCCUUAUCAUCAUGAACUAUUGAUUUUUUUCCCUAUAAUUAAAAAAGAACAUAUUGUUUAUAGAAAAUAGAAUGAAAUAUGAACAAUAAAGCUAUUAAAAAUUCAUAACAUUUUAAUAAUACAAUUAUCAAACCUCUUUCCACCUGUAGUGCUAACCAUUCAUCAGAGUCAUUCUGUUACUCAACAGAUAUGUAUGAGUUAUCAAAUUCCUCAUCAUUAGCAAUGGAAGCUUCUGUAUGACAUAUCAAUGUUGGAUAUGUACUGGUGGAUACAGAGAUCAUCACUAUACCAGUUAGUGAUUUUGUAGGACAUAUCGAUGUUCAUAACUGAACAUUUUGUGAUUUCUCACUAGAAAAGAUUUCAGUUAUACAUUGGAUAACAUAUCUUUCUUGUGAUGAUGUUCUUGUAGGAUUUUGCAGAAUUGCUACUAAAGGAUCUUCCUGAAUAGGUGCAUCUGACAAAAUUUAUUAUUCUUUAAUCACUUAUAUUUAAGUAAAUCAUUGUUUUAUUUCUACAAAAUGAAGUAUUUCACUAUAGGUUCAACAGAAUUUAAUAAUAAAUUCAACAUAUUAUCCACUGGGAAGAGCAUUACAACAAGUUUUUUAAACAUGUUCAAUACAAAUCAUAAACAAAUUCAACAUAUUAUCCAGUGGCAACAGCAUUGCAACAAGUUUUUUAAACAUGUUCAACACAAAUCAUAAAUAAAUUCAACAUAUUAUCCACUGGAAACAGCAUUGCAACAAGUUUUUUAAACAUGUUCAACACAAAUCAUAAACAAAUUCAACAUAUUACCAGUGGCAACAGCAUUGCAACAAGUUUUUUAAACAUGUUCAACACAAAUCAUAAACAAAUUCAACAUAUUAUCCAGUGGGAACAACAUUGCAACAAGUUUUCUAAACAUGUUCAACACAAAUUAUAAAUAAAUUCAACAUAUUAUCCACUAGGAACAACAUUGCAACAAGUUUUUUAAACAUGUUCAACACAAAUCAUAAAGAAAUUCAACAUAUUAUCCACUGCGAACAGCAUUGCAACAAGUUUUUUAAACAUGUUCAACACAAAUUAGGAUGUUCAACAUACUUUUAGUACAUAUUCAACAAAUAAUAAUCCAAAAAACAGCAAAUAUAUCAAAUAUUCAACACAAUUUAGGAAUAAAUUCAACAUAUAUUCAAAAAAAUUACAUUACAUUUUCAGAUAUUGAAACAGAGAUUAAUGAAUCUCUGUUUAUUACGAUGCUCAACAUAACUUUAGUAGAUAUUCAACACAUAAUAAUCAAUAACAACUAUAAAUAAAAUAUUGCAACGAUUAAACUAAAAUCAAAUAUUUAACACUUUUAAGCCGAAUAAUACAAACAUUAUAUCAAAUAUUCAACACUUUUAAGCCGAAUAACACAAAAUCACAACUAUUGAACUAAAAUCUCUACAGCAAAAGAAGUGCACAAAUCUCUAAAACAUUUAACCUAAAUUUACUGAAACUAUAAAAUGCAAGCUUUUACGAAAUAAAUGUAGAGAUUCUUUAGAAGAUCAUAAAAACAUUACCACCGGCGCUCUGUAAUUCACCACUUUUCUUUGGAGCCAUUAAAACUGAUCAAUGUGUAGAAACUGGAUCGACGAGUUUGCUUGACAGUGAUGAAUUCGCUUGAGAGUGACGCUUGAGUGUGAGAUUUUUGUUAAGAUUAGAUGAUUGCGUGCGUUUGUGUGUAAUGGCGUUUUCGUGUAAUCGAGUUUGUGUGUAAUGGCGGUUUUUCUCUGUUUUCAAUUUUGGCGAGUAGUGUGUUAUAACGAAUGUGUCAGAAAAGACGCGGCUUGCAGUUAUUUACAAAACUGCCACCGCGUCUUUUCAUGCAGUUUUUAAUCCCAGCCGCUUAUGUUUUUAAGAUCUAACGGUAUAAAAAAGUUUGUAAGUUUUUAACUAGAAAAGUUUUUACCGGAACCCUCCCCUAUAUAUAUAUAUUUUCAACUUAUAAUACUUGCUCUCGUGAAUCCACACUAUUAACACAGAGUCAAAUUACUUUGUAUCAAAAUACUUUUGAUCAUAUUAAGCACAUUUUUCUCGAACAUCAUUUUCUAAGCACUUUCAUUUCUUAAAGUGACAAAAGUUCGAUCACCAAACUGGACUUGUUCUGCUAUAAACAUUUUGAUUCAUUCUAAGAGUAAGAGAUAACACAGAAACUAGCUUAUAGGAAGCUAUUUCAUUUGGCGUAAGCUUGUUUUAACCACAACACAAAUCUUCUUUAUUCAACUCAUAUAUAAUCUUCUUCUUCACACUUCUUGAUCAACUUUAUAAUGCUUUGUUACUUGCUCAUUCAGUAAAAUGCAGUAUAUUUGUCGUCGAAAGUUACUUGCCCAUUCAGUAAAAUGCAGUAUAUUUGUCGUCGAAAGCAAGUCAUUCGGCAAAAGCACUAAACGAUAGUGCAUAACGAUUAAGGAACGCAGUAAAAUAAUUGAGCAUAAUUUGAAAAAUGAUUUAUACGCUUGAGUAAAAUUUUUGAGGUGCCAAAUUAGAAACUGUAACUUUAUUACGUGGGUAAAAAAUACGAGCAAGUAACAUAGCAGUUCAGUGGUCAACAGAAUAAAAUUAUUCAAGGUGCUACCUUAAGAAAAAAAUUAGAUGUUUCUCACGUAUUAGAGGUUUAUUCGUUGUUAACGGGCUGAAAUUGCGGUUCGAACUUAAAAAAAUUAAUUUUGAAAAAGUUAGUUGGAGGAGUUUUUUCAAUUUGGUAGUGAUACAUAAAAAGCAUGCAUAAAAUUGGUUACAGAAUUUUACACAAAAUAAUAUAAUAAUUGUGAUAACAUGUUUUAACGGUGCUAGUAAUGCAUAUACAAAGGUCUCAUUCGAAUGAAAACUUACCACAUAUUAUUUUUGGGAAUAUAGAUUUUUUCACCACCCAACUUACUGUGUAUUUGGAAACUUACCACUAAAUUAUAAAUUUUUAUCUUUUUGUCACUAAUGUUACGUUUGGAUUUUUUUCCACUAACGUUAGGUUUGGAUUUGAUUAUUAACAUUUUGUUAUUUUUUUAGUAUUAUUAAAACGUAGUGGUAGUCUAUAAUAUUAUGACGAUCUAAUAUAUAUUUAUAUCUUUAUAUAUAAUACUCCAUAUGUCCCCUAGGUAGUUUACUUUGGAGGCGAGAGUUUGACACGCAUUUUAAAACUCCUAAAAAAUUCAGUUUUAUAAAUUAUUUUAUUUUAUUCUUGAAUUAAAAUUAUGAUUGUCCAUUCCCUAUAUUAUAUAUUGUUUAAUAAAAAUUAAGGUUAGAUUUCAUCUGCAAUUAUUUAUACUAUUGUACAAAAAAUAAGUACGAAUACUAUAACAAAAAUAGACAAUAGACAAUUAUAGAAUUUCUUAACCUUGAUUUGAGGUUUAUAUGAUAUCUAAAUUGGUGGUUAAACUCCAAAAAAAUAUAGUAUCACUGUACUCAAUUUUACUUGAGAAUUGAUUGUUAUGAUAAAUUGUUUGUAGUCAUUGAUUUCAGAUUGAUAAUUUACUGAAUUUUUAGAAUUCCAAUUAUAAUUCUUCCCGAUUUUUGCCGCAUUUAUGUUAUUAUUACUCCCUCCGUCUAUCUCAUUUAUUUAUAGUCCUUUCCCACGGCUUGACAUGUAUUUUGAGGUUCCCACUUCUUAUAUAUAAAACAUAGUUCCAUAACAUAAUUUUGAGAUUUAUUUCUGUUUGUGUAUAAAAAUUCAAACGUUAAAUUUUUACUCAGAUAAAAAAAAAUUAAUUUAUGAAACUAAAUCUUUUAGGAGCCUUAAAAUGCGUGUCAAACUCUCGUCCUCUAAGAUAAACUAUCUAGGGCACAUAUGGAGUACUACAUAUAAAGAUUUAGACACAUAUCAUAUCACUAUAAUAUUGCAGACUACCAGUAUAUUAUAAUAAUGCUAAAAAGAAUAACAUGGUGUUAAUAAUCAAAUCCGAACCUAACGUUAGUUACAAAAAACAAAUCCAAACCUAACAUUAGUGACAAAAGGAAAAAAAAAGUUAUAGUUUAGUGGUAAGUUUCUAAAUACAUAAUAAGUUGAGUGGAGAAAAAAUCUAUAUUCCAAUUAUUUUUUUGAAAGGUUUUUUAAUCAAUUUUGGACAUGGAGGUUUUUUUUCUAACCCAAUAGUUUCAAACAAAACAGUACUUUCCAGGGAUGUAUUCAAUCAAGAUUUUAAUGGAUUAUUUUAGGUUUUGAAUUUUAAUGGAUUAUAUCUGAUUUUGAUUUUGUGCGGAUUAUUGAUAAAAUGUCGUAGAGUUGAUGAGAGUUUUUAGGAUUUAUGUAUAAUUCUUCAAAAUAUUAUGGAUUUUGGUGGGAUUUCAAAAAAUUUAAAAUAUACUGAACUAUCAAACAAAAUCCAUUAUUUUAUGAAGUCCAAAAGAAUCCAUCAGUAUUUGAAUAUCAUUAGAUUUUAAUGGAUUUUAAAUAAACCCAAUAUUUUAAAGUAUAAUCUAAAAUCCUAAACGAAUUUCAAAUUCAAAAAUAUAAUAUUACAAUCUGUAUCCAAUAUGCCCCUAAAUUGAUAAUCACAAUAGCUAUUUAACACUACACCAUAUGUGGCAUAUUGUAACAGUCAAAAAAUUGUGAAUAAAAGCCAUAAAGUGUUACCAAAAGUGAACAAAACGGCUAUGGUAACACUUUUUCAUCAAACAGGAUCGUAACAAAAAUCGGUGCUAGCACAGGGGUCUAGGGUAACACUUUUUCAACUUUCGGUAACACCUGAUAAAGUUGUAACCAUAGAAGCUCUAUGCCUACACUUUUGUUGUCCCGAGAGAUCGGGUUCGACUCUGACUCAUCCGAAAAGUAUUAGAACAAAUACUAAUUUGUAAGGCAUAUAAGCUUACAUUGUAAAAAAAAAAGGCUAUGACAUUUAAAUAAUCGGUUUUUCUAGUGUAUGUCCAUGAGCACAUGAUAAGCGCGGAAUUUUAUAAGUUUGACUCAUUUUAUUGGCUCUCAUAUCUUACUAAUGGUGGACCCCCUGCCUAUACAACAGGGGUGAGCAAGAAUUCUCUAAACCGACCUAAACCGGCCGAUCCAAACCGUCCAAACCGAUUUUUACGGUUUAUUAACGGUUUGGUUUGGUUACGGUUUGAAAUUUAAAAAACCGAAUUUUUUCGGUUUGGUUUCGGUUUUUACCUCCAAACCGACCGAUAUAACCAAACUGAACCGAAUAUAUAUAUAUUGAAAUAAUAAUAUAAUGUGUGAAUAAUAAAUUGAUAAUAAAAUUAUAUUCUACAAAAUAUGUGAAAAGUAAAACAUAUAAAACUAUUAUCAUAUUUUUUAAAAAAUAUUGAUAUACUAAUUUGUAUGUAUUAUCUUUUUGUUUUUUUAAAUAAAAGUAUAAGAAUUACAUUUUUAUCAUCUUUCUCACUCUCCUUAUAUUUUACAAGAUCUUAUAAUUUAAUAUUUUUUUUAAAUUAUAAUUAAAAUCUAAUAUACAAAUUCAUAAUAUAUUUCAAACUUUCAAUUCUUGUUUUGCAAUUUCAAGUUUAAUUUUGUUGUUGAAUUUGUUAUAUUGAUAAAAAACGGUUUUAACCGAAAUCAAUCCGAACCAAACCGUUUUAAACGGAUCGGUUUGGUUUGGUUUUUUUACUUAACGGUUUGGUUUCGGAUUGAAGUUUCGGAAAACCGAUAAUUAUGGUUUGGUUCGGUUUGGACCCUCAAAACCGUCCAAACCGACCGAUGCUCACCCCUACUAUACAACAACCACACCAGUCAAAAUCUGCGAAAUAUAUAAAAUUUCACGUUUAGCAUAGUUCAUGGCACACACUAUCGACGAACCCUUAAAUAAUACUCCUUCCGUCCCUCUGAUUUCUAUACACUUUCCUUUUCAGGAUGUCCCAUUCAAUUGUAUACAUUUCAAAAACUUUCCCAAAAUAGUAAACUUUUAUAAUAUAAAAAUCUCACACACCCACUACUUCCAUCUACUUUUUCAAAUCUAUCAAUUAAAUAUGCAUGGGUCCCACCACUUUGUCUACUUUUUUUUCUCUUUCCCAUUACUUUACACUACUUUAUACCUUUUUCUUAGUCUCCGUCUUCAUUCCAAACAUAUAUAUCCCAGACGGACGGAGGUAGUAUAUAUUUGAGCGCACGCAGAACAAAUAAAAGCAGUUUCAUGAAGGAGAGGCGACAAAAACAAAGGCCUAACACCAUCUCUAACAAUCCUAUAGCUAGUCUGACCAGUUCAACAAGUUAAAUGGACAUUUUUGUAGUAACAUGUUAUCUUUUCAUUUUGCUUUCUAAAUUUUUUAUGUUACUCUAUAAUUUUAACUAAAAAAAAAAAAAAAAUGGUUAAGGAUCUAAUUGGUCGUCUCCUAAGAAGCAAAAAAGCCACAUAAAAUUAGAAAAGCUGCAAGAAUCAUAGGUUCUUCGUUAGAAGAUCAUACUACUUCUUUAUUCACAUGGAUAACUCAAACUACAGAAACAUUAACAAAAUUUACCACAGAGUAUUUGAUAUAACUGGAUGGAACACAAAGAAUGAACAUUUCCCAGAAUAAAGAAAGGCAGUUGUAUCCAUCACACCUGCAAACAAAAACAAAUGCCACCCUCUAGUUGUCUUAUUGAUUCGUUUGGUCUUUUUUAAAUCCACUUAACUGUUGUAAACUCUUGUAAUCGUAUAGUCAUCAACAUGAAACUUUUUAGGGGACAUAGUGCUCCUGAUAGCAAAGAACCGGCGAGCAGUUUAUGUUAAUUGAGAAAUAUAAUGAGAUGAAAUUUUUAUUAACCUAUAGUGUUAAAUAUAGGAUGGAGUAAGAAUGCUUGCAUACAAGAAAUUUGUUCUCCGGGAAACUGAUGUAUUUAAGAGGAUUCAUGAACAUAUCACCCACUCGUUCUUCAGUCUUGCAACAACCUGACAGAUAUCUUCCUCUCCCUAUUCUUGACCAAGUACCAAAUGAACUAAUGUUUGAUGCAUAUGUGCUUGCCUUUAUCAUAAAAAAAUGAUGUUAAUCAUUUUGGGCAAUCGCAUAUUUUCUUUCUCCAUAAAUUUGUGAAAAUCUUUAGGAAAUUGUUUAAGUUCCUUUGCGCCUAUUCCUUUAGAGUGCUUGACAUAUAUCCUCCUGAAUCUGAGGAUAUAUACUCUGCUUAAACAGUUGAAAGAGCAAAUAUAGCUUGUUUUCUUGAUAUCUUGGUUACAAGUAUGAAAACUCUGAUAUAAUAAGUAAGAAUACAUUCCCAUCACUACCACAAUAUUUCCACACAUAAUUUCAUCAAAAAACGCAAAUAAAUAUUGGCAUCUGCGAUAAAAAGGGAAGCCCUCCUUUCUGCAUAUAAGGAUGCUGUUGACUUUGUAAUCAUGAAAAAUACCAUAUUAAAGUUUUAAAGAAAUAUAUAAUGACAGGCAUGCAUAUUCAAUCCGCAUUCCUCUUCACUUGACGGUCAUAUAUCAUCUUGAUCAAUAGAACAAUGACGAAAAGAAAGAAGAAGGAACCAAUGAGGCAAACGGUAAUGGCGAUGGCCGGUGAGUGAGAUAACACCACAUACGUUCCUGUAAUGAAAGUCAACAUCAUUGCCAUGACGGAAACAAUGUUGAGCCCAGUUGAUGCAGCAUUUAGUUUGGACACUUGACGGGGAUCUUCGUACAUAGAUUCAAGAAAGUAGAGAAACAAAGAACAUGUUGAUAGUAGCAAAGCCAGUGCAUCUGAUACCAUAAAUGCAUUAAAUGCAGUCUUUUUAGAGAGAAUUACCAAUCCUUCAUCAACCUCUCCACUUUGAUGUAGACCACCCGGCAUGGUAAAUCCUACAGUGAAAGUGACUGUAGUUAUUAGUGCACUAACUACUAUCUGGGUGUUGGUCCUCUUUUUGUACCUUUCCAGAUCUUUUUUCAUCUGUGCAUUCUUUUCAUCGAUCAAUAUUUUUGUAUAUUUAUCAAAAAUGAAAUCCUUUUUCUCUCUUUUACUUGGAAGCACUGAACUUUCUAAGAUAUCCGUAUCCUUCUUCAUGCUUUUACGCCAAAAUUUUCUGGACGAAUUAGACUGCACAUCAUCAAGUGCAAUUUUAAUUUUCACCUAUAAAUAAAAGAACAACCAAUAAUUAGUAAUUAUAAGAAGACAUCCUAUACAUAUGACUAAUAACUUUACUCAAUACUCUGCAAAGAUCUGUUACGAAAGGAUCAAAGAACUAGUUUAUGUAAAAACUAAAAAAGAAGAAGAAAAGAAGGUUUUUUAAGUACCUGCUCCGCAAUGAUAUCAUCUUUAGAAUACAGCAUGUCCCUAGGAGUCCAACUUUUCUUAUUUUUUACCAUUGUAUUAAGUCCCUUAUGUUCAAUAAGUUCUGGUACGAAACAACCAUUAGAGAUAAGUAGAUGGAGAGGUGUAUCACCAUUGACAUCUUGUUGUUGUAAAAGCUGGUCCUUGUAUUUUUGGGGACAAUGUUUUAGAAUACCUUGUACCAUAUUUUUAUUAUUUUUAGCUGCUGCCAAAUGUAGUAUAUUCUGACUAUCUUUGUUAACAGCUGUGUAUGCAGACGAUGUAGAUGGCCACAAUUUCACAAGUUGUAUAACUGUAGAAGUAUAUCCAUGCUCAACUGCUACAUGAAACGGUGUUGAUACCAUAUCUCGGUACACAAAUUGAUAUCCAACAUCCUUUUGUGCUUCAAUUAGUGGACCAAGUAUUGAAACAAAUUCAUGAUAAGCAGCAUAGUGAAGUGGAGUCCAACCUUCUGCUUCAGAAAAAGUUACAAGGUGUUUUCUCCCUUUCAAGAGACCUAAUACAGAGUCUGCAGGAAACAAAUUCGAUCAACUAUGUAAAUCACAUGGAACAAGAAGUAAAAAAAUAUGUAAUGAACGUAAAGUUGAUUGGCAUUACAUAAUGUAUAAAAAAAGUUCAAUCUAGAACAUUUAAAAUGUAUAUGCUAUUAUAUCUCAAAUCACAGUGAAAUUGAGAGAGUUUUUAAUGCCGCUAUAAGUUAUAACAAGAACAAGAGUGCAACUGCUUACUGGUAUAGUUUUAAUGUAUCAUUUACUCCUAAAUGAAUGUACUCACAUGACAAAUUCCAAUACAAUAGAUAUAACGUACCUUUAUCGCGUCUUUUAAUUGCAAGAAUCAAAGUGAGCACACCUUUAUGAUCAGGGUUAAUUCCAGCUUCAUAAGUUUCAGACAGCAAUUUGACAAUAUCCGUACUAUACUCAUUGUCGAUGGCCUUGUAGAUUAAACGCAUAAGGCCAUGUUUUUUGCUUCCACGACAAUUUUGAUAGGCAGGAUCCUCUUCUAAUAAUAGUUUAACAACCCCCACAUUGUUUCUCUCCACCGCCAGUUGCAAGACAGUGUUUCCGAACUCAUCAGUGCUAUUAAAUAAUGCAUCCUCCUCACUAUUCCAAUGUUUGAAUGCAUCAAUAAUCAUCCCAACCGCAUCUUUCCAUUCUUCCGUCGCUGCAAGUCAAAUUGAAAUAAUCAUUUAUACAAGUUUCAAAUACGAUUUUCCAGGUAAAAAUUUGUGAUAAAAUUAAAGGUGAUUUUUAAACCUCCUCCUACUUGAAAUAUAUUCAUAUAAAUUUUUGGAAUGAGAUUAUGGAUAUGAGACCUUUUCCAACUUAAGAUAUAAUAUUUAAUAAAGUUGAUUCAUUAAUAUAUUACAUACCUUGCAUAUUCUUAAUGAGAGCAUGCAAAGCACUGGCGCUGCCACCAGGACCCUCCAGAGACUGUGCUGUGCAAGCUGUACAAAUCUCCUUUAUUAUAGCCAGGUACCCUUUUUCCGCAGCUAUGUAGAUUGGAGUUUUGCCUUCAUAAUUUUGGAUAUGUCUAUCACUUGGAUCCGCUUCUACUAAGAGCUUGACAAUCGCCACGUUACCGUUAAGCACUGCUACAUGUAAGGCAGU